rnacentral:lncRNA from 1 species
UGCCAUCUAGACACAUCAGAAUGGGACCCAGAGCAUUUGUCCUUCCAAAUCCUCAACGUUAAGCCCGGAACCACUCCCAUCUGCCAUUUCCUUACCACUGAUGCUAUUGCCUGGGUUCCAAAACACAAAUCUGCAUGAUCAUCACUUAGCACUGUACGUGUAAUAAGCUUGGUCGGGUUGCACCCUAGGCCUGCAUAAUUAUCUCCCUACUUAUUUCUGCCUCUUCAUCAUGCGGUGUAAGAUAUAUGAUGAGAUGAAGUUUUCUCUUGUAACUAUGUAGACUACUUCAACUUGUACUCAUAAUAAAGCACGCUGUUGGGGGGUUCUACUUAAUUUCGUUCUCUCCAAUGUUUGAGUGUUGAAUUGUUACGUUGGAAUAGGCUGCUAAUGCAUGUAGUUAGAGAAGCCUUCAUUUAUAUCAAAGUCCUCAAACUAUCAAGAAUUAAUGUAUCCAGAAACAUAUACCAAGACGCAAAACAACAUAUUUUCCAUUCUCUGUCUGUAACACCAAAGCAAACUUCCUUUAUCACAUCAUUUAAAGGAUCAAAUUCCAGUACUAAUCUAAUCCAUCAUGUAAAGCAUACAAGUGCCUACCUAAAUUUGUCCAUUGGAUAUAUAUGUCACUUUUUAUUUUUUGAUAGAGAUAUAAAUGUUGAAAAAAUUAGAGUACACAACUCUUAUAGACACUACUACGAUUUACUAUUUGCGCGACGGAAGUUUGCGCGACGAACAUUGUUUCGUCGCGCAAAAAGCACUAUUGCGACGAAAAAAAAAUACCGUAGCGCAAACAACAUAACACAAGCGCGACAAACAGUUUCGUCGCGCAAACAAUCUAUGCGCGACCAAUAUUAAUUUCGUCGCGCAAAGGUAGGGGAAAAAAACCCGGUUUUUUUUUUUUGGCGCCAUAAUCUUGCGCGACAACAACAAUCGUCGCGCAUGACAAUAUUGCGCGACAAUUCAAAGAAUUCGUCAGGUAAAGAUGGACAGAAAAUUGUCUCAUUUUUUUGGCGGUAAAAAACUUUGCGCGACGAAAUUUUUCGUCUCAAAAGACAACUUAGCGCGACGGAAAUAUGUACCGUCGCGUAAAAAAACGAGGGAUACUUAUUUUUGGCGCCAAAAUGCAGGGUGGAUAAAAAAAAUUUUGCGCGACGGAAUUACCUUCGUCGCGUAAAGUGUAAUGCCGGUGCUUUCUUGCGCGACGAAAUAAAUAAUUUGCGCGACGUAAUUUAAACCUUGCGCGACGAAAAGUAUUAUUUGCGCGACGAAAUUUUGUGCGACGAAUAAUAUGUUUCGUCGCACAAAAAAGCAGAUGUCGACAGGUAAUUGCGCGACGGAAAUGUUGUUUUGUGCGAUGGAAAAGUGGGUUUUCGCGACGGCAUUUUGCGCGACGGAUAUUGGUGUUCGUCGCGCAAAGUCCUUCUUCUUCAUAUUAGUAUCUGCCAUUGCAGAGGCAGAAUGCAGAAAUUGCAUUCUGCCUCUCUCUCACUCUCCCUGCCGCUGCUCUGCUGUGAAUUCAAUACGUUCAUUGGGUAUGUAUUUUUUGUCGUUAGUUUAAAUGUAUUAAUGUAAAUUCGUAGUAACGCUAUUAAUUUUGUUAUCGUUAGGGAUAUUUGUGAUUAGUGAUUGGUGGAGAACGAUUGAGAAGGUAUGUUAUUGUAAAAGUUUGUUUGUUAUGUUUGUAAUUUUUUUGUGAAGUUAUAUGUAUAUAAUGUUGUGAAAUUGUGCGUGACAUAGCACAAUGUGUUGUGAUGUACGAAGUUAAUUGAAAUUAACUUCGUACUUUUAUUUUUAUGUUUAGUAACACGUAGUUUCCCGUUCGAGAUUAGUUGGAUUUCGUGCAUGGAUGAGUAAUGCAUGACUGCGGUCCAAUUAAUUCUUGAAUUGUCCCAUUAUUUGGACAGUUUGGUAAUGCAUAGUGUUGUCACAUAAUCUUCGGCUACAGGAUUAGGUUUCGAUUGUGGAGAUUUCGGUGUCAUCUCGGUACGUUCUUCGAGUGGUACGUAGGUAUUUAUACCUAUGCCCACUUCAAGAACUGUGUCGAGAUGCUGCCGAAAUUAAUCCACGUCGAAAUCUAAUCUCAUGUAGCCGUAGGUUACGUGACAGGACUAUGCAUUCCCGAAUGGGAUAGGGCCCUUACCGGAGGCAUAAGGUGACAUUAUAACUUCGUAUGAAGUUGUUGUGAUUGUUGUGUCGUGAUUGUGGUUUCAUGAAUUAUGAGCAGAAGGUGGAUACAUAACCCGAAUAGAUGCGCAGACGAAUACUUGGAUGGAAUCGAGGAUUUUAUUGAGUUUGCACAUAGACACAACCCGGGUGCAAGUAGAAUCCGUUGUCCUUGUAGGAGGUGUAACAACACGUUGUGGGAGACAAUUGAAAAUGUUGGAUUUCAUUUAGUAAGGAAUGGAAUGAUUGAAACAUAUAGCAUUUGGAACCUUCACGGCGAACAUGUAGGCCAUGCUUCGUCUUCAAAUGCCCCAAGAGUGGACAAUGUUGAACCUAUUGUGGAUCCUAAUGAUCAAGUCAUGGGUAUUAUACAGGAUGCUUUUCCAUUCGCAUCGACCAACAUCAAUCAGGAAGGGGAAGAUAACGUGCCUACACCAAUAGACAGUGCGGAGUUUGAACAGUAUGAAAAACUGUUAAAAAAUGCCAACCAAGAGUUAUACCCGGGGUACGAGAGCUUUUCCGUUCUCACUUCUAUUGUGGAGCUAAUGCACGGAAAAAUAAAGUAUCGUAUGUCGAACUUGUGUUUCGAUUACUUUUUGGGGGUUUUCAAGAGAAUGCUUCCGACGGAUAAUUAUUUGCCGAAAGACCAGAAACAUGCACAGAAGGUGUUGCAUGGUCUUGGAUUGGGUUAUGAAAAAAUCCACGCUUGCAAAAACAAUUGCAUGUUAUUCUACAAAGAGCAUGAAACGUUGGAUACAUGCCCUAUAUGCAAUGAGUCGAGGUUCAAAAUGACAUCCCAGAAUAGAACGACUAAGAUACCACAAAAAGUCAUGCGUUAUCUGCCCCUUAAACCUGGGUUGCAGCGAUUGUAUAUGUCGACGCAUACUGCCACAGACAUGAGAUGGCAUAAGGAAAAACGGGUAGACGAUGAUGUGAUGCGGCAUCCUGCAGAUGGGGAGGCAUGGAAAGAGUUCGAUCGAACGUUCCCCGAGUUUGCUGCUGAUCCCCGAAAUGUAAGAUUGGGACUUGCCACUGACGGAUUCAAUCCGUAUGGGGUUCUAAACCAACACCACAGCACUUGGCCGAUUUUCGCAUUCCCAUAUAAUUUGCCGCCUUGGAAAUGCAUGAAAAAAGAAUACAUGAUGAUGACUGUUUUGAUAACUGAGGAUCCUGGCAGGUCAAUUGAUGUGUACUUAAGGCCUCUGGUUGAUGAGCUGAAAGAUUUAUGGACAAACGGUGUUCGCACGUACGAUAAAUCAACUGGGAGGAUGUUCACUUUGCGAGCAGCAAUUAUGUGGACUGUGAAUGAUUUUCCAGCAUAUGCAAUGGUUUCUGGGUGGAGCACAAAAGGUUAUAUGGCAUGUCAUGUAUGCAAGGAAGAUGUAACUUCUGGUUGGCACGCGGGAAAAGUUUGUUACCUUGGUCAUCGGAGAUGGUUGCCAUGGGACCACGAGUGGCGAGAAAAAGAUAAAGAGUUCAACGGGAACACAGAGCGUCGCCUCAGACCUGGAGAAUGGUCCGGUGAUGAGAUCUUGGAACAGCUGAACCGUUUGGAUUUUGGUCCGUUCGGAAAAACAAUUAGUCGGACCAGACCUUCUACACAUUUGAACUGGACGCACAAGCCUAUGUUUUUUGAGCUCCCAUAUUGGUCGAAACUGAAAUUGAGGCACAAUCUAGAUGUGAUGCAUGUUGAGAAAAAUGUAUUCGACACAUUGGUGGGCACGAUUCUAGAUAUCGAGGGGAAGACGAAGGACACGAUCAAAGCUCGUCUUGAUUUGGAAAGAAUGGGCAUACGAAGGGGUUUAUGGAUGAAUAGGGACAGUGAUAAAGCUAGAAGGGAUCUUGCAUUCUUUUCUAUGAAACCGAAUGACAAAAAGGAGUUUCUAAAGUUUGUAUCGUCUGUCAAAUUUCCCGAUGGGUAUGCUUCUAAUAUCGCACGUUGCGUGAAUGUCGAUGGGGGUAAAUUUACUGGACUUAAGAGCCAUGACUGCCAUGUUCCUGUGGGUAUUCGACACCUACUGCCGGAAGAUGUGGUGAAGCCAAUCAUGUUGUUAUCCAGAUUUUUUUCCCAACUGACGGCAAAAACAUUGCGAAGGACAGACAUGUUUCAGUUGCGCCAUGACAUUGUCCAAGUCCUAUGCAAGUUUGAGAUGAUAUUUCCUCCGGCUUUCUUUACAAGUAUGAUGCACGUAAUGGUUCACUUGCCAGAAGAGGCAUUGCUUGCUGGUCCUGUCAACUAUCGCUGGAUGUAUCCAAUAGAAAGGUAUAUAAUCUUUAUCAUUUGUGUAUGCAUCAUUAUCGACACUUUGCUAAUUUGUAUCAUAUCGUUUUAUUUUGGCAGGCUUCUCGGAGAGCUGAAAAAAAGUGUACGCAACAGGGCAAAGCCCGAAGGAUUAAUUAUAGAGGCUUGGGUUCAAUAUGAGUCGCUUACUUUCUGUGGAAUGUAUUUAAAAGAUGUGGAGACGGUUUUCAAUCGUCCUCAACGCAAUAAUGACGGAGGUAUGAGAAAUGAAAAACUUUUUGUUUUUGCCCAAAGCGCAUGACCAUUUGGAGAUCCUGGACGAGGAGAGUCGUUUUCUAGAAAUGACAUGGAGGUAGCGCAUUGGUUCGUACUGAACAAUUGUGAUGAGAUAAUGGCCUACUUAGAUGAGCAUGAACAGAUGAUGAAGCGAGAACAUCCAUCACAUUUGGUUGCCCGGAAACAUCGUGAAUUAUUUCCACAAUGGUUUUUGGAUUCUGUAAGUUAUAACUGUUUUGUAAUUGACAAAUAUAAAUUGUAGUAUUUAAUUUUGUCAGACUAACAUGUAAAUGAUUUUGUAUACUAUUAGGUGAAUAAAUUGAAAUCAUCGAAUUCCCCCACUUACAGUGAUGAGUUAUAUAACUUGGCGUUCGGCCCAAUUCGUGCUGAGUUGUUCUCGGGUUGUAAUGUUAACGGCGUCAAAUUUUUGGGGGCCGCACGAGAUGACAAGUUGUGUAUGCAAAACAGCGGUGUCCAUGUCCCAGGUGGAGGCGAAAGUACGGACAUUGAUUUCUAUGGCAAACUGACAACUGUCGUGCAAUUGCUUUAGAAAGAUCGAUACCAAGUCAUCAUGUUUAAGUGUCGAUGGUUCGAUACCAACCCAAAUAGGGCGGGAAGUGUUAAAAUCGACCAUGGAGUACUGUUUGUGAACAUGGCGUCCCAAAUUGUGUAUCUAGAUGACCCUAAAGCCGGGAGCGGGUGAAAAGUUGUGCAGAAGAUGGAUCAUAGGAACGUGUAUGAUAUACCAGAACUAGACCCAAGUGACAACGACGUCGACAAUGUGGCUGACCAACGUUUAGAAUCUUCAAUGGAAAAUGAUGCGGAAACACUUCGAGAUACAAAUGUUAUACAAGAACCGUUUCAAAUAGAAGGAGUGUCUUCAGUAGAAAUACCGAUUCAGUCAAUUACAAUUGACCUCGGUGAUCUUCCCCGAUACGAUGUUGCAGUGGGUCCUAGCAACGCCGAUGAUGCAGUUAUAGAGGAGGAGGAGGAAGAAGAUUGGGAGACCGAGAGUGAUGAUAGCGAUGAUAACGAAAGUUAUUAUAGUUCAGAUGAUGAAUAAUGAAUUUAUUUGUAAAGUUAUUAUGUUAGUGUAUUCAUUUUGUGUAAUACAAAUCUUUGAAUAUAUGUAGUUGUCCAUAUGUAGUUGUGUAUUCAUUCUCCAUAUUUCAUCACAAACUUCAUUGGAAUGUCAAUACUUUAGUCAAUACUUAUUACGACCCCAUGCUUGUCGAUUGGUUUUUAUUUAUUUAUUUAUUAAUGUCUUUAACUCUUCAAUUAUUAUUUUUUUCUUUUGAGAUAUAGUUAUUUCUUCAUGUUUAAACAAAAAAUAUAAGUUAUUUCUCCAAUAUUAUCUGUGUGCCACUUAUUUUUCUUCACUUUGGUUCAUGAUUAGUGGCAUCAAUCUAGUCAAACCGAUAAAAUCGGUCGAUUCAAAUCUUAAUUAUCAAUUUAGUUUGGUUUUGAUGAAGAAAUACAAAGCCUUUCCAAAAAAUACAGAGCAUAAAAAAUGAUGAAUACAAAACCUUUCCAAAAAAUACAAAGCAUACACAAUUUGAAUUAAAUGAGGAUUUAUGGCGCCAAAUCCUUGCGCAACGAUAAGGAGCCCUUCGUCGCGCAAAUAUAUAUUAGGUAACGUUAUAGUAUAAUAUAUACCCACAUAUAUAUUUAAAAUUGGCGAUCGAAGUAGUUCAUUGUAUUCAUAUGAAGUGUAGGACUGUAGCUGCAAAAAAUCAUCAACAUCGGAGUUAAAAUAACCGUUCAAUCAUCACUUUUUAUUUAGAACCGUCGAAAAGUUUUACCCCGUUACUUAAUCUCUGAAUGUUUUUUUUGUCUGAUUUUUGCUGUCUAUGAUCUCGAAGUAUAACAAAACAAGUUUGACGGCUGGAUGACUGAAGCUAGUUUCGUAGACUGCGUGUGCUAUCAAAAUCAUAUAUUCACCAAAAACUCAAAAAUUUGUUCAUACAUUUGUGAAAAUGUAACUUAAUGUUUAUGUGGUAUCCCCUAGUGUAAAAAUAUGAAAUUGAAGAUCAAAUUCAGUCAUUGUAUUCAUAUAGGGUCAACAAAUGUUGCUGUAAAAAAUGAUCAAAAUCGGAGUUAAAAUAACCGUUAAAUCAUGACUUUUCAUUUAUAACCGUCAAAAUAUUUUGUCCUGUUCCCUGAUAUCUGAAUGUUUGGUCGUUUUGAUUUUUGGCGUAUACGAUCUCCAAGUAUAAACAAAUAAGUUUGCCGGUUGGAUCAUUGAAACUAUUUUAGGGUUUAGGGUUUAGGGCUUAGGGCUUAGGGUUUAGGGUUUACAUUUUAGGGUUUAGGUUUUGCGCGACGAAUAAACAUUCCUUUCGUCGCACAAAGUGAAAGUGACAAAGAUUGCGCGACGGAUAAGUCUUCCAUUCGUCGCGUAAUCUGGGACACACAUUUCACCCCUCCAUACCCUUUGAACACUUAGUGAAAAUUUCAACCGAAUGAAAUUCUUGAACCCGCGCGACGAACAAAGCAAAUACGUCGCGUAAAGUGGACGUGAACAAGAUUGCGCGACGGAUAAAUCUGGUAUUCGUCGCGCAAUCUGGGCCACACUUUCACCCUUCCAUCCCCUUUGAACACUUAGUGAAAAUUUCAACCGAAUGAAAUUUUUGAACUCGCGCGACGAACAAAACAAAUACGUUGCGCAAAGUGGACGUGAACAAGAUUGUGCGACGGAUAAAUCUAAUUUUCGUCGCGCAAUCUGGGCCACGCUUUCACCCUUCCAUCCCCUUUGAACACUUAGUGAAAAUUUCAAGCGAAGCAAAAUCUUCAACUCGCGCGACGAAUAAAAGUAUUCGUCGCGCAAAAGGCACAGGCCUCUGAUUUUUGUUAGCAAACAUUGCGCGACGUUUACUGUCUUCGUCGCGCAAAAGGCACAGACCCUUCAGUUUCAGCCUCCCGCUAAACCCAAAAUUUUCCCAAAAUUUUGGCGGAACGACAGCGUUUUGCGCGACGAACAUAUGACUUUCCGUCGCACAAGGUUAACCUUGCUCGACGUUUACUAUCUUCGUCGCGCAAAAGCACAAACCCUUCAGUUUCAGCCUCCCGCUAAACCCUAAGUCCCAAAAUUUGGGCGGAACGACAUCGUUUUGCGCGACGAAUAUAUGAUUUUCCGUCGCGCAAGGAGAACCUUGCGCAACGUUUACUAUCUUCGUCGCGCAAAAUCACAGUUUCAGCCUCCCGCUAAACCCUAAAUCCCAAAAUUUUGGUGGAACAACAGCGUUUUGCGCGACGAACCAUGUAUUUUUCGUCGCGCAAAAGGCACAGACCCUAAUCCCCAUUCAAAAUUUGGCGUUCUGGGAGACCUUGCGCGACGGAUAUUUCAUCGCGCAAGAUUCAUUAAUACCAUUUUGCACGACGCAUUCUGUUCUUCGUCGCGCAAAGUCGAAUAAAUUUGCAGAAACGGCCCGAUGCCUCCUUCUUCCCCAUUUUCUGGUUUCUCUCCGUUUCUUCCUCUCUCUCCGCCGUCACCUUAGCCCUCUCUCUCUGCCAUCACCUCAGCCACCUCCGCUCGUUCCGUAGCCUCCCUGCCGUCACCGUCGAGCCUGCCGUCGCAAUUUCGUCAGUUUUUCCCGAUUCUUCGCCGGCCGAUUUCUCUCUCCUCCGGCCACCAUUUUCGACGCCUAAGGUAUGAUUUCUCGACUAUUUUUUGUGCUCUAGCUGAUGGUUGGUUAGGAUUUCUUGAAUUUUCGCUAUAGGAAAUAGGAAUUAAAACCCUAGGUUUUGGCCGCUUUGGGAAUUUCAAAUCCGGCCACUUCCGGCCAUUUUUCGGGGUAGGUCCGAGAACAAAAGUGGCUCCAAUUAAUGUUUUCAACCUAGGGUAGGAACCUUGGCCCUUAGUUUUUAGAAUUUUCCGACGAAUGUUAUCGCUUUGGACACCCACGCGCUGCCGGCGCGUGUGGUGGCGCGUGGGAUGUUGUGGCAGUGGGGCAUUGGGUCCCAGAGCAAUCCCCUGUUUGUCACGAGCGCGUAGGUUUGCUCGGAUUUGAAUUUGGUUAUCGUUUGAGUCUUGAUCGGAUUUCGGCUAUUGUGCGAUUUCCAGGUUUGAUAUGUUCGGACCGUUGGAUCGAACUCAAACUCACGUAGUUGUACCUUUGUGUUUCUACGAUCGUUUAGGAUUCGACCGAUCGUUGAUCGGUGUCCCGGAUACUUCGAAAUUCCAAACCCUAGGUGAAGCUAUGCUUUUAAUUAAUUAGUUUAAAUUCUUAAUGAAAUUAUAUGUGCAGAUGUCAGAUUUGAUUAGACGUGGUAGGUCGAUGAUGACUGCACCGAGUUCGGAUCCCCCUGCUCAGUCGGCAUAUGCUGCCACUGCUCCAGCUUUGAUGGAGCACGUGCUGGUUGGUCCCGGGGCGUCCCAGGCGCCUGCGUCAUCUGCGUCAUCCGUCGCGCAGCCAGCUAGUGCUAGGCGGCGGCACCGGCCCGCCGACACGACAUCGACCGACGGUACUGGUGCCUCGGGAUCACAGCCAGAUAUAACUACCAUUUUGUAUUGUUAAUUUUAUAUUGAAAUUUGACAAUGUUGUUUAUUUAACAUUAAUAUCUUUUUUCUUUGCAGCGAAGAAGAACACCUGAGGGCCGUGUCGUCAGCUGAAGACGGCGAAGGUCACCCGGGUGACCAACAGUCGUAUCAGCAUCGGAUACGACGAGCGCCAUCGGGCUGCACCGACGGCGGAGUUGCAUAGCUCCUUGGCCCACGACAUUGGCCACGUCGUGCGGACCCAUUGCCUGAUGCAAUGGAAGUCUUGGAGGGUCAUGCCUGACGAGAUCAAGGUGGAGGUUCGCGGCCAGUUGUCGGUAUGUACCUUACAUUUUCAUUAAUUUUCUUUAAAAUUGUGUAUAUUUCUAUUACUUAACGUAUCUAAUUAAUUGAUUGCAGACGAACUAUAACUUGGAGGAUCUCGACGAAGAGUCGUUGGCGUACGUCAACAGACUCUUCGCUGAGAGGUACAAGCAGUGGAAGAGCGACUUGCACCAUCAUUUUCAGGCCUUUGAUGAUCCGCAAGUCGCUCUUCAGGAGGGUUGCCCGAAGGAGCUUGAGGGGCGGGAGGAUAGUUGGGAGUGGCUCUGCGCUCAUUUUCAAGCGUCCGAAUAUGUGGUAUUUUUUUAAUAAUAUUUGUUUAAUUAUUACUUAUUUCUUAUUAAUGUUUAUUUCAUUUUUUUUAUUUCAUUAUUAUUUAAUUUGUUAUGUUUUAACUAAUACGUUUCAUUUUUUGUAUAACAGAAUAAGGCCCAAGUGAAUAAGGGUAAUAGGAAGAAGAAGACCCUUCUCCACCAUUCCGGCUCCAGGCCCUUUUCGUAUAGGAUGGAUGCCCGGCGACGGGUAAUAAUCACAUAAUUUAUAUUUCAUUUUUAAUGUCAUUUUUAUUAAUUUAUUUUUUUCAUACUAAUAUUUUUCUUCUCUUGUUCAAUUUAGGAGGGGUCCAAGUUCCCAGAGAUCGACGUCUUUGGUGACGUUUAUGUUCGACCCGGGAAUGAGUUGGCCGAGUCCCUUCAUGUAAGUAUUAUUUAAUUUUAAUUCUUAUGUUACGCAUUCAAUUUAUAUGCAUGUUUAAAUUUAUAUUUUAUGUUAUGUUCAACAGACGACGAUGGUGGAGAGGAGCCAGUUGGUUCUUCAGGAGUCCGCCUCCCAGCUUCCUCCCGAGACUCCGAUCGAGUCUGUGGCUCCUCCACAGGAUGCUGGAUUUCAGAUCUUGACGGAGACGUUGGAUCAGACUCUCGGGAGGAGGCCGGGGACAUAUUGUCGAGGGAUGGGGAAUGCCCGGCGGAGGGAACCUAGACCUCGUUCAUCGGCCCAGUCAAACAGUCAGGUGACUGCUUUGACAGCACAGGUGGCCGAGCUUCAGGGUCAGAUGUCGGUGAUUCUACAGUCCCUCGCACAGAGCGGCUUUCCAAUCCCGCAGUUUCGUGCGUCAACCUCCCAGCCCGUCCACCCCGAGUAUGCCCACCAGACCACUGCCCCGGUGGACGCCCAGACCUCCGAGCCGCAUACUGGCGACGACCCGAUUGAUUUUGCUUCAUUAUUUGAUUAGUGUAUUUAUUUUCAUCAUAAACAUUUAUUUUAUUUGUAAUACAUUUAUUUUAUUUUAUAACAAAAUUUUGUUCUAAUUUAUUUUUAUUGCAAUUUCAUUGUUUAAUCAAUAAAAAAACCAAUUUUAUUUAAAAAAAAUAAAAAUAAAUAAAAAACAAAAACAAAAAAAACAAAAAAAAAUUGUAAUAUUAUUUUUGCGCGACGGAAGACAUUUCGUCGCGCAAAACCACAUGUAACAAAAAAAAUUAAAAAAAUCAAUUUUUUAUUACUUUAAUUCUUGCGCGACGAAUACAUACGUCUCGCAAACAUUUUUUGCGCGACGAAAUGUUUCGUCGCGCAACAGCUUUUGCGCGACGACUGAAAUUUUCGUCGCCAAAUAGAUGAGCGACGAAAACUUUCUCAUCGCGCGAAUAGUUCUGCGACGAAUAUAUACGUCUCCCGGACUAGUUUUGCGCGACGAAUUAUUUUCGUCGCGCUAUUCGUUUCGUCGCGCAAAUAUACGUGCGCCGAAUACUUUAUCGUCGCGCAAAUAUUUAUGCGACGAACAGUUGUUUCGUCUCCACACCGUUGGUGCAACGAUGGUUUACCCGUCGCACAAUUAUGCGCGACGAAGUGUUGUACCUCGUCGCGCAAAGGCUUUCUUCACGAUCUUCGCGCGACGGAAGGUGCGCGACGAAUUUUUUGUCGCGCUGAAAUUAGGGCGACUAAAUAAGACUUUGCGCGACGUUUUGUUAUUCGUCGCGCAAAGAGUAAAAUGUAGUAGUGAGACUUGUUGGAGACAAAACAGGUAAACAAAUUACUUGUAUUAGACUCACAAAAUAUUACAACAAGACAACUCUCAAAGAAAAGACAAACUCUCACACUUCUCACAAGGACUACUUAACUUUAUAGCUUAUUGCAUAUAGCAUAUGCAAACACAAUUAGAACAUACCUACGUACACUAUGGGAACACUCGUGUAUAUUUCAACACAAGAAAACAUGUGCACCGUGCACGGUUCACAUGAAGUAAGAAAUGAAGAGGAAAUAAAGAAGAAGAAUACAAAAGAAAAUGGAGAUGAGAAAAAAAAAAAAACCGAAUAAUGAAAAAUGAAUUGACAAUUAUAUAUGGUUGACAUUAGAUCUAAUAUUAUAUGUAACAACUAUUGAUCUAAAAUAAACAUUAAAUCAAACAAUAAUUAAAAGAUUUGACAAUAUAAAAAUUUAUUGAGGACAAAAAAAGGCAAAAACUUAUGAAAAAUGGAAACAAUAAAUAUGAACUGAGUCAUCAACUCACCAUGGUAAGUUUGCUGACGUAUAAAAAUAGUCAAUGGACAUCGAAAAGUAAUUGGCUUACAUCAAAAAUUAAAAUCACGUGGGUUAUUCCUAAGAAACCUUAAUAUUUGCCUUCCAUUUGUUCCAGCAAAAUAAAAGUCAUUGCUACUUAUUGUAACCCCUUUUCCAAGCUUAUUAAUCAAAGUAGACACCUCACUGCUGUCACCUAGCCAAUUUUCAACAAUGUCAUACUUAACAAGCAACUCCACAUCCUUUGAGGUGUUCACAAAACGAUCCAUGAGACUAACAUAAUCACUUAUGUACGUCUCCUCGUAGUGGCAUUGUUCAAAUGCGAUGAGAUUUCUAAUUAAUACCUCUGUAUGAUCGCUUAUUUUCAAUCUUGGAAUUUCAAGAGUCCGGCCAGCAAAUCUAAUAAGGUAUUCAUUGAUCCCUCAUUCAACUUGAACCCUGCCCUGUGUAGCUCUGUGAUGCUGGGUGUGUUUAUAGUUAUGAGUUUCCCGUCAUUAGUUUUUAGGGUUAUUCGUUAUAUGAGUCCCUGAACUUAGACCCGAUUUGCAUUUUAGUCCCUCAAUUUCCAAAAUCGUUCCAGUGGUCCUUCAACUUUAGUUUCGUUAGGACAAAUGGUCCUGCCGUCAAAUGAUUAUAAAGUGGAAAAAACAAGAACAAAAAAGGAAGUGAGUUAAAUUUGCACCUGCUAUGUUCAAACGACAAAGUUCGUUUCCGUUUGGUCGAUUACAAGAGAAGCUCAAUGCAGCUUACUUGGUUCCUCUUGGUAGAUGGAAAUAUAAUUUUUCUCCUAAUAACAAAGGUUUAGUGCAAUCAAUGAUGGGCUGUAUAGAACAACUUUUUUGUUUUAUAUGUUUAUGUGAGACAAGUUUUGCCAGAUUGAAUUAAUGUCUUCUAGCUAUGUACCUUAUCUUUUUGCCGGGCCAUGAGUUGAAUGUAGAGGCAGAGCAUGGCCUUGGGUUUGUAAAAGACAAAAGACUGAACCAGACGUAAUUAUUUAGAUUUUGGAUCCAGUUCCACAUCCCAAAGAGAAAACCACAAGUUUGCAAGCAAGUUUGUCCAUAUUAACACUACGUAGAGUAUAGGCAGUGUGCUACUCAUCUCACUUUCUCAACCUACCCUAUAUUUGUCUAAAAGAGUUUCUAAUUUCGUGUACUGAUUCACUACUACAUUUUACACUUUGUGCGACGAAGAGAAUUUCGUCACGCAAAAUACAUUGGUCGCGCAAAGUUUAAAAAAAAUUUUAAAAAAAUAAAAAAUUCCCGCGUCCAAUUUUUGGUACUUGUCCAAAUUUUUUGAGUUUUGCGCGACGAAUACUAACAUCGCGCAAAUAUUUGCGCGACGAAAUAUUUUUUGUUUUAAAUUUUUUUAAUUUAAAAUAAACUAAUUUAAUAGUUUGCGCUACGAAAUAUUUUGUCGCGCAAGGUUUUUGACUUUUUGUUUUAUUAUUUCUUUAAUAUGAAUUUAUUUAUAUGAAUUUUUUGAAAUUUUUACUUUUUAAAUUUAAUUUAAUUGUAUGAUUUCUUUUUAAAAUUACUUUAAUUUAAAUUGAUAUUAAUUUUUACUUUUUAAAUUUAAUUUAAUUGUAUGAUUUUUUUUAAUUACUUUAAUUUAAAUUGACAUAUUCAAAAUAAAAUUACAUAUGAAAAAUAGUGAUUAAAUUAUCCAAUAAAUAUAUAUAUAUAUAUAAUAUUCAAAAUGUACACAUAAAUUAACAAAGCACAAUAAUAAAAUCCUAAUACAAGCGUAUUGUGGUGGUAGUGUCGGAGGAUAUGUUUUGAUAGCUUCCUAAUCCUCAACUUUAGCCGUCAAAGUCUCGAUGAUUCCCUACAAAAAAAAUAAAUAUGGUCAAAUAACCACAAACAAAAAAAAAAAAAAAAAAAAAGGCAUAAUCUCCCCUAAAAUUGUUAUACCACAAAUCCAACCCAAACUCCAAUCCCUCCCCUUUACUCAACCCCAAAACCCACACAAACUCAAAAUUAACUCCAAAAACACAUAUUAAUGAAAAAAAUUUAAAAUUUGGAGAGAAUAUACCUUUUGGCAAGAUUGAGAGUGAAUGAGAGGGAGAAGUGAGUGUGAGAGAAUUAGAGAAGAUAGUGAUAGAGAGAUGAGAGAGAUGAGAGAGUGAGUGAGAGAGAGUGAGAGAUAGUGAAGAGAGAGAUGAGAGAUUAAGUGAGAGGAGUGAGUGAGAGAAAUGGUGGGAUUUGGGGAGAGGGAAAGAGAAAGGAGAGGUAAGAGUAGAGAAAGGCAUUGAGAAAAUGGUGGAUGAGUUAUUUCGGUUUUAAAAACCGUAUCACUUUGCGUGACGAAAAAUAUUGUUGGUCGCGCAAAGGUUUGCGCGACGAAAAAUAUUGGAAUAUUGAUCGCGCAAACUUUUGAGCGACGAAACAUAUUGGUCGCGCAAAGUCUAAAAAAAUUAUUUAAAAAAAAUAAAAAUCCCCGCGUCCCAUUUUUGGUACCCGCCAAAAUUUUUAAAUUUUUGCGCGACGAAUAUAGGAAUAUUGAUCGCGCAAAGUCUAAAAAAAUUAUUUAAAAAAAUAAAAAUCCCCGCGUCCCAUUUUUGGUACCCGCCAAAAUUUUUAAAUUUUUGCGCGACGAAUAUAGGAAUAUUGGUCGCGCAAAGUCUAAAAAAAUUAUUUAAAAAAAUAAAAAUCCCCGCGUCCCAUUUUUGGUACCCGCCAAAAUUUUUCAAUUUUUGCGCGACGAAAAAUACAUAUUGGUCGCGCAAAGUCUAAAAAAAUUAUUUAAAAAAAUAAAAAUCCCCGCGUCCCAUUUUUGGUACCCGCCAAAAUUUUUAAAUUUUUGCGCGACGAAAAAUACAUACUGGUCGCGCAAAGUCUAAAAAAAUUCCCGCGUCCGAUUUUUGGUACCCGCCCAAAUUUUUGCGAGACGAAAAAUAUAUAUUGGUCGCGCAAAGUUUUGAGCGACAAAAAAUAUUGGUCGCGCAAAGUCUAAAAUUUUUUUAUUUUUUUUUUAAAAUCCAGCGUCCCAUUUUUGGUACCCGUCCAAAUUUUUAGAGUUUUGCGCGACAAACUGUUGGUUGCGCAAACUUUUGAGAGACGAAAAAUUGGUUCGUAACACAAUAUUUAUAAAAAUAAUUGUUAUGAAUAAUAAAAAUAAAAUUAUUUUAUUUUACAAUUUAAAAUAUAAAUAAGGUUAAAGCUGCUUAAGAAAUAUAUAUACUAUUCAAUUUCUUAAGUGUUAUACGUACAAAAUAAAUAAAUUUAAAGGUACUUAAUAAAUAAAUAUAUAUACACACACCAUUCAACGAUCCAACCGUCAGACUUAUUUGUAUAUACUUCAAGAUCGUAUACCCCAAAAAUCACAAAAAACAAACAUUUAGAGAUCUAGUAACGAGACAAAACUUUUCGAUGGUUAUAAAUGAAAAAUUACGAUUUAACGGUUAUUUUAACUCCGAUUUUGAUGAUUUUUUUUUACAGCUACACUCCUUGACCAUAUAUGAAUACAAUGACUGAAUUUGAUCUUCAAUUUAAAAUAUUUACACUAGUGGAUACCACAAAAUCUUAUGUUAUAUCUAACGAACGUAUAAAUAACCUCUUAAUUGUUAGUGAAUAUAUUGUUUUGAUGGCAUAUGCAUUCACCAAAACUAGUUUCAACGAUCCAACCAUCAAACUUGUUUGUUUAUACUUCGAGAUCAUAUACGCCAAAAAUCAGAAAAAAUAAACAUUCAGAGAUCAAGUAAUGGGACAAAAAUUUUCGACGGUUAUAAUGAAAAAUCACGAUUUAACGGUUAUUUUAACUCCGAUUUUGAUGAUUUUUUACAGCUACACUCCUUGACCCUAUAUGAAUACAAUGACUGAAUUUGAUCUUCAAUUUAAAAUAUUUACACUAGUGUAUACCACAAAAUCUUAUGUUAUAUUUAACGAACGUAUAAAUAAACUCUUAAUUGUUAGUGAAUAUAUUGUUUUGAUGGCAUAUGCAUUCACCAAAACUAGUUUCAACGAUCCAACCGUCAAACUUGUUUGUUUAUACUUCGAGAUCAUAUACGCCAAAAAUCGGAAAAAAUAAACAUUCAGAGAUCAAGUAAUGGGACAAAACUUUUCGACGGUUAUAAUGAAAAAUCACGAUUUAACGGUUAUUUUAACUCCGAUUUUGAUGAUUUUUUACAGCUACACUCCUUGAACCUAUAUGAAUACAAUGACUGAAUUUGAUCUUCAAUUUAAAAUAUUUACACUAGUGGAUACCACAAAAUCUUAUGUUAUAUUUAACGAACGUAUAAAUAAACUCUUAAUUGUUAGUGAAUAUAUUGUUUUGAUGGCAUAUGCAUUUACCAAAACUAGUUUCAACGAUCCAACCGUCAACCUUGUUUGUUUAUACUUCGAGAUCAUAUACGCCAAAAAUCGGAAAAAAUAAACAUUCAGAGAUCAAGUAAUGAGACAAAACUUUUCGACGGUUAUAAUGAAAAAUCACGAUUUAACGGUUAUUUUAACUCCGAUUUUGAUGAUUUUUUACAGCUACACUCCUUGACCCUAUAUGAAUACAAUGAACUAAUUCGAUCGUCAAUUUAAAAUAUAUAUUUUCUAACAAAAACCCAAUCUGAACAACAAUAAUAUAUUUUUCUAACAAAAAUCCGAUCCGAUCUAAAAUAAUAAAUUUAAAGCUACUUAAUAAAUAUAUAUACUGUUUAAUUUCUUAAGUGUUAUGCAUACAAAAUAAAAAACAAAAAUAAAUUAGUAUAGGCGACAAAAUGUUUGGAUUACGUCAUGCAAAGAUUUUAAAAUAUAUAUAUAUAUUAUUUUUAUAAGGACUUUGCGCGACGAAGUUCAUUGUUUCGUCGCGCAAAGUCACUUUGAGCGACGAUGUAUUGUUGUCGCGCAAAAGUUUGUCGCGCAAAGUUACUUUGCGCGACGAAUUUUUUUUCAUCGCUCAAAAUUUGGUCGCGCAAGACUUUGAGUGACGAUGUAUUGUCGUCGCGCAAAAGUUUGUCGCGCGAAGUGACUUUGCGCUACGAAUUGUUUUUCGUCACGCAAAAUUUGGUCGCGCAAGACUUUGAGCGACGAAGUUUUGAGUUUCGUCGCGCAAAGUGACUUUGAGCGACGAAUAGUUUUUCGUCGCGCAAAAUUUGGUCGCGCAAGGGGUUUUUUUUUACUAGUAUGAGUUUUAUAUACAAUUUAUAACAAUAUUUUCAGGCAAAAAAAUGUCUUGGCAAGAAAAUGUACAAUUUGUUACGUACUUAACUGGAACGAUUACCUUCAAAUUCCUAUGGCCAAUUACCUUCUUUUUUCUUCCUUUUUUUUUUUUUUUUUUUUUUGGUUGUUGUUGUUCUUUUGAUCAAGUUGCAUAUUCCAAAGAACGAAAACCAGUACAGGCUCUUUUCCAAUGCAAGCUCUUUUCCCAUGUUUCCCUCUGUUUUUCUCCUAUUUUUCUUAUAUGGAAGUGAUUAAAAUACACCUCUAAGCUUGUUUUGCGUUUGGUAACCGACUGUAAAAGCUCAAUGCAGAUAGUUUGAGGUAGAAUUUUCUCCAAUUUUACUAGCACAGUGAUAAGCUAUACUAUAUGUAACAACAAAUUGCUUUAAUAAUGAUAAUGAAAAAAGUGUGAUCCAUCGAAUAUUUGCGGGGUUUUGUUCCAAGUCAACACAUCAAAUUCUUUUACACCAUGAAAUUAAAAAAAAUUUAUUCAACCAUCUCGACCUUAUGCUCGAUCAUUUUGCACAAGCAACCGUCCACGUACCCCAAUAAUUUAAAAGGGCUGAUGAUCUUUAAUUUGGCGAAAGCUUCUAUCUACUUCUACCGCGCUAUAUAUGAGCUAUGCAAUUGUGACGGUGUUACAUGACGUCACAAUGUCGUAGGGAUAAAAAAAUAAUAGUCAUGGUUUCUUAUUAAUGUUAAUACAGGCAUAGCAAAAAGCUUGUAUUUCUAGUGGUUAAGAACAAUUACCCAUGCACUUGAGAUAUUAUGUGCUUAAAUCCCCUCUUCCCCAAUAUUUCUUGUAUAAAAAUAAAAAUAAAAAUAAAAAUAAUAAAGAUAUUGAUAUUGUAUUCUAUAAAGUGUUGGACAUGUUUUAUACCCCUUUACUGCAAAUUACAGUUUGACACAUGUACAAAAAUAAUAGGUAAGUGUUGGACAUCAAGAGUACUUACAUAUAGGUUUAAUAGGUAAGUUUUGAAUAUUUCUGUCUUUAGCUUUAAUUAUUGAAAAUCAACCUAUUAUCAUAUUAAAGACUUAUCCAUGUUCAACGUACAUUCUCUUAUUUUUCUCUCAUUGAAGUAAAUACAAAACUAAGCACAUAGUGGAAAAGUAGGUCACGAUUAGGGGUGGGUUUGGUCUGGGUUGGUUCAGUUUUGGGCUCAACCCGAACACCGAACCGUAGACCUCGAUUUGGCUAUUUUGGAAACCAAAACUAAACCAUAAUUAAUGAAAACCGACCACUUCAAUUACCUUCUGGUCUUCCAACCAGAAGAAAACUCAAAACUUUAACCAUACCAAGUGCAACAGAAUUACACCAGGCUGGAGUCAAGUUUAUGAUGGUUAAAGAUAAAAACUUAUUUGACAUACAAUUUGAGAAUGGAAUCCUCAAAAUUCCACACCUGCGAAUACAGGGUUAAACAGAAAUUUUCUUCCGCAAUUUUAUUGCCUAUGAGCAGUGUGAGCUCCAUGAUCAUUACAUCAACAACUAUGUCUUCGUCAUGGACCGCCUGGUCGACAGUGCCAGGGAUGUGGAAUUGCUUGUGAAGAGUGGAAUUCUUGAAUCCAUGCUACCGGACAGCGAGGCAGCAGGGGAAUUUAUUAAUUCUCUUGACUUGGGGCCUAUUUUAGGCAAGCUUGAAACAAGACUAUUUCAGUUCACCAUGGGCUGGCCUGUCUAUUAUUGUAGCCGCUAUACUAGUUGUGCUCACAUUUAUUCAAACAGUGUGCUCCGUAAUGGCGCUGUAGGUUCUUCAUUUCCUCAAUUUCAUGUUUAGUGGUUGCAGAUUUGUUGCUCAUGUACGUGUUUAUCUAAAGUUAAAUAAGAGUGAUUGACUGAUAGUCUGUUAGUUUGUUUUUCUGGGGUUUUUCCCCUGUUCGUCAAAAAAGAAAAAGAGAAAGAGUGAUUGCUUGUGCCUGUUUGGGCCUAAUUUGACACACCCAAUCCAAAAUCAAAAAGUCCAUGUCAAUUUUGGACAGCCACCAGCAUUCCCUUUGUAAUUAGGCCAAAAACUGCACACCCAACCUAGCACUGGAGCCUAGAACAAACAAGGUAAACUCAGGACCCAAGCAGUUUGAUUUUUUCAUUUAAAUUGGAAUCAAGGGCCCCAAGUCAAAAAAGCCCAAGCCCAAGGCAGAUUUUUUACCAAAAAGACCCAAGGAAGCCCAGUGCAUGCGAAUUGCUUAGCCCACAAUCCCAAAACUCAAAACUAAGUUUGGCAUGAUUAAAUAAAGAUAGAGAGAAGCCCAAAAUUGAAGAAACCCAAAACAGUUUUAUCAAAAUUGUCAGCUCUCUACCCAAGACCUAAAAAGGGUCAAAAAUACCACUAUUGGCAAAAUUGACGCACUCAGCCUUGGAUCACAAAGAAAUCCACGUGACUAUUUGACUUUGAGAAGUCAACAAUUUCAACUAGUCACAAGAGAAGUUGAUUGGAAUUAAUGUAGGCAGGUCAUUACAGAAAAGACUUCUUUGAAACUCUGUAGCCAAAAGAUCAAAAUCCCUUUCUAUAUAAUUCUGCAUCAGAGUAGGUGGUCUUUCCAAGAGAUAAGCAGACUACGUUUUCAAGAGAUAAGUAGAGAAUGAGGGAGUUGUUCAACAAGAAAAGCAAACUAACCAUCAUGAUAGGUUGUGUUCUUUCUCUCUACAAAAAACAAUAGGGAACAAAGAAGAGUUGGUUUUUCUUUCAGAAAAAGGAAGGAAAAGACCUACAUGAAAACUAAUUAUUGAUGGUUCUUCUCUGCCAGAACAGAUAACUUCUCAUUUUCUUUGACAUUUAAAAAUGAAAGGUCUCGCUUUUACAAAAUCUGCCGCCCAUUAUUUAAAGAUUAGAAAACCCACUCCAGCAUUUCCUAUAAAUAUGAGAGGAGGUGAUGUCACAUCACGGGAUUGGCUCUGCCGUAGCACGAUAUUGUCCACUUUGCGCCCCCCUCUCUACCCUCACGGUUUUAUUUUUGGGAACUCACGAGCAACUUCCCAGUGGGUCACUCAUCUUGGGAUUGCUCUAGCCCCCAGCUCGCUUAACUUCGGAGUUCCCAUGACUCCGAAGCCAAUGAGCUCCCAAAAGGCCUCGUGUUAGAUGGAGGCGGGCAUGUACAUAUAAGGCACAUCACCUCCUCUCCGUUGGUCGAUGUGGGAUGUUACAGGUGAACAUAUCAAAGGACAGCCAAAAAAUCAAUCAAAGACAAAAACUCAAAAUGAUCACUUGAUCUCAAAAGCCUUCAAAACACUGAAGCAAGCAAAGCUCAUUGAGCCACAACGAACAAGUCAGCUAGAAUUCAGAAUCUUUAGAGUCAGUUCAGUUUCAGAGAAAUAAUCAAAGAAAGCGAGAUCUCUCUCGUUACAAAUUUGGUUCAGCUUAAAGCCAAAACAAGCAGAGUUCAGGUUCUUACAAAUAUGAAAACCUCAAUAAAUUUAUGGAGAGCCCUGAUCAAGCAAAACAGGUACUACAGUGCAGUUCUAGCUUAGUAAUAAUCAAAUCCACCCACUUCUGCCCCUUCCAGAUUGAGAAGGUCCCAAUUCUGCCCAUUCAAAAAGCCUUCCAAGACUUGAAAUAGAUUAAAGCUCUGCCAAACUCAAAUGUUGGAAUCAAUUCGCAGCUGAAACAUGACAGUUGAAGGUGUUGAUAGUCCAGUCCAGCACAGACAUACCCAGUCUAGCCCAGAUCAGAAGCAUUCACCGAGGCAGAAAUUGAAGUCCAAAGCUCUUUUUGUCUUUUUAGAGUUGGUCUUCCUUUUCUGAGCUUUGUAAAAGGCAAUUCUGCCUAAAACAGUUCACUUUCUUAUCAUUUAUUCUGGCCAGAACUACCAGUUUUGUACUGUGAAAAAUUAUGAAGUCCUCACCAGUCUAAGGCAAGAAAAGAACUUACUUGGGAGAUAUUCCUCACCAAAUUCACAACCGUUUGUUUAGAAAUCAGUAACUUGGUGUAACGACCCGGUCCUAAAUAAAUUGGUAAUUAUUAAUUUAUUCAGAUAAAAGACCAUUUUGCCCAUAGAAUAUUUUAAUAGGUUUACAUGUUGACCCGGGAGGCUUCGGUGAAAUUGUUACAUCUCGGUCCGAAAAAGUGUUAAAAUAAUUAAAGUAGAGUGCUGCUAAAAGAACCCUAAAAUUAACUGAGUACACCCUAUGAUCUAAGUACACCCUAAUAUUUUAAUUAAAAUAUAAAAUUAACUAAGUACACCCUAUAAAACUAUCAAAAAUAACACUGAUACACCCUAAUACUUGUAGCAUUAUUUUAUAGUUGAUUAUUUUAAUAGUGUUUAUAAAUCUUUGACUUUUCAUAUGGAUUUAUGCUUCUACUAAAAUUGUUGCCACUUUUUUUCCAAUUCCAAGUUCUUGCAAUCACCACAUCUUUCGUUAAAAACACAAUAGGACAAGCAAUCUCUUGAUUAGGGUUGAAUAUGGUUAGUAGGGUGUACUUAUUAAUAUUAUAUUUGUUUCACAAUUCCAUAUAUCCUUUUUGGUCAUUUUAUAUUAGGGUAAACCAGUAAUUCAAUAUAUACUUUUAUAGUAGGGUGUACUCAGUUAAUUUUAGGGUUCGUUUAGCAGCACUCUUAAAGUAAGAGAGAAUAAAAUGAAAUAAACAUUAAAAUAAAAUGAUUUGAAUUAAUUAAGGUUUUUGAGAAAUUAAAAUAUUAUUUAAUAUUAUAAGGGGAAAAAGAUCAUUUUAAGUUUGGGAAGGAAUUUGGAAAUUCCAAUUGUACCGUUGUGUAGAGCAUGUCGAAACGAGUCCGUAGACACGUAGUGGACUCGAAUCGUAGUUAUAACGGAGAAAUGGCGAUCAAAAGAAGUUCAGUGGCAUAGCCAUAAAUAUUUCGAAGUUCAGUUUUUUUAAAACCCAAAUUUCUUCUCUCUGGGGAGUGGGAGAGCCAACUUCAAAUGGUGAUUUCUCCCAACUCCGACCACCACACUUCCCUCUUCCUUCAGUUUUGGCAUCAUGAUGGGUUCCAUCCCGGAAUGACACAUUUUCGACGCUAAGGACGUCACAAAUGGUAUUUGAGAUGCUUUGUAAAUUUGUAACCAUGGAAAACACAAUGAACUUUAUGUUCGGAGUUGCAAGAGAACAUUAAGGGGAAUAUGGAGAGUGGGAAAAUAGUAAUAAGUGGAGAUCUGUAUGCUUACUUACUACUGAACUUCCGUCGUGGUGGUUAGUAUGAAAAAGUGUUAGAGAUUAUAGAUUUUAUGGAGGAACAUGGUUGUACACUGAUAAGUAGUCGGUAGGAGUUGAUUUAAGUUCCAAGAGAAAUUCAUUAUGAACUGGGAUGAAUUACUGCAAGAUUCUUGCUGUUUUGAAGUUAUUGAUUUUAGGGGCAUCACCUCUGAAUGAUCAUAAUAACCAUGCGUGGGCUCUGCAUGAGGUUUCUUUGACAUUGUUUGAUUUUGUGUAUUGAUAAUUACACUUAGGGGUGUCACGUUUCUAGAAACGUGUCUAUCCAAAUUGUUGUAUCUCAAUAUCCUAUGGAAGGAAAGCUGAGAAGCUGAAAAUACUGGAUUUAUGGUGGUGAGAUAAAAAUUGUCAGGAACUUUCAAAAGUCAAAUUAUUUCACAAAGGGAAAUACUGGAGAGAAGUAUUAGAGAAUUUUCUUUGGAUAAGUUAUAUAGGAGUGGAGGAGUUGCGAGUUUAACCAAGGAGGGUUGUGACAAUUUAAAUUGAGAAGUAGUGGUGUUGGGUGAAGUAUUAUUUCAUUCGCGUGGGCUUGAAUGCCGCGAUUGACAGGAAUGGAACAUUAGGGUUCUUCUUCCUUGCUCUCUCACGCGAGCUCGCCAUAGAGAGUAUUUCUUGGCGUGGUACUGGCUUCGUCCGACCUCCGAUUACUGUGAUUUUUGAAAGGACCCGGCCCAAAUUUCUCAAAAUCCGAGGCGAAUCCUGUGAAAUUCCCGACAUCACUCCGAUGCCAGGCCCACUUACUAAAGACCGAGACUUUCUGCCGAACUUUCGGCAGAGUCUCCCCUAUAAAUUGGACAUUUUCCAAAACUACCACCUGCAUAAAACACAAUUUAUAUCCCCAACUGGCAGCAUGCACAAGAUAAUUUCAUGCAAAUCACAUAAUCGGCCUGCGGCCUUCAAAUAAUUCAAAACGAAACCACCAAGCACACUAUCAAAUUAAUUCCUACCUUAAACAAGGCAAACAAUAAAUUUAAAUAUGAAUUAUGACUACUAAAUUUCAACAUACGAGGUUUUAACCUCCUAACACAAUCACAUCUAUGUCCGCGGCUGCACCUAAUAACCUUAGGCUGCCUACGUACCUUCACUGAGGGAUCAAGCCACACGUAGUUCUUCCGUAAAACCCAAUUCCACACAUAGGCAAUACCUUUAUUCAUUUCUCUGUAUUUCACAUAAUCUCCCCAUACGCCAGUACUACCAUUGCCACGUAUGGGACUUGUCAACAAGCCGGAUAACCUACACCACGUGCGAUCUCAACAUAAUAUCACAUAAUCUCCUCAUACGCCGGUACAACCAGCGCCACGUAUGGGGCCUGUCAACACGCCGGAUAACCUACGCCACGUGCGACCUCAUCAUACUAUCACAUGAUCUCCCCAUACGCAGGUACAACCAACACCACGUAUGGGGCCUGUCUCAACGCCGGAUAACCUACGCCACGUGAGACCUGAACAUAAUAUCACAUAUCUCCUCAUACGCCGGUACAACCAAUGCCACGUAUGGGGCCUGUCAACACGCCGGAUAACCUACGCCACAUGCGACCUCAAUAUACUAUCACAAUAUCUCCCCAUACGCCGGUGCAACCAACGCCACAUAUAGGGUCUGUCUCAAAUUGGAUAACCUACGCCACGCUAGACCUCAACAUCAUAUCACAAUAUCUCCUCAUACGCCGGUACAACCAACGUCACGUAUGGGGUCUGUCCGCAUGCCGGAUAACCUACGCCAUGUGGGACCUAACUUUCACAGAGUGGUACUUGUAGUGUAACCAAAAUCUGGGGAGGUGCCUAAGGUAGUGCAUAUAGCACUUCAAACUGACAUUCUCUCACUUAUCUAAACUAAUACUAGAGGUCUUCCCAUUUUAAUGGUACCAGUCUAUAGUAGAUUGUAACGUAAUUUAAUCAUAAAAAUAAUAUUAUUUCUAGACCAACGAUUAUUCACAUAAACAUGAAUUUCAUAAUUUCACUAUUUAAAAUAAUAUCUAAAAGUUUCCUAUAAUACAAAUAAACACUCUAAAGAUCCCAACUUAGUCAACACAGCUCAACAAUGCUCAAGACCUGUCAUUAGGGUCAUUAUGAUCCUUCUAGGAAGGUAAAACUACCUCGAAAGACUCAAGGUCAACCAAGGGUCAAACCACCCACAAUUGGUCAAACGGGCCCACGGGGCCCACGACCUCCAAAUUCCAAUCCGAAGGUUCCUAUGGGAUCUACAAGGUAUAGGACACUCGUCUUGCAAGUUAAGCCUAGAUCGGAUGGUCAGAUCGCUCACGAUCGCACAAUCUGAUGGUUAAUAUAAAACAUAAACUUUAAAUUAUUUAAUCGGAACAUCCGGGGCUCCCGAUUCACGAUCUGUUCCUACACGAUCCUAGAAAUACAUAGAUUAACAUAUAUUAAAUUUGAGACCAUCCAACGGUCCUAACCUAUCGAACCCGGAUAACGCGCAAUAGGCGAUAUUCGUUCGAUAGUCAAACGACGUCCGAAUUGAGAUUUACGAAAUCCUACGCACUCGUGACAACCUAAGGAUCUCAUUGAGACAUAUUGCUAUCCCAAAACCGACCGAAAUCCAAUUCGAAAAUCGAGUUACUUACGUUAAGAAUCGACCGAAUCCUACCCAACAGGCAGCUAGAGCAUGAAAAGUAUGUGAGAAACCAUACCUCACUCGUCGAAAUCAGUGGCCAAAGGAGGGAGAUCGACGAUAGAGAAGUUCGGACGAACUGACCGCUUCUUCUCCAUUUUUCAGCGAAACCACGGUAGCUGGUGGCGGGACCUAGCUGGGGUUGGAAGAGGAUGACGCCCCGGUCAUUUUGGUAUCGGCCUCGUGGUCAUCGGUGGCCGGAUGAGAAAACAGCCGGCGAAAAUGUGACCGGCUGCCGUUGCGCACGCGAGAGAGACCACGAGAGAGAGAGAGAGAGAGAGAGAGAGAGAAAUCUGAUUGUGCCACUGAGAUUCUUUUGACCAUAUCUCUCUCGUUACAACUCCGAUUCAAGCCCACCACGUGUCUACGGACUCAUCUCGGUACGACCUAUCCAAAAAUACCAAUCACUACCCCAAAUACUUUUUGGAUCAGAAAGUGACCAAAUUACCCCUACCUCAAUGGUAACUUUGUAAUUUCACUUAAAUAAUUUAAAUAAGGGAUUAAAUUUGGAGUCGGGGUGUUACAAUUUUUGUUGCUAAAUGUUGUCAUCAUUUCUCCUCUACAUCACUCAGUGAUCAUUCACUCCCAUUUCUCUAGUUUACACGGUGAAUUUUAUUUCUAAAAUUUCUUAAAAUUCCGGCCACUGUGAGUUUGACCAGCGACUUGGGUUACUUUUGCCCAUCUUUUUGGAAAUGGAACCGAUUUGAGGAAGAUUAGGAGGAAAGAUACAUAGGCCGCUGAGGCAGAAGUAAAGCCGGAGCUUUACCAUAGACAGAAGUUGUUUUAGAAGUCCUGGAAGAUUGUGAACAGGAAUUGGAAGUUUGCAUGGGGUGAUAGGAUUUUUAGUACUUGUGCAAACAGUGUUAAAAAUCACAUAAAAUACUUGCAAGAAUACAAGGCUAUUGUAGUCUAGAUGCUCAUGCAAGGUCGUUUUCCUCAAGGACUAAUUAGCAAUUUAUGUAAAAAUAAAUUCCAAUUACUACUUAAAAUAAAAAGUCAAGAAAGAUGAUUAUAAAUUUGGUUGAUUCUAAAAAACAAAUAUUAAACAAAAACAAAUACGAUUGAAAGAAAGAGUUUUGAAUAUCAAUUUAUAAAAACACUAGGGUUUCACCAUCACCUAGCAAUCCUAUGAACUUUUACCAAUUACUUAUGAUUUGCACAUGCCACUUUGAAGGUUAGGUUUUCCUAAUGUAUAUUCUACUUAGAACCUCCAACACAGAAUGUAUAUCCAACAUGCAACCCGUCCGGACGUUCGGAUCAAAUCUGAACAUGAAAGACUCAUUAAGUUUUGUGAAAACCCUUUGAAAAACCAUGCAACCCUUAAGACGUGGUGUUCAUCUUAAGUGAAAUUACAAUUAUUAAUCAGAAGAAGCUAGCAUCAAUUUCAGGGAACCUUCCGACCAAAAUUGCAUCCAAUUACUUUUCUAAAGAUCCUAAUGGUGAUCAGGCAUUAAGACAAUUAGAUAGUUUAAAACAGUGAUUAACAAUUCAAAAUACGCAUGCACUCAUCAUAAGCAAUUAAAUAAAAAUCACAUAUUCAUGCUAAGGUUCAAGGCUUCACCCUAGCAAAAGAAAUUUAGUUACGCAUACUCAUAAUUGAAAUCCAAGAAAAUAUCAUUAAGAAGAAAAGAACGAAAACACCUGAAAGUUGUGAAAACCCAAAACCCUAGCAAUUGCUCUCCACAAUGCAAAGUUCAAAAGUGAAAAGGGAGUCCUCCAUUCCUUGUGAGAAAGAGCUUAAAUACCCCUUAAAACCUAGCUGCCAAUGUACAGCUUUUCUAUCCCCACAAGGAAACUAAUUAAAAUAAAAUAAUACUAGGAAAUAAAGUCCAAAUUGGAAUAGGAGAAUCUGCUCAAAAUCUGCCCAGCCACGUUUUGGCCCCAAAUCUCCUCCAAAUCUGGCCCAAGAUAGCUUGUUUUAAAGAUAAAAAAUGUUCUGAACACUUCUUUAGAAGGCCACGAACCCAUCCGAGGUCAUCUUGGGCUCCAAAAACGCAAUAAAAGCCCAACACGUCACUAUUCCAGCACCGCGCACUGCUCCUUUAUUUUGUUGCCAGAAAAUAACCGCUUGGAAGAAAAAUCUGAAAUUUUGAUACGAUCAAGCUAAGUGACUCAAGAACGUCCUCCAACUGGAAUUACUCCAAAAUUCCUCAAUUUGAUUAUGUUUUGCUCCAGAGAGAUUCGAAAGUCCUAUAUUGGAAAUAUAAUUCAAAGUAUCAAAAGUCUUCCAAAAUAAUAACCAAAAUAUACUAAGAAUGAGGUUAAAUAUAUAAUAUAAAAUAUGUCCAUCAAAAUACCCCCAAACUUAGCUUUUGCUUGUCCUCAAGUGAAACAAGACUCAAACAAAAAUAAAAACUUAACAGAUUAGACAUCUGGCUAACACUUAACUAGGACAAAAUUUCCACCUUCAAGUUGCAAUCCAUAGAAAAUUUUAAAAACUAGAACAUCCUUUCAAUAGAUCUAAGUAAUCCCACCACAAAGUCUAAGCUAUUUAGACUCAAUUAGAAAAGAAUUCACAAACUUCUUUCGGUGCAAAGUGAACCAUUAUGGUUAUGGAGACUUGACUAAAACCCUUAACUCUCAUCCCUUUUAUUCAUACUUCACACACUCCACACUUUUUGUUUUUUUUGUUUUUUGUUUUUUGUUUUUUUGUUUUUUUUUCUUUUUGUUUUUAUAGUAACAGUAGUGGUUGUGCAAUGUUGGUUCCCUUAAGCUUUCAAUCCAACCGUGUAGCCAGCUUUAGGUCAAUGUCUCCCAAACCACUCGGGUUUUAGGGCACUAGGUGUAGAACACCCCUAAGGACUUAUUAACUCAAGCUGAAAAGGCUACGAAACCAACUAACCACCCUGCCUCAUGCCAAAACUCUACCUUUUGUCUCGAGAAUCACUGCUGAUUAGGCAGGAUUGACCCGGUUACUAGCAAAGCUUCGGGUGAGGUAAUUAUUACUUUAUAACACAAACUAACUUUAUUUAUAUUGAACAUAAAUUAAAACACAUUUGGACAAAAAGUAAGUAUUCCAAUCUCACUCCCCAAAAACCAUGUUGGUGUGAUGUGCAAAUUUCAAAGUAUAAUUCAUGAAUUAAUGUCUAAGCAACAAUAAAUAGAAAAUACUCUACCGUGGGAUUGAUUUUCACCAUGUCCAUUUGUUCUAACGUUUAAAAUAAUCUAUGGAUAUUGACUGAAAAACGAAAAUUUGUAAACAAGACUCAAAAAAUGAAAAAUAAAAAAAAUUACGUUCCCACCCCCUAACUUAAAUCACACAUUGUCCUCAAGGUGGGGUAAAUAAUCAAAAGAAACAAGAGCAGAAACAAAACGACUAAAACUUAGAAAAUGGAAAUCAAAAAUAAAGAAAAUACUCUAAGAAAAGAAAUUAGGAAGGCAAAGGAUGAGAUCCAGAUGGAUCUGGUAAUCCUAUCCGUAGAGAUGGAAAGAUUCUAUACACGCCAUUGAGACUGGAUUUGGAGAUGAGGAUUUGACCCUACCUUGUUCGACGAAUUCCCUCAAGGGGAAUUAUAGCAAUAAAAUACAUAUGCUUCUACAAACAUUUAAUUGCACUGCUACGACGUGGAAAGAGUGCUUUGGGGUCUCAUCUCAUGUGAACCCGUUCGAGUAGAAAUCUUUCAUUAGAAUCAGAAAUGGGUCAUGGUAAAGAGAGGUAGAUGAUGAUUACAGUUCGGUAAAAAUGAUCAUUUCUGACAUUCCUCUCAAAGAACCGUGUUGGCAAUGUCGUUUAUCGAUUCUAAAGAAAGAAGAAAAAUAUCAACAAGUCAAAGAACGUGGAUUUCUUUUAAGGGGAGAGCUAGAACAAAAUCAAAUCACGAAUGGAAGAGUUUAGCUUUCAGAGGAAGAUUGAGCAUUACAGCAGCUAUUAAAGGAUAUUUUUAGUUGAAGAAUGAGAUUUUUCUUCCUCUGAUUGUUUAGCUAGAGCUUUUGGCUUGACUGCCAACGUGGUUGUGGAGGAAGAAACUUGGGAACCCGAGUAGUAGAUGCGAGCCCACUACCCAUACCCCUUUUGAGUGACAGGUAUGAAAUUUCAAGGAUGAAAUUUUUAUAAGAGGGGUAGAUUGUAACGACCCGGUCCUAAAUAAAUUGGUAAUUAUUAAUUUAUUCAUAUAAAAGACCAUUUUGCCCCCAUAAUAUUUUAAUAGGUUUACAUGUUGACUUGUUGACCGGGGAGGCUUUGGUGAAAUUGUUACAUCCCGGUCUGAAAAAGUGUUAAAAUAAUUAAAGUAAGAGAGAAUAAAUUGAAAUAAACAUUAAAAUAAAAUGAUUUGAAUUAAUUAAGGUGUUUGAGAAAUUAAAAUAUUAUUUAAAAUUAUAAGGGGCAAAAAGAUCAUUUUAAGUUUGGGAAGGAAUUUGAAAAUUUUGAUUGUACCGUUGUGUGGAGCACGUCGAAACGAGUCCGUAGACACAUAGUGGACUCGAAUCGGAGUUGUAACGAAAAAAUGGCGAUCAAAAGAAUUUCAGUGGCAUAACCGUAAAUAUUUUGAAGUUCAGUUUUUUUAAAACCCACAUUUAUUCUCUCUGGGGAGUGGGACGUGCCAACUUCAAAUGGUGAUUUCUCCCAACUCCGGCCACCAAUUCAAGUAAGACCGGCCCCGUUAGAACCACCACACUUCCCUCUUCCAGUCCCAGCCCAUCUCAGUCUCGAUCCGCCGUCGUAGUCGCCGAAAAUCGCCACGAAACAAGGUGGUUUGGAUAGUUUUUGUCGAAAUUUCGUGGAGCUCGUUCUCCCUCCUCCGGCCACCGUUUCAGGCGAGUGAGGUAUCAUUUCUCACCUAUUUUCUAUGAUAUAGCUGAUGGUUGGAUAUGAUUUGAUAAAUUUUGAGCGUUGAUAGUUCGAUUUUCGAAUCAAAGUUUGGCCGAAUUUCGGGAUGAAAUUCCGGCCACUUUCGAUCACUUUUUGGGGUAGGCCCAAGAACAAAAGUGUCUUCAAUUGAUGUCCUGAUCCCAGGGUAAGAGCAUUGGUCGAAAAUUUUGAGAUUUUCCUGCUGGUGGUAUCGCUUUGGGCACCCAUGCGCUGAUGGCGCGUGUGGCAGCGUGUGGGCACUGUAGCAGAGGGCCAUUGUGUCCCAAUGCGACCCCCUUGUUGUCACGAGUGCGUAAGGGUGCUCGGAUUCCAAUUUGGUUGAGGUUUGAACCCCGAAUGGAUUUCGUAUAUUGUACAUUAUCCGGGUUUGAUAGGUUUGAACCGUUGGAUAGUCUUGAAUUUAAUAUAUGUUAGUCUAGACAUCCCUAGGAUCAUAUAGGAUUUCGCGGAUCAUGGAUCGGAGCCCCGGAUGUUCUGAUUUAAUAAAUUAAAGUUUGUGUUUUACAAUAACCGUCCGAUCGUGCGAUCGCGAGCAAUCCGACAGUCCGAUCCGAACCAAACUUGCAGGACGGGUAUCCUAAAUCUUGUAGAACCCAUAGGAGCUUUCGGAUAAGAAUUUGGAGGUCGUGGGCCCGGUUGACCAAGAUUAGGUAGUUUGACCCCUCGGUUGACCAUGAGUCUUCCGAGGUAGUUUCACCCUUCGAGGAGUACUAGAAUGACCUUAUUACAUAGUCUCGACCUUUAAUUGAGCUAUGUUGACUAUGUUGAGAUUUUUAGAGUGUUUAUUAUUAUCGUAUGAAAACUCUUGGAUAUUACUUUUAAUAAUUGAAAUUAUGGAUUUGAUGAGCGUGGGUAAAUUGAUUUGAUGAGUGGUGAAAAGAAGUCGUGGGCUUGGCUAUGACUAUUAGGAAGUGAGGGGACAUUUAUGUUGAAUAUGCAUUAAUUUCAACAAUUGAAAGAACAUGCAUGGAAUGGGUAUAUAUAUAUAUAUAGAUAAAUUGGAUUAAAGAUUGAGAAAUUAAUAAGUUGAGAUAUUAGUAAUAUUUAAUUGAGAAAUGGAUUUUGAGGUGGAAAUUGGAAGGUUGAAUUUGGGGAAUUUUGGAAUUGAGAAUUAUGGGUUAAUACUGAAAGAUGUAGGAUUAUACUAUGUAAGUACCAUCCCCUAGUUACUAGGCUUCCCAUACGUGGAGUUGGAAUUUCUGGCGUGUGGGAAGGAUAUAUGAUUAUUAGAUCUCACAUGCCGUUGGAUUUUCCAGCGUGAGACAGACCCCAUACGUGGGGUUGGAUUUUUCGGCGUAUGGGGAGAUUAUGUGAUGGUUAGGUCACACGUAGGGUGGGAUUUUCCAACGUGUUGACAGACCCCAUAAGUGGCGUUGGAUUUUCCGGUGUAUAGGGAGAUUAUGUGAUGGUUAGGUCACACGUGGCAUAGGAUUUUCCAGCGUGUUGACAGACCCCGUACGUGGCGUUGGAUUUUCAGCGUAUGAGGAGAUUAUGUGAUGGUUAGGUCCCAUGUGGCGUAGGAUUUUCCGGCGUGUUGACAGACUCCAUACGUGACGUUGGAUUUUCCGACGUAUGGGGAGAUUAUCUGAUGGUUAGGUCACACGUGGAGUAGGAUUUUUCAGCGUGUUGACAGACCCCAUACGUGACGUUGGAUUUUCCGGCGUAUGGAGAGAUUAUGUGAUGGUUAGGUCACACGUGGCGUAGAAUUUUCUGGCGUGUUGACAGACCCCAUAUGUGGCGUUGGAUUUUCCGGCAUAUGGGGAGAUAAUGAGAUGGUUAGGUCACACGUGGCAUAGGAUUUUCUGGCUUGUUGACAGACCCCAUAUGUGGCGUUGGAUUUUCGCGCGUAUGGGAAGGAUAUGUGAUUAUUAGGUCUCACAGGUGGCGUUGGAAUUUCCGGCGUAUGAGACACUAACAGUGAGAAGAGAAUGAGAUUAUUUUUCUAUAUCAGAGAAAGGUUAGAGUAUAAAAAGAAAUAUGUUUGGUGUGUGGUAAUUUAAAUUAAAACAGGGAAAGAUAACUUACCUGUACUACUGAAACAGUUGUGUAACAUUUGGAGCAUGAUUAUGGAGUGAAAGAACUACGUGUGGCUUGAUCUCUCAGUAAGGGUACGUAGGCAACCUAGGUGCAGUCGUAGACUAAACGUUAUUUAUGUUGUUUUAUUGAGAUUGGUUCUGACCCUGUCGUUGGUCCUGAAAUUCGGUUGAAAACUAGAUGCGAGUAAAUAAUUGUUCAUACUCCCGUUUCGUUGAGGGAGGAUUGUGUAAAUGUGUUCUGGUCAAGACAGGUAUAAGAACUCGUUUAGGAUUGAUGUACGAUUUGGGCUAAGGCCUUAAACUACUUGUUGUUGUAUUAGGAGAUUAAAACCUCGCAUGUGGGAUAAUUGGGAAAGUUAGAUGAUGUAAAGUGCACUUAGGCAUUCAUAUAUAUGUUUAAAUUUAUUAUUUGUCUUGCUUAACGUAAUUGUUUGACUUAUGGGCUUUAUUGGUGAUUUGCUUCAGAUUAUUUAAAGGCCGAAGGCCGUUUAUGUGAAUUGCAUUUUGAUACAUUGUGCAUGCUACUAGUUGUGGAUAUUAAAUGUGUUUUAUGCAGGUUGAAAUUUUUGGGAUUGUUCAAAUUACAGGGGAGACUGCCAAAAUUUUGAUAGAAAGUCUCGGUCAUUAGUAAGUGGGCCCGGCAUCGAGGUGAUGUCGGAAUUUACACAAGAUUCCUCUCGGGUUUUCAGGAAUUCGGGGCGGAUCCUGUUACUUGGGGUGCAAAUUAUCCAUUUGUUCACCCGUUUUCGUGUUUUACUUCUGAGGUGGAAGGGCGAAGUUUCCCACUGGCUUGGAGACCACUUGUUGGUCGACAAGUCAGCUUUCUUUGGUGUGUGUGAGCGUGCCACUGCUAGCAAUGUAAAUUCUAGCAGACUUAUUUUUUAGAGUGGAUAACUUGCGCCUCAAGUUACUGACUUCUAAAACAAAUGAUUGUGAAUUUGGGUGAGGAAUAUCUCCCAAGUAAGUUCUUUUCUUGCCUCAAACUGGUGAGGACUUUCACAAUUUAUCUCAGUAUCAAAUGGUUGUUCUGGCCAGAAUAGAUAAUAAUAAAGUAGACUGUUUCAGGCAGAACUGCCUUUUACAAAAUUAAGAAGGGAGAAAUCAACUCUAGAAAGGAAAAAAGAUGGCUGGAAUCCCAUUUCUGCCUGGGUAGAAACUUCUGAUCCGGGCUGGACUGGGUAUGUCUAUGCUGGACGGUGCUGUCAACAACUUUAGCUUGCUCGGCUUUAGUUGUAAAUCGAUACCAAAGUUCAAUUUUGGCAGAGCUUCAAUCUACUUCAAGCCUUGGGAGACUUUUGAGUGGGCAGAACUGCAGCUUCUUCAGUUUGAAGGGACAGAAGUGGCUAUUCUCGAGGAUUUAGCAAGCUGGAACUAUGCUAUAAAAUUUGUUGAGGUUUUCAUAUUUGUGAAAACUCAAACUAUGUUUGUCUUGGCUUUUGCUGAACCAAAUUUGUAACGAGAGGGAUCUUGUUUUCAGAAGACUUAUUUUCUAAGUCUGAACUUUGGAAUUCUGAUCUAAAGCUGUUUUCUUGUUUGUUUUUUUUUGAUUGACUGAUGAAUUGAGUGUCCUUUGUUUCUUUGCCUUCUUUCGCUUUUAUAAGAGAUCCUCCUAAGGAGGUCAUUUUUAAUCCUAAACAAUGGGCGGCAAAAAGAUCUCUUAUAAUGUAAAGUAAGAAGGGUUUCUUAUCAAUCAAGGCAGAUAGGUUCUGAGCAGUCACCUCCUAAAAACAGUCCAUUCCCUGGUUUCCUGGGUGGCAGCUUUCUAAUUCAACCAACGCCACCGUCUGUGUGGGCUUUUUAUGGCAGUUUUGGCUCUUUUCUUUUGUAUUUUCUGAGUGGUUCCCUGUUUCCCGUUCUAAUUUAGAAAGCGUGAUUCGUGAAUUCCUUGGGAGAUGGUGUAUUGAUUUGGAGCAAAAUCUUGAACACAGAUGGGUUUUUGAUCUUCAAUUGGCAGUGUUUCAGAGACGUCCCUCUCACAUUUUUAAACUUUAGUUGGAAUUGCUGACUUUUCCAAAGUUGAGGCAAUCACGUGGGUGUGUCUUUGAUCCCUUGGUUUUGAAUCUAUCGAAAAUUACGGGCUGAUCUUUGAAGCCCAUUUCGAAAGUUUCCACAUCUGGGCUUUCUUUGGGCUGAGGCUUUAUUUCCAACAUUCUUGGUGUGAAGCCCAAACUGUCUGGGUCUUAUUUUCGUUUUUCUCAAGUCUCUGGGCUGGGCAGGCAAUUUUAUCAUGGGCCUGUCUUCUGGUCUUGGGCGUGCCGAAUUUGGGCCCAAACAAUGCCCCCUAAGUCUGAAUCGUUUUGGAAUGGUUUCAGACUUAAUGUUUUGCCAUUUAAUUCACGUGCCAGUUUCUUCCGUGUUUUCGCCCACGUCUGCCACGUUUGCCUGCUACGAACUAGAGUUCGUGGGAAAACGGCUAGUUAUUAUCUAGUUACUAGCUAAUAAUCAUCAGGUGCCGUCCCAUCUUCUUCUUCCCACGUUUUCGAGCCCCUCUUUAAAAGAAAUUCAAAUUCAUAGCUUCUGAAAAAAGAAACCCUAAACCUUCCAGCUCUUGUUCCUGCGAGUUCUUUCUUCGAGAUUUCCAAAGCCUUCUUUAGACCUUCCUUUCUUCUGCUUCUUCCCUUGAAUCAGAAAUGUCUUCCCCAAGGUCCCGCGCUCAGUCUUCUUCCGCUUCAGUUCCUCCCGAUUAUAUCACUGGGAGCGGGAUUGAUGCUCACGCGAUAGAAAUCAGGAGCAAGCUUCAUCCCUUUGCCCAGAAGAAUCUGGACGAGAAUGUCCUCCAUUUGUUUGAGAACACCCUGGUGUUAGGGCCUCACUGGUUUGGUCCUGUUCCAGCUGAGAUGGCAGAAUUGCUAAAAAAGGAUGCCGAGGCUCCUUUGUGUUUUGAGAGCUCUUCUGCCCUGGCUUCUUAUUCUUGGGUUAGCAAGAAUUUGAGCCGGUCCUUCCCGUCCAGCGAGGUGAGGAAUAGUCUGGUCAAAUGGGCAGACUGGAUUGAUAGACUUCUCCCGAGAUAUGGGGGUCACUGGAGGAGAGCUGGGAUUUAUGACGCCAUUUUUCUGUCCAAACAAUCGAUUAACAGAGAUGAGAAUCUGCUUGCUGCUGCUUUAUGCUUCUGGAAUUCUGCCAGCAAUACAUUUGACUUCCGCGUGGGUCCUAUGGCGCCAACCUUGCUGGAUAUGGCUCAGAUUUUUGGGUUCAGGCCCCAUGGUAGGCCUGUUGAUGCCAUUGGAGAUUAUCACAGGCGAAGGAAUCAAGAGAAAGUGGCCACCCCUUUUACUAUCCCUCCAGCCGUGAUCAACCAGAACUGCUCUUUCUCCAACUAUCUGAAGAAGUUCAGUGCUGAUAAGGACAAGGAUCAGCAACAUAUGUUGUUCCUUCUGUAUUGGCUGAAUUGGUUCGUUCUCCCCAAUCGGUCUUCUGCAGUUCUGCUAGAGUACAGACACUUGGCAGAAGCACUCCACAAUCACACUGAUGUGGGGCUCGGGCCUACAGUUCUGGCUCACCUUUUCAAGAAUCUGCAUACUUCCACCCUGGAGAACCCAUUGAACCUGUCAGCCCCUGGCGCAUUCUGGAUGAUCCAGAUCUGGCUGCAGGUUUAUUUUCCAGAACUAAGGUUCCCAGACAUAGUUCUGCCUGAAGAUCAAGUCCUGGCUCUUCCUCUGAUGUCGGCAGAAGUGCCCAAGCAUUCUAUUGAGGAGUAUUUGAUGCUCUUCAGGCAUUGUACAAAGAGGUCGGCAGCUCAGUGGCAAGUGGUGAUCAGGAGGACCUAUCCUUGGUUCCAGACCGGAUUUCGGUUGUUUGAGAAGGAGCCAGAAGAUGAAGCUGCCAGAACAGAUUUCAGGAGGAAAUUUCUGAGCAUUACUCUGCCCAGAGAUCUACCCCAUGGUGGGGGCAAACCUCCAAACUAUCAUCUGGGGGCAGAAGUCUACCAUCCCAACUUCUGCGCGAGGCAGCUUGGUUGUCCCCAACUCAUUCCGCUGAAAUCAUAUCGGAGUUGUAACCGGGCCUCUUCUUGGAGGGAUGCAGAUGAUCUGGAGGUGCACAAGGAUGCCCGGUGUGCAGUGAACAAAAUCAACAACAGCACGGAUGCCCUCUAUCCCUCGUGGGAGCUGAAUUCCUGCAGUUCUGCCGACUUUGACGCAUGGUGGAAAGCCAGAUUCCAAAGUCUGCCUGCUUCUGUCACUGCCCUCAAGGUGCUGUUUGAUGGUUGGGAAAACUGGGUCGUUUUUGCGAAUGGGGAUGCCAAGACGCAUAUGAUCCAGACCAUCAAGGAUAUUAACGCGCAAAUUAUAGAAGGUAGAUUUCUGAUUCUGUAUGGGGUUCGUUCUGUCCUGAUGAUUGAUUUCUAAUGUCUAUUCUGCCUGUAUCAGAUCCUUCUUUGACCAGCGUAGGUGGGCAGUCUGUUCAUGCUGGGGAAGUGAUUGGUAAGUCUUUUCUUUUAAUUCUAUUCUGUCUUUUCCUGCUGGAUUGGUCUCUAAUGUCUAAUGCCUUGGUGCAGUCUCUUCCGUUAUUGCUGCCGGGGACUUGGAGCUCCCUUCUGCGGAUGAAGGAGAUGAGGUCCAGACAGAACAAACACCUACCGAGGCCGCUCUUUCUGGCAGAAGAAAAAGGAAAGGACCUGCCCCUCCUUCGGAUAAUCCCACGCGGCCUGGUAUUUCAGGUAAGCUCGUGAUGUUCCAACCAUUCUCUUUAAAUUUAUUAUGUCUUGCCUUCUUUUCCCUAAUACUGCUUUUUGUUCUGUGCAGCUGGAAGUCCUUCCCCUCCUCCUACCAAGUUGAAAAAACUUAAAAAGAGGAGUGAGGAGGAGUAUGUCGCCGCGGAAGAGACGGCAGCAAUUCCCACCACUACCUCCGGGACGGAUGAAGAGCUGCGAGAGGCUUUUGAGGAGGUGGAGCAGGAAAAAGAAUUGGAAGAGCUGGAAGAAACGCCUCAGGAAAAAACGGCAGUGGCGGAAGGAGAGGUAAGUUUUAUUUCUGUGAUUCGCAUCAGUUCCCUUCUCGCCCUGUUUCUUCCGUUCUGACCCUUAUUUUGUAGGAGAAGAUCCCUGCUGAGGUGAUUGCAGAGAGCAUUGCCUUGGCGCAGAAGCAACAAGGGGGUCCAAGGGCUGAGCGGACUAGCUCAGAACUAGCCCUAUUUGAGGAUGCUGAGGCAGAGCAUUCUACUGCCGUUCCAGCGGCUGAGGAUCAGGCGGAACGGUCUGCAUCAGAGCCUGUGGAUCAGGCAGAGCUGUCUGUUGUGGUUCCGGAGGCUGAAGUGGAAACAACCGCCGCUGCCCCUGUGGUUGUGGUAACUUUCUUUCUUUAUCUGUCCACACUCUCCUGCAUUUCUGCCUUGUUCUUUAUUUUUAACUGUUGUAGCCUUUUCAGGUAGAAGUGCCUAAAGCUGUUGGCGUCCUGGCAGCGGUUACCAGUCCCCAGAAGCCUCCCAUUGUUGCUGUAAGUUUUCAUAACUUUUGGGCCUUUAUUUUCCACUUUCUGCCUGGUCUUACCUUAUGCUUUCUUCUUGCAGAUGCCAAUUCAUUCCCUUCCAGGAUCAUCUGCCACGGCUUCUUUUGCUGAUCCAGAACUCGAAGAGUUUGAAGCCAUGGAUCUGGAUGCCCAAUUGGACAGAUUGGAGAAACUCAGCUCUCCUCCAGGCAAGGCAAAAUCUAGGGCAGUGGAGGAGGCCAUGGAGAGGUUGAAAAUCUGGCAGUCUAAUGAGCUGGAGUUUGAUCAAGACAAUGAAGCCUUAAAUCAGCUGAUGAAGGACCUGGACCUGCUUCACAGACAGAACAUGGCUCCAAAACCUAUCCUUGAGAUGGGCCUAAGCUUGGCCAGAGAUGUGCUCAAUCUGCAUGAUCGCUAUGAGGAUCUCAGGCCUACUUUCAAGACUUCUGAAUUCUGCAAGGCCACUCAUGAAGCCAACCUGGCUGAUUUUGCAAAGCAGAAAGCAGAACUGGAUCAGAUGGUGGCCGGAUAUAAGGAAGCCAGGGCCACUGCGGACAAGCUGGAGAAGCCGAUGGAAGAGCUCCAAAAACAACUGGCAGAAUGCAGGGAGGUGCAGAGCAGGCUUGGGGCUGGACUGAGUUCUAAAACUAAGGCCACUUUCCUUGUGCAAAGUAUGGUUGCAGCUUCCAGGACAGCCUUGGAGAUUGCAGAGGCUUCAAUUCACCAGGGGGUGCUGCUCCAGAAAGAGCUUUCUGUCAAGAAAGCGAACCUGCAGGAGACUCUUAGAAAACUAGGAUUUUAGCUUCUUCUUUCCUUUUAUUGUUCGAAUAAUUUGCCGCAAAGGUGGCUAUUUUUAUAUAAGCUUUCAAAGCAUUUUACUGCUUUUCAUUUAUUCUUGAUGCAAUAACUGGAUACGGCUUUGAAAGUAAAAAACAGAACAACUUUAAAGCAAAAAUAAAUCUAAACAAAAUUCUUUUCAAGAAACAAAAAGGUCAAACUUGUUCCUCUUCUAUCCCGGGAUCUGUUUAUACAGCCUGCGAAUCCCACGUGGUUGGAUAGAACUUCUUUAACCAUUUACCAUUGAUUGGGGCAAAAUGAACAACUCCAUCUCGGUCCUGCAACCUGUAUGCCCCCAUUCCGAGGAUUUGGUUAAUUAUAAAAGGGCCUUCCCAUGUAGGUGACCAUUUCCCAUAUCCAGCUAUGUGUGCUCCAAGGGGCAGAAUUGCCUUCCAGACUAUCUCUCCCUCUUCAAAACUCUUGUUUUUGACUCUUUUGUUGUAGGCCCUUGAUACAGCCUGUUUUCCUGCUAAGAGUUUGUUGAGGGUGUCAAUUCUGCUUGCAUCCAAUUCUUCCAAUUCCAGCAACAUGGCUUGAGAGUAAUCCUCCCCAGUGAGACCAUGCUGGUGAGCAAUUCUAAGAGACUGGACCGCUAUCUCCAUGGGAAGAAUUGCAUCGUGGCCGUAGGUUAGAGCAUAGGGGGUCAUGCCAGUUGCUUCUCUCUUUGAAGUUCUGUAUGCCCACAAAGUUUCUGAUAACUUCUCAUGCCAUUACUUUGGAUUCUUCUCUAGCAUCUUUUUGAUGAUAUUGAUAAUCACCUUGUUACUUGAUUCCACCUGUCCAUUAGCUUGAGCAUAGUAAGGAGUAGAUUGAAGCAGUUUGAACUUGAACGUUUCUGCCAUAUCUAGCAUGUCCCUAGAUAUGAAAGAAGAACCCCUAUCGGUUGUGAUUGAUUCUGGAAUGCCAAACCUUUGUAUGAUCUGUUCUUCUAUAAAGGUGAUGAUCUCUUGAGAUGUUGUGGUUUUUACUGGCUUGGCCUCUACCCACUUGGUGAAGUAAUCUGUGGCAACGAUAAUGAAACAGUGCUGCUGGUUGCUGGCUGGAUAGAUUUUGCCAAUGAGAUCCAUUGCCCAUCCCCUGAAAGGCCAUGGUUUUACUACUGGAUUCAUGGGAACCGAAGGAGCCUGCUGGAUUGGGCCGUGCCUUUGACAGGCUUCACAUCCUUUGGAGUAGUUGAUGCAAUCCUUCAUCAUGGUUGGCCAGAAGUAGCCAUACCUUCUGAUUAACCAGCACAUCUUUCUUCCCCCUUGGUGAGCUCCACAGAUCCCCUCAUGGGUUUCUCCCAUGGCUUUCAUAUAUUCUGUCUUCCCGAGGCACCUUAAUAGUACCUCAUCCUUACUUUUUCGGACCAAAUCUUCAUUCCACAUGAGGUAGUUUGUAGCCAUGAUUCUGACUCUUUUCUUAGAGGGCAGAGUGGGAUAUCGUAAGUAAGUCAUGAUAGGCUCCCUCCAAUCAUCUUCAGUGAUCAAGGCAGAAUUGACUUCUAUCUCCAUUCCUCUCGUCAAAACAGAUGGUAGACUUUUCCUUCCUAUCUUGAUGAUCCUUUGGACGCAGUCUUCGGGCAUUUGUAUGCCUGAUGCCACCUGAGCCAGUUCAUUGGCUGCAAAGUUUUCCUCCCUUGGGAUGUUCUCCCAAGUAGCUUCUCUAAAUUCUGUUAGCAGAUUUCUAGCUGCUACUAGAUAUACAGCCAGAGAAGGAUUCAGACACUUAUAUUCUCCAGCAAUCUGUUUUAGGACAAGCAUGGAAUCUCCCAAGAUCUCCACGGACUGGACUCAUAAUUCUACCAACAUCUCGAGCCCUAUAAUCAAAGCCUCAUACUCGGCCAUGUUGUUGGUGCAUUGGAAAUCUAGCUGGAAGGAAUAGCAAUGUCUGACCCCUAAUGGUUCUUCCAGAACAAUCCCUGCUCCUGAAGCCUUGUCUGUCUUUGAUCCAUCAAAAUAUAACUUCCAAGGUGUGAGAUGAAUCGAGUAGAUUGGAUUGUUAAGGCAAACAUGAGCUCUAGUUAGCAGAUCUGCAUUUGCUAUGUCCAAAGAAUCCAUGUUUUCAAUUUCCUCUCCCGAGUGAUCUACCAAGAAGUCUGCCACAGCUUGCCCUUUGACAGCUUUCUGGGGGACAUACCUGAAGGUGAAUUCUGUCAAAGCCAAAGUCCAUUUCCCAAUUCUGCCCCUCAGCAUUGGUCUUGUUAGCAUGUAUUUGAUUAAGUCUGUUUUGGCAAUGAUGUAGAUAGUAUGUGGCAGCAUGUAGUGCCUGAGCUUUACAGCAGUGAAAUAUAAGGCCAGGCAAAGCCUUUCUAUUGCGGAAUACCUUCUUUCCACUUCUGUCAAUGUUCUGCUUAGAUAGUAGGCUGCCUGUUCUUUUCCUUCUUUGUUAUCUUGAACUAUUAGACUUCCAAUGGAUACUUCUGAUGCAGAUACAUAAAGCUUGAGGGGUCUGCCCCUUUUUGGUGGGGACAGAACUGGUGGAUUUGAGAGGUAAUGCUUUAUUUCCUGGAAAGCCUGUUGGUGCUGUUCUUCCCAUUUGAAUGUCUGUUCCUGCUUCAGUCUUAACAGGGAAGAAAAAGGUUGGAUUUUUCCUGCAGAAUUGGAUAUGAAUCUCCUUAGAAAAUUGAUUUUUCCUAAGAGACUUUGAAGUUCCUUCUUGUUCUGAGGUGGUAGAGCUUCUAUGAUGGAUGUUGCUUUAUUUCUGUCAACCUCUAUACCUCUCUGGUGGACCAAGAAUCCUAAGAAAUUCCCUGCUUGGACUCCAAAAACACAUUUUUUGGGGUUCAUUUUCAGUUUGUGCUGCCUCAUUCUUAGGAAUGCCCUUCUCAGGCUUGCUACGUGAUUUCCUUCCUCAGGGGAUUUAAUCACCACGUCAUCUAUGUAUACUUCCAAGGAAUGUCCUAUCAUAUCAUGAAAAAUAGAAUUCAUUGCCUUUGGUAGGUGGCUCCCGCAUUUCUCAAACCGAAAGGCAUUACAGUAUACUCGAAAGCACCUAUAUGUCCUGGACACAUAAAGGCUGUCUUGUGGAUGUCCUGUUCUGCCAUCAUGAUCUGGUUAUAACCUGCAUUGCCGUCCAUGAAAGAUAGCAUCUGGUUAUGAGUGGCUCCAUCCACUAGCAUGUCUGCCAUUGGCAUAGGAUAUUCGUCUUUAGGAGAUGCCUCAUUCAGAUUUCUGUACAAUAUUUGCUAACCAAUCGGAAUAGACGGCUGGCCUGAUGAAUCCUGCCUUGAGCAGCCUUUCUAUCUCUUCUUUGACCUUUAGUUCUGUGUCCAUAGACAUUCUUCUUCUGGCCUGUUUGACUGGAAGGUAGCCAUCUUUAAUUGGCAGCUUGUGCUCCACUCACUGCCUGUCCAAUCCUGGCAUUUCGUGGUAAUGCCAGGCAAAACAAUCUCUGAACUCCUGUAAAAGUGCCAUGAGUUCAGUCUUGAGUGGUUCCUUCAAAAGUGUGCUGAUGAAAGUAGGCCUUGGAUCUUCUUCUGUUCCUAAGUUUAUCUCCUGUAGAGGAUCCUCUACUUCUGGCAGGGAGUCAUCCAGUGCUGCUGGUGCAAAAUCUAAUACUUCCUCCUGUAAAAUUUCCUCCUCUUGCUCUUUUGUGCUUUCAUGGGUGAAUUCUGCCAUAUUGAUGGCUGGAUUCUGUAUGAAAAGCCUCCUUUCUCCCCAGUAUAUCAACAAUCUUUUUGUGAUGGAUCGGAUUGUUGCAGCUCGAUCCUUGUCUAGUUGAUUCGGACUAAACAUCAGAGUUCUGGAAGUUCAGCACAAAAAGGUCUAUUCCAGUCCUCUAGAGAACUGGCUAAACCUUCUUCAAUGAGUCUUUGGGCCGUGACACCAUGUGGACGGCCGUUCUGAUUGACUCCAAGGAAAGUGAAAGGACCGAGGUCAUCAUGAUAAUACCUUGUUUCAAAGCACAUGGCAGAGGGCAGGAAUGGCCGUGGAUCAGCCUCUAUAAUCUCCAUGCAGCCUUCUUCAUUCCAUAGUGCUAACUGCGGGUGGAGGGUGGAAGGAAUACAAAGGCUCUGGUGAAUCCAAUCCCUGCCAAGUAGUGCAUUGUAGGUGGUGGAAGUAGUGUCUAUAACAAAGAAUGCUAUUUUCAACUCUUUGCUUCCGAUUAUGACAUCCACAUCUAAGAUGCCAUGUAUUUUGGUGAUGCAACCAGAAGUUGGUGACGGUCAAUCGUGUUGGAAUCAGAUCUUUCUCUGUCCUGCCCAGCUUGGUCAGCAUUCUGUGGGGUAAUAGAUUAAUGGCUGCACCUCCAUUUACCAUGAUCUUGGAAAUAGGAAUACCCCCAAGAUUUGCCGUUAUAAACAAAGGUCUGAGGUGAAACAAGGUUGCUCUGUAGCUGGUUUAUUGGCUGUUCUGCCUGUCUUGGGGUUUUCUGCUUGUGGUUCUGGUGGCUCCUCUGCUUCUGCCAAUCUACAUUCAAAGCUUUCCUGAGAGAAAACAUCCCCUUCCAGAGUGCUUUCUUGUCCUUCGGCUGCCCUGAAUUUACUUGGUAGGAUGAAUACCAUGUUAAUUCCCAGAUCACCCUGUAGGAGGUCUUCUAAUUCUGCGCCAAAAGCUUCUGUUUCUGGGUCCAAUUCUACACCAAAUUCCAUUAAUUCUUCCCCGUAUUCUUCCGUCCAGUCAUCCUGUUCUGCUACUUCGAGGGGCUCUUUCUGAUCAUCUGCGGAAGGUUCAUAGUCCAAUUGCUCUUCUUCAUAUUCCUCAGUGUAGUCGUCUUCUCCUUGUAACGGGGUAGACCCAGAUUUCUCUGGUGUCUGCGUGGUGUCAGGACGGCUGCUGGACGACGAGGCCACAUGGAUAGGAGACCUGGCUGGGGGUUCUGUUUUCAGCAAUUCCCUUGACUGGCAAGCUUUCUGUUCUGUCUGGGGAAGUGUUUCAGGAUUUUUUCCUUUCCUAGCAGAACUGGGUUGUGAACGUACCUGCGUAUUAUCUUGGCUCUUAAGAUAUGUGCAGUAUUGCCUCUGGAUUCUCCUUUUCUGGGUUCUGGUUAGCUCCAGAGUCGGUCUACCGCUUCUUCCUACGGAAUACCAUCUCCCUUCUAUGAUCGUUGCCAAGGAUCUUUCGUUUCUGGGCAUCUUGACUGGUAUUUCCUUUCUGGGUUGCUCCAUCCUCCUCUCGCUGUAUUGUGUAGGCCUAAGACAGCUCUUCUGCCUUGUUUUGUCUCGGGAUGAGGUUCCAAUUCUGUCAAAGACACUAGGUGUGGGCUGAUUUUGUCUGUCUAGAACCACCUCUAGCUCUGUUUCACAUUUGCACCUACUGCAGAGCACUACCCCAGCCGAGAUGGUCGCUCUUGGUAUUUGACUGGUCUCCCUUAUGAUUCUUCUGCCUCUGCUGCAACCAGCAUCUGUGAUUGGCUCGGUUUUCCUCUGUUCUGGCCAAUUUAAGUUGACCAUAUUGACUUGUGGUUGAGGAAAAGGAUCCGUUGUGACGGAUGGUGGUUUUUCUGCCAGUUUCAACCUUCCUGCCGUUAUCCCUUCUUGUAUUACGUCCCUGAAAACAACACAACUAUUGGUAGAAUGGUUCCAAGAGUUGUGCCACCUGCAGUACUGUCUGCCCUUGAGUUCUUCCGGCUUCGGUAUUCUGUGAGGCGUCUCUAUUGCCUUCUACAGUAGCAUUUCGUGGAACAAGGCAUCAACCUUGGUUAAGUCAAAAGAGUAAACCUUGUUUUACGUUGGUUUGUUUGGAACGAAUCCUCCUGUGAAUGGUGGUGGCUUUUGGUCUUUAGGUGGCUUUGUGAGGGCUUUGCAACUAAUGGGAUGUUUUAGUUUUGCCAUUUCUGCCACUGAAACCUCUUUCUCUUCUGAUUCUUCUGCAUCUUCUUGUGAUUCCACCUCGAUCAGGUGGACUGAAGAAGAAGGGGUUUUAUAGUAUGUACCUUUGGAGGAGUUCCUCCUUUGCUGUUCCUCCCUGAGUAACUCCUCAUAUUUGGAUGCCUUAUCAGCCAGUUCUGCCAGAUCUCCGAACAAUAUCCCGUCGAACCUUUUCCUGAGAGAGAUUUUAAGGGCAACUUGGGCCAUCUGGAUGAAGUGUCUUUCUUCCAUCGGGAUUCGGCACUUCAUUUUGAGCUUUCUGAACCUGGUUAUGAAAUCUUGGGCCGGUUCAUCUUCACUUUGCUUGAGGGCAGCUAGAUCACUGAUGGUGACUUCUGGCUGAAUCCUGUAAUAGUAGUCAUGGAAGACAUUUUCCAUCUGUUCCCAGGUUUGAACAGAGUUAGCUGGCAGGCUGGUGUACCAGGUAAAAGCUUGCCCAAAAAGAGAGUUGCCGAAAAGCCUUAAUUUCAGCAGAGGGUUGCUUUCUAUAGCUAUGCAUUGGACGGAGAACCUGCCUAUAUGUUCAACUGAGGAAGAAUGGGGGUCUUCCCCAUUGAACAAAGUGAAGUUUGGCACUUUGAAACCUGGAGACAACAGUAUUUGAUCGAUAUAGGCUGGGUAUGGCUUUCUGUAAGUAGGCCUUUCCCCUAUUCUAGCCUCGGGUUCCAUGAUUUCUCUGAUCAUUCUUUGCAACGCUCCUAUGUCAUUCAAAGCAUUGACUGGGGGAAGAUUUUGUCCCUGUUCUGGCUGAACGUAAUCAAACCUGGGCUCUGCUCUGUGUGGUCUGGGUGGAACUUCCUCCCUGUGUUCUUCCUGCUCUUCGACUUCUGGAUGAUUCCUCCAGUUUGCCCCCGGUCUAUUCCUGUCAUGAUUAGCAAAAAGGUUGUUCCCUCCUCGGCCUCUCCUCCUUCUUGCAAGUGGAGGGAAUGGAUUAGGGUCCAUCCUUCUGGGUCUAUAUGGCAAUACUGCCGGUGGUUCAGGCAGAAGCGCCAAAGGUUGAUCAUGUGGGAGCACAUGAAGUGGAAUGGGCUGAGGUUCUGGCUGGUUCUGAGCCAGUGCCAGGUUAUCUGGUUGAGCUGGGGCUUCAUGUUUUUGAUUAGGAAGGGCUCCUUCCCUCGGACCAGCCUGAAUUUCUCCGUGGUCUGGCACUCCAGCCAUCUGUGCAACUAGGAAAUUUUCCUGGUAUGGCCAUAUUAGUCCUGGCGGAGGGCCAUAAGGGAGAUCCAACUGCUGGAUUACAGGAUCUGGGUUUGGGUUUCUGGCCAUGGCGGAUUCUCGGUCCUUCCGGAACUGUCUGUUUACCUGCCAUUACAUCAUGGCUGUCAUGUUAUUGAGAGUGUCCUGGCUCCUUCGUACUGUGAUCUCUUGUCGGAGUACUGACUCCUGUAUUUGAUUCAUCCUUUUGGAGCCAGUCCUGGAACGUCUACUUCCUGUACUGCCGUGGGCAGAUUGCCUAGCAUCGCUUUUUUCUGAUUCGAGGCCUUCCCUGAGAACCAUCUUGUUUUUCUCCAUAUCUGGUGUGGGUUCUGACUAGAUCUUCCGGUAUUUGUGAAUCUGUGAAUGAUUCUGUCAGAGUAUAUAUACUGAGAAGUCCCACUGGGUGUGCCAAAUUAUUCACCCGUUUUCGUGUUUUACUCCUGAGGUGGAAGGGCGAAGUUCCCCACUAGCUUGGAGACCACUUGUUGGUCGACAAGUCAGCUUUCUUUGGUGUGUGUGAGCGUGCCACUGCUAGCAAUGUAAAUUCUAGCAGACUUAUUUUUUAGAGUGGAUAACUUGCGCCUCAAGUUACUGACUUCUAAAACAAAUGAUUGUGAAUUUGGGUGAGGAAUAUCUCCCAAGUAAGUUCUUUUCUUGCCUCAGACUGGUGAGGACUUUCACAAUUUAUCUCAGUAUCAAAUGGUUGUUCUGGCCAGAAUAGAUAAUAAUAAAGUAGACUGUUUCAGGCAGAACUGCCUUUUACAAAAUUAAGAAGGGAGAAAUCAACUCUAGAAAGGCAAAAAGAUGGCUGGAAUCCCAUUUCUGCCUGGGUAGAAACUUCUGAUCCGGGCUGGACUGGGUAUGUCUAUGCUGGACGGUGCUGUCAACAACUUUAGCUUGCUCGGCUUUAGUUGUAAAUCGAUACCAAAGUUCAAUUUUGGCAGAGCUUCAAUCUACUUCAAGCCUUGGGAGACUUUUGAGUGGGCAGAACUGCAGCUUCUUCAGUUUGAAGGGACAGAAGUGGCUAUUCUCGAGGAUUUAGCAAGCUGGAACUAUGCUAUAAAAUUUGUUGAGGUUUUCAUAUUUGUGAAAACUCAAACUAUGUUUGUCUUGGCUUUUGCUGAACCAAAUUUGUAACGAGAGGGAUCUUGUUUUCAGAAGACUUAUUUUCUAAGUCUGAACUUUGGAAUUCUGAUCUAAAGCUGUUUUCUUGUUUGUUUUUUUUUUAUUGACUGAUGAAUUGAGUGUCCUUUGUUUCUUUGCCUUCUUUCGCUUUUAUAAGAGAUCCUCCUAAGGAGGUCAUUUUUAAUCCUAAACAAUGGGCGGCAAAAAGAUCUCUUAUAAUGUAAAGUAAGAAGGGUUUCUUAUCAAUCAAGGCAGAUAGGUUCUGAGCAGUCACCUCCUAAAAACAGUCCCUUCCCUGGUUUCCUGGGUGGCAGCUUUCUAAUUCAACCAACGCCACCGUCUGUGUGGGCUUUUUAUGGCGGUUUUGGCUCUUUUCUUUUGUAUUUUCUGAGUGGUUCCCUGUUUCCCGUUCUAAUUUAGAAAGCGUGAUCCGUGAAUUCCUUGGGAGAUGGUGUAUUGAUUUGGAGCAAAAUCUUGAACACAGAUGGGUUUUUGAUCUUCAAUUGGCAGUGUUUCAGAGACGUCCCUCUCACAUUUUUAAACUUUAGUUGGAAUUGCUGACUUUUCCAAAGUUGAGGCAAUCACGUGGGUGUGUCUUUGAUCCCUUGGUUUUGAAUCUUUCAAAAAUUACGGGCUGAUCUUUGAAGCCCAUUUCGAAAGUUUCCACAUCUGGGCUUUCUUUGGGCUGAGGCUUUAUUUCCAACAUUCUUGGUGUGAACUGGACUAAACAGUUAGUCGGACCAGACCGUCUACACAUAUGAACUGGACUCACAAGCCUAUGUUUUUUGAGCUCCCAUAUUGGUCGAAACUCAAAUUGAGGCACAAUCUAGAUGUGAUGCAUGUUGAGAAAAAUGUAUUUAACACAUUGGUGGGCACGAUUCUAGAUAUCGAGGGCAAGACAAAGGACACAAUCAAAGCCCGUCUUGAUUUGGAAAGAAUGGGCAUACAAAGGGGUUUAUGGAUGAACAGGGACAGUGAUAAAGCUAGAAGGGAUCUUGCAUUCUUUUCUAUGAAACCGAAUGAUAAAAAAGAGUUUCUAAAGUUUGUAUCGUCUGUAAAGUUUCCUGAUGGGUAUGCUUCUAAUAUCGCACAUUGCGUGAAUGUUGACGAGGGUAAAUUUACUGGACUGAAGAGCCAUGACUGCCAUGUGUUUAUGCAACGCCUACUUCCUGUGGGUAUUCGACAUCUAUUGCCGGAAGAUGUUGUGAAGCCAAUCAUGUUGUUGUCCAGAUUUUUUUCCCAACUGACGGCAAAAACAUUGCGAAAGACAGACAUAUUUCAGUUGCGCCAUGACAUUGUCCAAGUCCUAUGCAAGUUUGAGAUGAUAUUUCCUCCAGCUUUCUUCACAAGUAUGAUGCACGUGAUGGUUCACUUGCCAGAAGAGGCAUUGCUUGCUAGUCCUGUCAACUAUCGCUGGAUGUAUCCAAUAGAAAGGUAUAUAAUCUUUAUCGUUUGUGUAUGCAUCAUUAUCACAGACUUGCUAAUUUGUAUCAUAUCGUUUUAUUUUGACAGGCUUCUCGGAGAGCUGAAAAAAAGUGUACGCAACAGGGCGAAGCCCGAAGGAUCAAUUAUAGAGGCUUGGGUUCAAUAUGAGUCGCUUACUUUCUGUGGAAUGUAUUUAAAAGAUGUGGAGACGGCUUUCAAUCGUCCUCAACGCAAUAACGACGAAGGUAUGAGAAAGGAAAAACUUUCUGUUUUUGCCCAAAGUGCACGACCCUUUGGAGAUCCUGGACGAGGAGAGUCGUUUUCUAGAAAUGACAUGGAGGUAGCGCAUUGGUUCGUACUGAACAAUUGUGAUGAGAUAAUGGCAUACUUAGAUAAGCAUGAAGAGAUGAUGAAGCGAGAACAUCCAUCACAUUUAGUUGCCCAGAAACACCGUGAAUUGUUUCCACAAUGGUUUUUGGAUUCUGUAAGUUAUAAGUGUUUUGUAUUUGACAAAUAUAAAUUGUAGUAUUUAAUUUUGUCAGACUAACAUGUGAAUGGUUUUGUAUUAUAUUAGGUGAAUAAGUUGAAAUCAUCGAAUUCCCCCACUUACAGUGAUGAGUUAUAUAACUUGGCGUUCGGCCCAAUUCGCGCUGAAUUGUUUCGGGUUGUUAUAUUAAUGGCGUCAAAUUUUUGGGAGCCGCACGAGAUGACAAGUUGUGUAUGCAAAACAGCGGUGUCCAUGUCCCAGGUGGAGGCGAAAGUACGAACAUUGAUUUCUAUGGCAAACUCACAACUGUCAUUCAAUUGCUUUACAAAGAUCGAUACUAAGUGAUCAUGUUUAAGUGUCGAUGGUUUGAUAGCAACCCAAAUAGGCCGGGAAGUGUUAAAAUCAACCAUGGCUUACUAUCUGUGAACAUUAACAGAACUUGGUAUGAUGACGACCCUUACAUUUUGGCAAACAUGGCAACACAAAUUGUGUAUCUAGAUGACCCUAAAGCCGGGAGCAGUUGGAAAGUUGUUCAGAAGAUGGAUCAUAGGAACUUGUAUGCUAUACCAGAACUAGACCCAACUGACAAUGACGUCAACAAUGUGGCUGACCAACGUUUAGAAUCUUCAAUGGAAAAUGAUGCGGAAACACUUCGAGAUACACAUGUUAUACAAGAACCGUUUCAAAUACAAGGAGUGUCUUCAAUCGAAAUACCGAUUCAGUCAAUUACAAUUGACCUCGGGGAUCUUCCAAGAUUCGAUGUUGCAGUGAGCCCGAGCAACGAAGAUGAUGUAGUUAUAGAGGAGGAGGAGGAGGAUUGGGAGACUGAAAGUGAUGAUAGCGAAGAUAACGAAAGUUAUUAUAGUUCAGAUGAUGAAUAAUUAAAUUUUUUAUAUUUUUAUUAUGCUAGUGUACAGACUUUGUGUAAAACAAAAGUUUGAAUAUAUGUAGUUGUGAUAUCCAAACCUUAUAUAUGUGGACAACUGAAACAUUAUUAAAAUAAAUUUAGUUAUAAAACAUCGGUAAAUCAAUAUAUCCAAACCCUUUUAAUAUUCAUUUAAAAUUUUUUUUUUUGACAAAAACGUUUACAAAAUGAAAAUGAUAAAAUAUUUGUUAUAAAACAUUGAUAAAUAAAUAUAUCCAAACCAUUUUCAUACAAAGUUUGAAAAUUAUUGACAACAAACAUUUUUCAAAAAUGAAAAUCCUUGCGCGACGAAGUACACCUCGUCACGCAAAGUUUGCGCGACCCAGUAAACAGUCGUUGUGUAAAGUUAAAACAUUGCGAGACAAAUUAUCAUCCGUCACGCGAUAGAAUUUUGCGCGACGAAUAUUUACUCUCGUCGCGCAAAUGUAUAUUCUUUUAUAAUAUAUUUUAUAUACACAUAUAUAUUCGAAAUUGACGAUCGAGUUAGUUCAUUGUAUUCAUAUAGGGUCAUGGAGUGUAGCUGUAAAAAAUCAUCAAAAUCGGAGUUAAAAUAACUGUUAAAUCAUGACUUUUCAUUUAUAACCGUUCAAAAAUUUUGUCCCGAUACUUGAUCUCUGAAUGUUUUUUUUUUCCGAUUUUUGGGGCCUAAGAUCUCGAAGUAUAAACAAACACGUUUGACGGCUGGAUUAUUGAAACUACUUUCGUAGAAUGCGUAUGCCAUCAAAACUAUAUAUUCACCAACAAUGAAUAGUUUACUUAUACUUUCAUUAAAUAUAACAUAAGAUUAUGUGGUAUCACCCUAGUGUAAACAUCUUAAAUUGAAGAUCAAAUUCAGUAAUUGUAUUCAUAUAGGGUCAAGAAAAGUAGCUAUAAAAAAUCAUCAAAAUCGGAGUUAAAAUAACCGUUAAAUCAUGACUUUUCAUUUAGAUUCGUCGAAAAGUUUUGUACUGUUACUUGAUCUCUUAACGUUUUUUUUGUCAGAUUUUCGGCGUAUACGAUCUCGAAAUAUAAAAAAACAAGUUUGCCGGUUAGAUCAUUAAAACUAGUUUCGGGUUUAGGAUUUCUGCAGUUUAGGGUUUAGGGUUUGCGCGACGAAGCCAUUUCGUUGGUCGCACAAAGCCUGCAAAGAACAGUCUUGCGCUACGAAACUAGGAUUCUUUGUCACGCAAUCUCAACCAGCCCUUUCACCCUCUUCCUCCUUGGACACUUAGCCAAAAAAAGUUGCGAGUUUACAGAAAGCGGCUUUGCGCGACGCUGCCGGUAUUCGUCGCGCAAUAUGUAUGCCAAUAAAACCUAAAUCCCAAAUUUUGGCGAAUUACAACUUUGCGCGACGAAUAUGGGAAGCUUCGCGCAAAGUUUUCAAUCUUUCCCGCUAAACCCUAAGUCCCAAAAUUUUGGCGGAUUGACAACAUUGCGCCACGAAAGAAGGUACUGUGCGUCGCACAAAGUUUUCAAUCUCUCCCGCUAAACCCUAAGUCCCAAAAUUUUGGCGGAUUGACAAUAUUGCGCGACGAAAGAAGGUACUGUGCAUCGCGCAAAGUUUUCAAUCUCUCCCACUAAACCCUAAGUCCCAAAAUUUUGGCGGAUUGACAACAUUGCUCGACGAAAUAUGGUACUGUGCGUCGCGCAAAGUUUUCAAUCUCUACCCAAUAUUUUGCCGGAUUGACAACAUUGUGCGACGAAAGACGAUACUGUGUGUCGCGCAAAAACUACCCUGAUACCAAAUUUUGGGAUUAACAAUAUUGCACGACAGAAGUUAUACUUAUGUCGUCGCGCAAGUGUCAAUUAAAAUAUUUUGCGUGACGCUUUUGUUUGUUCGUUGCGCAAAAUCGAAUAAAAUUGCAGAAACGACGCGAUAGCCUCCUUCUUCCCCAGAUUUGUUUUUCUACCCUAACUCUCUCUCUCUCUCUCCGCCUUCAGCUCAGCCCCCUACCCCAGUGGAUUUUGGACGACGGCGCCACAACAGUGGUACCCCGGAGGUUUCCCGCCGUCACCGUCGAGCCAGCCGCCCUAAUUCCUCGAUUUUCACCGAAUCUGCGCCGCCGUCGUUCUCUCUCCUUCGGCGACCAAAUCCGACACCUGAGGUAUGGUUUCUGUCCUAUUUUUGAUGCUUUAACUGAUGGUUGGGUAGGAUUUGUGUAAUUGUUGCAAUAGGGCAGUGGAUUUGAAACCCUAAAUUUCGACCGAUUUUUGAAUUCCAAUUCCGGCCACUUCUGGCCAUUUUUCAGGGUAGGUCCGAGAACAAAAGUGGCUCCAAUUGAUGUUUUGAACCUAGGGUAGGAACCUUGGCCCUUAGUUUUAAGAAAUUUUCGACGAUUGGUAUCGCUUUGGACACCCACGCUCUGCCAGCGCUUGUGGUGGCGCGUGGGGUACUGUAGCAGUCUUGCAUUGGGUCCCAGUGCAAUCCCAUAUUUGUCACGAGCGCGUAGGUGUUUUCGGAUUGGAAUUUGGUUACCGUUUGAGUCUCGAACGGAUUUUGCCUAUUGUGCGAUUUCCGGGUUUGUUAUGUUCGGACCGUUGGAUCGAACUCAAACUCACGUAUGGUGUACCUUGUAUUUCUUGGAUCGUCUAGGAUUCGACGGAUCGUGGAUCGGAGUCCCGAAUACUCCGAACUCGCAAACCCUAGGUCAAGAAUCUUAAUAAAAUUGUAUGUGCUUUCAAAUAUUCGUAUGUUUUAUUAAUUUGUAUGUGUAUUAAUGAAAUUGUGUAGAUGUCAGACCUGAUUAGACGUCGUAGGGCGGUGACGACUACGCAGAGUUCUGAGCCCCCGGCUCAACUGACAUCUGCUGCCACUGCGCCAGCACUGAUGGACCACUUGGCAGUUGGUCCCGCGGGGUCCCAGGCUCCUGCUUCAUCAGCUUCAUUAGUGGCACAACCUGUUAGCGCCAGGAAGCGUCAUCGGCCUGCCAGCACCACCGACACCACAUCCACUGAUGCGUCGGGGUCACAGCCAGGUAUAGAUUUCCUUAAACUCCAGUUAUUUAUAUUUUUGUUUUUGUUUUUAUUUUUGUUUUUGUUUUUGUUUUUGUUUUUAUUUGUGUGUGUAUUUUAUAGUUAAAUUUGUUAUUUAUUUAACAUUAAUGUCAUCUUUCUUUGCAGCCAAGAAGAACACCCGAGGGCCGUGUCGGUAGUUGAAGACGGCGAAGGUCACUCGGGUGACCAACAGUCGUAUCAACAUCGGAUACGACAAGCGACAUCGGGCUGCACCGACGGCGGAGUUGCAUAGCUCCUUGGCCCACGACAUUGGUGAUGUCAUUCCGAGCCAUUGCCCGAUGAAAUGGAAGUCUUGGAAGGUGAUGCCUGACGAGACCAAGAUGGAGGUUCGCGGCCAGUUGUCAGUAUGUAGGCCUUUUAAUUCUUUUUCUUUCAAAUUUUAUAUUUCUAUUAUUUAAAUGUAUUUAAUUAAUUUAUUGCAGACGAACUACAACUUGGAGGACCUGGACGACGAGUCGUUGGCGUACAUCAACAGACUCUUCUCUGAGAGGUACAAAUAGUGGAAGAGCGACUUGCACCACUAUUUUGAGGCGUUUGAUGAUCCAGAAGUCUCUCUUCAGGAGGGUUGCCCGAAGGAGCUUGAGGGGCGGGAGGAUAGUUGGGCGUGGCUCUGCUCUCAUUUUCAGGCGCCCGCUUUUGUGGUAAUUUGUAAUAUGAAUUUCAAAUUUAUUAUAUUUUUCUUACUAAUGUUUUUUUAAUGUUUUAUAUUUAAUUUCAAUUUCAACUAAUACGUUUUAUUUUUUGUAUAACAGAAUAAAGCCAAAGUCAAUAAGGGCAAUAGGAAGAAGAAGACUCUUCUCCAUCAUUCGGGUUCCAGGCCCUUCUCCUAUAGGAUGGAUGCAUGGCGGCAGGUAAUCAUAAAAAAAAUUUUAUUUAAUUUUUAAUAUUUAAUUAUUCUUAAUUUAUUUUUUUGUACUAAUAUUUUUCUUCUCUUGUUCAAUUUAGGGGGGUCCAAAUUCCCAGAGAUCGACGUCUUUGGCGACGUUUAUGUUCGACCUGGGAAUGAGUUGGGCGAGUCCCUUCAUGUAAGUAUUAUUUAAUUUUAAUUAUUAUGUUACGCAUUCAAGUUUAAAGGUUAUUAUAUGAAUGUUUUAAUUUAUAUUUUAUGUUAUGCUAAACAGAUGACGAUGGUGGAGAGGAGCCAGUUGGUUCUUCAAGAGUCCGCCUCCCAACUUCCUUCCGAUACUCCGAUCGAGUCUGUGGAUCCUCCACAGGAUGCUGGGUUUCAGAUCUUGACGGAGACAUUGGAUCAGACUCUAGGGAGGAGACCGGGGAUAUAUUGUCGAGGGAUGGAGAAUGCCAGGCGGAGGGAAGCCAGACCCCGUUCAUUAGCGCAGUCAAGCAGUCAGGUCACUGCUUUGACAGCACAGGUGGCCACUCUUCAGAGUCAGAUGUCGGACAUUCUGCAGUCCCUCGCACAGUUCGGCAUUCCAGUCCCGCAUUUUGAUGCGCCGACCUCUGAGCCCGUCCAUCCUGAGCAUCCCCACCAGACGACGGCCCUUGUAGACCCCCAGACCUCUGAACCGCAUGUGCCAGACGACAAUGUAGAUUUUGGAACAUUAUGAUUAGUUUUUUUAUUUUCAUAAUUAUUUUUUAAAUAUUUCUCUUGCAGCAUACAUUUAUUUUAUAUAAUAAAUAUGUUCUUUACAAUUCUUUUUUUUAUUGGAAUUUCAUUUUAUUACCCAAAAAAAAAAAACCAAAUUUAUUUUUUUAUAAAAUAAAAUAAAAAGUAAUAUUAAAAUUAAAUAAUAAUUAUAUAUAUUAAUUUUGCGCGACGAAAUCUUUCUCGUCGCGCAAAUUUAUAUAUUACGAAAUAAAAAUGUUUCAUUUUUUUAAAUACAUAUAAUUUAUUCUUGCGCGACGAAUAUUUUCGUCUCUCAAAAAGGAUUUGCGCGACAACAGUUUUUCGUCGCGCAAAAUGUGUUGACACGAAUUGCACGACGAAGAUAUCUUUGUGCCGCAAAUAUCUACGACACGUAUUGCGCGAUGAAAAUGUUCGUCGCGCAAAAAACGUAUGCGCGACAACAAUGUUUCGUCGCGCAAUACGUGUAGACAUGAAUUGCGCGACGAAGAACUCUUGGUGCCGCAAAUGUGUACGAGACGUAUUGUGCGACGAAUAUUAUUCGCCGCGCAUCGUUGUGGCGACGAACCCGCUUUCGUCGCGCAUAAGUUUGUGCGACGAACUAUUGCAUCGUCUCUGAACCUUUUGUGCAACGAAGGGUAACCGUCGCACAAAUUUGCGCGACGAGUGAUACAAUCAGUCGCGCAAAGUCUUUCUUCACCAUCUUUGCACCACAGAUUACGCGCGACGAAUUUUCUGUCGUGCUUGAGUUUGUGCGACCAAAUUUAACUCUGCGCGACGAAAUUGGCUUCGUCGCGCAAAUCGUAAAAUGUAGUAGUGGAAGUUAUCAACAUCUAUAGGAACCCCAAUGAAAAGGCUGUUAACUAAUAAUGAAGUAAACCCCUCAAUGUUUCCGCGUAUCAGAUAUCUCUCAGAAUAUGCGAUUCCAUACUCAAUAAGCAACUCCACAUCCCCUGAGGUUUUCACCAAACCACCCAUUAAGGAAACAUACUGACUCAUGUGUAAUUAUCAUUACUCAUCGGGUAAUGCAAUUGUUCAAAGGCAAGGACAUUUCUCAUUAUUUCUGUAGUGAACCCCAAUGGAAAUGGUGGGAUCUUCAGAACCCCAUUGGUGCUACUGAAUUGUAUGUCAAAUAUGUUUUCACCUUGUCGCGCCUCAAACUUGACUCCAGCGUGCUGUAAUUCUGUCAAGCUGGGUAUGGAUGAUGGGAGUUCCCCUCCAGCUUUUGAUUCCAACGGUUGAUAGAGUUUAAAUAUUUUCCUGUAAAGAUCAACAAUAUGUGCCACUGAUCUAAAAGUCUCCAAAUUGUCUUCCAUUUUGUCAACAGGCAAUAGAUGUUCGAAGAAACUGAAAGAAAGACUAAUUAUUGAAAGCCCCUCAGUAAUGCAGUUAUUGUCAGCAUCAGCAGGGAGUGUAAUUUUCUGUGGGUCGAAAAGAUCCUCGAGAAUGAAGAAUGGCAACUGAUUUUCAAGCAACCACAUAUCUGUCCAUACAUCUUGCAACAUACCUGGUUUGUCAAAUAUGCGGUCAUUUUCAUCCCAAAAUUUGAAGUAGUCCUUCAAUAAGAGCUCAAUAACGAAGGCGGCAUCCACUAGAAUGAUUGUUACAAAUUCAUCACUGCUAAACUUGAUGGGUUCUCCAUAACAACGUCUCAAUCUUGCUUCGUGGUCCUUUAUUUUCUUAAUAUAAUCCUCCAAACUCACAUUGGUCCGACCUAUAAAAUCUUGCAGGUAUCUCUGUUUGUGCUCUUCCUAUACGACAUUCAAGCCUUCCUUUCCAUGGUGAAGUGGGCCUAUAGAGACCACCUGAGGUGUGCAGAGCUUUUCAUUCACACUUCGUAGUCGUUGAGGAACUCUGUAGAUACAGCACUUGGAGGAUGGGGGAGACAAGCUAUUGAACCCUUUUCUCAUCGAAUUUGCUAAUGAAAUGUAUGGGUUUUCUAUGUCAUUUUGAGCAGAUUGAUGGCUUCCUGCCAUUUUCCAGCUCCUGACUAUAUGUGGUGUUCCGAUUGUAACAGAUUACAAUAAUGAUGAGUAUGGAUAACUGAAUUACUGAUAAAACAAUCAAGAAACAUUUCGUUAUUUUCCAUUCCCAAUAACGAAAUCAAAAUGUUCAAGGAAAUAUAAUCAGGAUAUUGCAAUUAUAUAGCCAUUCAUAAGCUGCCUGGCAUGGAAUAAGAGGUGGAAACCAAAUCUACUUAUUGGCCAAAGUUCGAAUUCACUAUAUAUAGAUAUAUAUUUUGCCAAAAUCUAAAACUGACCAACCUUAGAUACAAAAACACGGUACAGCCCGGUUAAAGUAAUUCCAAGUGCGAAGAAAGAAAGGAAUUGAGCGUUUGUACCUCUACAGCUAGCCAAAUUUUCUAUUGAUUCUUUAAAUUUUAGAGAGCAAUUACUCUUAAUUUGGUAGGUGUAGGACUGUGCAACUUCAAGCUUUAAUGAAAGAAGCCAAGUUUAUUCUAAGGGGACAAGUCAGAGACAACGAAAUUUUGCUCAGCUUCAUUUUCAAAUUUGCUGCUUAAGAAGGAAAUUUAAUAUGUUUGUUUCACAAAUUGUAUUGUCAUCAAUGAAACUCGUGCACACCCAACGAAAUUUGCAUGGCUUAUUUUCAAAGGAGUACUGCUAUUUCCAUCCUCUGUCCUAUUUUUCCACUCACCUUAUCUUCAAAAUUUUAAAGACAAAAAUAAACCCCUUUGUAAAAUGCUUAAAAAGAAAUUUAAUAUGUUUGUUUCAAAAAUUGAUAUUGUCAUCAAUGGUUAAAGAAUUGCUGGUGACAACAUAUACUUCUUUUCUACUGUAUUAAUUUCUUUCUUUAUUUUUUCUUCAGUAUAGUUCUGCCUUUCUUUUACAUGUUUAUGCGCAUAUUUGACACGUUCAAGUAUACUUAUAUAACAAAUGCAAUGAGUUUGUAGUCACAAAAAUCAAGGAUUGAAAACAAAAAGUAAUAUUAUGUGCAAGAGAAACUUACCUGCAGAAACUGAAGAACUCCUCUAGUUUCUUCUCUGUCGCUAUGUACUCCCGCGUUCAAGUUAUUAUUCUUACAAUGUACAUACACUAUUAUAUAAUGGCGAGAAGGCUCUGAUUAACCUCCUUUUUGCUUCAUUGGAUGGGGCAAGAAUGGAAUUGUCACCGUGGGUGUGGAGGUGAUCUACCAUUUGAGCAAGAAAUUCCCACAUAUUCUUUAACUAUUUUUCAAGCAUGCAUAUUCCUCCCUAUCAAUCUUUGGUCUCUUCUUUUACUAUUUUUCAAGCAUGCAUACUUUGAUUUUAAAUCAUCUUUUCCGCACUAAUUUGCUUCAAUCAAGAAACAGUUAAUAUAUUUUGUAUCAUCAUUAGAGAACACUUGAAACUGCAUAAGUUAAUUUUGAAGAUGAUGGCAGAACCAAAAUGUGUAUAGCUUAUAACUAUAAUUUCUUGAUUACAACAAGAGGUUUCAAGUUUUCAACAACACAAAUAUGAAUCUCCCAAGCAAAGAUAAACAAUAAAGCAAGCAUACGGAUUGUCAAAUUGCCUUCAAUCACUCUAAAAUACUUCAUACCGUCCGACACUGGCUUCAAUUACUCUACAAUACUUCAAUUCAUAUAUUGUCCUAUUUUCACAUGUACAUCCUGCUUUUACUUAAGGGUUAAUUGUUGAUUUACCCCUUGAACUUGUACUCUACUUUCAAUUUGCACCCUCAACUUUUUUUUUUGAAAAUUAGGUGCAUGAACUAAUUUUUAUUGCCAAUUCCCCCUACCAACAUGUCAUCUAAUAGUCUGUCAAAUCAUUAAAAAAUAUAAUAUUUUUGGAAAAAAUUAAAGAAAAAAAAAUUCCUAAGGACCCACAGACCCAGAACCCACCCUCCGUUGCCCCCGCUUGCUGUUUUCUUCUCCUCCCAGUCCCCCAUGACCACCACCCUCCACUGCCACACCAAUCCCCUACCCAACAGACCCCUCACCCCUUCUUUUUUUUCACCCCCGAACCCAGCAUGAGUUAUUGGUUAAUACCAUUUUCUUAAUUGCCAAAUAAAAAAAAAAAACAGAGUUAACCCUCUGUUAAGCUAGCUGACUAGUGGGGCGAAAUGGAGGAAAAUCAAUAUGGAGACAGCGGAUCCGGUCCCGUGUAAGUGUAUCUGAUGGAAUAAAAGAAUGAUAUUAUUGGUGGUGGGUACGGUUAUGUGGAAGUAAUAAUGGGUAAGAGAAGAAACUUGUUCUCUUGUGAUAAUCAAAAGACAGAAAGUAGUGGGAAAAGACAGAAAGUAGUGGGACACUAUUUUAGAUAUGAUAAUGUUCCUUCCUUGAUUGAUGCAAAUGAAGAGAAAAGGGUGGCUUUAUAUAAUAGCCACUACCGACCUAACACAUUAAAAACACAACUAACACCAAACAUAGUUAAUUCAACUAACUUCUACCACACCAUUAAUUUAACACACAACUACUAACAAACUGCCAACUAUUUCAAAGUUACCAGCCGACUAUUAAUGAAGUCUAGAUUACUUUAACAUCCUCCCUUAAGCUAGACUUCAUUUACGCCAAUUAAUUUUCUCAUCUUGAUGAGCGGCUCUUUCUUCAACGGUUUGGUGAACAAAUCUGCCAGCUGAUCUUGGGACUUGCAAUACAGAACCUCAACUUCUUUAUCUUUGAUUAGCUCUCUGAUGAAAUGGAACUUGAUCUUGAUGUAACACCCCGACCCCAAAUUUUCCCAAAUUUUACCCUUAUUUAAUUAUUUAAUUAUUUAAGGGUAUUUUAGUCAUAUUUUUAACCGGAGAGAGUUUGGGACCGUGACUAGUAUUUUUGGAUAGGUCGAGCUGAGACGAGUUCAUAGACACGUAGUGGGCUCGAAUCGGAGUUGUAACGAGAGAGAUAUGGUCAAAAGAAGCCCAGUGGCACAAUCGUAAAUAUUUCGAAAUGGGAUUUUUUAUAAAAACUCAAAUUUUUCUCUCUCUCUCUCUCUCUCUCUCUCUCUCUCUCUCUCUCUCUCGCGACUCCUCUCUCUCUCUCCCGUCGGCCUCUCCUCUCUCUCUCUUCGUAACUCCGGCCACCGGCCGCGGCUGCGGACGGGGCCGGUGUCAAAAGAACCGGCUCGACCUCGGCAUCACGACCCAGCCCAUCCCCGCCAUCGGCCGCCGCUCCAGCCGCCGGAAAAUGGCGAUUUUCGCCCAGAUGUCGCCGGAACUUCAACGCCGUCGAUCUCCCUCCUCCGGCCACCAAUUCCGUCGACCCAGGUAUGGAUUUUGAACCUCUCGAGCUGCUCUAGCUGAUGGUUGGGUAGGAUUAGAUCGAUUCUUAGCGUAGAUCACUCGAUUUUCGAAUUGAAAAUCGGCCGAAACUUCGGCCGCCGUGAUCGGCCAUUUCCGGCCACUUUUUGGGGUAGGUCCAAGAACAAAAGUGGCUCCAAAUAGGGUGUUAUACCUAGGGUAGGAGUUUGGAGCCGUGGUUUUGAGAUUUUCCGGCGGAGCGUUAUCGCUUUGGGCACCCACGCGCUGCUGGCGCGUGCGGCGGAGCGUGGGCACUGUAUAAAAAGUAGCGAUGUAUUCCGAUGAGAUCCUUAGGUUGUCACGAGUGCGUAGGAUUUUGCGGAUCUCAAUUCGGACGUCGUUUGACUAUCGAACGAAUAAUCGCAUAGUGUGCGUUAUCCGGGUUCGAUAGGUUGGGACCGUUGGAUGGUCCCAAAUUUAAUAUAUGUUAAUCUAGGUAUUUCUAGGAUCGUGUAGGAAUUCACGGAUCGUGAAUCGGAACUCCGGAUGUUCCGAAUAAUAAUUUUAAGUUUAUAUUUUAUAUUAACCAUCAGAUCGUGCGAUCGUGAGCAAUCCGACCGUCCGAUCUGAACCAAACUUGCAGGACAAGUGUCCUACACCUGGUAGAACCCAUAGGGACUUCCGGAUCGGAAAUUGGAGGUCGUGGGUUCUGCAGGUCCGUUUGACCAGGGUUAGAGUAGUUUGACUCUUGGUUGACCGUGAGUCUCCCGGAGUAAUCUCACCCUUCCAGGGGGAAUUAUCGGGAGCUAGACUAUUGUGGAGGGUUACACAAUAUUAGAAUUAUUUAUAUAAAUUAUGUGGUUGUACAAGGGUACAACAGAGUCUAGAAUGUCAGUUUGGAGUGCUAUACGCACUACUCUAGGUACCUCCUCGGACUUUGGAAUUUCUACAAGUACCACCAAGUGAAAGUUAGGUCCCACGUGGCGUAGGUUAUCCGGCGUGUCGACAGACCCCAUACGUGGCGUUGGUUGUACCGGCGUAUGGGGAGAUUUGUGAUAUGAUAUUGAGGUCCCGCGUGGCGUAGGUUAUCCGGCGUUGGGACAGGCCCCAUACGUGGCGUUGGUUGUACCGGCGUAUGGGGAGAUAUUAUGAUAGUAUGGCAUGGUCGCACGUGGCGUAGGUUAUCCGGCGUGUCGACAGACCCCAUACGUGGCGUUGGUUGUACCGGCGUAUGGGGAGAUUUGUGAUAUGAUAUUGAGGUCCUGCGUGGCGUAGGUUAUCCUGCGUUGGGAUAGGCCCCAUACGUGGCGUUAGUUGUACCGGCGUAUGGGGAGAUAUUAUGAUAGUAUGGCAUGGUCGCACGUGGCGUAGGUUAUCCGGCGUGUUGACAGGCCCCAUACGUGGCGUUGGUUGUACCAGCGUAUGGGGAGAAUAUGUGAAAUACAGAGAAAUGAAAUAAGGUAUUGCCCAAGUGUGGAAUUGGGUUUUAGGGAAGAACUACUUAUGGCUUGAUCCCUCAAGGAGGGUACGUAGGCAGCCUAAGGUUAUUAGGUGCAGCCGCAGACUAAAUAUUAGUCAUAAAUUGUAAUUGAACUGUUUGGUAGUCGUUUGAGGAAGUAUUGAAAGGCCGAAGGCCAUUUGUGUGAAUUGCAUGAAAUUAUAUUGUGCAUGCUGCCAGUUGGGAAUAUUAAAUGCGUUUUUAUGCAGGUAUAAAUUUUGGGAAUGUCCAAUUUACAGGGGAGACUCUGCCAAAAUUUCGGCAGGAAGUCUCGGUUUUUAGUAAGUGGGCCUGGCAUCGGGGUGAUGUCAGGAAUUCCAAAGGGUUCGUCUCGGGUUUUGAGAAAAUUCGGGGCGGGUCCUUUCACUUGAUAUGCUUACUCUUGCUGUGAAACAUUGGAUUUUUGGAAAGACAAAUAGCUGAUUUGUUGUUGCAGAACAGCUUUGUAGGUCCUUCUUGAACUUGACCCAUCUCUUCUAAAAUACUUUUCAGCCACCUAGCUUGACAACCUGCUGAUGCAAGAGCAACAUACUCAGAUUCUGUAGUUGAAAGUGCCACUAUAGAUUGCUUUUUGGAGGACCAUGAAAUCGCACUUGAGCCAAUGCUAAAGACAUAACCAGAUGUGCUUUUGCAAGUAUCAACAUCUCCACCCAAGUCACUGUCACUGUAGCCAGUCAAAUUUAGAUUCUGAAUAGGAUAAUAAUGCAAACCAUAAUUGAUAGUUCCAACCACAUAUCUUAGGAUUCUCUUUCCAAGCUCCCAAUGAACAUCUUUUGGUGACUCCACUAAACGGCUGAGGAAGCUUACUGCAUAUGUAAGAUCUGGCCUUGUUGUAGUUAAAUACAAGAGGCCACCCACUAGACUUCGAAACAAAGUUUGAUUUACCAUUGUGCUUCCAUCAUUCUUACCUAUCUUAACACCAACCUCCAUUGGAGUAGCAAUUGACUUUGCAUUUUCCAACCUGAACCUUUUCAACAAUUCCUUUGCGUAUUUCUUUUGAGAAAUAUAGAUACCAUUCUCAUUUUGUUUGACUUCAAUUCCAAGAAAGAAAUGAAGCAAACCAAGGUCUGUCAUUUCAAAUCUUUGUGACAUAAUCAUCUUGAAAUUAUCACACAUUUGAGCAUUACUUCCAGUAAAUAUUAAGUCAUCCACAUAUAAGCAGACAAUCAAAAUCUCACCUUGAGAGUUCUUCUUGGUGUAAAGAGUAUGCUCAUAUGGGCAUUUGUGAAACCCAUACUCUUGGAAGAAUGCAUCAAUCCGACUGUACCAAGCUCUUGGAGCUUGUUUCAAACCAUAUAAAGCCUUCUUCAAUCUACACACUUUUGUUUCUUCAUUUCCCUGCACAUAACCUGGAGGUUGAGCAACAUACACUUCUUCUUCCAAAAAACCUUGCAAGAAUGCUGGUUUAACUUCCAUUUGAAAGACUUUCCAACAAUUUUGGGCAGCAAGAGCUAACACCAUUCGGAUGGUGUCAAAGCGUGCAACUGGAGCAAAAACUUCAUUGUAAUCAAUUCCAUAAUUUUGCUUGUAGCCUUUAGCUACCAAGCGAGCUUUGUAUUUCUCAACUUCUCCUUGAGCAUUCAGCUUGGUCUUAUACACCCAUUUUACUCCUAUAGGCUUCUUUCCUUGAGGAAGAUCAACCAGCUCCCAUGUGUCAUUUUUCUUAAUGGAAUCAAUUUCUUGAUCCAUAGCCUUCACCCAAUUUUCAUCCUUUGAAGCCUCUUCAAACAUAAUUGGGUCUGCAUCUACAAAUAGAGCAAAAUUUGUGCCACCAUUAGUGAUCAAAACAUAAUCACUAGAUGGGUACCUUGUGGAUGGUUGAUGAGCUCUUGUUGAUCUCCUUUGUCCUCUGCAAAUUUCUUCUUCCUCACUGCUAUCACUAGAAGAAGUUGAUGAUGACCCUUGUGAUGAAGAUUCCUAUGAUGAUAGAGUUGUUGGUGGAGUUAAAUCUGGAUUUUCAAGGCCAAUGUCCAACAGUAUUGGACUUUGAUUUUCAGCUUCACUCCAAUUCCAUGCUUCUUCUUCAUUGAACUUGACAUCACGACUAACAAUAAUCUUGUUAGUCAAUGGAUUAAACAACUUAUAUGCCUUGGCCUUUUCACUAUACCCAACAAGAAUGCACUUUUCUGAUUUGUCAUCCAAUUUUCUCCUUGUUUUAUCAGGAAUAUGAGAAUAAGCAAUGCUGCCAAAUAUCCUUAAGUGACUAAUACAUGGCUUGAGGCCACUCUAAGCUUCUUGAGGAGUCUUGCCUUCCACACUAUUGGACGAUGCACGGUUCAAGAGAUAUACAGCACAUGCCACUGCUUCUGCCCAAAAACGAUUAGGCAUUGCUUUUGCCUUCAACAUGCUUCUUGCCAAUUCCAUAACGGUCCUAUUUUUUCUCUCGGCCACACCAUUUUGCUGUGGGGUGUACCGAGCUGUGAACUGAUGCUUAAUCCCAUUUUCUUUUAGAAAAUUUUCGAACACAUUGGAUGAGAAUUCUCCACCUUGAUCAGACCGCAAGGUUUUCAAUGCAAAUCCACUUUGCUUCUCAGCCAAAGCUUUGAAAACUUUAAAGUAAUCAAACACCUCUGAUUUAUAUUUGAGAAAAUAGACCCAUGUCUUUCUGCUAUAAUCAUCAAUGAAUGUAAGAAAGUAGCGGUUACCUCCUGUUGAUGUUGUGUUCAUGGGCCCGCAUACAUCUGAGUGCACCAGCUCAAGAGGAUGGGAUGCUCUCCAAGAAUUUCCUGUAAGAAACGAAUUUCUCUGAUGUUUUCCCAGCACACAUGCUUCACAAACUUGUGUUUGAUGCUGUAUCGUUGGUAGGCCUCGUACCAUAUGUUGUUUCCCCAUCAAUGAUAGUGUAUUGAAACUCAAAUGCCCAUAGCGUAGAAGCCACAACCAUGAGGAAUCCUUGAUAAGUGCACUUAAGCAAGCAAAAGAUUCAUACUUUAUGUUCAGAGAAAACAUAUUGUCUCCUGACAUCUGCACCUUUGUAAUUAGAGAGUUGUACUUGUCUCUAAUUACACACUGGUCUUCCCUGAACUGAAUAUUAUGGCCUUUAUGAAGAAGUUGCCCCACACUAAGGAGAUUGUAAUUUAAAUCUGGAACAUAUAACACAUCAGAGAUUCUUUUUUGUUCUCCAGACUUGGAUAGAAAAAGAAUAUCUCCACAUCCUUUGGCCACUAGCUUUCCACCAUCACCAAUCCUUACUUCUGAGUUGUUGGUAUGCUUGAAAUUGACAAAGGCACUUUUGUUGCCUGUCAUGUGAUUACUACAUCCGCUAUCAAGAUACCAUUUUUCUGCACACACGUUUCCUUCCCUGGCAGCUGCAUAUGCAAGUAGAACCACAUUAUCAUUUUCCCUUUCAGAAGCUUUUUCAUGCACAAAGCUUGAUUCGGCUCCUCCAUUUGUUUUGUUUUUGCAUGUUGACUUGAUGUGCCCAUAUUGCUUGCAAUUGUAGCACUGAAUAUUAGAAAGAGAGGAACCUUGUUCUCUUCCUCUUCCUCUUGAAUAACCACCAUAAUCUCCUCUUCCUCUUGGAUAACCAUAAUCUCCUCUUCUUCUUGAAUAACCAUAAUCUCGUGCAGAGCCUUCAUCAUUAGUUUUUUUUAGGUCAUUUGCAUAGCCACGUCCUUGAUUAUUUCUUCCUCGUCCACGAGUAAAGCCGCCUCUUCCUCUUCUAGAACUUCCUCUGAAUGAGACUUGAGAUUGAAAAGCUUGCUCAACAGGGCCAGAGUCAAACUGCUUCAGUCGUAACUCAUGGGAUUGAAGAGAACCCAUUAAACUGUCAAGAGACAAAGUAGACAGAUCUUUGGAUUCUUCAAUUGCCACCACAAUAUAUUCAAACUUUCGGGGACAUACUUCGAAGAAUUUUUUCAGCAACUCUCUGAUCUUCAAUUUUUUCUCCAUUAAUUCUCAGUUGGUUGACUAGAGAAAUGACACGAUUGAAAUAGUCUUCAACAGAUUCUGACUCCUUCAUACGUAACAUAUCAAACUCACCUCUUAGAGUUUGCAGUCUUGCCAUCUUCACUUUAUCUUCUCCUUUAUAUGAUGCAAAGAGAGUGUCCCACGCCUGUUUUGAUGUAAUGCAUGAUGAGAUUCUUUCAAAGAUAGCUUCAUCCACUGCUUGAAAGAUAAAGAAUAAAGCUUUUUUGUCCUUCUUACGUGUCUCCUUCAGCUCUGUGAGUUGUUGUUGAGUGAGGACUGCUUGAUCAUUUGGCUCCACAAAGCCAUUUUCAACCACCUCCCACAAAUCUUGAGCAGCAUACAACACCUUCAUUUGGAUGCUCCAUUGACUAUAAUUCUUCCCUGUAAACUUUGGAAGCUGGGGCUGUAACAAGUUGUUGUUUGAAGCCAUAUGAUUCUGAGUUUCCAGCUCUGAUACCACUUUGAUGGAAUAAAAGAAUGAUAUUAUUGGUGGUGGGUACGGUUAUGUGGAAGUAAUAAUGGGUAAGAGAAGAAACUUGUUCUCUUGUGAUAAUCAAAAGACAGAAAGUAGUGGGACACUAUUUUAGAUAUGAUAAUGUUCCUUCCUUGAUUGAUGCAAAUGAAGAGAAAAGGGUGGCUUUAUAUAAUAGCCACUACCGACCUAACACAUUAAAAACACAACUAACACCAAACAUAGUUAAUUCAACUAACUUCUACCACACCAUUAAUUUAACACACAACUACUAACAAACUGCCAACUAUUUCAAAGUUACCAGCUGACUAUUAAUGAAGUCUAGAUUACUUUAACAGUAUCGAAUCUAGCUUUAAUAUGUAUUGGGUCCUCUGGACAAGAAUUCUAUCCUUUUCGUCCUAACUAAUAUGUAGGGGAAAAACAAUACAUCAAUUAUCCUUUUCGUCCUAACUAAUAUGUAGGGGAAAAACAAUACAUCAAUUAUGAAUUUUUUUUAUCUGGGUUCGAAAUUAAAUAUGAAUGGAGUUUUGGAGGCUUAAAAGUUAUAAGCUCAAGAAAGGAAGGAAACUAUAUGUACAUUUGGGUCGGAGGCAAAGGUCCAGUCAUCUACCGUCCAGGAUAUACAGUAUCAAAAAAGGCUUAAGAAUUGUAAUAAGGUGACAUACGCCCACAUACGGCCAACGCUAGCAUAUUUCGUAAGUGUAUUAUAUGUCUUCUAAGUAUAUCAUAGUUAUGUGUCAAUUUUAGAUCCAAUUGCACACCCAAAAUACAGAAACAAAAUCAUUGAGAAUACACUUUUUUUCACUUAUAUUUUGAAUAUGCAUUGCCUGUAUUUCAUGUGUAUGAUAUAGGGGCUUCACUUAUAGUUUUUGCACAAAACCUCCCUUGAUGAAGGAUGUCUUAGAUUAAUGACAUCAAUGAUUUGUUACAUUUGGAGUACCCAACAUAACAGCUCUCUGAUUAACAAUAAAGUUAUAAAAUUUCAACAGUUUCAUACCUAACAAGCAUAGAGAAACAAAUAAAACAACCACAUUGCUUCGAUCACUGUACAUGCACACAGCUCACUUUCACUAACUACAGAGGCUAUAUUUUCUACAUAUACACUAACUUUUUCUUUCUCCAGCUCUCUUACACCACCAGGCUGGUGACAAACCCAGCUCGCGUCAUGUGGAGGACCAAAAGGAAAUGACAAGGAGAAAACGGCUAAGGAGAGACUUACUCUCAACACUUAGAAGGCAGAGCAGAGAUAACAGAGCACACUGCUUGUAUAAAAGUGAGUAUGAGGAGAAAAAUAGCGGUAGCAAUUGAAAUAGUUGCCCAAGGUGUGUUGCAAUAGUUUUGUCUCAAGUUUGCCUGCCAUUUGUGCCAAGACGUUCUGCAGUACUUGUUGAGGUCUGCACAAAGAAUAGCAAAAUAGAAGUCAUUAGAGUCCACAAUGACCCCAUCUGCAAGGUUGUUGAUCAGAGUAGACCCUCCACUACUGUCACCGAGCAUAUUUUCGACGAUUCCUUGCUUAACAACCAACUCCACAUCCGUUGCGGUGUUCACAAAGCGAUCCACGAUGACAACAUAAUUGUUUAUGUAAUUCUCCAUGCAAUGGCAUUGUUCAAAGGCAAGGAGGUUUCUGAUUGUAAGCUCUGUCUCAUCACUUAUUGCUAAUUUUGGAAUUUCUAGAAUCCCAUUAGCGAAUUGUAUGUCGAAUAAGUUUUUGGGUGAUCCCACCUUAAACUUGACUCCUGCUCUGUGUAACUCUGUGAUGCUGGAUGUGUUUAAGAGUUUCAAGUCGCCCCUUAGCAGGUGGUUUCAAUGGUAGAGGUAGAUACAAAUUUCUACAAAAAUCUACAAAGUGUUCUACUUUAGAAGUACAUAAUUUCUCCAUAUUGCCAUCCGUUCCCUCUAUGUGCAUUAGAGUUUUGAAGAAAUUGUGGCAAAGGUUAAGCAUCGAAAGCCUCUCAAUAUUGUUAUUGUUAGAAGAGACUUUGAUUUUUUCGGGGUCAAAAAGUUCCUCAAGAAUGAAGAAUGGCAGCUGAUUUUCAAACAACCGCAUGUCAGGCCAUACGUCUGGCAACAGCCAUGGUUUGUUAAAUAUGCGGUCAAUUUCAUCCUGCAAUUCAUCGAAACGAUACCUCAACAAGACCUCAAUGAUGAAGGCGGCAUCCACUAGAAUGAUUCUCACAAAUUCAUCACUGCUAACCUGAAUGGUUUCUGCAUAACAACUGCGCAGUUUUGCUUCUUGGUCUUUUACUUUCUGUACAUAAUCGGCUAGGCUUACCCUGGUCCGACGUAUAUAAUCUUGUAAGUACCUCUUUUUGUGAUCUUCCAUGGCUUUUAGGCCUUCCUCGCCAUGAUGAAGUGGGCCUAUAGAGACUACCUGAGGUGUGUAGGCCUUUUCACUCACACGCCGUAGUCGUUCAGGAACUCUAUAAAUGCAACACAAGGAGGAGAGGGAAGACAAGCCAUCCAACUCCUCACUCAUUGAAGUUACUAAUGGAAUGCAAGGGUUUUCAAUAUCAUGUGGAGCUUGAUCGCUUCCUUCCAUUUUCCGCUGAUGUGUUUGUUGUUGUCAAUCAUAAUGGAUGAUAAUGAAAUGAUAGUCACUGACACAACAAUAAACAAAUUUUUCAAGAUGGCUGAGAAAAUUAAUACAAACAUUGCAAUUAUAAGACCAAACACACAAAGACUUUUGAUCCUUGUAACUCUUACAUACCACACUAGUGCCUUAAGAAUUCGAUUUGAAUGCACCAAAUUCAUUCAAAACUCUUCUGGUCAACUCUGUUUCUUGUAAUUAUUCUUGGAAGAUUCUAAUACAUUUUUGAUUGAAAAAUUCCUACUAAUCAUGUGAAUCAGUACCAAAGUUUAUUUCAAAUUAACAUACAAACCCCACUUUUUUUUUCCUACAUAUAUACUUCUUUAUUUCCCCUCAACUUAUUGGAGCUUCUAAUAAAGCAAAUUCUUUCUGUGAUGAUAUCAGAUAGUAGAUUAUGCUUCCAGUCAAAACAUAGACAAACCAAAAUCCCAUUAGAAGAGAAGAAAAUAAUAUACGACAUUCACAUAACCUUCUGCUCAAUUCCAAUUUCCAACUACAAUGAAACAUAAGACACUUAAAAGCUUCAAGAAAUUGGAUGUGCAAGCAAACAUAGCGAAAUUAUGAAAGACAGAGAAAGGUGUUGGGCAUUGAAAACAUACCUGAUACGUAUUGAAACACAAUUUUUUUUUGCCUUUGGUAGAUGGAGUAGCUAGAAAAGCUCAAUGCACUUGCUCUUCUGCUACAUUUCAAUAUAAGAACAUUGUUUGGAAGUCCGGUCAAUUCCUCAAAGCUUCCUUGCCUUUGUUUUGACAUGCCGAUGCCCGUCUUGGGGAAGUUUGAAUAAUCCAUUGCAGGCCCCAUGAUAGGAUUUUUAGUACUUGUGCAAACAGUGUUAAAAAUCACAUAAAAUACUUGCAAGAAUACAAGGCUAUUGUAGUAUAGAUGCUCAUGCAAGGUCGUUUUCCUCAAGGACUAAUUAGCAAUUUAUGUAAAAACAAAUUCCAAUUACUACUUAAAAUAAAAAGUCAAGAAAGAUGAUUAUAAAUUUGGUGGAUUCUAAAAAACAAAUAUUAAACAAAAACAAAUACGAUUGAAAGAAAGAGUUUUGAAUAUCAAUUUAUAAAAACACUAGGGUUUCACCAUCACCUAGCAAUCCUAUGAACUUUUACCAAUUACUUAUGAUUUGCACAUGCCACUUUGAAGGUUAGGUUUUCCUAAUGUAUAUUCUACUUGGAACCUCCAACACAGAACGUAUAUCCAACAUGCAACCCGUCCGGACGUUCGGAUCAAAUCUGAACAUGAAAGACUCAUUAAGUUUUGUGAAAACCCUUUGAAAAACCAUGCAACCCUUAAGACGUGGUGUUCAUCUUAAGUGAAAUUACAAUUAUUAAUCACAAGAAGCUAGCAUAAAUUUCAGGGAACCUUCCGACCAAAAUUGCAUCCAAUUACUUUUCUAAAGAUCCUAAUGGUGAUCAGGCAUUAAGACAAUUAGAUAGUUUAAAAUAGUGAUUAACAAUUCAAAAUACGCAUGCACUCAUCAUAAGCAAUUAAAUAAAAAUCACAUAUUCAUGCUAAGGUUCAAGGCUUCACCCUAGCAAAAGAAAUUUAGUUACGCAUACUCAUAAUUGAAAUCCAAGAAAAUAUCAUUAAGAAGAAAAGAACGAAAACACCUGAAAGUUGUGAAAACCCAAAACCCUAGCAAUUGCUCUCUACAAUGCAAAGUUCAAAAAUAAUUAAGAAGUCCUAAAUUCCUUGUGAGAAAGAGCUUAAAUAUCCCUUAAAACCUAGCUGCCAAUGUACAGCUUUUCUAUCCCUACAAGGAAACUAAUUAAAGUAAAAUAAUACUAGGAAAUAAAGUCCAAAUUGGAAUAGGAGAAUUUGCCCAAAAUCAGCCCAGCCACGUUUUGGCCCCAAAUCUCCUCCAAAUCUGGCCCAAGAUAGCUUUUUUUAAAGACACUACUACAAAAAGUGAAAAAGACGACCAGAAAACAACGACGGUCUAAGUGAAAACCGUCGUGGUUUUUAAAAAGACGACGGUUCUAAAAACACCGUCGUGUAAUACCACCUUAGACAACUAAAAAAUGGAGAUUCAAAUGGCUGUUCAAAAACAACGACGUACCUAAUUAAACAACCGACGUCUAUUUGAAACAGAUUUCCGCAGUGUAAAAUCAAAGCAAACAAAGAACGGCAGAAGUUAUGAAUAGACCGACGUAGAAAGUAAAGACGACGAUUUCAAUAAAAGCCGCCGUUUUUACUCAUAAAAUAACACGACGAGGUUUUCGUAUAAGACGCCGUAUAAUUACAAACAAAUCCACGGCUUUAAAAUACAAAAUAAUCUUAACAGAUGACACAGAUUUGCAAUCAGAGAGACAAUUUUUUGGAAGUUGAUCAACGUCGUUGAAAAUUUGCAAUCAGAGAGACAAUUUUCAACGACGGUUAUAUUAUACCUAACGACGUUUAAAAACAAAUCAACGUCGCUCAACAAAUAUAUUACGUCGUCUUAGUCUUACUUAAGACGACGAAAAACGACGACAGUAGUAAAAAAACAGUCGUUGUUUUUAUAUUCUUAUUUUAUUUAAAUCUGUCGUGUUAGUUAAAAACGACGGCAUAACAAAAAACCGUCGUUUUGUUUCAAACUGAAUUAAUUUAAAAUUUCUUCAGGAAAGCAAAAUCUAUUUAUAAUUUCCUCGGGUUAGUAAUAUUGUGUCGUGUUAGUUUACAAAUUCUAGAACAUUAAUUUCCCUCAUUUUAAAUUUUCUCGGGAAAGAAAAAUCUAUUUAUCACGCUUUGUAAUUGAAAACUAAAACUGAAAGAAUUCUGGAAAAAAAACUCUAUUUAUAAUUUAAAAAUAAAAUGCACGUCGGUUGUAGUACACUUAACGACGUUUAACAAAAUAAUCUACGUCGGUAAUUAUAAAUCUACCGCCAUCUUACCCUAAUAUAGACGACGAGAAAAGACGACGGUAGAACAGAAAACCGCCGUUGUUUCAGUUUCUUUAACAGUUUGGUCCUUUAUCUUUCUGCAGGACUUGUAUAGUUCAAAGCAUUGACAAUGUCUUCAUCAUAUCUCCCAGCAACUACUGAUUCGAUUGCUCAUGCUUUAGAGGCCAUCUGAAGCCAUUUCUAUUCUUUAUCGCAUUCUUGAAACCCAUCUUCUUCUUCUGAAGCUCUACGGAUAAAGGAANNNNNNNNNNNNNNNNNNNNNNNNNNNNNNNNNNNNNNNNNNNNNNNNNNNNNNNNNNNNNNNNNNNNNNNNNNNNNNNNNNNNNNNNNNNNNNNNNNNNNNNNNNNNNNNNNNNNNNNNNNNNNNNNNNNNNNNNNNNNNNNNNNNNNNNNNNNNNNNUUUUUUUUGGGGUUGGUUUUUUAUAGUAACCAGUUAUAACAGUAGUGGUUGUGCAAUGUUUGGUUCCCUUAAGCUUCGAUCCAACCGUGUAGCCAGCUUUAGGUCAAUGUCUCCCAAACCACUCGGGUUUUAGGGCACUAGGUGUAGAACACCCCUAAGGACUUAUUAACUCAAGCUGAAAAGGCUACGAAACCAACUAACCACCCUGCCUCAUGCCAAAACUCUACCUUUUGUCUCGAAAAUCACUGCUGAUUAGGCAGGACUGGCCCGGUUACUAGCAAAGCUUCGGGUGAGGCAAUUAUUACUUUAUAACACAUACUAACUUUAUUUAAAUUGAACAGAAAUUAAAACACACUUGGACAAAAAGUAAGUAUUCCAAUCUCACUCCCCAAAAACCAUAUUGGUGUGAUGUGCAAAUUUCAAAGUAUAAUUCAUGAAUUAGUGUCUAAGCAACAAUAAAUAGAAAAGACUCUACUGUGGGAUUGAUUUUCACUAUGUCCAUUUAUUCUAACGUUUAAAAUAAUCUAUGGAUAUUGACUGAAAAACGAAAAUUUUAAACAAGACUUAAAAAAAACUAAAAAUCUAAAAUUUACUUUCCCACCCCCUAACUUAAAUCACACAUUGUCCUCAAGGUGUGGUAAAUAAUCAAAAGAAACAAGAGCAGAAACAAAACGACUAAAUCCUAGAAAAUGAAAAUCAAAAAUAAAGAAAAUACUCUAAGAAAAGAAACUAGGAAGGAAAAAUAGAAGAAUAAUAAAAUAAAAUAAAAUAAGAAAGAAAAGGAGAAAAACAACAAUAGAAAAGAAAUAGGAAAGAAAAUACCCAAAAAUGAGACACCUUGGGGAUUCAAAGGCAGGACCAGGCGGAGUGUUGCGAAAAAGCGCUGACCAACUCAACCACGUCCACACUGGCAUCAAAUAGGAGCGACAGCUACAAUAUAACCUGCUGUAGCUGCUGCAUCUGUCAUUUGAAAAAUAUUGGAUUCCCUUCUCCUACCCCGAGCUCAGAGCCGAAAGGCUCUCUUCUGUCCAUUCCCAUUUUGCAGAAGAAAAAAGAAUAUUGCUGGAUAAACCAAAGCCUCCGCUGUGUCCAGAGAAUCAGAAAAGGUCUCUGAUUUCUCUCUUCUCAAGGCCAUCCAUCUCCGCCUUCACUCUUCUUCAUUCUCUCCAACACUCACGAUCCUUUCCUCUCUUUCAACCCAAUUACACCAGCGUUUUCAUCUGCGUGAGGAGGCCACAUUUGCAGCAAACACAACCAGUGAGGUUGAAUUAUCUGAUGCACCUGAAUUUUUGGAUGGUUUUGGAGUCCCUAGAUUCCUCAAAUUCAGAUCUGUCUCCAUCCAUGUCACCAGAUGCUAACUUGUUCCAAGAUGAAAACAAGCUGAAGCCGAACAAGAGUCUAUUCUCCACCAGUAAGGACCCCAGAUCUGUGCAUCCCGUAGGUAAACUUUCGAACCCCAGAACUGGUUUUUUUUUUUUUUUUUUUCCGUUUUUUUUUUGUUUUGAAAAUAAAAGAAGUAAAGAGUUUAGAAAAAUUGGGUUGCCUCCCAAUAAGCGCGCUAUUUUAAGUCUGUAGCUAGACUUUGCAGAAGCCUGGUGGUCAAAUCACUGGUUCCUUCAGAGUCAAAGACUCGGCUGCAAUGUCAAAGGGUGUCUCCACGUAGGGUUUUAGCCUAUGACCAUUCACCUUGAACGUGUUGCCUUUAUCUUCAUUAGUGAUUUGAACUGCUCCAUGAGGAAAAACUUGAGUCACUAGGUAGGGUCCAGUCCAGCGAGAUUUUAAUUUCCCUGGAAACAACUUGAGCCUUGAACUAAAUAACAGAACCUUUUGCCCUGGCUGAAAUUCCUUCCGUAAAAUUUGACUGUCAUGAAAUGCCUUAGUUCUUUCCUUGUAGAUGCGAGAACUAUCAUAAGCACCUUGACGAAUUUCCUCUAGCUCAUUUAACUGCAAUUUCCGCUUUUCCCCAGCUGAGUCAUAUGCAAAAUUUAACUCUUUAAUGGCCCAGUAAGCUUUAUGCUCCAGCUCCAUAGGUAGAUGACAGGCUUUCCCAUAAACAAGUCGGAAUGGUGACAUCCCAAUAGGAGUUUUAUAAGCUGUCCUGUAUGCCCACAAAGCAUCAUUUAGUUUGAAACUCCAAUCCUUGCGUGUAGAGCUCACUGUUUUCUCCAAAAUACGCUUUAUUUCUCUGUUUGAAACUUCAACUUGACCAGAUGUCUGUGGGUGGUAUGGUGUAGCCACGCGAUGAUUAAUCCCGUAUUUUGCCAGUAGGUUAGCAAAUGGUUUAUUAAUAAAAUGCUUCCCCCCAUCACUAAGAAUAACACGCGGUAUUCCAAAACGUGGAAAUAUAACCCCCUGGAGGAACUUCAGGACCACUGAUCCUUGAUUAGUUGGUGCUGCAAUGGCCUCGACCCAUUUUGAAACAUAUUCCACAGCCACUAAAAUAUAUUGGUGCCCAUUAGAAGAUGGGAAUGGCCCCAUGAAAUCAAUACCCCAAACAUCAAAUAGUUCAACAAUUAGGAUACUUUGUUGGGGCAUUUCAUUCCUUCUGGAUUGAUUGCCGACCCUUUGACACCGAUCACAUGCCUUGCACCAAUUCUGUGAAUCUCUAAAAAGUGUUGGCCAAAAUAACCCACUCUGUAGGAUUUUCUCUGCUGUCCUUUUCUGCGCAAAAUGUCCUCCUCAAGCAUAGUGAUGAGCAAACUUUAAAACACUUUCUUGUUCAGCCUCCGGAAUACACCUGCGAAUAAUCUGGUCUGCACAAUACUUGUAUAAGUACGGUUCAUCCCAGAAAUAGUGCUUUACAUCAGAUAAAAACUUCUUUUUCUGCUGGUAGGAAAAAUCUGGAUGCACCACACCCUUAGCCAAAUAAUUGACAAUAUCUGCAAACCAAGGUGUGUCAAUUUUGACAGCAAAUAGCUGUUCAUCUGGGAAACUUUCACUCAAUGGUAGAGAAUCUGCCUCUGUAGCUGCUGGAAUAAUUAAUCUAGAUAAAUGAUCAGCCACAACAUUCUCACUGCCCUUCUUGUCUUUAAUCUCUAAGUCAAAUUCUUGAAGUAAGAGAACCCAACGAAUCAAUCUAGGCUUUGCAUCCUUCUUAGACAACAAGUAUUUUAGUGCAGCAUGAUCUGUAUAGACAAUUAUUUUAGCCCCAACCAAAUAAGACCGAAAUUUCUCUAGUGCGAACACAACUGCCAACAAUUCCUUCUCUGUAGUUGCAUAGUUAAGCUGUGCAUCAUUUAGAGUACGACUUGCAUAAUAGAUGACAUGGGGAAGCUUAUCUUUUCGCUGCCCUAAAACUGCCCCGACAGCAUAAUCUGACGCAUCACACAUUAGUUCAAAUGGUAAAUCCCAAUUUGGUGCAGCAAUGAUGGGUGCCGAAGUUAGGAGUGCUUUCAACUUGUUGAAUGCUUCUAAACAGGCCUUAUCAAAAUUAAAUGGUGCAUCCUUAGCCAAUAAAGUGCACAAAGGUCGACUAAUCUUGGAGAAAUCCUUGAUGAACCGACGAUAAAAACCUGCGUGUCCUAAGAAGGACCUCACACCUUUUACUGAUGUAGGAGGUGGCAGCUUUGCAAUAACUUCAAUCUUUGCCUUGUCAACCUCGAUGCCUUUGCUAGAAAUUGAAUGACCCAAGACAAUUCCCUGUUCAACCAUGAAAUGCCACUUUUCCCAGUUUAGCACUAAAUUUGUCGCUUGACAUCUCUGAAGAACUAAUGAUAAAUUCUGUAAGCAUUGAUCAUAUGAAUCCCCAAAAACAGAAAAAUCAUCCAUAAAAACUUCCACAAUAUUUUCGACCAAGCCAGAAAAAAUACUCAUCAUACAACGUUGAAACGUAGCAGGUGCAUCGCAUAAUCCGAAUGGCAUCCUCCGAUAAGCGUAAGUACCAAAUGGACAAGUGAAAGUAGUCUUCUCUUGAUCCUCUGGUGCUAUUGGAAUCUGAUUAUACCCAGAAUACCCAUCAAGAAAACAGUAAAAAGCCCGCCCAACCAACCUUUCUAACAUCUGGUCAAUAAAAGGCAAUGGAAAAUGGUCUUUUCUCGUCCCUGUGUUAAGCUUCCGAUAAUCUACACACAUUCUCCAACCCGUAGUCAAUCGUGUAGGAACUAACUCAUUAUUAUCAUUUUUCACCACUGUAAUACCGGUCCGUUUAGGCACAACUUGAGUCGGGCUAACCCAUUUACUGUCAGAAAUAGGAUAAAUCAUACCUGCAUCAAGUAAUUUCAUAACCUCUGUUCUAACCACCUCUUUCAUAAUUGGGUUAAGGCGGCGUUGAGCAUCAACUGUUAGCUUUACGUCGUCUUCCAUUAAUAUUCUGUGCAUACAUAGUGCUGGGCUGAUUCCCUUGAUAUCCGCAAUUGUCCAUCCCAAUGCAUCUUGAUAUUUUCUCAAUACACGAAGCAAUUUAUCCUCCUCUGUCGGUGUUAAAUCUGCUGCAAUUAUAACUGGCAACGUCUCUGCAGCUCCUAAAUAUGCAUAUUUAAGAUGUUGUGGUAAAGGCUUCAGCUCCAAUUUUGGCGGCUGCUGUCUGGAUGGUUUAAGGGGCUGUUUGGGCUCCCCUAAACUCUCAUACACAUUCCUAAAUUUUGGCAACACUGUGGGCAGACUGUUCAAUGCGUGUAUGUACUCAUGAACACCUUCAUCUUCAAAAUCUGUCUCAAAUGCCCCCUGUAAAACAUGCAACAACUGAUCUGUUUUUGAAUUAGCAUAAAAUCUGUCCUGCACCAUACUGUCUACCAUGUCAAUACGCAUACAAUCUAGCUGUUCAGCAGGACGUUUUGUUGCCGCAAACAAAUUAAACACCACAGAUUGGUCCUGAACCCGUAAAGUCAAUGUUCCAGCUUCCACAUCAAUUAAGGUCCUAGCUGUUGCCAUAAACGGCCUCCCCAAAAUAAUAGGUGUUUGAAGGUCUUCAUCCAUGUCUAAAACCACAAAAUCUGCCGGUAGAUAAAGAUUAUCAACCUUAAUAAUUAGAUCUUCAAUAACACCUCUUGGAUAAGUGAUUGAACGGUCAGCUAGUUGAAGUAUAAUUGAUAUAGGCUUUAAAUCUCCUUGCCCCAAUCGCUGAAAAACAGAAAAAGGCAUCAAAUUAAUACUUGCACCCAAAUCAAUUAAAGCACUCUUAAAAUUAGAAUUUCCAAUAGUGCAAGAAAUAUUAAAACUCCCUGGAUCUUUUUUCUUAGGUGGUAGUUUGUGUAGCAAAACUGCAUUGCACUGUUCUGUCAAAAUAACUUUUUCCAAAUCUGAAAGCUUCUUUUUGCUGCUGCAAACUUCCUUCAAAAAUUUGGCAUAUGAUGGAAUUUUCUUGAUUGCAUCCAGUAAGGGAAUGUUGAUUUGAACCUUGGAUAAUGUCUGCAUAAAGUCCUUGAGUUGCUGAUCUUUUACUUUUGGCUUCAAACGUUCUGGAUAUGGAAUUGGGGCCUCAUAAACACGCUCAGGUACUUGUUUUGGAACAGUUUCUAGAUCUGCCAUAUUAUGUUUUUCUACAGGUUUGGCAGGUUCUGCUGCUGCAAAAUUUUCUGUAUGAUCCUCCACUGCAUGCUGCUCCUUUUCAAUGUUAUUUUCACGAUUGUCAUAGCUUUUUCCACAUCGUAAAGUCCGAACAACUUUGCAAUCUUCACGUCCAUUUGGAUUAGGAAUUGUUUGACUAGGAAAUUUGCCCUUUUAUCUGUCUGAAAUCUGUGUAGCUAGUUGUCCAAAUUGUUGCUCCAAACUUUUAAUAGAUGCUUCAACAUUUUGAAAUCUUUGAUUGUUGCCCUCGAUGAAUGAUUGAGUUGUUGCUGCCAGUUUAGCAAGUUGAUCUUCCAUAGAUGGUUUGGAGGGAACAAAAGGUUUUUGUGCAUGCUGGAAUGGUUUGGCAUUAGUCUGAUUGUCACCCCAUUUGAAAUUAGGGUGAUCCCUCCAUCCAGGAUUGUAAUGAGUUGCAUAUGCAUCAUUCCUAGGCCUUUGAUAGCUGUUCAUCAUAUUGACAUGUUGUUCAACAAGCUCUGGGUAAGAGUCUCUAUGUGGGCAGCCCAUUAUGUCAUGUGUAGCCAUACUGCAUAUAGUGCAAACUGUUGAUGUAGGUGGCUGCUGUGUAGAACUUGCUAUAUGUUGUAGAAGCAUAUCAAACUUUGCAUCAAUUUUCUUAUCCAUUUUUUCCAUUUGUGCAGACAUGUUGGGAGAACCUACUGAUAACUCAAAAAUGCCCCUUUUCUGUGAAUGUUCUGCUGCCCAUUGCUGAGAUUCUGUAGCCAUCAUAUCAAACAGUUCAAAUGCCUCUCUUGCAGAUUUAUUUGAUAAUGAUCCUCCAGCUGAUGCAUUCACAUGGCUCUUAGAUGUAGGAUUAAGCCCAUCAAAGAAAAUAUUCAUUUGUGUAUCUGAAUCAAUUUUAACAUGUGGACACUUUAUGUACAUCUUUGUAUAUCUCUCCCACGCUUCAUGAAACUCUUCAUUAGGCUUCUGUGUGAAUGUCAAAAUCUCCCUCUUGUAAUUCAAUGUCUUGGAUGCUGGAUAAUAUUUGUUCAGGAAUUUUGUGUGUAACUGCUGCCAAGUAGUAAUGCUAUUAGCUGGUAGAGUGAAUAACCAAGUUUCUGCCUUGUCCUUCAAAGUGAAAGGGAAAAGACGUAACUUAAUAGCCUCAGCAGAAAAACCCCUAAUCAAAAUAUUCUUGCAACCCACAAUAAAUUUUGCAAUAUGUAUGUUUGCAUCUUCAUUAGGCAAUCCCCGAAAAGUAGGUAGAAUUUCAAGCAUAUGGUGCCUGAUCUCGAACGAAUCACCCUCUUCUUGUUCAGGAUACACAAUGCAAUUGGGAACAUCAGUGGCACGGGCUUCCAAUGACUCCCUGAGUGGUCUACCUGCCGCAGGUAAUUCUAACGCCAUGUUACUCUCGUUUGCAAACAGAUCCUGCAGAAAAGUGCCCUGCAGUGAACAGUCCCAAGCCCAAGUAACUUCUCUCCGCUGUCUAUGCAGUGUGCGCUCUGGUUCUGGAUCAAAUUGUACAAUCUGUGUAGUUCCUGAUCUGGUCUGGACCAUGCAGUCUGCAAAAUCUGCAACAGAAACAAAAUUGUUCAAUUUCAAUUUUUUUUUUUGGACGAAAAUUAAAAAUAAAAUAAAAUGAAAUAAAUCAGAAAAAGGUUAAACAAAAAUUGUCUAAAAUAGUCCCCAGCAACGGCGCCAAUUUCUUGAUAGGAUUUUUAGUACUUGUGCAAACAGUGUUAAAAAUCACAUAAAAUACUUGCAAGAAUACAAGGCUAUUGUAGUAUAGAUGCUCAUGCAAGGUCGUUUUCCUCAAGGACUAAUUAGCAAUUUAUGUAAAAACAAAUUUCAAUUACUACUUAAAAUAAAAAGUCAAGAAAGAUGAUUAUAAAUUUGGUGGAUUCUAAAAAACAAAUAUUAAACAAAAACAAAUACGAUUGAAAGAAAGAGUUUUGAAUAUCAAUUUAUAAAACCACUAGGGUUUCACCAUCACCUAGCAAUCCUAUGAACUUUUACCAAUUACUUAUGAUUUGCACAUGCCACUUUGAAGGUUAGGUUUUCCUAUUGUAUAUUCUACUUGGAACCUCCAACACAGAACGUAUAUCCAACAUGCAACCCGUCCGGACGUUCGGAUCAAAUCUGAACAUGAAAGACUCAUUAAGUUUUGUGAAAACCCUUUGAAAAACCAUGCAACCCUUAAGACGUGGUGUUCAUCUUAAGUGAAAUUACAAUUAUUAAUCACAAGAAGCUAGCAUAAAUUUCAGGGAACCUUCCGACCAAAAUUGCAUCCAAUUACUUUUCUAAAGAUCCUAAUGGUGAUCAGGCAUUAAGACAAUUAGAUAGUUUAAAAUAGUGAUUAACAAUUCAAAAUACGCAUGCACUCAUCAUAAGCAAUUAAAUAAAAAUCACAUAUUCAUGCUAAGGUUCAAGGCUUCACCCUAGCAAAAGAAAUUUAGUUACGCAUACUCAUAAUUGAAAUCCAAGAAAAUAUCAUUAAGAAGAAAAGAACGAAAACACCUGAAAGUUGUGAAAACCCAAAACCCUAGCAAUUGCUCUCUACAAUGCAAAGUUCAAAAAUAAUUAAGAAGUCCUAAAUUCCUUGUGAGAAAGAGCUUAAAUAUCCCUUAAAACCUAGCUGCCAAUGUACAGCUUUUCUAUCCCUACAAGGAAACUAAUUAAAGUAAAAUAAUACUAGGAAAUAAAGUCCAAAUUGGAAUAGGAGAAUUUGCCCAAAAUCAGCCCAGCCACGUUUUGGCCCCAAAUCUCCUCCAAAUCUGGCCCAAGAUAGCUUUUUUUAAAGACACUACUACAAAAAGUGAAAAAGACGACCAGAAAACAACGACGGUCUAAGUGAAAACCGUCGUGGUUUUUAAAAAGACGACGGUUCUAAAAACACCGUCGUGUAAUACCACCUUAGACAACUAAAAAAUGGAGAUUCAAAUGGCUGUUCAAAAACAACGACGUACCUAAUUAAACAACCGACGUCUAUUUGAAACAGAUUUCCGCAGUGUAAAAUCAAAGCAAACAAAGAACGGCAGAAGUUAUGAAUAGACCGACGUAGAAAGUAAAGACGACGAUUUCAAUAAAAGCCGCCGUUUUUACUCAUAAAAUAACACGACGAGGUUUUCGUAUAAGACGCCGUAUAAUUACAAACAAAUCCACGGCUUUAAAAUACAAAAAUAAUCUUAACAGAUGACACAGAUUUGCAAUCAGAAGAGACAAUUUUUGAAGUUGAUCAACGUCGUUGAAAAUUGCAAUCAGAAGAGACAUUUUCAACGACGGNNNNNNNNNNNNNNNNNNNNNNNNNNNNNNNNNNNNNNNNNNNNNNNNNNNNNNNNNNNNNNNNNNNNNNNNNNNNNNNNNNNNNNNNNNNNNNNNNNNNGGAAGUUGAUCAACGUCGUUGAAAAUUUGCAAUCAGAGAGACAAUUUUCAACGACGGUUAUAUUAUACCUAACGACGUUUAAAAACAAAUCAACGUCGCUCAACAAAUAUAUUACGUCGUCUUAGUCUUACUUAAGACGACGAAAAACGACGACAGUAGUAAAAAAACAGUCGUUGUUUUUAUAUUCUUAUUUUAUUUAAAUCUGUCGUGUUAGUUAAAAACGACGGCAUAACAAAAAACCGUCGUUUUGUUUCAAACUGAAUUAAUUUAAAAUUUCUUCAGGAAAGCAAAAUCUAUUUAUAAUUUCCUCGGGUUAGUAAUAUUGUGUCGUGUUAGUUUACAAAUUCUAGAACAUUAAUUUCCCUCAUUUUAAAUUUUCUCGGGAAAGAAAAAUCUAUUUAUCACGCUUUGUAAUUGAAAACUAAAACUGAAAGAAUUCUGGAAAAAAAACUCUAUUUAUAAUUUAAAAAUAAAAUGCACGUCGGUUGUAGUACACUUAACGACGUUUAACAAAAUAAUCUACGUCGGUAAUUAUAAAUCUACCGCCAUCUUACCCUAAUAUAGACGACGAGAAAAGACGACGGUAGAACAGAAAACCGCCGUUGUUUCAGUUUCUUUAACAGUUUGGUCCUUUAUCUUUCUGCAGGACUUGUAUAGUUCAAAGCAUUGACAAUGUCUUCAUCAUAUCUCCCAGCAACUACUGAUUCGAUUGCUCAUGCUUUAGAGGCCAUCUGAAGCCAUUUCUAUUCUUUAUCGCAUUCUUGAAACCCAUCUUCUUCUUCUGAAGCUCUACGGAUAAAGGAAGAGGCUAUCACAAAUCUGACGGAUCUUCUUAGUCAAAAAAAUCAAGCAGAGGAUCAGGCACAUCUGAUCUUCAGAUUUCCCUGAGAAGCGAACUUUCCUUCGACAGCGAGUGGAGGCCAGGCUUGCAUCUCUUUUGAUGGAAAGCAAGGAGUAUUCAGAAGCACUAAGUGUCCUAUCAGGCUUGAUCAAGGAAGUGAGAAGGCUAGUUGACAAGCUUCUUCUUGUCAACUAGCCUAAAUGUAAGCUCAAUUUCUCUUUGAGAAAGACCUCCAAAUUAUUGUCUUUGAGAUGUGAGAGACAGUGUCUCUGAGAGAGGAAGAACUUGGAACCCUAAAUGUAAACCGCGAAAAUGAAUGAAAGCGACAAAUUUAUAGAAUAAAUUUUUAAAACCAACGGCGGUACUUACCAAGAAACCGCCGUUUCAAUUGUAAAAUCAACGUCGGUAUUACUGACGUAUAUUACAGAACUCCACGUCGGUACAUUAAUAAUCACGACGUCUUAAAUAAUCUACCAUGACGCGAGUUAUUACUUAUGUACUUUAAUUUUUGAGUUUACUACGACGGUACCUACAACACUACUGUCGUAUUUAUUUACCACGUCCGAAGUUAAAUUUACCGACGUAUUUUGUACUUUAUACGUCGUAGUUAUAUGUAACCGCCGUAUUAUUUUUUUGAAAUGGUUUUAUAUGUAAGCAACUUUUCGUCUACUUGACUUACACAUUAGUUGUUUUUAUAUUCUUAUUUUAUUUAAAUCUGUCAUCCAAAAAAGAAACUUUACAUAUUGCAGAAUAUUAAUUUCCUUCGUUUUAAAUUUCCUCCGGAAAAAAAACUCUAUUUAUAACGCACUGUAAUUGAAAAAUAAACUGAAAGGUCACGGGAAAAAAAAUUCUAUUCAUAAUUUAAAAAUUAAAAUCCACGUCGGUUAUAUUAAACCUAACGACGUUAAAUGAAAUGAUUCCACGUCGAACGAAAAAUAUUUCGUCGUGUUAGUUAAAAACGACGUAGUUAAAUGUAACCGCCGUAUUAUUUUUUUGAAAUGGUUUUAUAUGUAAGCAACUUUUGGACUUACACAUGCACUGUUUCCAAACCCGAUUAAAAAUUUCAAUCUCCAGAGAAACCUUUUCGUCUUUUUUCCUUGUCAGAGCAUUAUCAGAGUUUCUCAUCGUCUUCCUCUCGUCUUCUUCGUCGUCCUUGAACUUAAACAUCGAUCAUCUUCCUCUUGCUUUCAUUGCACGCAAAAGGUAAGCUUUCAUUUUCACUAUUUUGGUUACUGUUUUGCAUGCUCAUACGUUUUUUGUUUGAAAAAUCUUUUUACCUUUUUUCUGGCCAAAAUCAUUUUACUUCUUUCCAAGUUUGAUAAAAUAUACAGACAAAAAGGGAAAGUUUCCAACUUUGAAGACAACUACCUCAACUAAAUGAGACGACGGUAGACCACGACGGUUCGUCAGUUGUUCUAGCGUCGUCUGAAAAUUGACAAAGUUGUUUUUAAAAUAAUAGUCUUUUUUUAUAUGCUUGUUUAAUUGCAGGUUUGAUUUCUCUGAACAAUGGUUUUUGUUUUUCCCUUAUUUGAUAAAAUAUAAAGAAAAAGAAACUAGGGUUGGUAUCUAAUAUAGACGACAAAAUAUCUUAUUGUUUUACGUCGUGUGAAUGUUAAUACCACGACGGUGUAUUACUAUUAACGUCGUAUGAACAUAAAUACCACGACGUUAUAUAAAUAAUAGUUUACCACGACGGUGUAUUACUAUUGACGUCGUGUGAACAUAUAUACCACGACGUUAUAUAAAUAAUGGUUUUAAACAUUUAUUACGUCUGAGAUUAUUUCAUUGCGUCGUCUAAAAUCAUAUCAUACGUCGUAUUUUUUUAAUACCGUCGUUUGUGUUCUUAAUGUUUUCCUGAAAUAUUUUCACUUGCAGUUUUGUCUGUUAAAAUGGUUUCUCAACAACAAACUAAGGAUUCUGGCUCCAAGAAGCUUGGAAUGGUAGCUCCUCAAGACAAGUCUUCGAAGGAGAUGAAGUCUUCGAAGAAGAUGAAGUUUGCUUCAUCAUCUGCUGAGACAGAACCAACCAGCCAGACAACAAUCUCUGAUGAUUCAAAGACUGGUCGAGGCAUGAGCACAAUGCCUCGUGUUGUGAAGAGAAAGCUUCAGAAACUGAGGCCAAUUGUUGAGUACAAUAAAAGGGGGAAAGGUGUUGGCCAAGCACAUAUUGAGAUGCAGUCGUAUAUUGGUGUGUUGGCACGCUCCAGGAUCCCACUUGUGGACAAGAAAUGGUCCCAAAUCCCCAAGGAUAUAAAGGAGCAGAUUUGGGAAGCAGUUGACAUGGCUUUUGUCGUAGGCCAAGGGGGCAAGACCUCUGUUUUAGCUUCUGCUUCCAAGAAAUGGAAGGAUUUCAAGUCUACACUAACGAGGCAUUAUAUCCUUCCAUACACCAAUGACAGGGAGAAAUUAAGCCAACCCCCUGAAACAUAUAAAUUCAUAGAGAAAGCACAAUGGGAUGCCUUUGUAGCUUCAAGGCUAUCCAAAGAUUUUGAGUCUGUGCAUUCUCAACAUGCACAGAUUAGGGAGAAACUCGAGUACAAUCAUCGAUUGUCUCGAAAAGGAUAUGCUGGAUUGGAGGAUCAAUUGGAGGAAACCAUGCCUGGGGUAGAAAUUGAUCGAUCUACCUUAUGGAAGAGAGCUAGACAGGACAAACAUGGUAACAUCCCUGAUCCAAAGGUGGCAGAGAAAGCAAAAUUAAUUGUAAGCCUACUAUCACUCUGUUUUAAAUUUUUAUUAAACUGUGAAUUAUUCUUAUUACGUCGUAUGUUAUAUUUUUCGUCGUGUGAAUGAUAUUACCACGUCGAAAAGUUUUUAAAAACGUCGUUAAAGGUCUAAAUAGGAAUCACUACUAAUUUUCUGUAAUUAUAGCAUAAGACGUCGGUGGUUCAUUUUCGCGUCGUUUGAAUGAUAUUACCACGUCGAAACUUUUUUAAAAACGUCAUUAACGGUCUAAAUAGGAAUCACUACUCUGUUUUCUUUAAUUAUAGCAUAAGACGUCGGUUGUUUAUUCAUUUCGUCGUUUUAAAUAAAUAACCACGUCGGUAUAACUACCGUCGUGAUAAGUUAUAAUAACGUCGGUUUAUACGUUAUUGCGUCGUGUGAAAUUAUAUAAUACGUCGUUUGUACAUAAAUAACCGUCGUGUGUUUUUUUGUUUAUCUUUGUUUUAGGAUGAAUUGCAGAAACAAGUCUCGGAAGGCAAAGUCAGAGUAGAUGGCAGCAAUGAUGUGCUGACCAUGGCUUUGGGCCCCGAGCAUCCAGGCAGAGUGAGGGGAGUUGGUGCUGGUGUUUCCCCAAGGCAAUAUUUCAAUUUGCCCAAACCACAGAGGGUGAGCUUUGACGACCAUUUGAAGGACAGUUUAAGAGUUCUCCUUCAAGAAGAGACUAAAAAGAUGGAGGCUAAGGCAAGGGAAGAGGCCUUAAGAAUGGAGGCUAGGACAAAACAAUUGGUAGAGGCUGAGAGGGAGCAUUUCCUGAGUCAGCUUUCCCAAUUAAUUCCCAAUUUUGAUCCAAGCAUGCUUAAACCAAGAAUUAGCCAAAGCCCCAAAAAUCCAAUGUCUGACAAAGCUAGCUGCUCUGGAGGUGAUGUGAGAUCCCUACAUUUGGAGGAUGAUACUGCCAAAAUGGGGAAACAUCAGCCAGAUGAAGAGAAGGAAGAAGAAAAAAGAGAUGAAGAGAAGGAAGAAGAAAAGGAGAAAGAAGAUGAAGAAAAGCAUGACGACAAGGUAUGUUCACAUAACUUUGCCUUUUUUAUUUGUUUUUCAAAAUUUCAGACGUCGAUAUUUUUAUUUAAUCCGUCGUUUGUUUAAAACUUAGACGGCGGACUUUUUUUAAGACGUAAUAAAAUAUUUAAACGACGGUUUUUGCACCGUCGUUUAAAUGGUUUCAGACGACGCUUUAUUCAUAAAAUCGUCGUCUUUAUUGAAUUACCACGACAGUUUUUUCACCGUCGUUUAAAUACUUUUAAGACGACGUUUUAUUCCUUAAACCGUCGUCUUUGUUGAAUUACCACGUCAUUUUUUUUAUUUCUUUAAACAGGUUAUUGAAGUUGGUGCUUAUUCAAAUAUGGAGGCGCCAUCUUCUUUAAAAACCCUUUGUCGUUUUGUGGAAACGACACUCCUGCCUGAGGAUAAGACACUCCAAUUUACAAUUGAUAAGGAGGUGUUUGGUGGUGAGCGCGAUACCUUCCUCCUGCCUGAAGAUAUUACACAAUUUGCAGGCAUGGAAGAAAUUGGAGCUACUGUAUUGGCUGUAUAUAUGAGGUUUGUACUUCUAAAAUAAUACCUCGUUGGUUUAUAUAUUGCGUCGUCUUAACUAACUAACCACGUCGUCUUAACUAACUACCGUCGUGAUAAAUAUAUUAUAACGUCCUCAUCUAUUUCAGUACGUCGUGUGAAAUAUUAUAAUACGUCGUUUUUUUAUACAUAACCGUCGUGUUUGUUUGUGCUGACUUGUUUAUAUUAUUUUAUGUAUUUAGGUACUUACACGAUGUUUUGAAACAAGCCAAUAUGUGCAGCAUGGUUGGCUUUAUCGACCCUGCUACAGUUAGUGCCAACUCUGGCACAAUAACUGAAAGAUCACGACUGGUAGCAGCUCGACUUCAGAAGACAGACGGUGAACAGAUUUUCAUGAUGCCUUACAAUCCAGGGUUAGUCUCCUUAGGAUUUUGUUUUUAUGAUUUUCAAUAAAUGACAGCUUAUAAACUAACCACGUCGGUGUUUUAUUUUAUUUAGUCGUUUGAAACUACUAACCACGUCGGUAUUUAUUUAUCGUCGUGAUAAAUAUAUAAUGUCGUCGUUAUCUACUUUAUUUCGUCGUGUGAAAUACUAUAAUACGUCGUUUUUGUAAAUAACCGUCGUUUUUAUAUUCAUUUUGUGCAGCCGUCAUUGGAUCUUGCUGAUUGUAAGAGCAAAGAAGGAGACCGUCUAUUUUCUGGAUCCUCUGCCAGGUCAUCGUGUGGUCGACGAAGAGGCGAAAAACAUCGUGAACAGUGCUUUAAAAAUAUAUAAUACCCACAUAGCCCGAGCACGACGUAAAAAUGUAAUUUGGAAAACUCUCUCAGGCACACCAAAGCAACCCAGCAAUGUCGAAUGCGGGUACUAUGUGAUGCGCUUCAUGAGGGACAUCAUCAUGGAUCCUUCCUUGGGGUUUGAGAAUAAGGUAAGAAGAAAUUACCUUCAUACAUUUCACGUCGUUUUUUGUAUUAUCAACGACGGUCAUGUAAAAUUAACGUCGUUGAAUGGAUAUACUACGUCGGUUAUGAAAAAUAUCGUCGUCUGUGAUUGAAUUUCUUUUUAUUUAUAAACCCUAAUAGUCAUUGUUUAUGCAGUAUGCCAAGGGAAACCAGGAAGCUUCAUACCCCCAAGAAGCCAUUGAUGAAGUCCGGAAUGAAUGGGCAGAGUUUGUUUUCCAAAUUAUUAAACAGGGCAAUUAUUGAACACUUGAUAUUUAUGUAUAAUGUACAAAUUUUCUCUAUAAUAUGUAAUGUAAAAAUUUGUUGAGGUUUUCUUAAAUUAAAAAAAAAACAAACAUACAAAUUGCUUAACCGACGUGUAAUACUUUUCCAACGACCUAAUAAAGUCAAAAACCGUCGUAUUUUGUUGUUUCGUGUUUUAAACAAAUACGACGUAAAAAUAUAGUUAGACGACGUUCUUUGAACAAUUGAGUCGUUUAUGGUUUACAACAUCUUCAAUUUCUUAAGGGUUCAGGGUAUCAUCGACGACGUUUAUGUAACGACAGCGGUUAAGUCGUGGAAUAUAUAUUUUACGUCGUAUAGUUAAAUAGCCGCCAUGGUUUCUCAUUUUAACGACGUCAUUUUAACGACUUAGUAGUCUAUUACAAUUUACAACGUCUACAAUUUAUUAACACCGACGUGGUUUGUUGUUGUGGUAAGAAUAUUUUAUUAUUUUUAUAUCAAAAUAUUCAAAAUAAAUUUAAAAUAAAUCAGAAAAUUGAAAAGUCAUCUCCUAUGAAGUCAUUGAUAUAUUUUCUUCCACAUAAACCUUGAAAAAAUUCAUUUUGAAUAACAAAAAUUUAAAAUGACCAUCCAAAACAAAAUUGUUUUGAUGAGUCAUAAAAUCACUUCUAGUUUUAUGGUUUAGGGUUUAGAGUCUAGGGUUUAGAGAUUAGGGUUGUUAUUUGUUGGGGUUUAUUUUUAAAGUAUAAUUUUUGGGUAGUCUAGGGUAUAUGUUAGGCUUUAAAACCAUAAAACCUUUUAUAAACUUAAUUUUUUAAAUUGUAUAAUUUAGUUUUAUGGGUUUAGGGUAUUAAUUUUUAACGACGGUGGUUGCGUCGUGGAAUACAUAUUUUACGUCGUACAGAAAAACAUACGACAUGGUUUACGCUUUAAACGACGUCAUUUUAAUAUGUAAGUCGGUUUAUAUAAUUUACAACGUCUUUAAUUUCUUAACACCGACGUGGUUUUUCAGUCGUCGUUAUAUAAAAAAUUCAAAAUAAAUUUAAAAUUAAUCCGAAAAAUGAAGCUUCAAAAUGAACGGCCUUACGUUCUUAAUCCGAAAAAUGAAGUUUCCGUCGUGGAAUAUUAAAUUUACGUCGGUACUUGUAGAACUUUCGCCUUGGUUUUUCUUUCGACGUUUUAAAACGCGCGAGCUCUAAAAAUUUUCGCGUGACCUAAAUUUUUUUAGAUUUGGCUCUUAUUCUUAUACUUCGAACCCUGAAACCUAAAAUUUUCAGAUUUCGCUCUCUCACUUCUGCUCUAAUUAAAAGUUGCACUCUCCAGGCUUCGUCGAAUCUGUGAGCUCGUCCAACCUGUAAGUACAAACCCUAUCUUCCCCUUGUAAAUUCAUUGAAUGAUAUUAGGUUGUUUUGUUAAAGGGUUUUAUGUGUAUGCUUUGCGAUCUGUUAAUAAUGUGCUUAUAGGUAUGGGUUCAUAGAUUUUCUGUUUAAUGGGUUCAUGGAUUACAUUAUCUGUUAUGUUGAAUUGGGAAUGGAUUUAAUUUUGUCGUAUCUUUUAAUCACCCUAUGUUAUGUUGAAUUGGGAAUGGAUUUAUUGUUUUCAUGCUUGGUUUCAUGUAUAUGUUGGUUUCUUGCUUGGUUUCAUAUAUAUGUUGUGUUCUUAAUGGGUUUUGUGUUCUUGAAAAUAAACUGAGACACGACAAAUUUUAAGGCAUACGACGACGAUUACACGACGGUUUUUUUAAACUACCGUCGUUGUAUUACUUAUACAAGACGGUUUUUUCAUAAACCGUCGUUUGUAUUACUUAUAAUAGACGACGUCUGUUGAAAAUCCGUCGUCUAUAUAUGCCAAAUACGUCUGUUUUUGUUUAAAACCCGUCAUCUCUGUUGUGUAUUACUUGCGAUUAGAUCAUUGUAUAAUCUGCUAUAGUGAUGGUCAUUGCCUGUAUUUUCACUUUAUUAUAGAUAAUAGGUUAUAGUGUCGGAGAUGGAUAAGUCAUGGAUGCACUCGGAUAGAAGAUCGAAGGCAUAUGAAUUUGGGGUGGAAGCAUUUUUGAACUUUGCUUGAGAAGUACUUUCCCCCUUCAUUCUUUGAUAUCAUGGUUCAUCUAGUAGUACAUCUUGUCAGAGAAGUUCGUCUAUGUGGGCCAGUAUAUUUUAGGUGGAUGUAUCCGUUUGAAAGAUAUAUGAAAGUGCUGAAGGGGUAUGUUCAGAAUCGUACUCGUCCCGAAGGUUGCAUUGCUGAGCGGUAUAUAGCUUAAGAAGCGGUAGAGUUUUGUACUCAGCAUUUAUCUGAUGUUAGUACAGUUGGAGUGCCUUCAAGCCAAAAGAUGGGACUUUCAAAGCCAUUAUCAGGUUGCACAGUGAGCGUAGUUGAUCAGGACCUGUUGAAUCAAGCACAUCUAUAUGUCUUGGAGAAUACGGAGGAAGUCCUACCUUAUAUCGAGUACGUAUGAGCUUUAUUCUUUAAGUUUCCAUUUUAAAUUAUUUCUUAUGUUUAUCUUCUAUAUUUGGGACCGUAAUGCUUGAAUUUUUCGUGUCAUGUAGGCAACAUAUGAUCCACAUCAAGAUUGCUUAUCCAAAAUUUAGAAAGAGAACAAAGUGGCUGCAGGAUAAGCACAAUAGCACUUUCAUUCAAUGGCUACGCUUCAAGGUAUAUGUUGUUGAAUAACAUAUUUCUCUUUUAAUUUUCUUCUUAUUUAUAUGUUAGAUUGAAUUAAGAUAUGAUUAAUUUGCAGGUUCAAAGUGAACUUGAGGAAGACAAUCAUGGCGUAUCAGAAAAUUUAAGGUGGCUAGCAGCUGGUCCAAACAUGUCAGUGCCAUUAUAUAGGAGCUAUCUUAUUAAAGGUAUUAAAUUCAAUAUCAAGGCACAAGAUGAUGUGCGGACAACUCAAAAUAGUGGAGUUUAUUUACUUGCACAUACCAUGCAAGUUGCUAGUGCCAAGGAUAAAAACCCAAUUCUCUCAAACAUGGGUUUCUAUGGUGUCAUUCAAGAAAUUUGGGACCUUGACUACCAAAAGUUUACAAUCCCAGUCUUUAGGUGUGAUUGGAUAGAUAGUUCUGGUCUUGUAGUCGACGAACUUGGAUUUACCCUUGUAGAUUUGAGUAAAAUUGGACAUAGGAAUGACCAAUUUGUUUUGGCUUCUCAAGUCAAACAAAUAUUUUUUGUUGACGACCCGAUGCAUCGUGGUUGGUCGGUAGUGUUAUCAAUGCCUAAUAGAGAAUAUAAUGAUGUUAUUGGUGAUGAAGUCUUAGGUGAUGUGAUAAUUGAGUGUGAGCCAUUUACUAGAGGGAUGCCAAAUGUUGACACAUUUGAUGAACUGGUGGGUGAGUUAGGCGGUCAAAAUAUUCGAGAUGGGUGUGAAGAUAUAUGGAUUGAAUGAUGCUUAUGUAAUUGGCAGUGUAUGACAUUAAUUUUGUAAUAUAUUGUAAUGUGAUUUCUUCACUUUCUACGUUCAAAUAAAACACGACGUUAUUGUGAACCAGUUAUUCAGCAUAUUUACCGACGUCUUAAAGCAACGUAACAAUGAAGAACCACGACGCUAUUGUGAAGCAAUUAUUCAGGAUAUCACGUCGGGGAAGGAUUAAGAACCGCCAUGUAAUUCAAAAUAACACGACUCCAAUCCCAUAAUACCGACGUCUAAAAAACGAGAUAUAUAAUCUGAACGUUAAAAAAUACGACGUCAUCAUACAUUUUCCACAUCGCAAGUUCUUUUAUAAACGAAGAGGAACGAAAUGAAUUCCGACGGAAAUUCAUUAUAACCGCCGUCUAAUAACAAUUAAACGACGUUAUUUGUAAUACGGCUCUCAUCAUAAUCAACGCCGUCUAUAUGUUCUGUAAUACGGCUCUCAUUUAUUUGGAACCGACGUUGUUUAGAAGUUCAACGUCGUCUAUAUUAUUAAGUGCGUCGUGAGUAAUGAUGAUAGAUAUAAAUACAACGUCGACUAUAUAAAUGCCACUGACGUUGUUUCGCAUUUCAACGUCAACUGUAUAAAUACAUACGUCGUAAAUAAUGACACUGACAACUAUUUCCACGUCAUCUUUUUUAGAAAAAUCGAAGUGGAAAAUUUAUUUCACGACGGUUGUUUGUAAAUAAGAGACGUAGUAUAUUUCAAUAACGUCGUCUUCUCAUGUAUUUAAAGACGUCAUAUUUUUUCUUGUCGUGUAAAUUAUAUUUAACGGCGUAGUAUUUUAGUUGUCGUCGUUGUAUGUAUAUCUUGCGGCCUUGUUCUUUUAACAUGUGUCAUAUUUUUCCUUUUUAACGACGGUGAUUUGUUUGAGUUGGUCGUCUAUUCUCAUCCUCGACUAUUUUCUAGAACUUUAGCAGACUAAACACGUCUGUUUUUAUUGUUUUCCGACGUUGUUUUAUUUAACAACGUCUAAUAUUUAUCGUCGUUGUUUGUUUCUGAAAAUAUGACGUAUAAAUUUUGUAAUACGACUCUCAUAUAUUUGUAACCGACGUUGUUUCGUUUUUCAACGUCUACUCUAUAAAUACAUACGUCGUAAAUAAUGACACUGACAACUAUUUUCACGUCAUCUUUUAUCGAAAAAUCGAAGUGGAAAAUUAAUUUUACGACGGCUGUUUUUAUAUAUGCGACGUAGUAGGUAUCAAUAACGUCGUCUUCUAAUGUAUUUAAAGACGUCAAAUUUUUUAUUGUCGUGAAAAUGAUAUUUAACGGCGUCGUAUUUUUAUUUUCGUCGUUGUAUGUCUAUCUUGCGGCCUUGUUCUCUUAAUAUGUGUCAUAUUUUUCCUUUUUAACGACGGUUUUUUUAGAGAGUUGGUCGUCUAUUCUCAUCCUCGACUGCUUUUUUAGAUCUUUUUGCAGUACAAAGACGUCGUUUUGUAUUUGUUGAUGACGUUGUAUAUUUUAACAACGACGGUGAUUUUGCGUCGUGGUUUAUGAGGGAAAAGAUGACGGUGGAUUCCACGACCAUUGAAAAACCGAAUACACGACGGUGAUUUACCGUCGUCUUUUUGCUUUUUUGUAGUAGUGAGAUAAAAAUGUUCUGAACACUUCUCUAGAAGGCCACGAACCCAUCCGAGGUCAUCUUGGGCUCCAAAAACACAAUAAAAGCCCAACACGUCACUAUUCCAGCACCGCGCACUGCUCAUUUAUUUUAUUGCCAGAAAAUAACCGCUUGGAAGAAAAAUCUGAAAUUUUGAUACGAUCAAGCUAAGUGACUCAAGAACGUCCUCCAACUGGAAUUACUCCAAAAUUCCUCAAUUUGAUUAUGUUUUGCUCCAGAGAGAGUCGAAAGUCCUAUAUUGGAAAUAUAAUUCAAAGUAUCAAAAUUCUUCCAAAAUAUUAACCAAAAUAUACUAAGAAUGAGGUUAAAUAUAUAAUAUAAAAUAUGUCCAUCACCCCACAACAACUAAAGAACCAACAUUUUGUAGAAGGUUUUGUCUAUACCUUUGACUGUAAGUAAAUCUCUUGUAUCUGCUCCUGUGGUUCGGUGAAGUUUCUUUGUGUCCUUUCUGCGGAGUCUCCCAUGCUUGUUCCAUGAAAAUGUUCUAGGAGAAAAUACGGUUGUUUCUUACUAGAUUCAAAUGAUUAAGAAAAAUAAAAACGCAAGAAAAAAGGUAUUUUCUUGAUGGACUUGGUGAUGAAAAAUAUCACUCUCUUUAUAUGUCGUCUUCCUUGGACUUUGAGACCUUGGGUUUCGAUUCUUCUUGAGGAUUGCAUAGGGUUUCUAGGCCCAAGAAUACUUUGAGUUAGUUUUUGCGUUUUGGGCUUUGAGACUUUGAGACUAUAAUGAGUGGAAAGUUAUAAGGGGUAAGUUAUAAGGGGGUCACUUUAUAGCCAUCAGAUUAAUCCAAGGGCUGGGGAGAAUUGAGAUAAAGUUUCACAAUUGGGUAGGUGAGGAACCCAAACCCGAAUUGAAUAUCCAGCACGUCCAAAAAGAAGAAGAAGAGGGAAACACGUCCGAAAAAGAAGAAGAAGAGGCAAGUUCGAAGUUUGAACAGAAAGAACUCAUCUCUCUAAAACACAGAGGUCUGAGAUACCCAAUGAAGGCAACGGCUAACGACAGUUGAAGGCAACAAUUCGCCACUCCGUUCUCCAGACCCCGAAAAAGUAUUUAUUUGGAGUAGAAGGGGCAAAGGUGUGGAUUCCAAAUCAGUGAAGGGGCGAAGCAGUGGAAGGGGAAGGGGAGAAGCUGUAUUCGUUGGAAGUGUAGGUUCCAUUUGUGGAGCAAAGAAAUAGAAAGACCCCACACAGACACCUUGCAAUAACCAGCAUUUGGUGAGUAAUUUAUGGAAUUUGAGUUUAGGGUUAGAGUAAUGGUUUUCCCCAAUUUGUACCAUAAAUUUUGUUGGAUUUGGCAUCUCUUCGUUGUGCUUCAGUUGCAUGUUAAUUUUUGCUUAGGUAUAUGUUAAAAAAGGAAUGAAAAUUAAGUCAAUAACAAGUGAAUAACAUGUCAAUAAUGAUAUGAAUAAGAUAAUGGUGUUGAAUUGGAGGAGGCCCUCAAAACCUUCCACAUUUGAAGCAGUGCAUAGUGCAGAUUAAGAAGAGGCGCUAGAAUAUAUAUAUAUAUUUUAUGAAGUAAAUAUGAUUUCCUUUGUUACUAAAUUUGCCUGAGAAACAUUUGAACAGAUAAUAAUAAACUCAUGAAUAGAACUGCAAAGCAUUUGAUGAGCAAUGUAAGGAAUUUAAGUUUAGGGUUAGAGUAAUGGCAUCUCUUAUUUGUGCUUCAAUUGCAUGUUAAUUUUUGCUUGGGUAUAUGUUAAAAAAUGAAUGAAAAUAAAGUCAAUCACAUGUCAAUAACAUCUCAAUAACAUGUCAAUAACAUGUCAGUAAUGAUAUGAAUAAGAUAAUUGUGUUAAAUUGGAGGAGGCGCUCAAAACCUUCACAUUUGAAGCAGUGCAGAGUGAAGAGUACCUCUCUGGCACUAGAAUUUAUAUAUUUUGUGAAAUAAAUAUUAUUUCAUUUGUUACUAAAUUUGCCUAUGAGAAAUGAGAACAGAUAAUAAUAAACUCAUGAAUAAAAGUGCAAAGCAUUUGAAAUGAAGGUUGAUCUAUGACGAUUGUGGGUGACUGAAGAAAAAGGUAGAAAGAAAGAAGGAUGUGGCAAUUGCUUAGCAAGCAGAUAGCAGAGUACAUGCUUUGCUUUGCUUCCUUCCACUAUAUUUCUUAUUUAUUUAUUUUGGGUUGUGUAUGAGAUGACAAUAAUUGUCAUGUGUGUGAAGUGCAGAACUUGCCUACAUUGCACUCACACGAGUAUGGAUGCAUAAAUAAAACACGUGAAAUUGUUUGUAAUUCACAUAAUCAUUGCAUUAACAGGUAUUUGCACAAAAAUUGUCAUAUUGCUUUGAUGAUGUUAAAGGCUGUGAUGAGUAAUCCCUAUGCUCAUGUACUUUGUAAAAGUUGUAAUGUGCCUGGUUGACUAGUUGUGAUUGUGCAAAUACGUGGUAGUAUAUAUGUUCACGUUAUUUCACAUUGUAUUUGAGGAAAUGGGAUCCAACGUGGAGCUGGUAUGGCCAGAGGCAGAGGUAUAUUCGUCACGGGUGAACAACUGCUCACAUGCAAAUUCAUCUCUAGCUGCAAUUCGAGCGAAGUUGAGUGCGGAACAAUUAGAACAAUUCAAGACAUCAUGCUUUGGCCAUCUUCUGAAUAUAGAUAAGAUUCAGUUUAGCGGGCAGAUUGUGCAUGGGGUUGUGUUGCGUAGAGUAGCGGGGCAGGGUGUGAAAGACUUGGAUGGACUGAGUUUCUUAUUAGGGUGUGACGUUGCUCAGUUCACUCGUCAGGAUUUCUGUUUGAUCACAGGGCUUCGUUUUGGGGAAGUGCCUGAAGUUUCCAGUGGAGAGAGUGAUGAAAUCAGACUUCAGAAAAGAUAUUUUAUAGACGAAGGAAUUACAUGCAAUGCUUUAGAAGAAGCAUUUGUGAGGUGCACAGAGGAAGAUGACAUCUACAAGCAAGCUCUUGUUUACUUUGCUGAGUUAGUGGUUUUGGGAAGGGACAAACAUUUGAACAUCAAUCUAAAUUACCUGACCCUUGUAGAGGACUUGGAUGCGUUCAACAGGUAUCCGUGGGGUUCGGUGUCCUUUGACAAAACCCAAGACAGUCUAUUUUCUGCACCAACAAAGUAUGUGAAAAGCUUGGAAAAUGAAGAGGGAAGAGGGAAGGGGAAAAGUAAGGUAACGGGAACAAGCCGGAGAAAUGAGAAGGGCAAGAAGGAUAAGCAUGGUGAAGCGCAAAUGAGUGGCUGGAGUUUUAAAGGUUUCACGUAUGCUUUCCAGGUACAUGGUAAUAAUGUUCAUGUCAGUUAUGUUUUGUUUUUCUUUAAAACAUAAAUAAUGACUUUUGUCCUGUGAAUUGUGUAGAUUUGGGUAUAUGAAUUAAUUCCUAGAAUGGCGGACCUGAAUUACUGCAAGGUUGUUGAUCCGACCGUUGUCCCGCGUAUUUUGCGAUGGAGAACUACUACGUCUGUUCCAGAGAUGAGAAAGUUGAACAAUUAUUUUUUCCAGAGCAAAGAGGUUUGGUUUGCAGCCCUUGGAACUAUUGAUAAGAUUGAAUGAAAUUAUGAAGUAGAAUGAUUUGAUAUGACUCUUGUCUGUAUUCUGAAACAGUCAGUUCAGUUGCGGGCGCUAUGUCCGAGUGAAGAGGAAAUGAGACAGCCAUAUUGGAGUUGGCCACAGGAUCGCCCUGCUGUUGUCUCAGCAGAGUCAAUUCCUUCUUCAUGUGGUGAUCUUGAUGAGUUGAACAAGGUGGUAAGUUGGUUGAGGUCCGAGUUGUUUCAAGUAAAGCGGGAAAAAGACGUCCUUCACUUAAAGGUCAUACGGAUGGAAAAACUGUUGGACCAAUGUUUAGGUCCUCAGUUUGAGCAGGAAGUAAGGAGGGACCUAGCUUUACUGAAACAGAGGACGAAUCGUUGUGUCAUCUCACAUCUAUUUAAGGGAUAUGGGGAAAUGGAUGACAUUCAAUGGGAUGAAGGGCCAAGUAACAGAAAUGAGGGAGAGGAAAAGGAAGAUGAAGGGAUUGAAGGGGGUGAAGGGCCAAAUAAUAGAAAUGAGGGAGCACAUAAGGAAAAGGAGGGGAUUGACGGAGAGGAAAAGGAAGAGGAGGGGAUUGAAGGGGGUGAAGUGCAAGGAAAACCAAGUGAGGUAGAGGAAGGGCAAAGGAAAAGAAGUGAAGGAGAGCAAGUGCAAGUAAAAAGUAGCAAAGGAGAGGAAGCCCAGAGACAGAGCAGUGAGGGAGAGGAAGUGAAAAGAAAAAGCAGUAAGGGAGAGAAACUGCAAAGGAAAAAAAGGGAGGGCAAGGAAGUGAAAACACAAACAAGUGAGGAAAAGGAAGUGCAAAGAAACCAAUGUGAGAAAGAAGAUAAUGAAGUUAUGUUGCUUGGGGGUGACAUUGGCGAGAGCACGGAGGGGACACUGCUUGAGUUUACUGUCGGGGACAUUGAUUUGGAUGAACCUACAGCUGUGCUAUCUCAGUUGAACGUGUGGUUGAAUGAUAAAGGUAAAGCUCUGGCACAAGGGGUCCAAUUACGGAAAAGGAAGAGGAUCAUUCCUUUGUGGAAGAUCAUUGAAGGCAGUGAAUUGGUUCCAAAAAUUGGGGCACAGACAACCGGACUGAAGAUGUUAGACCCAAUGAAGGCGAUUUCGCAUGAUGAUCUGGUGAAAUUGCUGAAACUUUGUUGGGAAUGGCGCCAGGACCCAAAGUAAGUCCCUUGCAAUUAUAAGAUACAAGCAUGACUGUAUAUAAUUUUUUAUAUACAGUGUUCUAAAACUGUUUUAUAUUCAUAGUUUGGUGAUGCAAUUUGGCAACGUGGAAGCUGAGAUUGAAUUCUUCGCUUCCCUCGUGAAAGCUGAUGGUUGGCUGAAAGGAGAUGUAAGUGUAAUUGAUUAUGCAUUUGUUUUAAUGUACAUACAUUAUGAGAUUGACAAGAAAAACAUGUUGCAGCACAUUGAUUUGGGGUUGUAUCUCAUCCGGAAGCGACAACAACAGUUGGAGACAGAUUCGGUAGAAGUAGCGGACUGGACAACGACCGAUGUUUUUUUUAUGGUAUGUCAUCGGCCUUGACCAAGUGCCGUUAAUAAUUACACAUUUUCCAUACACACACUAGUGGAGGUGUUUAACCAUUGAUUGUUUUGUAUUUCACAGAAUCACAUUCGUACUUGCUUUGCGGAUAAUAAAAGAAAAAAACAGCAGCUUGGGUGGAAAAUCAGGAAAAGUUUACUAACCGUUGUAAAUGGGAAGGUUCCUCCGUGUGGGUUGGAUUGGCAGACCGUCUAUAAGGUGUAUACCCCAUUUAUGUUGACGAAGUACAAGCAUUGGGUGGCUGUAAUGAUUGAUCUGGUAUUGUGUGAAAUCAAAGUGUACGAUUCAAAGGUUUCACUAAUUCCAGAUGACAUCGUAAAGGAAGAACUCGGCCCGCUAUCAAUUACGCUUCCAAAUCUUCUCAACACCAUCGACUUUUAUGAAAAAGGUGUUUAUGCAAACAAUUGCAGCCAAGAUUAGUGGUGUCCGUGGCCAAUAGAGCGUGUGGAUGUUCCACAACAGUCUAAUGAGUAAGCACAACUUGCAAUUUAAUUUUAUUACUUUCAAUUGUCAAUUACGUUAGAAUGUCAUUAGUUGAAUUGAUCGAGUUCUUGUUUUGCUUCAGAGGCGAUUGUGGCAUGUUUGUGUUAAAGUACAUUGAGCUUUUCAGCGCUGAGCUUCCGUUAGCUACUUGCACCUCGCACAACAUGCCUUUUUUUCGGUUGAAAUUGGCUGCGGAGAUAACAAGGGGAGAUGCUUACUUCCCAUGAUAUUGGUUGAAGAUGACAAAUGGUACAUGAGAAGGUUUUGGGAAUGUCCAUUCUCAAACUAAUGUAAAUACACAAUAGAGAAGUACGGGUCCUUAUCGAAUUCUACCGCUAACUCCUUCAUGACAUUUACAUGUUUGUUAACCAAACUGCAUUGAAUUGGAAUUUUAAGACUGCAUAUGUGAAUUGGGAUUUGAAGAUGGCUUUUUAAGUGUAUUACAUCAUUGCAAAGUGAUAUGUCAUUGUUGAUGCAAGCCACCAUUAAUCGCAAUGUGUUGCAUCAUAAUAGGUGUCUAAACAUGCGAAAGGUUUUCCGCAGCUCAGUAGCAUAAAAGUAGAAACAAAGACAAUAUACACAAAAUGAACAACAAUUCACAAAUGCACCGACAAGCAAUACACACACAACAGACAAACAAUAUACACAAACUUGGCCUGCCAUAUACAGAGAAUAGACAUGCAAUAUACACACAGUAGACAUGCAAUAUACACACAAUAGACAUGCAAUAUACACACAAUACUCCCUUAACACACACAAUAGACAUGCCCUUGCCCACAAUAAUGAUGCAAUAUACUUCAGUCCCCAAGUACACCAACCAUAGGGAAGUCGUAUUGAAUAGGAUAUUAAACUUAACAGUUGUUCUUCCUACUAAAAGAAAGAAUAAGGUUCGUUUCCCCCCUUCAUUCUUACUUGAGUGAUACUUGUGGCCCCAAUAAACAUCCAAUUUUGGGGCAAUGAUAUUCCAUAUACAUGCAGCAAACUAUCAAUAAACCUUCAAUAAACCUUCAAUAAACAUUCAAUAUCGUUUCUAUAACAUGCGAAAUACAUGCAGUUACCAAAUAUUACAAAAUGGGUUUAGGGUCUCAUUGGUGGUGCGUGCAACAUGUCUUGUGCGGGAGAACUUUCACAAUCUUUUAAACCGUGCAGUUAAAUGAUCAUUAAAAGAACAAAUAAAAUGACAAUUGAUACAACUAAUAAAACUAAUACCAAGUCCUUAAUGGACUUCAGCAUGUUCAGCACUCUAGCAUCAUACGUGUCAUCUUGAUGUUCUGCUUCAGCGGAGGUUACAUCAACCCAUUCGAAUCCAUUGCAACUGGUGGCUCCCUAAUUGCAGGCAUCAUAUAUGGAAUAUAAUUCUGUCAGAGUUAGACAUAGGUUUUUUUUCACCCACAUACAUAUUCUUUAAAUUAAAACUUACAUAGGAGGUUAGACACUUCCAGAAUGGCUUCCCUCGAUUUUUGUCAGAUUUUGAAACCCGAAGCACCAUUGUAGCUCCACAAUACUGACACCUCUUUGUUUGAGCGGGAGAUGAAGAUGAAGACAUGUUUAAUCUUCUCAGUUGUACCUCUUCUCACUCAGAUCUUCUCACUGAAACCUCUUCGGACUCAUACCUUCUCACUCAUAGUUGUCAUUCAUACCACUUCACUCAUAACCCUAAACUUGUCACUCAGCUCUCUCUCAUCUCUGCCCAAAUCGAGUUAUAUUUCUUUUUUUUGGGAUCAUUUGGUGGGUUGGUCACGAUGUCGACACCUGUACCGUCAGCAUUGUGACAUCUUUUAGCCCGAAAAGCAAUAUAAACUACUUCACUACCAAAUAUAUUUUCUGAAUAAUGACGGGACACUGCUUCAAUUUUAUUAAUUUAUUUAUAUUUCAUUAAGGCAACUAGUUGGAUAAGAAUCCGUCAUUAUUGGUUCCAUUUUAAUAACAUUACUAGGGGUAAUUGGGUGUGGGAAAAUGAAAAAGUAUAUGAUGGGACCUUCUGUCACUAGUCAGUAAUCCAUCACAUUUGUAUCAAUGAAUUUGAUAGUGGGAUAAACCCAAAAAUGGCUAUGCAAAUAGCCAUUUAAUUAACUUUUUGACUGUCUGACUCUGUAUGCACCGUUAUGACGUUUUCCCUUCUUUUGUCUUAAGUUUUAAUUCACUGGGGUUCAGUUUCUUUCAAAAGGGUCAACUUGGAAAAACCCCAACUGGAAACACCUUUUCAAAACACUAUAAACAGAGGCUAAAACAAAACGUGUACCCCAAAUAUUAUCAUUUAUCCCCUCUGCCACUCCUCAAAUCGUUCCAUUCCAAAAACUUUUCAAUGAAUUCGAAACACUUCACUACAGUCGGAGGAAAGAGAAGGAAGCAUGUCCAUUUCGAUAUGCCCGAAGCCUUCAUCCCGGAGUCCGCUUGGUUUCAAGUCAUGUUAUACGUGGCAACCGAAUCAUCGGAAGAUCUCUUCCGUAUGGCAUCUGUGUGACGAUUGUUCCGAACUUUGGCAAACAGUUCACAAGUGUGGAACACCAUUUCAAUGGCAAAGUACCCAGACCAUCCUAUAUGGUACCGUGCCAGACCUGCGGUCCAGCAUUUCUUGCAACAAUGCAGGGCUUGCGAUAACCCUGAGUCCAUAUUUAGAGAAGCAUUCGAAGGUUUUUUCAGGCACGGUAAGGUGGAAGCGUUGUAUGGGAUGCGCAUUGCAGCCACGGCAGGCCAUAUGGAAGCGGCAUAUGUAGUUGGACUACUUGGUAUGUCCGGAAUUGGUCAGUCAAAAGAGGAUGCAUUACAAUUCUUGUGUUCUUUGAAUCAACGUAACAACAUUGAUAUGAAAGGAACCAGGGAUGCUUUGACAGGAAGAUUUCACGGAGCAUUUGUUGCAAGACAUAUCGUAGAUAUGUUUGACUAUGGGAAGAUUAAGUUCAAUCGGUGCAGCGCUUGUAACAACAAUGAAUGGUAUUUUGUUAUUCCAGGCUGGCCUAGUGAAGACAAGAUAAAUCCUGCGUUGUGGACUUGUUGCAAUCGAUGCAAAUGGCACCGUGAGAGUAUUUUUUGGUGCAAACUGAUGCGUGAGUAUGUUGUGCGAGGGAAUCACGUAUUUUUGCAUUAGUUUUAGUACGAAUUUACGGUUUUGAUGCAUUGUGGACUUGCUUCUCUUCACUUCUAGGUUGGCUGGCUACGUUAUACCUAUCUCAGUUUAAAUGUUGUUCAAAUGUUGGUAUUUUGUCAUAAACCGUUUUAUAUAUAAAUGUAUAAUAUUUAUUAUAUAGCGGAAUUAUUACUUACAUCAUAGACGGCUAGGAAUGACAUUUUACUGACACAGAUAUUUUGCUCACCGACCCCAAUCUUCAUAUUUGAUAAACGAAAAGUUAUGCAUGGAGUAAAUAGGUGUCUUUUCACCAGUGCUUGGGAAUGACAUUUUCCCACUUAGCAUAUCCGAAAGGAUUUGGUUACACGUUUCUUAACCUAGGGGGUUGAACAGUGAAUGACGUAGACUAUUUUUUGUGUGUGGAAGGAGUACAAUGGAUGACUUGUAUAUUUCCAUAUUAUGUUUCAAAACAUCCCUUCAACCUAAAAAAUAAAAAAAUUAACAAAUUGAAGAACAGAGAAACCGAUGAGCACUACAAAUGGCCUAUUCGCACGGAAAAUAAAAUUGUUUUCAACAAGUUGGACUAAAUAUAAUUAACAAAUGGACAGCCUAAAAAGUAAUAUCAUAAUAAUUAUAAUAAUUGUGGAUAAAUAAUAAUAAAAUACUAAUGUAACAUAACCAUUAAACAGGGAAUGCAGUAGGAAGAUGAAAUCGCAAUAAGUUCGUAGAAAUUUUGGGAUCGUUUUUCUAAUUUUUGUGUAUUUAGUUAUGAAUUUUCCAAGAAAAAAGGUAAUAAAAUAAUAAUUUAGGGUAAAAUGGGAGGAUGUGGCCAUGUUCGGUAACGUACACUUGUGCAAGUAGUCAAAAGUGACGGGCUGAGAUCGCGCCAGGUGUCAUAUUCUUGUUAAUUUUGGAUUCUUUUGUUAAAAAAUCUUUGAAACUAGGUAAUAAAUAGUAGGAAAAUCGUAAAAAUGGCCCAAAAAUUACUCCGGCCUCCUUUUGACGUCCUAAAACUAGGAGAACCUAUAAAUCAUUCGUCUCGCAAUGAAAUAAUCCAAAUUGUGUUACAUAACUCACUUUCCUCUUAACCCUAAGUAUUGAUGUUUGUUAACUUCAACUUGAAUAACCUACUUCAACAAGCAUCUCCCGUUAAUAUUGGGAAUUAAUUUUACAAAUGCGUAACAAUGAAUCGGAGAAUUCAGCAACGGAGAUGGAGUGUCAAUGAGUUCGUAGCAAUUUUCGGAUAAUUUUUUUAUUUUGUGUGUAAUUAGUUCUGAUUUUUGUAAGGAAAAGUAAUAAAAUAAUAAUUUAGGGUAAAAUGGGAGGGUGUGGCCAUGUUGACUGACGUACACUUGUGCAAGUAGUCAUCAGUGACGGGCUGAGAUCGCGCCAGGUGUCCUUUUGCUAUUAUUUUGGCUUUUUUAGUGCAACAAUCUGUGGACAUAGGUAAUAAAUUCUACGAAAAUCCAAAAAAUGCCCGGAAAAUGAGAAAAUGAAAAUUAUUUGUACAUAACUCACUUUCCUCUUAACCCAAAUUCACGUUAACACGUAUAUUUCGGAUAAUAUUCGAAAUAUAAUUUCUAAUAAUACAAUAUUUAGUUUCACUAUAUACAAUAAUAUGUUUUUUUUAUAAUAAUGUACAUAAAUAAUAAUUGCACAUGCUUUGAAGCCAUCAUUGCAACUACGCCUAGAGCUUUGAAGACGUCAGUUCGUAUUCAAUAAGUUGUCCACAUGCAACUGCACCUAGAGUUUUCAACACGUCAGAGGUAUUCAAUAAGUUGUCCACAUGCAACUGCACCUAGAGUUAUUAACACGUCACAGGUAUUCAAUAAGUUGUCCAUAUGACGCCGCAUUGGGAAUCAGUAAUAUAUUUUCAAUCAUGUCAAAUCACAUAAAUAAUGCCAUACUUUUUCUCAAUAACCUCACACAAGUGAAGCAAUUUUAAAACCCUUAGUGAAUAUUUAUCCUAGUCUAUAUGAGUGAUUAUAUAAUCAGUUGCAUAAUAUUUUUUUCACAGUAUAUGUUAACUUUGAGAGGGAUUCCACAAACAUAAAAUAUAAAGAAAGCAAGAAAUAGUAGGAAAUGAACCAGUACAAAAAACAAUAUAUAAAGUGUACAUAAUAAUUCCAUAACCUUGUCACAAACGCACUCACAAAAGCUUUUCCAUAAACCUUGUCCUAACAUAUAAUAAAUAAAGGCAACAUUGCAUAUGAUGCAACCAUGUCCAAAUCUGAUAAGUGAUCAAAAACAAAUGGACAUGGCAGCAACAUAUGAUUGAAGUAGAUGGGCUCUUUGCAUCUUCUGUUUUCGUAAUUAAAGACAUCAAAAUAUUAAGGUUUAAAUCUUCCAUAGUAGUUAGCAUCAAAAUAGCUUUGAAGCAGAGUGUAACGAAAAUUCCAAUUCCACUUAUUUGCCUCUGCUCAAACACGAGAACCAAAAUGGUUACUUCCCUUGCUGAGUAUAUUUGGUGACGUCGGAAACGGUAAUAGAUGACCAAUCAAACCCGGGUACGACGAGUUUUGCAUAGGAUCGGAAGUAGUCGAAUCCAGCUUGCAUCACACGCUUCUUUGACUCCACUACAUUAGAUGAGUUCUUGUAUUUUUGAACAGCUACACUCUGAAGUCGUUUGUGUCUACGCUUCAUGCGCUGCAACUUCGCCCUAUCCAGAUUGGCCUGCCUUUUGUCAUCUUCAAUUUGGCCUUCCACAAAUUCCAAACGUGCCCUUGCCCUUUGGAUUUCAUCACCAAGUUGAAGAUGCCUCUCCUUCCAAAAAGCAACAACUCUUUCAGACUCAAAACUUCCAACAAAAUGGUCAUUCUGUCUAGCAAUGUGACAUUGCUUGUCUGGUGACUCACUUGCGUGUCGAAGCCGGUCUUUGUUUGGAGGGGUGUUUAUUAUACUCACAUCAAACUUGGUUGUGCUUAUGCUCAUUCUUUGGGGGGAAUGAGUUUGUUUGCUUGAGAGAGUAUCGGUAGAUGGAGACAGAUUCGGUGGAGGAGUGAGUUUUGUGUGGAAGGAGAUUUUAUAUGAAAGGGGUGAUAGUAAUACCAAGAAAAGGGUUCCCGCCAAAAAAUAUUUGGUUGACAAAGUAGAAAUUAUUUUUUUAGUCUGAUACAAUCUAAGUUUAAUCCUAACUAGUUUGGUUGAGUUAACUAAGUAGAUGUCACUUCCAUUGACUUUCUUUCAACAACUAUCAGUGGUGUAAGGAGAGUGUGAGGUUGACAUGCUUGAAAAGCAAAAGCUGACACCUAUUUUUAAAAAAUUCCCGCCAAAAAGUACAUAUGUUGACUACACACAAGCUUUGGUAUGUUGGUCUAUAAACCUAUGUUCCCUUUCUCAAACGAAAUUGCAUAUGCAAUCCUCAUCCUCCCAAAACAAAGAGGAUUAUUCAAGCAUGUCAACCUCUUCAGGCGCCAACAACACAAUCGAACAUGACAAAUUGGAGUCACAGGUUCUAUUUCCACAUUGUACUCGCCGACCCCUUCCUUUUUCAACAUCAUUUGGGAGUGAGGGGGACUCCGAUGAUCCAUUAGAGGCAAUACAUGCAGUCAGUGGCAAGCUGGAUUAUAAUUCCAGACUGAUCAAUUCAUGGCACGAGAAAUGUGUUGAAGACGAGGCAAUUUUGGCUGAUCUUAACAUUAGGGUGAGCAAAGCGUUAUCCCAAAAGAACAAGUACUUGAAGCUGAGUCAUAGCAGGAAGCUGAAAGCUGAGGAGUUGGAUACAGUAAUGAAUGAUGAAAUGAAAGGUUGUUUGAUGAACCAUAUGCGAUGCGAACAGCACCAUACUGAACUGGAGUUGGCAUUCAACGAAGGAUUCGACAAAUUCCGAGCAUUUGCGGCAACUACUCAUACAAGUUAUGAUUGGAACUAUGUGUCCCCUGAUGCUGUGAGAGAGAUACUAGACGAUGGGGGUGACAUGAAUGAGCAUAAGCACGUCAAAGCUGCUCGGAAGAAGCCGACCGAUACGACUAAGUGAUUGCGGCUACCGCUGUUCAGUUAGUUGAGGGUGACCGUGGUAUUGCACAUAUACUCCCUUAAUGUCAUUAUCUAACUUAAAAUAACACAAAUAUCAGUUUCAUUUGCUUGAUAUAUAAUUAUUGGGACUAUGUAUUGCAAGUCAUCAUGUGUUAUAAUGUCUAACAUUAUAUUUUGCAAAUAUGGAAAUAUUAUUCAAGAAGCAGUCAAUAUCACAGAAAGCCGGGAAUCAGUAAAUGCUCCUUAUCAUGUCCAUUUACAUUAAAGAGCUGGAGUACUAAUGUGUUCAAAAAAAACUGACACGUGAGUCAUAAGUAACAUAACAUGUGCUAUACAUUGUUUACUGAAUGGUUUAUGGUUUAUUUGUAUAUAAUAAAAUUUCAAAUAUUGCUGAAGAUUUAUUUCGUGUAUAUCACUAGGGAUAUGAGUGGCCAUAAGCAUGUGAGACCUGCUAAGAAGAAGCUGACGAGUACGACCCAGUGAUUGGCUACCGUUGUUCAGUUGGUUGGGGAGAUCGUGGUAUUGCUAUGAGGAAGCACACAAUAUGUUUUGCAAUCAAAUGUUCUUUUGUGUGUGGAAUUAUGAGUAUUUAUGUAAGUUAGUGUACCCUUUAAUAUUUUUCACCUAAGUAUCGAAAUGCAGUUUUUGAAUGUUAUGUUUUUUUUUACCCGCUGCUUUCUAUUUGCUCUGUUCCAACAAAGUGCUUCAAGUAUCCUUCACUUACAAAAGUGUACAAAAUCGUGCCCCUAAUAACCAGUCGGAAAAAGUGGCUACUGCUGGAAAUGAUUACUGGUAAUGGAAACAACAGCUGGCUGCUGUAAUUGCUGCAUUACCGUGAGGAUUUGAAAAAUGAAUCUCUGUUAAAACAAAUUUCACCCUAAACUGCCCAUUUUACAUGGUAAAAGUCAUUGCUUCUUCAAAUCUUUUGCAGCUACACGAUGCGUGGUCAGAAUCUUUGACAUAUACGACUUCUGCCACUCUUGUUUCCCAAUUUUUUCUUUCGCUCACGUUGAACACAACUUUACAAGCAUCCUCUGUUUUGAGCUCUAGGAAACAUGCUGUACUUUGUAUUAGUUCUUGCUCAAACUUUUGAAACAUUGUCCUUGUGUACAAGGUAGCCAUUUGUUUGUUCAUUGGCAUCGGUAGAAGACAUUGAGCCACUUCAAAUGCAUCUGCGUGAUCAGCAACUAACUCUUUUUCACGUUGAUGAGAAAGUGCCCUCUCAAAUCGUAUUAUGAAAUCCAUCAACGAAUUUCUCCUUGAUAUGUAUUGCUUGAAAAAACCAUGAGAACCUUCCGCUCUUUGGCUGCUUGACAUUCCAGCGGCAAAAAAUUGUCGUGCGUAGGCUGGAACCCAAGAUUCCCUUAAAUCAAACAUUGAACUUAGCCAUGGAUGGUCAGUCAAACCAGCCUUUGUAACCACAAUAUUCCAUUUUGCAUCAAACUCAUCCUUAUUGUCAGUAUCCCAUAUGGCUUUCUGAAAUUCAGGCCAAUACUCCUUAUAAGCGUCACGUGGUAACUUAACAGAGAACUUUGAUGUGAUGUGCUAUAUGCAAAGUCGAUGAAAUGUACUCGGGAAGGCUAUUGAAAUCGCUAUGGCCAUUGCCGCAUCUUGAUCUGUAAUGAUCGUUUUAGGUUCCCCACCUGGCAUGGCUUUCUUAAACUCCUCAAACAUCCAAACAAACGACUCAGUCGUUUCCUUGCUCAAAAAUGUGCAUGCUAACACAAUUGUCUGACCAUGGUUAUUAACUCCCAACAUUGGUGCAAAUGUCAAGUCGUAUCGAUUCGUGUUGAAUGUGGUAUCAAAUACAACAACAUCUCCAUAAAACCCAUACGCCCGUCUAGAAGUUGCAUCUGCCCAAAAACAUCGACUAAACCUAUCAUGCCCAUCUCCCUCAAUCUUGAAAUAAAAAGCCUCAUUUUUUUUCUGUUCAGCCAUAAAAUACUCGGUCACUAGUUCAACAUCGUGGUUCCUCAGCUUCCCAAUCACACUACAUUCAAGAUUGUAGAUAUCUUUUUUGAUAAAACCGAUUUUAUCCAUUCCUCCGGAUUGCACCUCGAAAAUACUUACCUUCUGAUGAAUGGGAAUAUUAACUGAACCCAACUGUUUUGUGAGUACUUUUGUAGAAUCUGAAAUAUGACGGUGUGAUCUCAAUAAAUGCAUUCUUUCUAAGGGUGUCAUCUUAUGAUUGUGUCCCUCUGCAAAAAGAGAAAUGUUAUACUUGUUGCUCCCAUUUGUCUUCACAACCACAAUCUUUGCUUUGCAAUUGCAUCUACUUAUUCCCCGUUGUCUUUUUCUCUCCCGAGUUUCAUCCUUCCUGUAUGCACCUUGUUUGCAACAUACAAAUUCUUUCCUCAAAAUCUCUUUCUUAUUUUUCCCCCAAAAGCUAGAAUGAAGUCGAAUACCAAAGCCAGCCAAGAAUGCAUAUCUAUUAUAGAAAUUGUAAACGAGGUCAAGCGAGUCAAACUUCAUCCCAACUGCUGGUGUUUCCUCAUUUCUUACUUCAGGAAUAUAAACCCUCCCAUUAGCUGUUGCACAUUCAUCACUCUCUGAGCCCCCAGACAUUUUAUCUACGUAUAUUAUUGAUCCACUUCUAUAUUACUGCAUAGCAAUUAUUCAUUCAUUAAUCAGUCAUUACUGCAUCACAACAUAUCAAUGCAUUCCACUUACACAAAACAUUGCCCAAAUUGACACAAAAUACGCAUAGCCUAACUUCCGAUUACACAAAACACAAGCAAAAUUUCAUAAAAGUUACGUCAUCUCUUGUGAAAUAAUCUGGUCAAAAUAACAUUAGAACCAACAUGUUCAACUAAGAACACAAAUGUAAUUCAAACCACCAAUUACAGAACUUCACCCAAUAUCCUCUCCAACUGCUUACUCCUAAUGUCAUUAAGCCUAAGUUUAGGUUCUUUUACCUACAUUUCAUAAUUUUUCACCCCGACCAACAACAAUGAACUAAGUAUAUUGAAUAUUCACAAGGAAAUGACACAUUAUUGAUGCCACAAAUGACGAAUUUCCCACCCUCACAAAAAAUAAACCUAACCCAAUAAAAUCAAUCCAGCAAGUGAACUUACCUCUCAAAAUCAAUCGAGAGCUCUGAAGUCAGUCAGCUUGAAAGAAUGUGGUGGACAUUAGAGAAGACUCUUUGGUAUUUGAGACUCCAUCUCUAUCAAAAUCGAGGAACAACUGCUGCUGCGGCUUCUAGCUACAAAAACAGAUAUGCUACUUUGCUUUCAUCUAGAAUCUUGUCAGCUGAAUGAAAAAGAGAAGGGGUUUUCACUUGAGCCAUAGAAUCAAAACAGGGCAACAGCUAGGUAAGAGCCAUUCUUCGUAAUACCCAGGAUACCAUAGAUCGCAGGCCUCCCAACGAGCUAAUGACAGUGGAGUGACUAUAAGGUUUGGGAGAUUUGGAUCCUUCUAAUUGUGGGUUUGCUUUACAUUCAAAAAGAAAGGAUUGUGUUCUUCAGUUUUUCACAGAGAGGGAAAGAGGGGAACAACUGAAGUUGGGUUUCUAACGGGUUAGAUUUCAACCCGAUUCUACAUGCACCCUCUUUUAAAAACUCACCGUUGGAUGAAAUCCAACGGCUCUUACAUACCCCUCAAAAACACCCCUUAUAACUUCCCACUCACUAUAGAAGCUCCCCCAACUAAAUCCCAAAAGGGAAACAGAUUUGAACAACAUACAAAUUUGAAGGACACACAAAUAUGAAUCUCAGCACCGGUGAGAAAUUAAUUUUAGUUGAGGUUGGUAGGUAGGCAUUGGAAGUUUUUAUUGUUUUUGCUCCAAGUCCCUCCUCCACUCACUAAUACAGAUUACUCGCAAAUGAACUAAAGUCUGCAGGGAUAUAUGGACUCCCCUGUCCAUACGAAUGUUGGAAGAAAUGUGUGUUAAAUUUUAGAGAGACGGGUCUGUGACCCACCACUAGCAACGUUGAUAUUGUCUCCAACUUAACUACAUGUUUAGUAGAUGUGGGGUUUUAUACAAAAAGUAUUGAUGUUAUUGGGAAUGGAACCACUUAUUAUAAGUUAAAAUUUAUUUAGUCAAGUUUCCUAUGUGGGACUUUCUAUUCUUCAACAAGCCCCUUCAUGUGGGACCACCACAUAGUGGGCCACACGUAGAGCCAAGUCCACAUCGGAGUCAAUCAUUCAAGCCCAAUACCUAAACACCACGUAUUGUGUGAGGGGUAGGGGUAAACAUUCAAGCCCAACAUAUGAACACUGUAACAUCCCAACUCCAAAUUUAAUCCCUUAUUUAAAUUAUUUAAGUGAAAUUACAAAUUUACCCUUGGGGUAGGGAUAUUUUGGUCAUUUUCUUACCCGAAAAGAGUUUGGGGCAGUGACUAGUAUUUUUUGGUAGAUCGUACUGAGAUGAGUCUGUAGACAUGUAGUGGGCUCGAUUCGGAGUUGAAACGAAGAAGUUACGAGCAAAACAUCACCAAUGGCAAAACCGUAAAUAUUUCAAAAUGAAUUUUUAAUAAAAAAAACCUGAAAAACCCUCUCUCUCUCUCUCUCUCUCUCUCUCUCUCUCUCUCUCUCCUGCGCACAGCCCCUUUCCCCCCUUCGUUUUUUCUUUCCGUGGCUUCCAAGAGCCACCAUCGCCACCACGAAUCACCACCGGCCAUGAGGCCGGACUCGUUCGAACUGCCGCCGCAUCCUCUUCCUGUUCCGGUCGCUCCCAGUCGCUGCCAUCCGCUGUGCUGGCCGGAAAUCGAAGAAAACCAGCCGAUUUUUGUCAAACUUUCGGCCGCUCGUUCUCCCACUUCCGGCCACCAUUUUGGCCAUCCAGGUAUAGAUUUUGAACCUCUCGAGCUGUUCUUGCUGCCUGUUGUGUUAGAUUUGGGAGAUUUCCGCGUUUUGAAGGUCGAUUAAACGAUGGAAGUUUGGCUGGUUUUUGGCCUCCGAUUCCGGCCACUUUCGGUCACUUUUUGGGGUAGGUCCAAGAACAAAAGUGGUUCCAAAUAGGGUGUUAUACCUAGGGUAGGAGUCUUGAGCCGUGGUUUUGAGAUUUCUCGGUGAUGCGUAAUCGCUUUGGACACCCAUACGCUACCGGCGCGUGUGGUGGCGCGUGGGCACUGUAGAAAUGGGGUAUUGUGUCCCGAUGCGAUCCCCUUGUUGUCACGAGUGUGUAGUGUGCUCGGAUUCCAAUUUGGUUGACAUUCGAACCCCGAACGAAUUUCUCCUAUUGCACGUUAUCCGCGUUUGAUAGGUUUGAACCGUUGGAUAGUCUUGAAUUUAAUAUAUUUAAUCUAAGCAUUUCUAGGAUCGUGUAGGAAUUCACGGAUCAUGAAUCGGAACCCCGGAUGUUCCGAUUUAAUAAUUUAAAGUUUAUGUUUAUAUUAACUGUCAGAUCGUGCAAUCGUGAGCGAUCCGACCUUCCGAUCCGGACCAAACGUGCAGGACGUAUAUCCUAAACCUUGUGGAACCUAUAGGAACUUUCGAAUCAGAAUUUAGAGGUCGUGGGCCUAGUGGCCCCGUUUGACCAAGUGUGGAUAGUUUGACCCUUGGUUGACCUUGAGUCUUCCAAGGUAGUUUUCCUUCCUAGAAGGAUUAUAAUGACCCUAAUGACAGGUCUUGAGCGUUGUUGAGCCAUGUUGACUAGGUUAAGAUUUUUAGAGUGUUUAUUAUUGUCGUAGGAAACUCUUGGACAUUAUUUUAAUAAUUGGAAUUAUAAAAGUGAGUUUUGGGUUCGGCUAUGACUUUAGUGAAUGGACUUUAUUUUUAAAUGAAUAGCAUGGCUUUGUGAUGGAAUUUUUAGGCAUGUGAAUUUAAUGGUUUAUUGAAAUUCAUUUUUAUAAUUAAUAGUUAAUUUAGCAGUUUUGGUAAAGUAUUAGUGAUGUGUGGGGUACUUGGGAUUUUGUUGAGGUUUAUACAAUAUUAGAGAUUAACUUAUAUAUUUAAAUAUAGGUAUGAAUGUAUGAAAAGAGUUUAGAAUGUCAGUUUGAAGUACUAUACGCACUACCCUAGGUACCUCAUCGGAUUUUGAUUACACUAUAAGUACCACCCUGUGAUUGUCAGGUCACCCAUGGCGUAGGAUUUUCCGGCGGAAUGACAGACCCCAUACGUGACGUUGGAAUUUCCGGCGUAUGGGGAGAUGAUAUUAUGAUUGUUAAGUCACACGUGGCAUAGGUUAUCCGGAGUGCUGACAGACCCCAUAUGUGGCGUUGGAAUUUCCGGCAUAUGAGGAGAUUAUGUGAUUGUUAAGUCCCACGUGGCGUAGGUUAUCCGGCGGGAUGAUAGACCCCAUACGUGGGGUUGGAAUUUUCGGUGUAUGGGGAGAUGAUAUAAUGGUUAGGUCACAUGUGGCGUAGGAUUUUCCGGCUUGAUGACAGACCCCAUACGUGGCAUUGGAAUUUCUGGCAUAUGGGAGAUUAUGUGGUUAUUAGAGAGAUGAAUUAAGAUUAUUAUACUGAGUUGGGAACGAAUGAUGUUUGAAAAAGAUUUUGUUUGGGAUUUCUGCAAUUGAUUGCAUGUUGAUGGACUUGGAAAUUUUGUAUGAAAGAACUACGUGUGGCUUGAUCCCUUAGUAAGGGUACAUAUGCAGCUUAGGGUAGUGCCUAGGUGCAGCCGUGUGCUAAACUUUACUCAUGUUGUGUGAUGGAGAUUCGUUCGGACCUUGUUGUUAGUCCUGAAUUUUAGGUGAAAAUGAGAUGCAGUCUUGUUAGGAGGUUUAAAUUUUCUACGUUUAAUAUUUGGGAAUUUAGAUGAUGGAAAUCGCAUUUGGCGUUCAUAAAUGUGUUUGAGUUUAUAUUUGCAUUGUUUAGAGUUAGUUGGUGGUUUCGUUUCGAAUUAUUUGAAGGCCGAAGGCUGAUUAUGUGAUUUAUAUGAAAUUAUCUUGUGCAUACUGCCAGUUGUGAAUAUCAAAUGUGUUUUAUGCACGUUGAAAUUUUUAGGAUUGUUCAACUUACAGGGGAGACUGCCGAAAUUUCGGCAUAAAAUCUCGUGCCCUUAUUCCUUAUUGGGAAAAAUGAUUUAGUUUUAGAAGUGGGUUCGACAUCGGGGUGAUGUCGGGAAUUUUCACAGGAUUCAUCUCGGGUUUCGGGAAAUUCGGGUCGGGUCCUGUCAAACACCACGUAUUAGGUAAGGGUAAAGGCUCAAUUCAGGCCCAGUCAAUCAACCCAUUAUGAUAUCAUGUUAAAUUUCAGAUAGACGGGCCUGUGGCCCACCACUAGUAACAUUGAUAUUGUCCCCAACUUAACUACAUGUUUAGUAGGUGUGGAGUUCUAUACAAAAGAUCUCGAUGUUUUUAGGAGUGAAACCACUUAUUAUAAGUUGUAAUUUAUUUAGUCAAGUUUCCAGUCAACCUGACUUUGAUACCAUGUUAAGAUUUUAAAGGGACGAACUCUUGGCCCACCAUUAGCAAUAUCGACAUUGUCCCCAACUUAACCACCUGUUUAACAAGUGUGGGGUUUUAUCCUAAAGAACUCGAUCUUAUUAAGAGUGGAGCCAUUUAUUAUAUGAAACUUUCUAUUUUGUUAACUCUGUGUAUUCUUCAUCAAUGUGAACACCCCUAAACCAAUCAUACCUGAUACGGAUUGAAACACAAGUUUGUUUUUUGCCUUUGGUAGAUGAGUAGCUAGAAAAGCUCAAUGCACUUGCUCUUCUUCUGCUACAUUUCAAUAUAAGAACAAGGUUUGGAAGCCAGGUCAACUCCUCAUAGUUUCCUUGCCUUUGCUUUGACAUGUCUAUGCACUUCUUGGGGAAGUUUGAAUAAUCAAUUGCAGGCCCCACGACAACUAAGGAACCAACAUUUUGUAGAAGGUUUUGUCUACACCUUUUGACUAUAAGUAAAAUCUUUUGUAUCUGCUCUUAUGUUUCGGUGAAGUUUCUAUGUGUCCUUUGUUGAACGAAAAAAUGAGGUUGUUUCUUACUAGAUUCAAAUACUUAAAAGAAAAAAAGAAAUUAUUGUUUCUUAAUUGAUUUUAUGGUGAACAAUAUCAAACUCUCCUCUUAUACGUCUUCUUCGUUGGACUUGGGGUUGUUUUCCUUAUAUGUCCCUUAUAUAUAUAGGGCCUUUGGUUGAGCCCACAAAUACCUUCAGUUAGUUUUUGGGUUUAGGGGCCUACAGAACCUGCACUAAACAAUAAAAGAAAAUACCUAAUUAGUUUAGUACGAAUUCUAUAAUGAAGGCUUUAUUAGGUAAGAUUUUAUUUCUUAAUCGUUAGAUCAAAUUUGACAGGACCCGUUCCUGAAUUUCUCGGAAAUCAGAGCGAACCCCGUCCUUGUUUCGACAUCACCCCGAUGCAGGGUCCACUUACUAAAAACCGAGACUUUCUACCAAAAUUUUGAUAGAAUCUCCCUUGUAAAUUGAGCAAACCCAACAAAAAUUUCAGCCUGCAACAUACAUAAAAAUAAUCCCAACCAGCAGCAUGCUUACAACAUACAACAAAACGUACUAAAUGGCCUCCGGCCUCACAAGUAAAAUUUAACAUGGGUAAUCUACUGAUGUAAACGAUUCGGCCUUCGAACACUGCUUGCAACCUUCCUGAAGCGACUACUGGCUAAGGGGCGCAAAACAGAAAACAUGUGAGUGGACAAAAACAAGAUUCAAUUAAAACAACAUAGUAACCCCACCGUGUAAAAAUAAUGCUCAAGACAUGUAGGUUUACAAUUCAUAAUUAAAUAUUCAAAAACAAAUUUCAUUUAAAAUUCUUUAAAACCACAAAUCACUCCAUCCAUAAAACCUCAUGCCCACAAUUUUACUGCUCCUACCAACCCACUGUAUAGACUCUAAUUUCUUCACAAUCACAACUAUAUAUAAAUAUAUAAAUUGUAUCAUACAACAUACUCCUCACACUACUUAGGUACAGGGGAAACAAUCCAACCGGAGGAUCGUUUAACUAGCCCGCAGGAUUUUCAGGUGCUAUCCUGAGUCUAGGAAUGAGUGGUCCAACCAGGGGACGAAACUCUAUAGCUCACACACCGGAACAUCCAACGCCACGUGUAGCUCCAAUACUAAGUCCUACAGGCACAGACUGGAUCACCACACACCGGAACAUCCAAUGCCAUAUGUGAUAAUCCCAAGCAAUAUACAGAGUCUUCCCAUACGUCGGAACAUCCAACGCCGCGUAUGGAAAGUGUUCACACGCCGGAACAUCCAACGCCACGUGUGGGAAGCCUAUUAACUGGGGAAAGUACUUACAUAGUGUAAUCAUACAAUUUCUCUCAACAACUCCUCAUACUCAAGUUCUUCCACAAACUCACCUCAACAAUCCCAAGUACCCCACCUAUAGACAAUAUAUAUAUAACUUCCCCAAAAUCUAUACAAAACAUACUCUCGAUAUCCAAAUAUGCCAAACUCACAAUAUAUUGCCAAAGUGCAAUACAAACAUCAAAAUCAACACAUGAAUAUAAUAUAUAUUCAAUAUACCAUUUAAAACAUUAUGCGUAAAUCUUUCAUCAAUAAAACCAUGCGUAUGAUUGAAAACAAAGUCCACUCACAAGUAUUCCUACGCUGCUUGACCACGAGAGAGUCCUGCCUGCUGAGUACGUGCAGUAGGAGCACCUAUUUUGAGAUACAAACCUUUAAUUAAUAUAAAAUUACUUCAAAACGGAAAACACAAAUUAAAUACUUAAAUCCCCAAGUUCCCAGUACAUGUACGUUGAACGAGGUAUCCUAAGGUCUAGUUACAAGUUUGGGAAUCGCUCACGAUUGGACGGUUAUCGCUAACCCACAAAUUUUGAAUUAUUGAAUCGGAACAUUCGGGGCUCCGAUUCACGAUCCGUGAAGUCCUACGUGAUCCUAGGAAUACCUAAAACAACAUAUUUUAAUUGGAAAACGCACAAUAUGCGAAAAUCCGUUCGAUAGUCAAACGAUGUCCGAAUUGAGAUUCGCAAAAUGCUACGCACUCGUGACAACCUGAGGAUCUCAUCAGGACAAAGUGCAACUUCACCACCCUCACCCACGCGCCGGCAGCGCGUGGGUGUGUAGAGUAAAUUCCGGCGAUGGAAAAACUCCACACCUACUUGAGGUCAGGAUCUCAUCACUCAACUACAGGGAGGUUCAAUUAGGACGGCAACUGGCCGGAAUUUCACUUUGAAAUCCAGCCAAAACUUAGGUUUUCUAAUCGGUUCCUAGACAACAAAUCGAUCUAAACCUAUGCAACAGUCAGCUAGACUAAGGAAAAAGAGGAAGAAACCUCACAUUUUUCACUGGAAUCGGAAGGGAGAGGCGACGGGGCGACGUCGGGAAGACUCGGGUUUGAACCAGUCGAUGCCGUUGACGAUUCUCGCAUUUUUCGGGGGGACUUUGGGUGGUUCGGGUUAGUGGCUUCACGACGAGUCGAACGGGACCGGUCUCGGGGGCUGGGGUGGUCGGGUGUGGUGGCGGUGUGGUGGUUUUCGUCUCGGUGAACAGUAACAGGGGAGGGUUUCGCACGCGCAGAGAGGGACUCGGGAGAGAGAGAGAGAGAGAGAGAGAGAGAGAGAGAGAGAGGAGAGAAAAGAAAAAUUAGAUUUUUACUCUCCUCUUUUCAAAAUAUUUACAAGUUUGCCACUAAUGAUGUUUUGAUCGCCAUUUUCUUGUUACAACUCCGAUUCAAGCCUACCGCAUGUCUAGGAAUUCAUCUCAGUACCACCUACCCAAAAUUACCAGUCAUGGUCCCAAACUCUUCCCGUAACAGAAAAUGACUAAAAUACCCCUACCCCAAGGGUAAAUUCAUAAUUUCACUUAAAUAAAUUAAAAAUAGGAAUCAAAUUUGGAGUCGGGGUGUUACAAAAUUGGUUAGUACGAUCCAACGGUUAAUAGAUAAAACUUUACAUAAAAGUCAUAUAUAAGGCCCUCACUAUAGAAUGACUCGUUAGUUUAGUCUCUUGUUACAUAUCAACUGUUAGAGAUAUUUUUUUAAUAAGGAUCUACCAUACCACAUAGUUGGAUAAGACAUUAUACACAACUUUUGUAAGAGCAUCUCCAGCGAGCCAGGCCAGCCCAAGCAGCAAGGGGCCUUAAGCCCGGUAAGCAGCUCCAGCGCUCAAGAUUCAGCCCAGGCAAGGUGUGGAACCCACAAGGAGAUCUGGCCCGUCACCUUGCCUUUGGGUUUCAGUCAGGCUGAUGUCAACGAAAGAAUUUCAAAAAAAUUUUGCCGUUGCAAUGCACGCGCCAACGAUAAAUUUUCUUUGGAUUUCUUGCGUUGAUCCACAGCUACCAAAAACCAACGGCUACAAGCCACGUGGCUUCUCCAAGAGCCUCUGAUCCAAAAAUCUUGUCAAAUCUAACGGCUGUCCAUUUUUUGGCUAAAAAAAUAUCAAAAAAUUAUGGAAACAUUUUCUAUAAAUACCUACAAAUAUUAUUCACUUCCCACACCAAACCUUCAUACAAAUUCAUAUCCUUUCAAUAUUUUUCACUUUCCACACAAGAUUUUCUACUACUAAAUUUCAUUUGUGUAAAAAUACAAGUGGCCUCUUCUAUCAAAGCCGGAGGCGCGUGGACAACCGUGGAAGAUAUUUUGUUGUGUGAGUGUUGGGUCAAAGUUGGUCAUUGCCCGAUCACCGGCAAUGAGAUGAAGUCCUCUCGUAGGAGUUUCUGACAUCGCAGCGAAAGUAAGAUGUGAUAUGAGAAUGUAAGGAAUUUGAUGAGAGGAAUGGGAUUUGAGGAGUUUGAUGUAGGAAUUGAUGUUGAAUUGGAUUUGGGAGGUAUGUAUAUAUGAUUUGAGAGUAUGUGUUUAGGGAUUUUGAUAGGAGGAUUUGAGGAAUUUAGAUUUGAGGGAUUUGGAUUUGGGGAAUUUAAAUAUGAGGAAUUGAUUUAGGGUUUGGGUUUGAAUAUGAGAAAUUUGAUAUGAGAGUUUAGAGACAACUGAUGAUUGAUUGCUCUAAUACCAUGCUAAAAUAUAAAUAUGGUUUGAAUACUUUAGGUUGAGUUUUAUUCUUUUCCAUAAGGAGGUAUAUAUAGCAGUUUACAUGAGUGUUUUACAAGGAAAUAGAUACAGUAAUCAAUUAGGAUAAUAUCUCCUAAUUAUACAAUAAUUUGUCAACUAUAUAGAAUAGGAAAGUAAAUUCCUUAAUUAAUCAAGAAAAUAAAUCUCAUUGAUUAAUUAAGAGACUAACGUCAACAUUUAUAAGCCAUGGAAGAGCAGAAAAAGAGGUACUUAGGAGAUUUUAUACGUCGGACUAAGGUAAGCUUAAAGGACUAUAUCAAAAAAAUAAGGGACCAAGAAGCAAGACUGAGAAGUUGUUAUGCAAACCCAUUAAGUUUAGCAGUGAUGAAUUUGUAAAAAUCAUUCUAGUGGAUGCUGCCUUCACUAUUGAGUUCUUAUUGAGGUUCUAUCUGAAAGGAUGUAGACAUGAAGGAGACCGCUUAUUAAACAAAUCAGCUCCCAUUCUUUAUUCUUGAGGAUCUUUAUCACACAUACAUAAUAACCGACUCUUUUAGGAAUUAUUACAGUACUCAUGAUCAUGAGAGGCUUUCAAUAAUUAAUAUUUCUAAGAAUUUCGUCACAGCUGGAAUAUUGAAUUUGGAGGGGAAGGGAGACAAAUGGAACAGAAUAUCAUCUUCUUCUAGUGUUGGAAAUUUUAUAUUAUUUAAUAAUAUUUAAUUUCUAUUGUGAAUGAAAAAUAAGUUUCUUUAAGAAACGUGUGUCUUAGGCCAGUUUUUCUAACUGGUCGGCUUCCUUAGAUUUGUGCCUAUUGCUUUUCAAAGUAUAAUGAUGCAAUGGUUGUAUCUCGUUCAGGCAAAUGGAAGGUAUAUAGCAAUUUAUAGAACAAUACAGUAAUCCAGAAGAAAUAUUAUGAAAUGAAAAGAAUAAAAAGUAAAAAAAGAGAAGGAAAGGAAUUCCCACCUGCAAUGUAUAUGUAUGAAAGGAAGGACCAAGUUUGUUUUAAAAUGGUAAGAACAAGUUGAUUUAUAAUUGGGUUCAGAUCAACUCAUGGAUUUCUUGCCUUUUCUAUUCUCCUUCCUUGGACAUGAACUGUUUAAUCUUGGCUCUUCCCCAUCAUGUUGGGCCUAUCUUCUUCUUGAGGAUUGUAUAGGCCCAGGAAAUGCUUCAAGAUAGUUUUUGUGUUUUGGGCAUUGGGACCUAACUUCACAAAAAGAAAACAGAUUUGGCCAAAAAACAAAUUUGAAGGACAUUGAAAUUGUACCUGUAGGAUAGGUUAAAACACUGUAAGGGAGGUAAAUAGUACGUUUACAUAGUUUAAGUGUAAUAAAGGAAUAAAAACAUGCCCAGAGGAUUGAUAAGUGAUAUCAAUUCUUGAAUAUAGAGAACGUAAAAUAAAGGAACACGUAUAAAAUUAUUUUAUGUGGUAAAACCCCAUCUCUAGGGAAAAUCCACGGGACUUCUUAGUCCAAAACAAAUCUAUUAUAGAACGAUGAUUACAAGAAGUACUCACACACUUAUCCUAGACACAUUCUAGAUAAUGUUUACUGACCUCUUCGUAACUCAACUUCUGUCACAGGAUGAUCUUUCGACACUUCUUAUGUUGAACGCAAUACUAGUCACGAUUUCUUUCAAGCUCAUUGGAGAAAAACCGCCACAACAGUCUCGGUGCCCUCAAUCUUAUGAGUCACUGAACAUGCAAAUGAAUACAAUAUGAAUGAUAAAAGUGUUUGAUAAAUCACCAAGUUAUGGAACACUUGAUGAUUUAUUUCAAGUAAAAAUUCAGCUUUCCAAAGUUUAUGAAUUGAAAAUAUGAUCGUUAAAGCUCUCUAAACAAAAAAAACGAAGGUCUUAUUUUAUAGACUUUUUCUUUACAAGAAAGAAAACACGUUGAAAACCAAAUCUCCAAUUUCAAGGCUUGACAGAAAAUCACAAAAGUAUCUUUCCUAUUCUAGAGAUUGGUCACAUGAAGUCCAACCAAUAGGAAAUGAGAUAUUUAAGAAAGGAAGAUUUUGAUCAAUAUCAAUAUCAAAUGAAUUCUUAUAUGCCUAGUCAACUAUUAAGGGUAUCUUAACUACUUGAUAUUAUGAUAUGAUUGAAACAUGAUUUCCACGUUAGAAAAUUAAGGGGAUUUUAAAACAUGAAAGUAAUAGGAGAAUCAAAUUGAUUUGGACCAAAAUUGCCUAAAAAGAAAACACUCCUAAAUAAACUUCAAUUCACUUUUAAAAACAGUAAAACUUGAUUGAAUCGUUCUUUAAAACAAUUCCCUAAUAUACAUGCAUGAUAGUGACAUCACUUACCUCUGAAUCAGAUGCCUUUUACGAGUCAAGCCACAAGUUUGUGUUUUGGGGAUUGCUGAGCUGCAUCAAUCCUGCCAAUGUCAAUUCUGCCCCUAGGCUCUCUCAAAGCACGUUUACAAUCUAUGCUAAUAUAUACUAGAGUUUAUGCUAGUAUCUAGAAAAUGCCAACACUAAUUUCGUAACACGUAGAAAUUGUUAGAGAUUGGAAGUUUUUUUCAUUUUUUUCUUCCAGACUCUCCACCACUCACUAAUACAGUUUACUCAUGUGAUGAAUUUACAAAACCUAUUUCUCUACUCUCACAAAGACUAUACUUAGGGGGGGUGUAUUCAAUUAGGAGUCUAGAGCGUUUAAAAAGAUUUUGUUUAAGUGCCAGCUUUCAUAGAACUUGAUGGAACUUUAUAAUUCGUAUAGAACUUGAUAGACUUUCAGAAGACUUCUGUAUAAUUUGUUAAUAAAACUUUCUUAAGCUUUCAUAGAACUUGAUAGGCUUUUAUUCCAGAAUUAUGUAGACAGUAUAUUUCAUUUUAUCCCCAUCCUUGUCAUUUAAAGAAAGAAACUUGAAUGUUUUCAAUCAAAUUUGUUUUUGUUACCAAAGCAAAAACAAAAAGUACUUGUUUGCGAAGGAAGAACAUAUGCACAGUUCAAAAUGAAAAGAAUAAGAAGCAAAGUACCUAUUGGACCAAUGAAUGCUGUGUCAACUAGAGAAGCAAUUGGAUCGGCUGUCAAAGCCAAUGCUACAGGCAAUGCAUCGAUGGUCCAAAUUGCAAUAAAAAAUAUUUUGUAUAAUGGUUCUUGCAGACAAAGACCACAUAAAUUCUGGACUGGUCCAGCUUGAAUAAUAAGGUUAGAUUAGCCGAUGGAUGAGAGUAAAAGCAAAGAAAGUUGAUGAAUUCAUCACCAAUUAUUUAAUAACUGUAACAUCCCACAUUGACCAACGGAGAGGGGGUGAUGUGCCUUAUAUGUACAUGCCCACUUCCAUCUAGCAUGAGUCCUUUUGAGAGCUCACUGGCUUCGGAGUCAUGGGAACUCUGAAGUUAAGCGAGUUGGGGCUAAAGCAAUCCCAGGAUGGGUGACCCACUGGGAAGUUGCUCAUGAGCUUUAGAAACAAAAAUCAUGAGGGCAUAAAGGGAGGCCCAAAUUGGAUAAUAUCGUGCUACGGCGGAGCCGAUCCCAGGAUGUGACAAUAACCAAUAGAGUAUUUAAACAUAAACAACAAUGUUUGAUAAACAAAACAAAUAGUCCAAAUAUUAUCCAAAAAACAAUUCUAAAACCAAUCAUUCCAAACAAACUAGUCAUUCCCAAAAACUCUCAAAAAACCCACUCAUUCCAAAUUAUAGGAUAUCCAAUUUGAGCGCUCCUCAGGAGACAUUUUCAAAAAUGCAUCCUUUUUUGUGUUACUAUGCAACAAAGAGAGCGCUUUAUAAUGAGCACGUUCAUCCAAAUUUGAGGUCUCCUUAAUGGCAUCCCACAUAUAACUCUGCUGCUCUCGCUCUUUUCCCCUUUUUGCCAAUAGGUUAUGGACCUCCCGGAAGUCGGUGACAAUUGAAUCAAUGCUAAGGCUAAUUCUUCCCAUAGCUUGUUGGGUGGUCACAUUUGAGAUGGCAUUCCCUUCCAAAUCUAUUCUAGUUCGUUUCCUCUAGUAACAAGCAUAAAUCCUAGUAACAAGCAUAAACCCUAAUCCCAACCUAUAACCUAAUAACAAGAAAAACACGAUGAAAAAAAAAUCAUGGAAAAAGAAAACCCAACGAGGUAUUGAUCAAAAAAAAAAAUAGGGAGCAUACCUUCACAGAUGGAGGAAGGAAGCUGUUUGUCUUCACAGAGAGAAAAGCUAGGGAAAGAGAAAAACGUCUGAUGAAAUACUUUGGGGGGAGGUUGGAUUUCUUUUGGUCUUUGAUAUUUAUAACUCUCCCCUUAAAACCUACAAAAAUUUAUCACUUAAUGAAAUCCUUCCAAAUAUAUGACCUUUCGAAUACACCUAGAUUUGAUUCAACUUUUUUAUAAUCCUAAUUGAAUACACCCAUAUUUGAGUGGACUUUUUAAAAGUUCAUAUAAGUCCGAAUUGAAUACACCCAGACUUGUAAAACCUCUUUUAAAGUUUGUAUAAAUCCAAAUUGAAUACACCCGGAUUUUUAAAAUAUUUUUUAAACGCUUUAUAAUCCUAAUUGGUACAUCCCCCUUAUUCUCAAAAGACUAUAUCACUUUACCUCUAUCUCUGUGAAAUGUAAAAAGUUGAAACUUUAAUGUCAAACCUCGACAAAAGAUGAACUUCCAUCAGUUGCGUUGAAUUUGGAUUUGUUGAACUAAAGUGGUUUUACUUUCUCUGUCAGUGUUUGAUGACUUAAUUUGGUAUUUACUUCUUUUUUUCCUUGGAAAUGUGUUCCACCAACGUGAGGAAGAAAAAUGUGCACAAAUUAAUAUAUUUAAUAAAAGCCCAAGAUUUCGGAAGCACAUAAUUUCUACAAAAAUCUAGAAAGUGUUCUACUUUACAAACUUCUUAUGUCUAUCAAUUUCUACUAAAAUUAAUUUCUCUGUGGUGCUCAGAUUCAUCAUAUGUGUGUCCUUAAUUUUAUUGGAAAUUAGAAGUUUCCAUAAUUUUUAUUUUUUGGGAAUUUUCUGAACCAAGAAAAAUCAAGUAAAAUUAAUAAAGCUUAAAUUGGAAAGGGAAAAUAUCUAGAGGACGCAUUGUAGGAUUUCUCAUGCCGAUAAUUGUACCCUCUAAAUAUAUAGGGACAUAUUUUUUUUGUUUUCAUGACAUGUGGUCCUAAAAUUAUUGUUCCUAGCGGGCUCUCCACCCCCUCUCAAAUUUACGUGGUCCAUUAUGAUUAACCAUAUAUUUUAUUGACCAUCCAGCUGUGAGGUUUUAUCCCAAAAACCUUAGGUACAUUUCUCAAUUAUGUCUGAUACAUCACAUCAUGCCACAAUUGUAUAUUCACAAUUAUGUCUGAUACAUCACAUCAUGCCACUUGCCUCAAAUGAAUUUAAGUGAGUGUGGCAGUGGGAAGUAAUUACUUCUAGGUGCCCCUCAUCAUUCGUCUAUAAAAUGGUGAAGCCAGUGGCUAUAAGAGCCAGCUCCAACUUUCUUUUAUUCGUCUAUAAAAUGGUGAAGCCAGUUGCCAAGUUAAUUUCAGUCCUAAUGGGGUUUCAUCUCCCACUCAUCUUUGCUAUUCUCAGUGUAAGCUCUGCAAUUUGAUUAACUUUUCCAUUCUCUCUCAUUGUACUCUAUAUAAACGAAAGUUUUGUGUUCCUAUAAUUCUCUUUGAUUUUAUUUAGUACGUACUUAAGUGUCGUCCACUAAUUAAUUACAGUUUGUGAGAUUUGAUUUUAAUUAGAGUUCGAAUUAAUGUUGCAGCUAGCAGUGGUUGCACUGGCAAACCAUGCUGCUCAACCAGCACCUCAACUUUACUGGAACUCCGUCCUGCCAAACACACAAAUGCCAAGAUCUAUCAGUGAACUUCUGCAUCCUGGUUUGUGUUGAGCUCUUUAGAAUCUUAGAUAUCUCUUCUACCUGCCAUUUUACUAAAAUAUGUUCGACCACAUAUUUAUCAGUUAACUACUGUCAUUACAUGAGUGACACUUAUUCACAAAUCGGCUGAUCACUUAUUUUCCAUUUUACAUGAGUGAUAUAUAAUUUGCAGACUCCACAAAUGAAGAAAAUAUCGUGAAUGCUGUUGGGAAUGGAAAGCGCAAACCUGAAAUUUUCCCAUUGAGAAAUAUAAAUUACGUUCAAAGCCAUUAUGGAGUGUUAAAUAGAAAUUACGUUCAAAGCCAUUAUAAAAAACGUCCUCCUCCACCUGAAAAUAUCCCAUUUGCAAAUCGAAAAAAGUACGCACUAGGUUCUCCUCCAUCUGACAAUCAACUACUCCAUUAUAAAGAGUUAGCUAUUUUCUUCUUCGAGAAGGACAUGCGCCCUGGCGCAACAAUGAAGUUCCAAUUCCCUAGAAAUUCAAACACGGCUACUUUCCUGCCACGCGAAAGUGCUCAAUCGAUCCCCUUCUCCUCUAACAAACUACCAGAAAUUUUCAACCAUUUUUCAGUGAAGCCAACAUCUGUGGAAGCCAAAACAAUUAAGCAAACAAUCGAAGAGUGUGAAGCUCCAGGCACUAAGGGAGAGGAAAAAUAUUGCGCCACAUCUUUAGAAUCAAUGGUUGAUUUUAGCACUUCGAAGCUUGGAACAAGAAACGUUGAAGCAGUCUCGACGGAGGUAUUGGAAAAAGGAGCCACCAUGUCCAUGCACAACUAUACAACAAUGCCGGGACUGAAGAAGUUGGCAGGUGACAAAGUCGUUGUGUGUCAUAAGGAGAACUAUCCCUAUGCUGUGUUUUUCUGCCAUGCAAUAAAACAAACAGCAGCUUAUGUUCUCUCCCUGAAAGGCGAUGAUGGGGAGAAGGUUAAAGCAGUAACCAUCUGCCAUCUAGACACAUCAGAAUGGAACCCAGAGCAUUUGUCCUUCCAAAUCCUCAACGUUAAGCCCGGAACCGUUCCCAUCUGCCAUUUCAUUUCCACUGAUGCUAUUGCCUGGGUUCCAAAACACAAAUUUGCAUGAUCAUCACUUAGCACUGUGGUGUAAGAUAUAUGAUGAGAUAAAGUUUUUGGUAUUAGUGGUCGGGUUGCCUGAAAAACACAGAUUACAGAAACUGCUUGAAAUUAACCCGAUCAUGUUUUCUCUUGUAAGACUUCAACUUGUACUCCUAAAGCAAGUUAUAUUUAUGAAGAGAUAUUAAUCUAUAUAUAUUUUAUGUAUAUAUAUAUAUAUAUAUAUAUGCUUUGGCUUUGUGGUUCUACCCAGUGUUUGAGUGUUGAAUUGUUACGUUGGAAUAGGCUGAUAAUGCGUGUAGUUAGAGAAGCCUUCAUUUAUAUCAAAGUCCUCAAACUAUCAAGAACUAAUGUAUCCAGAAACAUAUACCAAGACGCAAAACAACAUAUUUUCCAUGCUCUGUCUGUAACGCCAAAGCAAACUUCCUUUAUCACAUCAUUUAAAGGAUCAAAUUCCAGUACUAAUCUAAUCCAUCAUGUAAAGCAUACAAGUGCCUCCCUAAAUUUGUCCAUUGGAUAUAAAUGUUGAGAAAAUUAGAGUACACAACUCUAAUAUGAUAGUUGUACACAACUCUAAUAUCAUAAAGCAAACAAAAUUUCUAAGUUAGUUUGCUUUAUGAUAGUUGUUUUUUGAAGGGGUCCUUAGAUCCUAUCUCAAAAAGUUUGGCUUUUAUUAGGUUUAACUCUGGUUUUUAUCUCUACCCACUAACUUUUAUCUCUCAUUUUUAUUACCCAUUUUACCCUUUAAAAUAAAUAGGGCAAUAAACUAAAAAUUCUGAUUUAAUGCAUGUUUUACUCAUAAGAGAACUAAAAACUAAAAAUUCUAUACUCUAACACAAAAAAUGAAAACUAAAAACUAAAAUUGAAAUGGUUUCAAGCAAUUGCAUGUCAGGCGCUAUAUAUAAUGUAUUAGCCAUGGUUUGUUUAAUACGCGGUCAUUCGUCAUUUUCCCAUUCAAAAUAUUGAAAUUACGAACUACAUACCAUGAAAGAUAAGAAACUAAAAGCUUCAAGCAAAUAGAAAUGUGCUACAAACAUAGUAAUGAAGAUGUGGAAGCAUUAUCUCAGACGAAUGAUUCUGAAGUGGAAAAAACAAGAACAAAAAAGGAAGUGAGUUAAAUUUGCACCUGCUAUGUUCAAACGACAAAGUUGGUUUCCCUUUGGUCGAUUACAAGAGAAGCUCAAUGCAGCUUACUUGGUUCCUCUGGUAGAUGAAAAUAUAAUUUUUCUCCUAAUAAUAAGGGUAUAGUGCAAUCAAUGAUGGGCUGUAUAGAACAACUUUUUUGUUUUAUGUGUUUAUGUGAGACAUGUUUUGCCAGAUUGAAUUAAUGUCUUCUAGCCAUGUACCUUAUCUUUUUGCCGGGCCAUGAGUUGAAUGUAGAGGCAAAGUAUGGACUUGGGGUCAAGUUUGACUUGUAAAAUAAUUAGGAAUUGAAUGGCUCCUACGUUCAAUUAUUUUAAUUUUUUUUCCCGAGCCAUUCAAUUCCUAAUUAUUUAGAUUUUCGAUUUAGUGAGCAUCCACAAUCAUGCUCUCUAUUUUUAAGUUAAAUUUUAGUUAAAAACAUAUAAAAGUUAUUUAGGAGCUCUCUAUAAAAUUUAAACUUCAAUCGUUUUCUAUAGUUUAGGGAGUCAUAAAUGUCAUAACUCUUUUUUGAUUGGUCCAUCUCUAUUAAAAAAUAAAAUAAAAAAUAGUUAGCAUGAAAUAAAGGUUUGAAAUACUCAUUAAAUAAAGCAGCAUUAAAUUAUAGGGAGCCACUAAGAGUCCUUUCUCUCUCCUCAAGUUUAGGAGCUCCUAGAGGUCUCCCUAUUUUAAGAGGUGGAUAGGGAGUAUGGUUGGAAUUGUAUUUUUACAAUUCCUCCCUAAAAAUUUUCUAUGGAUAGGUGGUUUUAAGGAACCCAUUGUGGAUGCUCUGAUCUCAAAGAAAGAAAACCUCGAGUUUGCAAGCAAGUUUUCUACGUAUGUAUAUAUGAAAAACUGACAUUUAUGAAAAUAAUAAAUCCAUAUUUUUAUGUAAGCCAACUUUCUAAAUCCAUGUACUAUAUUUAUUAGGGAAAUAUUGGAGAAACUGAUUAUUUUGAAAAAUUAAAUGUGAAAAACUGAACAAAAAUUUGACAGGUUACAUAUUUCAACUCAUUCAGCAGCUUAGGUUGUGAAGACCUCAGAAGAGGCUAUGCAAUGAGCCUAGCUAGUGCACUGUUGAUCACUUCAGUGUUUACCGAUCUGUAAUUUUUCCAGAUUGGUUAUAUUUUCCUUUACAUAUUCUUAUAUUUUUCCCAGUUGGGGAGACUUAUAAAUAAACCCAAAAUGGGUACAAUAUCUAUACAGAAGGACAAAAUUAAAGUGUUUGGACAAUAAUCCCCUAUUCAUUUUGGGAUUGCCUAAGGAAUUCUUUUUCUGAUUUUCAAUGAUGCAAAGGACUGUUGUUUGAUGCUUGCCGUAUGGAGCUAAGAAAACUUGCUUUGAUAGUUUUGGACAGAUGCAAGCUACUGUUGUUGGUAGGGGUGGGCACGGUCCGGAUUGGUUCGGUUUUACUCUCAAACCACAGCUGAACCAAUAAGAAAAUAACGGUUCGGUUUGGUUCGGAUUAGCCUAAAAUCAUAAUGGAAACCGAACCAAUCCAAACCACUUGUAAUCGGUUUGGUUCGGAUUGGUUCGGCCGGUUUGUGCCUAACACAAAACCAUGCAUUUUUCAACCUGCUCUUACAUUAUAAUGCUAACAUUUUGCCAUUAUAUCAUUCCAUUCCAUUCCAUCAAAGGCUAAUACAACAUCAUUCCAUUUAUUCAAAGGUUGUCCAAUGUCUAGCAUGCAUCUAAGUUCACAAUUUCCAUCAAAACAAACAUAUACAUAAUUUGCAUUAACCAAGUAGCAUUACAUUUACUCAUUGCAUUCAUCACAAUUCAUAAGAGAUGAGAACGAAUCAAUUUUACUUUAACAUAUUAAACAAAUGCAUUCUUUGUAAUAGUUAAACAUUCUCACAUCAUGAAUAUCGGCAAGCUUAUAAAGCUGCUGCACCAACUUGCUAAUUGAUUCGUCUGUACCAGGAACAACAGUAGUAAUGCGAGAGAACCCCUCAACUUCUGCAUGGCCAACAGCUAAACUCUGGAAACGAGAAACCAGCUCAAUUAUAACAAAUGCCUAAAACUUCUACCUUAACAGAAGACAAAGGAGGAAAUAACAGCAGAAGGAAACCAAAUUUCUCAAUUUAAUAACUGAUAUUUCCAAAGGAUUCUUAAGUCUAAAAUUCGACCAAGACUUGAUUAACUAUUCCAAUGUCUAGCAUGCAUCUAAGUUUAUAACUUUGUUCCUUCUUUAACAAAAAGAACAAGGAGAAAAAGCUAAUAAUAAGGUAUCCUUCUUUAACAGGCAUCAAGCAUAUCACAUAAGCAACAUUUUAUAUACAUUAUUCUAUGAACAAAACUAAAUCAAAGCAAGGUAUGCUACAGUCUUUUUGUACAAUAAAAUAGAUUAACAUAUUUUAUAACCAUAAAAAUGAAAAAUUAGGCCUCAUAGAAAAUACCAUUUUAUUUUUCAACUCUCUAACUUUUUAUAUAACCAGUUAUUGGAGACAAUACAAAAAAUAAAGUAGUAGACAGAACUAGCAUAUUUUACAAACCCAGCUGAUGAUGACGAUCCACCACCAACAAUAUUCCCAUAAUCAAUCCUUGCAUAACCUGAUGGUCGAUGAUGGAACUUGGGUUUUGUAGAGAUGGAUUUCGCUGAGGACAAAUGGGUGGGUUUCGCCGAGUUCGAAUCAUGUUGGCUUGAGUUAGCGUCGAGGGAGAGGGAGAGGGAGAUGUAGCAGAGAGACAAAGAGAGAGGGAGAGGUAGCAGAGAGAGAUGGAGAAAUAAUGAGAGGGAGUUGCGGCUAGGGUUAAGAGACGAAGGAAGGGAGAUAGGAGAGAGGCUCUUCUGAGGGAGAGAGAAUGGUUAGAUAACUUAGAUGUGUCCGUGAGUUGUAGUUUUGGAGUCCAAUCAAGUGUUGCAGGGUACAUGGUACACUCUUAAAUAACCACUCAAACCUUGCCACAUGUAAACUAAAUUAAAUAAAUAAUAAAUUGAUUUAUAAUCGGUCCGGUUCGGUUUAGGACAGUUUUUAAAACUCUCAAACCACAGCUGAACCAAACCAAACCGGUUCGGUUCGAUUUUUCAAAAUGUUGACUUUUUCUUUGGUCAAAACCAAACCAAACCAAUCCAAUAUAAUCGGUUCGGCUGGAUUGACCUGAUCGGCCAGAUUGAUGCCCACCCCUAGUUGUUGGGAUGAUCUUUUCACGUGAAAUGAGGAUGACGAUACUUCUACACUACACAAUCCAACGAAUUCACAUUUCUAUUUCAGAUACAUGUAUAAACAGACAAGGCUUUAAAAUAUGGGAUGCUGCACUGUUGUUGCUGCUGCUGACACUGUUACUGUGUUGCUGCUACUGUUACUGCGCUGCUACUGGAAGAAGGACAAGGACUUCACAUGUUGCUUUCGUCCUUUGUGGAGGAGAGAGACCUAGGACUUGCAUGUCUUAGAUAUUUAAGAUAAGGGGCUUUCGUGCCAUUUUGAAAAUACUUUGGGUGUUUUUGAAAGCUGCUUGUUUCUUUUGGGUUUCUCACUAAAUUUCGCUAUUAGAAGGGAAAAUAAUAAUAAUAAAAAUACAGCUCUUAUUAGCAACAGGGUUACAAAUUCUUCUACAACACACCAACUGUUGUAAAAGUUUGAAGGUGGAGCCCACAGAGGAAGUUUCCUUGCAUCUUCCAGGAACUUUCCCUUCCCUGUAUUUAUCAAUUCAGGAAGUUUCCUUGCAUCUUCCAGGAACUUUCCCUUCCCUGUAUUUAUCAAUUGAGGAAGUUUCCUUGCAUCUUCCAGGAACUUUCCUUCCAUGUAUUUAUCAAUUCAGGAAGUUUCCUUGCAUCUUCCAGGAACCUUCCCUUCCCUGUAUUUUACCAAAACCUUAGCCUAUAAAUAGGCUUGCUCAUUCACUUGUAAUACACACCAAAAUGAAGAGAAGAAUGAGUGAGGAAAGAAAGAAAGGAAGAGAAGGAAGAAAGAGGGUGAGUAAGUAGAGAGAAAAAUAGAGUGGAGAGAAAUUAGUGAGCCACAUAUAUUGUAAACACUAAAGUUGUAGCCCUAUUAUUUUACAUAGUGGAAAAGUUACUACUGCUGCUCUCCGGGGACGUAGGCAUAGCCGAACCUCGUUAAAUACUGUGUCUCAUUUACUUUACGUGCAGCUCAAUAUUCAUACAUAUUCCAGGUUAUUUUUAUAACACGUUAUCAGCACGAGAAGCUCUCAGGUAUAAUUUUUGUGCUGCACUAUUAUCUAUACUACUAACCACUAACAAAAAUGGACCCUUGGUAAUACUAAACAUAUUAUCAGUGGGAGACCGUUACUAAUACUAACUUUUUCUUAUUUUAUUCGGUGGUGGUUUUAACCCCACAUUUAUUUACUGUAUGGUGUAGGUUUAUUACCCAUACAUGCACCUUUACUUUAUCGCAAAUUUAUUUUACCGCAUAUUUAUUUUAUUUACUGUAUGGUGUAGGUUUAUUACCCAUACAACAGUAUUUAUUUAAAAGGGUGGUGCGAGUUUAUCGUCCACGCCUUUGCUUUUAUUUAAAUGUAUGGAGCAGAAUUAGUGCCCAUACAAGCACAAUUUACUUUACCGCACAUUUAAUUUUAUUUAAAGUAUGGUGCGGGAUUAACGUCCAUACAGCAAGCAAUUUAAUUUAUGAAUUUAAUUUACCGCACAUUUACAUUUAUUUAAAAGGGUGGUGCGGGUUUAUCGUCCACGCCUUUACUUUUAUUUAAAUGUAUGGAGCAGAAUUAAUGCCCAUACAAGCACCUUAACUUUAUGAAUUUAAUUUACUGCACAUUUACAUUUAUUUAAAGUGUGGUGCGGGUUUAUCGUCCAUACCAGUAAUUUAUUUAUCAGCAAUUUAUUUUAUGGAUUAAUUGUUUAUUUAUCAGCAAUUUAUUUUAUGGAUUAAUUGUGCUGUAUGAUGAGUUUUUCCAGUAUGCAGAUCAGGACCAGAAGUUCCUUGAUCCUCAUCAUACAAUUACAUCAGGACUUGAAGAUCCUUGAUGAUGAUAUUAAAAUGAGAGCUGGCAGUCUCACCGGUACUGUAUUUGUAAACAUGUGAUUGGACUUAAAGGUCCUUGAUCCCUGACAUGUAAAUAAGGACCUAGAGUUCCUUAAUGAUGUAACAGUACCGUAUUGGUUCAUAGUGCCGUACACAUUGAUGAUAACUGUACUGGCAGAUGAAUAGAUACGUAUUCAUGACUUGAUGAAUAGUACUAUUCACAUGAAUAGUGACGUAUGCAUAAAUAUUAACCAUUUUGGGUAAACCGUCACUAUAUACAAAAGGGAACCUGCAGUUCCUUAAACUCAUGGAUGAGCAAUUAAAUGAGAUGCCAGAAGUUCCUCAAAAUAUGGACAAUUAUGUAAGGGCUUGAAGUCCCGAAAUAUGUACAGAAAAUUGUAAAAAUGUCCAUACCAUGAGAAUAUGUGGCUUUGGCCUGAAGUUCCAAAUUUAACAGUGUUGAGAACCUGAAGUUCCAACAAUUAAAUGGACAACCCUUGAGGUAUUAUUGCAAAUUGUGGUAUGCCACAUAUUUCUUUGGCAUAAGAAGAUGAUGAAUUUAAUAAAGUUCGAUUUUGUUAUAAUCGACACCUCAAGGAAGAAAUAUAUUUUGUGAAUUCCGGUUGUUAAGAAUACACCGCGAAAUGGAUAAUAUUAAUAUAAACCUCAAAUAAUGAAUUGAGACUCCCCACAUAUUUUGUUAUAUCUGGGCCGGAAGCCCAUGGAUCCAAAUAUAUGAGAGAUCCUAAACUUGAAGUUGUGGGUAUAUAGUAGUUAAUGCUCUUCACUACUAUAUUGCGAUAUUAUCAUGGCUUUUACUCAAUUCAUAUUUCAUGUCCAUUUGAAAAGGGCAAAUAAAUUCUGAGUUUGUGCCCAGGCCAUAAGUUCCGGGCUACCAUACGUUGAAAUAUGAAAUUUGGGAGAGUCGAUGUGGUUAUUUGAACCUAUAAGGCACAAGGUUCCAAAUCGUCAUUUUGAAAAGACGUAAAAACCAAAGGUGCAAGUUUAAGAAUGUGCGCAAUUAUUAUUACAGGAACAUACAACAGAUAGAUUUUUUCCACUUGCAAUGAAGGUGCAGGCCCUGUAAAAUCUAUAAAAUUACAUUAUGUUCUGGAAGCCUCUGAAGGAAGAGGACGGCGCCUCUUAAGCUUAGCCAUGAGCUUCUCAUGGUCUCCCAAAAUUCUUUCAUUGGAGACCUGCAGCAUGUCUAGCCUUCUCAGUGUAUCAACAGAGUACGAACUCACCAGUUUCAACAAGGAAUUAUUCUCUCCUUUAAGUUUCUCAACCUCCUGUUGAGACUCAUGAAGCAUUCUUUGGAGAGACGAAUUUUCAGUUGUUAAAUUCUCAACCUCGUUUGCUCUGGCACGCAAACGAUCAGCCAUGUUAGAAACAGAAACAGCACUCUGAAUGCUAAAAGCCAUUGAGUCAUCAAUAGCCUCUUCCUCUGAUCUCCCCGUCAACAACAUUUCAUCCAUUGGAGUAAUGAAAUUCCUAGCUACUAUGACAGCAGUAGCAUCAUUCAUCAUCACAGAAUCAUUAACUGUGAGAUGACGAUUUUUGGAUACAAAGGAUGGACGCCAAACUUGGGCGUCACUGGUAGUUGUGGGAGUAUCAUUUAAAUUGAAAUAAUUUGGGCAGGAAGAAGAGGAAGCCAUUUUUAAGAAGGUUUCGAAGAAAGCCUUAGGAAAACUAAAGUUUCAUAAAAUGAAGGAAGUUAAGUUGAAACGCAAUUGCUCCAAUCAAGUUUUGCAAAGGCAAUAUCUAUAGACGAAAAUAUGGCAAUAUCUUCAGGAUUCCAAUAUCUUCUCGAAUCCCCAUAUUAUCUUUUUCUUUCCCAGAGUCCAAAACUUCACGUGGCCUCUAAUAAUGCCUGUCGGCACUUUCGGCGUUUUUCAAAGUAUUAUUUUCAAAGCCGAUCUUGCUUUACGGAUUUCACGGAACUACUUUUUCAAAAGUAUCCCGAGAAUCUCGCAAUUUUCCUAUGGUUAAUUUGAAAUUCACCGGUUCUACCUAUUUAUUGUAUUUAUGUAUAAAUGUGUUACUAACGAAAUUUUCUUUGCAAAAGACAUCCAGUUUUCUCCAUACCUAGUGAUGCGAUAUCUACUUAUUUUUCUUAUCAGUGAGCACUUAAUAUGCCUGAGAAGCAAGACUAUCUCUGAUCAUACAUUCAGGAAGCAAGACUAUCCCUGAUCAUGUUUCCGCUACAUUAGGGAACUGUGAAGGUGACCUUAUGCUCCAAUCUCCUGAGGUCUUUCUAGACUAGGAGAAAUGAGAGCUUGUUGUUUGCUCCCACCAGCUUCCUUCCUUGAUUGCUUACCUUACCUUGCAAUCAAUAUCACAAUCUUUUUGCAUUUUUUCUCUUUUUAUAACUCUCUGUUCAUAAGAGAUUUUAUUUCUUUAGAAUGAACAUCUGAAGAAUGAAUCCAUGAAGUAAUCCUAACUAUGAGGGUUAUUUGUUUUGACAGAGGCAAAAGAGUUGUGAUUUUUGCUCUUGCAGGAUAUAACUAGAUCAUCAAGCGCUACAUUAUAUUUACUGGGCUGAUAUGAGCUUGAAUGAUACUUGAGAAAAGUUUCUCCCACCUAAGGAUGUAAGCAAUACUUGUGUUAUUUUAUGCUUAUAUACCUAUUUGAUAUUUUAUCUUGAAAGGUAACUAAAUGGGGAGAUAAGUCCGUUCCAAAAGAAUGACUUGUAUGUAUCCAUGAAUUAUUAAUGCAAAUUUUACAGAUUGCAAGUUGGAUACAUUGAUAAUACACUGCACAGAUUAAAGUCCCAUAAGAACAGAAUAUGGGUAUAGCAGUGAUCAAUAUGAUGCACGCCUAUUGCGUAGCAAAUGAUAUGGAUUGAAGUCCCGAAAGGACAAUCCUUUGACAUUUCAAUAUUGAUAUUAUGCACGCCUAAUGCGUAGCAAAUUAUAUGGGUUAAAGUCCCAUAAUAUGGGUUAAAGUCCCAUAAAUUAAUUGACAUGUAUGUAUUAAUCUGUGGCAUGCCUGCAGCAUGACAGAUAUAUGGGUUCUAAAUGUUCCAACUCCCUAAAUGGAGAUUAUCCACGCCCUACUAUAAAAUAACGCUCCAUUGGAGGUUAUAAUCCACAUUCUCACAUAAUAAAAGCCCCCUGCAGUGGCUUGGGUACCCAAAAGCAAAGAAAUGCUUAUAAUUGAUGCAUGCGCAUGCACAUGAGAAUGGUGGGAUCAUGAAUUGAUGAAUGACAAUUUUUGAUCAUGAAUUGAUGAAUGACAAUUUUUGGUUUUAGAGUAGCUACUCAAAUCAUCAAUGGGCUGUGUUGAUUGGAACCACGUUCAAUUAUUAAAUGUCGACAAUAUCAUUGGCCAAAAUGGAACGAGGUAAUUCCAUUAUAAAUGAGAAUGAACGUGAAAGAACAAACCCACAAUACGAACCCCAAAAUUUGUUAAUACUAAAAGUUAUACUUGGGUGUUCGGAAUAAAAGGAAAUAUAUCUACUUUGUAUGACACACUGUUUCUGGCAGAAACAAGGAAUGUUGGGUUUUCUCCAUAUUUACAGAUUCAAUUGUGCCCCCCUUAUUACACAAUUACGGAGACCAACAUAUUAUCUUUAAGGGUUAUUAAUGCACAGAGCAUAUCGCCAGAAGCGAUUUCCUAAAGAUGUAUAAAUAGCUGGGUAAAAGCUAUAUAAUGUGUCAUAAAGUUUAAUCCCUUUUAACCAAAAUCUGUUGAGAGGAUUGAUAUUGCAUAGAGCAAGUCCCUAAAGAACAUGUGCUUGAAGCACAAAAUUUGUACUCAAUAUUAAUAUGCAUAAAUUACCUCAGUGAGUACAUUGAUUAUAAUGUGAUUGCAACACAUUAAAGCUUCUGCAGAAUUCAUGAAAUAUUUGUCUCGAUCGAGCAUUAUGCCAACGAGAUUCUUGCUUAUACUAAGAAAGUAUUAAAGUAUUUUUAUGAGGAUUAUCCGUUGGACACUUUAAUGAUUUUCCGGAAGUAUAUUGGACCGGACAUCAUAUUUUCCAGAUAGGGCUCAACUCCAUCACCAUCAUUUUGGGAUGAUGUGAGGUAUAUUUGAUGCUAUCUAAGCAUAACACCAUAUAGGGGCAUAUUUUUUUAGUGAACUUAUAAAUAGCCCAAGUGUUCUAAGAUAUGCGGACUCAGGAAAUCUCUAUGGUCGCUUACUGGAAAAAGCUAGUCAUGAAGUUUUCAGGGGGAGAUAUUCAUCAGGGAGAGCAUGGUAUUAAUAAAGACCUUCAUACACUAUUGACUCACAGCAGCAGUGUCAACUAUGAUAUUCAGACAGAUGAUCAACAGUAUGGCUUAAAGAUAUUUUGCCAAGCAUCAGGGGGAGCGUGCUGUCAAUACAGACCCUUACCCACUGUACUCUUUUUCCUUCGUCCAGGUUUUUAUCCCACUGGGUUUUUCCUGGCAAGGUUUUAACGAGGCAGUGUCGCACGCGCGUCAAUAUACACAGAAUUUUAUGUUACACGUGAUUAUGUACUCUUUUUCCCUUCGACCAGUUUUUGUCCCACUGGGUUUUUACUGGCAAGGUUUUUAACGAGGCAUAUUCCAUAUCAUUUGUGGUCUCCAAGGGGGAGUGUUGUAAAAGUUUUAAGGUGGAGCCCACAGAGGAAGUUUCCUUGCAUCUUCCAGGAACUUUCCCUUCCCUGUAUUUAUCAAUUGAGGAAGUUUCCUUGCAUCUUCCAGGAACUUUCCUUCCGUGUAUUUAUCAAUUCAGGAAGUUUCCUUGCAUCUUCCAGGAACCUUCCCUUCCCUGUAUUUUACCAAAACCUUAGCCUAUAAAUAGGCUUGCUCAUUCACUUGUAAUACACACCAAAAUGAAGAGAAGAAUGAGUGAGGAAAGAAAGAAAGGAAGAGAAGGAAGAAAGAGGGUGAGUAAGUAGAGAGAAAAAUAGAGUGGAGAGAAAUUUCUCCAAGAGAGAAAAAUUAGUGAGCCACAUAUAUUGUAAACACUAAAGUUGUAGCCCUAUUAUUUUACAUAGUGGAAAAGUUACUACUGCUGCUCUCCGGGGACGUAGGCAUAGCCGAACCUCGUUAAAUACUGUGUCUCAUUUACUUUACGUGCAGCUCAAUAUUCAUACAUAUUCCAGGUUAUUUUUAUAACACCAACAUCAAUCUAGCCCUGAUCCACUCUUUUACAUACUUGAAAACAAAACAAAACACGAAAAACAAAAAACAACAGGGAGAAAAUGGCUCCGGAGAGACUUACUGCUAAUACUUGAUCAAUAACAGAGAUAAUAGAGCACACUGUUUGUAUGGCAGUGAGUAUCAGAAGAAUAAUAGCUGCCCAAGGUGUGUUGAAAUACUUUUGUCUCAAAUUUGCCUUCCAUAUGUUCGUGGUCUUCUCGCAAUACUCGUUUAGUUUGCCAGCAAGAUCACCAAAAUAGUAGUUUCCCUGGUUAAUCAUAAUGGAAACCUUACUGUUGUCACCUAGCGUGUUUACAACAAUUCCAUUGUCAACAAGCAACUCUACAUCCUUUGGGGUGUUUACAAAUUUAUCCAGGAUGAAAACAUAAUCGCUUAAUUAUUUAUUAACGCAAUGGCAUUGUUCAAAGGCAAUGAGAUUUCUAAGUGUAAGCUCUGUGUAAUCAUGUAUUUCAAUUUUUGGAAUUUCCAAGGUGUUUUUCAAGAACUGUAUAUCGAAUAAGUUCUUGCUUGAUUCAACGUUAAACUUAACUCCGGCCUGGUGUAGUUUUGUCAUGCCGGGUGUACUUUGGAGCCCUACAUUUUCUUUUAGGGUUGGAUCUGGCAGAUGUAAAGUUCUAAUAAAAUCAACAAAUUGUACAGGUUUUUUAGGAUCAGGAGGCAUAAAAGACUUACGGAAGGCUGGUGAGUUCUCCAAGUUUUCUAAACGCAGUGCCUGUUGGAAGAACCUGUAAGAGAGUUCAAUUAUUGAAGGCUCCCCAGUCUGGGCACCUGUAAGAUUGUAAAGAUCCUCGAGAAUGAAAAAUGGCAGCUGAUUUUCUAGCAUAAGCAUGUCAGGCAAUAUAUUUUGUAGCACCCAUGGUUUUUUAAAUAUCCAAGCAUUAUCAUCCGGCAAUUUUUCUUCCUGAAAUUUUUCUUCGGAUUUAUUCCUCAACAAUAGCUCAAUGACAAAGGCGGCAUCAACUAGAAUGAUAUUCACAAAAGCGGCAAUGUUAAACUUCUUAGUGUCUUCAUAAUAAUGACGGAGUUCAACUUCUCUCUCCUUUAGGUACCUGAGUUUGUGAUCUUCCAUGGCUUCUAAGUUUUUGCUGCCAUGGUGAAGUGGGCCUAUUGAGACUACUUGUGGUGUGUAGGCCUUUUGUUUUACGUUCCGUAGUCGCUCAGGCACCCUGUAGAUACUGCAGGCAGGGGACAGGGCACGGAAGUUUGUCAACUGAUUUUCCAUGGAAGUUGCUUGGUUUUCUAUGUCAAAAGAAGCUUCAUUGCUGCUUUCUUCCACUUUCUUCCUCCGCAUUAUGUGUUGUUCUGAUUGUAAGUGACGAGGAUGGUGAUGAUUCUAGACACCAUAAUCAACAAAUGUUUCAAUCAUAAUUGACAUUUCAAGAUGCUCCGACAAAAAAUUAGAAAACAUUCAUCACAAAAUGCGAACUCAUACAACAGAUGGGUUGAGAAGAUCCACACAUUGCAAUCAUACAAUCCAAUUGAACAGGGAUUACUCCCUAUUCUCCUCUCUCUCUAAAAAAGAUUUUCAUAUCGAUAACAUCUUAUUGCAAGGGACUUGUACAUCAAGUGGUGAAGAACAGAAAUUCAUAUUCUUUCAAUCAACAAAUUUCGAAGAAGUUUGUUUGUUUUAUUUUUGGGGGAAAAAAAUCUGAGCAUAUAUAGAUGCAUAUUAUACGUAGACCUAAGGUGAAAACAUACCAGAUUUUUACUCCAUUUUUCAUGAGGUUUAAGUUCUUGAUGUAUAUAUUUAUCUCAAGUGUAACAUCCCACAUUGAUCAACGGAGAGGGGGUGAUGUGCCUUAUAUGUACAUGCCAGCCUUCAUCUAGCACGAGGCUUUUUGGGAGCUUAUUGGCUUUGGAGUCAUAGGAACUCUGAAGUUAAGCGAGUUGGAGCUAGAGCAAUCCCAGGAUGGGUGACUCACUGGGAAGUUGCUUGUGAGUUCCCAGAAACAAAACCGUGAGGGCAGAGAGGAGGGCCCAAAGCGACCAAUAUCAUGCUACGGCGGAGCCGAUUCUGGGAUGUGAUAAUUUGGCAUCAGAGCUACUCUGCCGUGUGGUGUGAGUGUGCCGACGAGGACGCCGAACCCUUGAGGGGGGUGGAUUGUAACAUCCCACAUUGACCAACGAAGAAUGGGUGAUGUGCUUUAUAUGUAUAUGCUUGCCUAUAUCUAGCACGAGGCCUUUUGGCAGCUUACUGGCUUCCGAGUCAUAGGAACUCCGAAGUUAAGUGAGUUGGUGCUAGAGCAAUCCUAGAAUGGAUGACCUACUGGGAAGUUGCUCAUGAAUUCCCAGAAAAAAAAAGCUGUGAGGGCAGAUAGGGGGGCCCAAAACGGGCAAUAUCGUGCUACGGCAGAGCCGAUCUUGGGAUGUGACAUCAAGAAUUUAUAUCCUCCCUUUUCAGAUCUCAUGUUCCAGUCAAUACAUAACGAAACAUAAGAAACUAAAGUCUUGUUUAUACCCAUCCUCCCACCCACCCACGGCCAUCCACCCCUACCCCCUAUCUCCAUUAAAUCUACAAGUAGCUCAUCAAUUUCUCCACCAUCCCAAGUUCAAUAUACCACCCAACAACCAUCUUACCCAUCUUCUCAUUGAUCUUCCACCCAACAUCCAACACUAUCUUCAUAAACUCUUUAGCUUAAUCUCUCUGUUGCUUUUGUUUUUUGUUUUUUAGAAAUUAAAUUUUUUAGUUUAUUUUUUUGUUGGUACAAAUUCAAUGAUAAAGAACAUCGAACUCGUCGCAACAUCCUGUUCUAGAUCCAAGCUCUACCACCAUCACAACCCUCUCUUGACCUCCGACCAACCUUAACACCCAACUUCAAAUCUAGGUUGUUUGAAACCCAGCCCCCAACAACCCCCCCAAGUCAUCCCAUUGCAACUGACUUGUAGAUGAAGUAGUAAAGAACAAAAAGUCAUAUUCUUCCAAUCAAAACGUAUCAAGUCAAACAAAAUUUCUAGUUAGUUUGCUUUAUGAUAGUUGUUUUUUGAAGGGGUCCUUAGAUCCAAUCUCAAAAAGUUUGACUUUUAUUAUGUUUAACUCUAGUUUUUUGCAAUUUUUUUUUAUCUCUACCCACUAACUUUUAUCUCUCAUUUUUAUUACCCAUUUUACCCUUUAAAAUAAAUAUAGUAAUAAACUAAAAAUUCUGAUUUAAUGCAUGUUUUGCUCAUAAGAGAACUAAAACCUAAAAAUUCUAUACUCUUACACAAAAAAUAAAAAAUAAAAACUAAAAUUAAAAUGGUUAUCAAACAGACCCUUAUAUUACAAAAAACCUUAACUGACCACCUUAUAUGGCAACUGAUNNNNNNNNNNNNNNNNNNNNNNNNNNNNNNNNNNNNNNNNNNNNNNNNNNNNNNNNNNNNNNNNNNNNNNNNNNNNNNNNNNNNNNNNNNNNNNNNNNNNUAGCAUUCUAAAAAAAGUGGCCUCAUGGCAGCAUUCAUUAAUUGACAUGGCAUGACACAUCAGUUGCCACAUAAGGUGGUCAGUUAAGGUGGUCAAUGUUGUGUGUCCAAAUAGCAUUACUAAAAAAAAAUCAAAUAUUGAACUCAUCAUAAGAGAACACAGAAAAACCUCACUGCUUGCAACUCUUACACCACCACUACACGAACAGAACAACUGCUAAUUAAAAUGAGUCACAUGUCACAUGUCACAUGUGGUACUUAACUCUAAAAACUUAUUUAGAUUAUAUAUCCAUAUUUAUAUAUCCUACUCCUCGAUCAAAACAACCAUGAAACAUAAGUGACUUAAACCUCUAGGCAAAUGGACGGUAUAUAGCAAUUUAUAGAACAAUACAGUAAUCCAGAAGAAAUAUUAUGAAAUAAAAAAAAUAAAAAGUAAAAAAAGAGAAGGAAAGGAAUUCCCACCUGAUAUGUAUAUCUAUGAAAGGAAGGACCAAGUUUGUUUUGCCUUUGGUUAAUGACUAGAAAAGCUCACUUGUAUAUUGCUUUCUCCGGCCGUAGAUGCAAGAGAAAUUUUCUCUUAAUAAUAGCACAAUGAUCGGGUAAUCGUAAGAACAAGUUGAUUUAAAAUUCAGGUCAACUCAUAGAUUUCUUGCCUUUUCUAUUCUCCUUCCUUGGACACGAGCUGUUUAAUCUUGGAAUCUUCCCCCAUCAUGUUGGGCCAGUCUUCUUCUUGAGGAUUGUAUAGGCCCAGGAAAUGCUUGGAGGUAGUUUUUGUGUAUUGGGCCUUGAGACCCAACUUCACAAAAAGAAAACAGAUUUGACCAAAAAAACAAAUUUGAAGGACAUUGAAAUUGUACCUGUAUGAUAGGUUAAAACACUGUAAGGGAGGUAAAUAGUACGUUUACAGAGUUUAAGUGUAAUAAAGGAAUAAAAACAUGCCCAGAGCACUACUACAAUUUUUCCCUGUCCUGGCAACCCUUUGUGAUCGGUAAAAACACCAUUAUUGACGGAACUUCGUCAGUAAUUGCUUCUUGACGACUGCAGCGACGAAAAUGAGUAUAGUCAGUAAAAGUCCCGUCAGUGUUACUAUUACUGACCAACUUUUGCAACUUAUUCGUCAGUAGAGGUGUGUCUCUGACACAAGUCAUGAAGUGACUCUAAAUUAUUACUGACAAAACAAAUAGCCACUAUUAAACAAGCUUUUGUCAGGAUUAUUAUUUUAGGAUGGAGUACUAGUGGCAAAGAUUUGUCAAUAUUGUUUUCAACAAAAAAAAAAAUUCAGUCAAUUUGCUUCUGAGCUGAUGCGCCUUUAGAUAUCCUUUUCUGAAAUGUCUUUUGUUUUCUAAUAUAAUGGAUGUUUUUCUUUAAUAAAAAUUUAAUGGAUUCUGAAAAUGUAAUAACAAUUAUAAAUACUCAUAGAUUGAACCAUUCAACCCCCAUCCUUAUAAAUAUAAACUACCAAUGUCGAUUACAAUAGCCAAAUAUUACAAAGUCUGCCUACAUCAGUAGAGUUCAAAAACUUUAGGUGCCCUUACUAUACAAAAGUAUGCAAUUCCAAAUAUUCAACAAAUACACUACAAAAGCAUGCAUACCCCAAUAGGGUCCAAAAUACAACGUCAGCAACUAUAUAUACCAAAAAUGCAUAACACUAAGUAACUGCAUCUAUUCAAGUCCAUGAGUACCUUGAUCUGAUUCUAAAAAGUCUGUCUCACUUGGGUAUGCAUCCCCCCUCAGCAAUCCAGUUAACCCACCAAUAGGAGUAACUGACCUGGCUUGAUAAGGCAUUUGAUGGAACAUCUGCGGCGAGUAAUAUGACAUAUGGAAUGGGUUUGGCAGCUGCUGGUACAAUGGGUGAUGCGAAGCUGACGAGCACGAUAACAUCUGCCUCAUUUCCUCAAUCUCUUGCUGGUUAUGCUUCAGCAACUCUUGCGUCGCCUUCAAUUCAGAACGCCAAUGAUCCUGGUCAUGUUUGUACCUUUCUUGUAACUCUACAUACUGUGACUCAAGGUGAACAUAGUCGUGCCCUCGCAAUCUCUUGGAUGACCCUGCUUUCGUUUGAAUCCAAGGCACCUGAUGGGGUUUCACCCCAAGUCCUUCACCACGAACACUAUUAUUUGUCUCAGGACCCAUUGCCUCAACAUAAGCCCUUCUUCGUGUCUCUAAAUUAUCAGGACAUUCAUCUUCAACCAAUUCCUUCAACUUUUCCUGCAUUUCAGCCUAACAAAAACAAAAUAUAUAUCCUUCUCCAUCAAAUUGUGGUCAUCAUAGAACUAGCCCAAUAAACUCUACAAUGAUGAAUUGCAUUAUGUAAUAAAAAUUUAGGCCAAUUAGUCUUCUGGACCUCUACUGUUUUGUUUUUCAUAUGCUUAAACAAAUAAAAGAACAUAAAGAAUAGUGAACAAGAAAAAAAAACUACCUCCAAACAACUUUCCAUAUGCUUAAAAAAAAAAAAAAAAAAAAGUCAACCAAAACAAAAUAAGAGAAACAUCCUGGACUAUGGCUAACAAUUCCUCAUGAAAAUGAACUUAUAUAUAAUUAUUCCAAUAUAUAGUCCAUAUGCUUACAUAUUUCUGCUCAGCCACCAAGUUAACCCAUGAUCGAUCUUCGUCACGCCGUGUAUGCUUAUCUUGGAAAAACCAAAUAGGAUCGGGGUCUUCACCAUGUUUCUUAUUCUUAGCAUGCAAUCAAUAAAAUAAAAUAAGAUAAUCAAUUAGCUAACACGACCUCAUAUGCUCAAUAUUUGAAUAUAGUAAAGAGUAAACAUUCAAGUGCAUCAUCAAAACUGACAUAUUGUGCUUUGCUGCGAGCAUAAGACUUUGUUCUAGAUGUGUGAUUCAAUGUUUGUUUACUCCGAUUUUCAACAUUUCUUUUAGCUUGCUCCUUUUAUUAGCAAAAACAAAACAUACUUAAUCAUUGCACAGAUUAUAUAUACUGAGUGUUGUGUAAUAAUACGUACUGCAAUCUCAUCUUUUUCCCAAUGUUCAACCAACACCCUCCAUUGAUCUGGGUCUACACGAGAAUCCCCACAUUGCCACCGUCUUUUACUUCCUGUGAAAGGCUUAUAAUAAGCUUUCUUCAAAUCACUCUUGAAACUUCUCCACAAUUUUUCAAUAUUCUUCAUUGUUACAUCCUUGAAGACAUGAAUCAUAGGUUGUUGUUCAGGACGAAAUUCAAUGGUGCCCUGCAUCCACAAUAAGGUAGUCUUACAUCAAGUUGAAAUAUACCUAUUAAACUCAAUUUCAUGCAAUAAGUAUUCAAUAAUUUUAGGAAAACCAAACCCGUAGAGUGUCCCAGACAUCAAGUUUGCAAGAGUCUGGUACUUUUUCCCAUUUUAAAUACUUGAUCGGAAUUAGAUUGGCAUCCCGCGCCAAAAUACCCAUGUAUCUAGAAAAAUGGGGACUAUUGUCACUAAUAACUCUGCCAAAUGGAGAUAAAUCAACUGACUCUUUUUUGUUAUUUAGAAACCAGUUGCAUUUCCCUUGACCUCGACCUUGCUUCGCCUCCUUGCCUACAUGAAAAGUUAAUUUUAACUGAUCAAUACAACAAGAAAAUAAUAAGAAACUGUAAGGUAAUAAGUUUCUCACACAUUAUUCAAAUGAAAAAUUAGCAUAGCUAUUUGGAGAUGAUGUGAUCGUGAAACAUCCCAUAUUCAAUACAUUUGUAUAUGAUUAAAACAUACCAAUUUAUUAAAAGAAAAAGGAAAAGAAAACCAACAUACCAGUAGCACUUAUAGAACCAUCUCCCUCUAGACUAUCCCUAAAGUCAGCGUUGGGCCCUUCUUGUGAACUAUCUUGAGAACUGCUCAUCUAAAAAAUUUGAUAUGCAUAACAGUGAAGGGGUAACAAAUUAAUCAGACAUCAUUGGUAAAAGAAACUAUUACUUCAACAUUCUAAUACAAAACAAUCUACUAAAGAAAUUCUUGUACAAUAUUCUUAAAAUUACGUAGUCCAUUUAAGCUGACAGCUCAUCAAAAUACAUGAAAAAUUCAAUACUCCAUGUCAUCAUAAAGCUCAUCCUCGUUUUCAGUAGAGAGAUCGUCUGAAGACUGUUCAUCUUCUUCAUCCUCAUUUCCGGGCUCAUGCUCAUCUACCAUCUCAUCCAUAUCAACCCUAAUAUGAAAUUCCUCAUUGUCUAGCAGCUGAUCAUCAAGAUUCGGAAUGGCAUAAUUAUCAGUAGCACUUAAAAGGGUUAUCUAUAGUUGGAGCUAGAUCACUAUCUUCUAGCACAUCAAAAAAAUCUCUUGGUUGAGUUUGGGUUGGCACAUGCCAAUGACUGUCUUCUGGAUCUACAACAUAAAACACUUGUGUAGCUUGAGAAGCCAAUAUGAAAGUGUGUCUUUCGUUUGUCGCAACCGAUUGAAACUAACCAAAGGGAAACCAUACCCAUCAAACCUCAUCCCCCUAUCACUAGCAGUAUCAACCCAAUCACAGUUAAAUAAUGUAAUUUUCCGACCAUUAUCAUUCUGUUCUAUUUGACCCCCGUAAUUAAGUUCAUAAAUCUCUUUAAGAACACCAUAAUAAUCAACAUUGCCAAUUACUGGAUUGCGAUCUCUUGCGCUUGAGUAACUAGAUGUCUCUGCACAUUGAAAUACACCACUAUUCUGAUUCUUCUUUUUAUCGUCUACUGAUUUAAUCCGGAACCUACACCCAUGAAUUAUGUGAUUCUUAUACUUGUUCACAAAUCUACUAGGACCAAUUGAUAGCCAACGCAAGUCCUCAGAUAUUGACAGAUCAUGGGCUGUGUACAAUUUAGUAACCUAUAAUUUAAAACAACAACUAAAGUAAAUAACUUUAAUUAAAAAUAUGGUGCAGCAACAUAAAAUGAAUCAUAUUACAACUAAACAUACUUACAUGAUCCUUGAACCAAGUUGGAAAUAUCUUAUUUCUCAUCCCCUCAAUUUCCUGUAUGGUCUUCCGUCGAUUACUUUGUCUCAAUUCUUGGAAGCAUUUUCUGUUUUACAAUAUAAUAUAAUGACUUGUUAGUUAUUAAUUCAUAAUUGAGGAUUGAAAAAAAAAAAUAUCAACAACUUGCUUGUUUUUAUUCAUAAAUAUCUUACUCUAAAAAAGGGGAAACUUCAUCGCAAUUGAACAAGACCACUCUGCGACAUUGGUCCCAAACAUCUUUGUCAAGAUAUAUUUGUUCAGCUGAACCCUUAGAAUGACAUGAAGAGUCAAAAACUUUUAGCUCCCCAAUGACACCACGACCAAUACCAUCAGCAUUUCGACCCUUUCGAUUCCUUCGAGUCUCAACGUUGCUAAGAUACAUGGUACACAUAGCUAAUCCCUCGUCGACAAGAUAUCCUUGUUCCAUACUUCCUUCAGGAUAACUCUUAUUCUGAACAUAUUUCUUUAAUGUUUGUAGGUAUCUAAAGAUAUGGCAAAAUUGAACAUGUUAAUUUACAAUUAAAAUGGAAAACUAGAAAUAAUAAAUAAGAUUUGAACUAAUUACCUUUCAAUGGGAUACAUCCACCGGUAUGGGGCAGGCCCUGCGAUUGCAGCCUCAUCUGCCAAAUGCAUGAUUAAGUGUACCAUCACAACAAAGAAGGAAGGAGGGAAUAUCUUUUCCAUCUGGCAUAAUGUCACUGCAAUCCGAGGUUUUAAAGCCAUGUAUGACGCUUCAUAUUCCUUCUUACUACAUAACCGUCUAAAAAUUGCACUUAGCUCAAGCAAAACAAUGGUAACAGCUUUUGGUAAUACUCGUCGUAUUGCAAGGGGCAGCAGCUGUUGCAUUAUAAUAUGAUAGUCAUGACUUUUCAAUCCGUGUAUUUUUCUCUCAUUCACAUUAACACAUCUAGACAGAUUUGCAGAAUACCCAUCAGGAACUCUCACAUUUGCCAAGACUUCGCAAAACAUUGUUUUUUCCCUUUUCCUCAUGUCAAAAAGUGCUGGAUCAAAAACUUCCUUACCUUUCCCAUUUAUAUAAGGGUGCUGUUUUCUCCUUAUAUUCAAAAUUUGAAGGUCCUUACGAGCUUUUAUUCCAUCCUUUGUCUUCCCAGGAAUAUUUAACAGUGUACCUAAAAUGUUUUCACAAACAUUCUUUUCAAUAUGCAUUAGAUCAAGGUUAUGCCGUAUCAAAAGAUAUUGCCAAUAUGGUAACUCAAAGAAUAUGCUUUUCUUCUUCCACUGAACUUUGUUACUAUUUAUAUUCGUUGUGGGAUAGGUAUUUGUAUUCCUAAUGGGACAAGAACAUUUUUUGGGUUUUCCUUGCCCAACAAAAACAGCUGACUUCUUUUUGGGUUUUCGAAAUGUGAAUGUCAAACUUGACAAUUUUUCUAAACACUGUGAACCUGUCAAGGGAAUAGGUGGAAGAGCAUGUUCUUCCUUACCGUUAAAGGCUGCUUUAUCUCUUCGAAACCUAUGUUGUAUAGGUAGAAAUCUCCGAUGACCCAUAUAACACAUCUUACUACUAUUUGCCAAAUGCAUUGAGACUGUAUCAUCCAUGCAAUGCGGACACGCUUUCUUCCCCUUCGUGCUCCAUCCUGAAAGAAUUGCAUAUGCGGGAAAGUCAUUAAUCGUCCAUAACAAUGCAGCCUUCAUUGUAAAAGUUUGGUUGGCAAACACAUCAAACGUCUUAAUACCAACCUCCCACAACUCUUUCAACUCAUCGAUUAAAGGCUUCAAAUACACGUCAAUAUUAUUGCCAGGCCCAUCAGGACCAGGAAUUAUUAACGAUAACAAUAAAUUUGGUUGCUUCAUACACAUCCAUGGAGGCAAAUUAUAAACUGACAGUACAACAGGCCAUGUACUAUGGGGUUUGUUCAUAUUUGAAAAGGGAUUAAACCCAUCACUUGCAAGCCCCAAUCGCACGUUGCGUAUCUCCGAAGAAAAUUCAGGGUAUAAGGAAUCUAAAUGCUUCCAUGCACGAGAAUCUGAUGGGUGCCUCAUGAAUCCAUCUUUAGGACAUUCGGUUGCAUGCCAUCUCAUAUCUUCAGCGGUAUGCUUCGACAUAAACAAUCUUUGCAACCUUGGUUUUAAUGGAAAAUACCGAAGAACCUUGGUUGGAACCUUAGCUGAUGUGUUCUUACUCAAAGAACCUCCCACAAUAUUGACUUUGUACCUUGAGGCACCACAAAGUGCACACUCAGUCAAGUCUGAUGUAUCUUUCCAAAACAGCAUACAAUCAUUGGGGCAAACAUCAAUCCUCUUGACUGUAAGUCCCAACUCCCUAAUGAUUUUUUUAGCAUCAUAAUUAUUUUUUGGUAAACAAUUCCCCUCUGGCAACAAUUGUUUAACCAAUUGUAACAGCAUUGUAAAGACAUUAUCGCUUCCCUAAACAUUUAAUCUGGAACAGUCUUACAACAGAAUACAAUUUCUUAUAUUUACACCUAGGGUACAACUCCAUAUCUGCUUCUUCAAGUAACUUAUAAAAUAUUUCAGCCUCAGGUGUUUGGCCAUCAAAGAUAGGUGGCUCUGUCGAAGUCCCAACAGUUUCUCCAAUUAUUGGUUGCACAAAGGCUUCAUUGAGAAAAUCAUGAAUGUCAUCUAUACAAACUUCUUCAUUAUGAACUGAUUCUAUAUCCUCUUGGAAUGGUAAAUUUGUCAUGGGCUCCCCAUGAUGCCUCCAAGGGCCAUUCAUAUAUGUGGGAUCCAUUCCUUUUUCUAUAAGAUGAAGCUGGAUGAUGUUUCUUUCAUAGUGAUAACGGUUACAACAUUUUUUGCAAGGACAUAUGACCCUCUCUCCAAAACCCACUUUGGCAAAGACGUCAUCUAAAAACAUUCUCAUUCCGUCUGCGUAUUCCUUACAAUUUCUCCUUAAAUGUACCCAACUUUUAUCCAUAGUUCACCUAUAUUGAGUGCAAGGCACCAAAUACAAUUAUUCAGCACAGAUCAUCCCUCAUACUUAUUGUCUAUAAAUUCCUAUCAGGUGGGUCAAUUUAUUAUCCAUUAGAUGACCCUCAUGACCAUCUACAUCAAUUCACAAGAAAAACCAAAUUAAAAUAACAAAAACCUGAGUCUAAAGAAUAUAUUAACUAAGAAAUUGCACAUUCAUUCAACUGAAGAAAAGAACUAUAACACCAAACAACUAGACCCACUUAAUAGCUAAAGAAACUCACGUCAUAACAACAAAGUAUACAUAUUAAACAACAUAUCAACUCAUAGAUAAAAGCCCGAUAAUCUCAAUACUAUGAACAAUCUUAUUCAAAAAUAAUAAGAUAACAGCAACAUAAUAGAAAAAAGUAAAGGGAAACACACCUGGAUUCUAAGUUUCCAACAACAAUUCAACACUCCUGCAGUAGAUUAAUACAUACAUACCCACAUAUCAAACUUCACCAACAAAUAAUAAAAAAUUAAAACAAGAGCUUUGAAAAAUCAAAGGAUUCGUGUCACAUCCCGGAAUCGGCUCCGCCGUAGCACGAUAUUGUCCGCUUUGGGCCCCCCUCUCUGCCCGCACGGUUUUGUUUCUAGGAGCUCACGAGCAACUUCCCAGUAGGUCACCCAUCCUGGGAUUGCUCUAGCCCCCAACUCGCUUAACUUCGGAGUUCCUACGACUCCGAAGCCAGUGAGCUCCCAAAAGGCCUCGUGCUAGAUGGAUGCGGGCAUGCACAUAUAAGGCACAUCACCCCCUCUCCGUUGGUUGAUGUGGAAUCUUACAAUCCACCCCCCUUAAGGACCCGACGUCCUCGUCGGCACACUCGCACCACACGGCAGAGUGGCUCUGAUACCAAAUUGUCACAUCCCGGAAUCGGCUCCGCCGUAGCACGAUAUUGUCCGUUUUGGGCCCCCCUCUCUGCCCGCACGGUUUUGUUUCUAGGAGCUCACGAGCAACUUCCCAGUAGGUCACCCAUCCUGGGAUUGCUCUAGCCCCCAACUCGCUUAACUUCGGAGUUCCUACGACUCCGAAGCCAGUGAGCUCACCCCCUCUCCAUUGGUUGAUGUGGGAUCUUACAAUUCGUUUAUAUCUUGGAAUAAAAUCAGUAUUCUAAUUUUUAUAUCUAAUUGGAAGGAUUCAUGGGUCAUUACCUACACUAAAAUACUUGAAAAAAUAAAAUAAACAAACAAAAUAAGAACAAAAAUUUCACCAGAACAGAGGCACAAAAAUCUCACCAAAACAGAGGGCCUCUUUAAUGAAGGACAACCAAGUCAGCCCCAAUUGAAAAGAGCAAAGAACCCCCAGAUUUAAUCUCUCUCUCAAUCUGAAUCAGCAACCCCAAUUGAGAAAAGCAAGGAAAACCCCCCAAAUUUAAUCUCUCUCUCUCAAUCUGAAUUAGCAACCCCAAUUGAGAAGAGCAAGGAAAACCCCCCAAAUUUAAUCUCUAUCUCUCUCAAUCUGAAUGAGCAGACACGAAAAUCACUACCACACAUGACUCCAACUCCAUUAGCUAUGAGGAAGAAUACAAUUCAUUCUUCAAUGAAAAGAAGAGGGAAGAGAUGGCCGGUUUGGAGGAAGUAGAAAAGCUCAAGUAAACAAUUGAAGUUUUUUAUAUAUCAAUAGGAAAAUUUUGAAGUUAAAAAUUAUAUUUAAGAAUAGUAUUGGCAAUCGAACUCGUCAGAAAAAAAGUUGGCUUCCUGGUGUCUGAAAAUUUAGGCGCUUAUGUUUUCACUUCCCGCGUUAAAAGAGACUGGCGCAGUGUCUCGUCAGUAAAGGUAGUAAUGACAAAAGACUUUGUCAGUAUUAUUUACUAGUGAAAAAUCACUUUAUUUUGCUAGUAUUUGGUCUCAGUACUGACUAAGCUGCUCUUUCAUCAGUAUUAGUCCGUCAGUAUAAGCUAAAAUUGUAGUAGUGAGAGGAUUGAUAAGUGAUAUUAAUUCUUGAAUAUACAGAAUGUAAAAUAAAGGAACACGUAAAAAAUUAUUUUAUGUGGUAAAACUCCAUCUCUGGGGAAAAUCCACGGGACUUCUUAGUCCAAAACAAAUCCAUUAUAGAAUGAUGAUUACAAGAAGUACUCACACACUUAUCCUAGACACAUUCUAGAUAAUGUUUACUGACCUCUUCGUAACUCAACUUCUGUCUCGAGAUGAUCUUUCAACACUCCUUAUGUUGAACGCAAUAUUGGUCACGAUUUCUUCAAGCUCGUCAGAGUUCUUCCAACUCUCCUAAUAUUGAAUCCGAUACUAGUCACGAUUGAUUCAAGCUCAUCGUAGAAAAACCGUCACAAUGGUCUUGGUGCCCUCAACCGUAUGAGUCAUUAAACAUGCAAAUGAAUACAUAUAUGAAUGAUAAAAGUGUUUGAUAAAUCACUGAGUUAUGGAACACUUGAUGAUUUAUCUCAAAUAAAAACUCAGCUUUAAUGCUUUCUAAACAAAGAAGACGAAGGUCUUACUUUAUAGACUUUUUCUUUACAAGAAAGAAAAUAAGUUGGAAACCAAAUCUCCAAUUUCCAAGGCAAAAUCACAAAAGUAUCUUUCCUAUUCUAGAGAUUGGUCACAUGUAGUCCAACCAAUAGGAAAUGAGAUAUUUAAGAAAGGAAGAUUUUGAUCAAUAUCAAUAUCAAAUGAAUUCUUAUACGCCUAGUCAACUAUUAAGGGUAUCUUGACUCCUUGAUAUUUUGAUAUGAUUGAAACAUGAUUUCCAAGUUAGAAAAUUAAGGGGUUGUUAAAACAUGAAAGUAAUAGGAGAAACAAAUUUAUUUGAACCAAAAUUGCCCAAAAAGAAAACACUCCUAAAUAAACUUCAAUUCACUUUAGUAAAACAUGAUUGAAUCGUUCGUUAAAACAAUUCCCUAAUAUACAUGCAUGAUAAUGACAUCACUUACCCCUGAAUCAAAUUUGUUAAUGUAUGCAUUUUGAGUUUUUUUUUCUUUUGGCUUCCCUUGACAAUUUUGUAAUAGGAAAAUCAUUGUAGUUUCUCAAGCUCUAAGUUUAGAUUAAGAAUUACUUCUCUAGGUGUUCUUAUCUGCCUACAUUCUGAUGGAAAACAAUGCGUUUGACAAAGGUAAAUUCUGCAUUACACUACAUUGCAUUCACUAAAUUUCUUAAGAUUAUGACUAGUCAUCUUUCUUUCGUAUGACUAGUCAUCUUGCAUUCGUAUGACUAGUCAUCUUUCCUUCGUAUGACUAGUCAUCCUUUGUUUCAAUUAGGAUUUCCAGCUCACUGUUUCCAGCUGGGGCUUAAGCAUUUUUUUGUCCUUUUCUACGAAUUUCUCAGCUUCCAUGUGUCUAUUCUGACCUAGGAAUUUUUGGUAAAAGCCAUAGAAUUCCUCAUUUGGCAGCCGUCACUUUUGGGGACAAGUUGUGGAAAGUUUCAUAGCAAACUUUCGCUUCUUCUUCCUCAAGAGUAACCUUCAUAUUUUUCAUCUUUGAGUUCUCUAAAUUGUUUCUUUUUGAAAACUGCAUUUGAAAUAUGAAAACUUCAUCUUGCUAGAUCAAACACUCUAUCAUAUACAUCUAGGUCAGAUUCAAGAUUGAUUUCUUCAAGAGUAUGGUUUCUUGAAGAAAUUGGUCAUUUUCUCCAUGAAUCCAAAUUUCAUUUCUGUCUGAGUUAGAGCUUGCAAGCUGGUGCCAUGGGAUGAAUGAGCUGAAGAAGGAGCUGCCAUUGCCAUGAAGAACUGAGCUUCAAGCUUUGCUAAGUUGGAGAAGAAGAUUGCACAAAGGAGAUAUAGCAUCUUCCUAAAUAGACCUAGGAAUUUCUUGAGCUUGCUAGUGUUCUUUGUAAGAAUCUUUUUGCUUAGUGGAUUGCCUGGUCGGUUGAUGACCCCCAGUUUUUCCCAAUGGUGGGUUUCUGGGUGAACAAUAUCUGGUUUCCAUCUCUGUAGAUUUUUUGGGUUUGUGUUCUUGAUAGUUGACUAGUCAUCUGAAUUUGUGUGGUUGACUAGUCAUCUUUUUCUGCUGUUUGGUGUUUUCUUGAUUAUGUUGUCUUCACACACUUUUACCAUAGUUGUUGCUAGCACAAGGGAUGCCUAGAUUGAUGGGUCCUUCUGAGUGCCUAGGUUGUCACUAGUAAUUCUCUAGGCCUGCAGGUACAUCUUGGUAUGCUUUGUGUAUGUUAUUGUUUGGUUUAAUUCAUAUCUAACAGUUGACUAGUCAUAAGAGUAUUUGGUCAAGGUCUAGAGUGUGUGAAGUUUGUUGCGUUCUUGAUUGAAUAUCUUUUAAAUUUACCCUUCGUCACCUAAUUACCAAUUUGCAGACUCCACAAAUGAAGAAAAGAGCACAAAUAUCGUGAAUGCUAUUGGGAAUGGAAAGGGCAAACCUGUUCAAAAAGGGUAUGGAGGGGGCGUUAGACUUUACGUUCAAAAAGGGUAUGGAAAACGUCCUCCUCCAUCUGACAGUCAACUACUCCAUUAUAAAGACAUAGCUAUUUUCUUCUUCGAGAAAGACAUGCGCCCUGGCUCAACAAUGAAGUUCCAAUUCCCUAGAAAUUCAAACACGGCUACUUUCCUGCCACGCGAAAGUGCUCAAUCGAUCCCCUUCUCCUUUAACAAACUACCAGAAAUUUUCAACCAUUUUUCAGUGAAGCCAACAUCUGUGGAAGCCAAAACAAUUAAGCAAACAAUCGAAGAGUGUGAAGCUCCAGGCAUUAAGGGAGAUGAAAAAUAUUGCGCCACAUCUUUAGAAUCAAUGGUUGAUUUUAGCACUUCGAAGCUUGGAACAAGAAACGUUGAAGCAGUCUCGACGGAGGUAUUGGAAAAAGGAGCCACCAUGUCCAUGCACAACUAUACAACAAUGCCGGGACUGAAGAAGUUGGCAGGUGACAAAGUCGUUGUGUGUCAUAAGGAGAACUAUCCCUAUGCUAUGCUAUGUUUUUCUGCCAUGCAAUAAAACAAACAGCAGCUUAUGUUCUCUCCCUGAAAGCCGAUGAUGGGGAGAAGGUUAAAGCUGUAACCAUCUGCCAUCUAGACACAUCAGAAUGGAACCCAGAGCAUUUGUCCUUCCAAAUCCUCAACGUUAAGCCCGGAACCGUUCCUAUCUGCCAUUUCAUUUCCACUGAUGCUAUUGCCUGGGUUCCAAAACACAAAUCUGCAUGAUCAUCACUUAGCACUGUACGUAUAAUAAGCUUGGUUGGGUUGCACCCCUGUAUAAUUAUCUCCCUACUUAUUUCUGCCUCUUCAUCAUGUGGUGUAAGAUAUAUGAUGAAAUGAAGUUUUUGGGAUUAGUGGUCGGGUUGCCUGAAAAACACAGAUUAUAGAAACUGCUUGAAAUUAACCCGAUCAUGUUUUCUCUUGUAACGAUAUAGACUUCAACUUGUACUCAUAAUAAAGCAUGCUAUAUUUAUGAAGAGAUAUUAAUCUAUAUAUGCUUUGGCUUUGUGGUUUUACCCAGUGUUUGAAUGUUGAAUUGUUACGUUGGAAUAGGCUGCUAAUGCAUGUAGUUAGAGAAGCCUUCAUUUAUAUCAAAGUCCUCAAACUAUCAAGAACUAAUGUAUCCAGAAACACAUACCAAGACGCAAAACAACAUAUUUUCCAUGCUGUCUGUAACACCAAAGCAAACUUCCUUUAUCACAUCAUUUAAAGGAUCAAAUUCCAGUACUAAUCUAAUCCAUUAUGUAAAGCAUCAGGGACAGACUCAAGAUUUCAAAAUGGAGUGGGCUAGAUUUUAGGUCCGGCUAAACUUUAUAGGGAGACUUAUGAAAUUAAUCAUAAUAUUAUAUAAAUUUAAUUUAAAAACAUAUCAUUUUUAUUUUAUUUAUUUAAAGAGUCCAAUUUUACACCAACAAUGUCAUCAACAAUUGAUUAUAUAUGCUUAAAAUUAACAUUAGUUGACAACUCACAACUCAUAUUGCAACUUAUUUAGUAUAUGUGUUUUAUACUAACAAUAACAAAAGAAAAACACUUGACUGGGCUAUAGCCCAGUUUGUACACAUUGCAGGCCCGUCCUUAUAAAGCAUACAAGUGCCUCCCUAAAUUUGUCCGUUGGAUAUAUAUAUGUCACUUUUUAUUUUUUGAUAGAGAUAUAAAUGUUGAGAAAAUUAGAGUACACAACUCUAAUAUCAUAAAGCAAACAAAAUUUCUAAGUUAGUUUGCUUUAUGAUAGUUGUUUUUUGAAGGGGUCCUUAGAUCUAAUCUCAAAAAGUUUGGCUUUUAUUAGGUUUAACUCUGGUUUUUGCAAUUCUUUAUCUCGUAGUGGCAAUGUUCAAAUGCGAUGAGAUUUCUAAUUAAUACCUCUGUAUGAUCGCUUAUUUUCAAUCUUGGAAUUUCAAGAGUCCGGUCAGCAAAUCUAAUAAGGUAUUCGUUGAUCCCUCAUUCAACUUGAUCCCUGCCCUGUGUAGCUCUGUGAUGCUGGGUGUGUUUAUAGUUAUGAGUUUCCUGUCAUCAAUUUUUAGGGCUAUUCGUUAUAUGAGUCCCUGAACUUAGACUCGAUUUGCAUUUUAGUCCCUCAAUUUCCAAAAUCGUUUCAGUGGUCCUUCAACUUCAGUUUCGUUAGGACAAAUGGUCCUGCCAUCAAACGAUUAUAAAGUGGAAAAAACAAGAACAAAAAGGGAAGUGAGUUAAAUUUGCACCUACUAUGUUCAAACGACAAAGUUGGUUUCCCUUUGGUUGAUUACAAGAGAAGUGAAAGGACCCGCCCGAAUUUUCUCAAAAUCCGAGACAAACCCUUUGGAAUUCCUGACAUCACCCUGAUGCCAGGCCCACUUACUAAAAACCGAGACCUCCUGCCGAAAUUUCGGCAGAGUCUCCCCUAUAAAUUGGACGUUUCCCAAAAUUUAUACCUGCAUAAAAACGCAUUUAAUAUUCCCAACUGGCAGCAUGCACAAUAUAAUUUCAUGCAAUUCACACAAAUGGCCUUCGGCCUUUCAAUAAUUCAUAUCCAACUACCAAACCAUUCAAAUACCAAAUAUGACUAACAUUUAGUCUGCGGCUGCACCUAAUAACCCUAGGCUGCCUACGUACCCUCCUUGAGGGAUCAAGCCACACGUAGUUCUUCCCUAAAACCCAAUUCCACACUUGGGCGAUACCUUAUUUCAUUUCUCUGGAUUUCAUAUAAUCUCCCCAUACGCCGGUACAACCAACGCCACGUAUGGGGCCUGUCAACACGCCGGAUAACCUACGCCACGUGCGACCAUGCCAUACUAUCAUAAUAUCUCCCCAUACGCCGGUACAACCAACGCCACGUAUGGGGCUUGUCCCAACGCCGGAUAACCUACGCCACGCGGGACCUCAAUAUUCAUAUCACAAAUCUCCCCAUACACCGGUACAACCAACGCCACGUAUGGGGUCUGUCGACACGCCGGAUAACCUACGCCACGUGCGACCUCACACAAUAUCACAAUAUCUCCCCAUACGCCGUACAACCAACGCCACGUAUGGGGUUUGUCUCAACGCCGGAUAACUACGCCACGUGAGACCUGAAACAUCAUAUUACAAAUCUCCCCAUACGCCGGUACCACCAACGCCACGUAUGGGGCCUGUCCCAACGCCGGAUAACCUACGCCACGUGGGACCUAACUUUCACUUGGUGGUGCUUGUAGUGAAUCCAAAAUCCGGGGAGGUAUCUAAAGUAGUGCGUUUAGCACUCCAAACUGACACUCUAGACUCUGUUGUACCCUUGUACAACCAUAUAUAAUUAUAGUUAUAUAAAUUAAUUCUAAUAUUGUGUAACCCUCCACAAUAGUCUAGCUCCCGAUAAUCCCCCCCUUAGAAAGGUGAGAUUACUCCGGGAGACUCACGGUCAACCAAGGGUCAAACUACUCUAACCCUGGUCAACCGGACCUGCAGAACCCACUACCUCCAAUUUCCGAUCCGAAAGUCUCUAUGGGUUCUACCAGGUAUAGGACACUUGUCCUGCAAGUUUGGUUCAAAUCGGACGGUCGGAUUUCUCACGAUCGCACGAUCUGACGGUUAAUAUAAGAUAUAAAAUUAAAAUUAUUAUUCGGAACAUCCGGGGUUCCGAUUCAUGAUCCGUAAAUUCCUACACGAUCCUAGAAAUACCUAGAUUAACAUAUAUUAAAUUUGGGACCAUCCAACGGUCCCAACCUAUCGAACUCGGAUAACGCACACUAUGCGAUUAUCCGUUCGAUAGUCAAACGACGUCCGAAUUGAGAUCCGCGAAAUCCUACGCACUCGUGACAACCUAAGGAUCUCAUCGGAACACAUCGCUACAUUUUCUACAGUGCCCACGCACCGGCAGUGCGUGGGUGCCCAAAGCGAUAACGCUUCGCCGGAAAAUCUCAAAACCACGGCUCCAAACUCCUACCCUAGGUAUAACACCCUAUUUGGAGCCACUUUUGUUUUGGACCUACCCCAAAAAGUGGCCGGAAAUGGCCAAUCACGGCGGCCGAAGUUUCGGCCGAUUUUCAAUUCGAAAAUUGAGUUGCCUACGCUAAGAAUCGAUCUAAUCCUACCCAACCAUCAGCUAGAGCAGCUCGAGAGGUUCAAAAUCCAUACCUGGGUCGACGGAUUUGGUGGCCGGAGGAGGAGGAUCGACGGCGUUGAAGUUCCGGCGACAUCUGGGCGAAAAUCGCCAUUUUCCGGCGGCUGGAGCGGCGGCCGAUGGCGGGGAUGGGCUGGGUCGUGACGCCGAGGUCGAGCCGGUUCUUUUGACACCGGCCCCGUCCGCAGCCGCGGCCGGUGGCCGGAGUUACGAAGAGAGAGAGAGGAGAGAGAGAGAGGAGAGGCCGACGGGAGAGAGAGAGAGAGGAGUCUCGCAGGAGAGAGAGAGAGAGAGAGAGAGAGAGAGAGAGAGAGAGAGAGAGAGAGAGAGAGAGAGAGAGAGAGAGAGAAACCAGAUUUUAUAAAAAAAAUCCCAUUUCGAAAUAUUUACGAUUAUGCCACUGGACUUCUUUUGACCAUAUCUCUCUCGUUACAACUCCGAUUCGAGCCCACUACGUGUCUGUGAACUCGUCUCAGUACGACCUAUCCAAAAAUAUAAGUCACGGUCCCAAACUCUCUCCGGUUAAAAAUAUGACUAAAAUACCCUCAAAGCAGCUUACUUGGUUCCUCUAGUAGAUGGAAAUAUAAUUUUUCUAGCUAAAUUUCUCAAAUGGUCCUCAAACUUGUACGCGAUUUACAUUUUGGUCCAUCAAUUAAAUUAUUAGUCCAAAUGGUACAUAAACUCUAUUUUAAUCGCCCAUUUGAUCGAACCGUCUAAUUUUCUGUUAGAUUUAACCAAAUUUUAGGGUAAAUAUGACUUUUCAUAAUUAACAAAUAAAAUAGGAUUAAAAUAAUUAAAUACAAAAUUAGAAAAAAAAAAUGAAGAAAAGGAGGAAGAACAGAAGAGGAAGAAACCCAGAAGAAGAGGAAGCGGACAAGGUUAUUGCAAUGGCUUUCUUAAGUAAAAUUGGGAAUAUACUCAGAUGGACUGCAAAGAAGCAUAUCUGAUCUGAAUUAUCUCCUUUCAAACUAUCUAUCCAUCAAGCAGUAAGAUGCAUGUCAAACAUGGUGAGUUCAAAACUCUUAUUGGAGGUAUUUCGUACCAAACAGAUGAGCAGAGUCUGAAGGAAGCUUUUGCAAAAUAUGGUGAAGUUAUUAAUGCAAGAAUCAUCAGUGACCGUGAAACUGGUAGAUCUAGAGGAUUUGGGUUCAUCACUAGCGAGGAGGCAUCCAGUGCAAUCCAGGCCUUGGAUGGGCAUGAACUUCAUGGCCGUCGAGUAAGGGUGAAUUAUGCUACUGAUAGACCUCGCCCUAACUUCGGUGAUGGAGGUGGUUUUGAAACUGCUAGCACUGGAGGUGGUUUUGGCAAUAACAUCAAUUUGGGUGUUGCUGUUGCUGUUGGUGGUGCUCAUAACUUUGUUGGCGGUGCUGACAACAGCUUUGGCAGUGGUGGAGCUCAAUUGGGAGAGAACAAAGGUGGUUUCAGCUUGCAUGAUCCCUUGAAAGGAAAUGAUAAGGAUGAUGAUGAUGAUGCCGGCAACUUUCUCAAGAGGGCUUGAUAAUAUUUAGAUAAGAGGAGCGAUUUAGUUUGCUUCUAUGCAGAGCUACUAGUAGAUUGUCUUUUUGUUACAGCUGCAUGUCCCCCCUCCCCGUCUUUCUAAACUAUUAAUUUCAUUUGGCGGAAUUUUCUGUGAAUUUCAUGCACCUUUUAGUGUGCUUUGUCAACUAAGGACCUGGAUUGUGGGAAAAAAAGAAGCAAAAAAAGAAGAAACCAGGAAGAAGAAGAAGAAACCCAGAAGCAAAAGAAGAAGAAACCCAGAAGAAGAAGAGAGAGAGAGUUGGUGGAUGCAAUGACCAAGUUGCCCUCAUAUUUAACGGAAAUAUUGAUAGAAUGUAACGGUAGGAUCAAUGAAGCGAAUAAUAUAGAGUUGAUGUACCAUUUGGACUAAUAAUUUAAUUGAGGAACCAAAAUGUAAAUCGAGUAUAAGUUUGAGGACCAUUUGAGUAAUUUACCCUAAUUUUUCUCCUAAUAAUAAGGGUUUAGUGCAAUCAAUGAUGGGCUGUAUAGAACAACUUUUUUGUUUUAUAUGUUUAUGUGAGACAAGUUUUGCCAGAUUGAAUUAAUGUCUUCUAGCUAUGUACCUUAUCUUUUUGCCGGGCCAUGAGUUGAAUGUAGAGGCAGAGCAUGGACUUGGGGUCAAGUUUGACUUGUAAAAAAUUAGGAAUUGAAUGGCUAAUACGUUCAAUUAUUUAUUUAUUUAUUUAUUUUUGUCCGAGCCAUUCAAUUCCUAAUUAUUUAGAUUUUCAAUCCAGUGAGCAUCCACAAUCAUGCUCUCUAUUUUUAAGUUAAAUUUUAGCUAAAAACAUAUAAAAGUUAUUUUAGGAGCUCUCUAUAAAAUUUAAACUUCAAUCGUUUUCUCUAGUUUAGGGAGUCAUAAAUGCCAUAACUCUUUUUUGAUUGGUCUAUCUCUAUUAAAAAAUAAAAUAAAAAAUAAUUAGCAUUAAAUAAAGAUUUGAAAUACUCAUUAAAUAAAGCAACAUUAAAUUAUAGGGAGCCACUAGGAGUCCUUUCUCUCUCCUCAAGUUUAGGAGCUCCUAGAGGUCUCCCUAUUUUAAGAGGUGGAUAGGGAGUAUGGUUGGAAUUGUAUUUUUACAAUUCCUCCCUAAAAUUUGUCUAAGGAGGUGGUUUAGGGAACCCAUUGUGGAUGCUCUCAUCUCAAAGAAAGAAAACCUCAAGUUUGCAAGCAAGUUUUCUACGUAUGUAUAUAUGAAAAAAUGAUAUGAAAAUAAUAAAUCCAUAUUUUUAUGUAAGCCAACUUUCUAAAUCCAUGUACUAUAUUUAUUAGGGAAAUAUUGGAGAAACUGAUUAUUUUGAAAAAUUAAAUGUGAAAAACUGAACAAAAAUUUGACAGGUUACAUAUUUCAACUCAUUCAGCAGCUUAGGUUGUGAAGACCUAAGCAACAAAUCUGCUACUGGGGUGUUGGGGUUUUCUACGUCAUGUGGAGCUUCAUUGCUGCAUCCUUCCACUUCCAUUAUGUGUUGUUCUGAUUCUAAGUGAUGAGGGUAUUAUUGGCACCAUAAUAAACAAAUCAUUUCAAGAUGGUUCCUUCAAAAAUUUAGAAAACAUGCAUCACGAAAUUUUUUAGAAAACAUGCAUCAUGAAAAAAUUACGUGAACAAUAUACUUACACCAUGGGAUCACUCCCACAUAUUGUAACACCCCGACUCCAAAUUAAAUGAUUAUUUUAAUCGAUUUUUAUAAAAUUACGAAUUUACCCUUGGGAUAGGGGUAACUUGGUCACUUUCUUCUUCGGAAGGAUUUUUGGACCAUGAGUGGUAUUUCUGGGUAGUUGGUACCGAGACGAAUUCGUAGACAUGCGGUAGGCUUGAAUCGGGGUUGUAACGAAAAAGUUACGGGCAAAAUAGUGUCAGUGGCAAACUUGUAAAUAUUUCGAAAAGGGUUAGGGUAAAAAUCAGAUUUUUCCAGUUUUACCUCACUUUCUCUCUCUUCCUCCCGAUUCUCUCUCUCUCUCCCGCGUCUCUCUUCCUUCUCCGAUCUGCAGAUCGCAGAGCCGCCGCCACAGGCCACGGCUAGCCCCGAGACCGGACCCAAAACGAUCGGCCAAACCUCGCCGACGUCCCCCGACCCAUCUCCAGCCGCCAGCCGCCGCCUCGUCGCCGGAAACCACGGAUUUCAGGCCGAUUCUUGUCUGAGCUUCCAGUCGAUCGUUCUCUCUCCUCCGAGCACUAUUUCAGACGGGUGAGGUAUGGUUUCUCAUCCAAUUUUUGAGUUCUAGCUGAUGAUGGUAUAGGUUUUCAUUGAUUUUGAGUCUAGAAAACCGAUUAGGAAUCUAGGUUUUGGGCCGAAUUUCAAAAUGAAAUUCUGGCCAGUUGCCGGCCGAAUUGGAGCUUCUCGUAGUUGAAUGAAGUGAUCCUGACCUCGAGUAGAAGCUAGAGUAGGAAGGGUGAGCUCGGGUGUGGAGUUUUUCCGUCACCGGAAUUACUCUGCACACCCACGCGCUGCCGGCGCGUGUGGCGGUGCGUGGGCGAGUCUGGUGAGGAUGUAAAUUGACCCGAUGAGAUCCUUAGGUUGUCACGAGCGCAUAGGAAUUCGCGGAUCUCGAUUCGGAUGUCGUUUGGCUAUUGAAACGGAUUUUCGCAUAUUGUGCGUUAUCCGGGUUCGAUAGGUUCCGACCGUUAGAUCUUUCCCAAAUUAAAAUAUGUUGUUCUAGGUAUUCCUAGGACCGUAUGGGACUUCACGAAUUCUGAAUCGGAGCCCCGGAUGUUCCGAUUCAAAAAUGCAAAGUUUGCGGGUUAGCGAUAACCGUAAAAUCGUGAACGCUUCCUAAACCUGUAAUCGGACCUUAGGGUACCAUCUUCGACGUGCACGUAUGGGAAUUUGGGGAGUUAAGCAUUUAAUUUGUAAUUUCCGCUUAGACGUGGUUUUUAUAUUAAUUAACGGUUCGUAUUUCGAAAUAGGUAUUUCGACUGCACGCACGCAGCAAGCAGGACCUUCACGUGGUCAGGCAGCGAGGGAAUACUUGUGAGUGGACUUUGUUUUAAUCAUAUGCCUGGUUUUAAUUAAUGAAAGAUUUUGCAUAAUGUUUUAAUGGCUUCUGGAUUUUAUGUAUUAUAUGCAUGAAUUAAUUUCAAUGGGUGUAUAGCAAUUGGCAAUAUAUUAUGAGUUUGGCCUUUUGGGUUUUGAGAGUGUAUUUCAUGUAUAGAUUGGGGAAGUAUAUUUUGAUAUAUAUAUAUUCUUUUAGAGGAGAUAUUUGGGUUGUUGGAGAGUGAUAUGGAAGAAUGUGAUUAGAGAGGAGUUGUGGGAUUACACUACGUAAGUACCUUCCCCGGUUACUAGUCUCACUCGCGGCGUUGGAUGUUCCGGCGGGUGAGACACUUUCCGUAUGCGGCGCUGGAUGUUCCGGCGUACGGAAAGACUGUGUAUAGAGUUUAGGGUCAUCACCAUGGCGUUGGAUGUUCCGGUGUGUGAUGAUCCAGUCUGCGCGCGUAGGACAUAGUUUGAGAGCUACACAUGGCGUUGGAUGUUCCGGUGUGGGAGCUUUGGAGUUUCGUCCCCCGGUUGGACCGCUCAUCCCUAAACGCAGGAUAGCACCUGGAAAUCCUGCGGACUAGUCAAACGAUCCCCCAGUUGGAUUGUUUUCCCCGGUACCUAAGUGGUGUGAUGAGUAUAUCAUAUAGCUAUUUAUAGUUAUUUAUAUAUAUAUAUUUAUGUGUAUAUUUAUUGAAUAUGUAUAGUUGAGUGUGAAAGGAAUUGGAGUUUGUUUAAUAGUUGAUAGGAGUGGUGAGUUUGAGAGAAUGGGGUUCUUUUUGAAAGAGAUAACUGAUGUUUUUAGAUGAGUUUUACUGAAGCAUAUUUUGAGUAAUUUCUUAUUGAAUUGUGAACCUGCAUGACUUGAGCAUUAUUUUACAUGGUGGGGUUACUAUGUUGUUUUUAACUGCAAACCUGGUUUUUGUCCACUCACAUGUUUUCUGUUUUGCGCCCCCCCAGCCAGUAGUUGCUCUUGGAAGUGCAAGUGGUGUACGAAGCGGAAUCGGUGCAUCUUUCUAAUUAGGAAUUGUGUAAAUUCUUCUACUCAACUGUUCUUGUAAUCUAAAUUCAGUAGAUGCUCUGUAUUUGCCAUGGUAGAUUUUACUUGUGAGGCCGGAGGCCACUCUAGUAUGACUUAUGUAUGUAUGAAAGCAUGCUGCUGGUUGGGAUUAGUAUUACUGUGUGUGCAGGUUGAAUAAAUUUUGUUGGGUUUGUUUAAAUUGCAGGGGAGACUCUGCCAAAAUUUUGGUAGAAAGUCUCGAUUAUUUAGUAGUGGGCCCGGCAUCAGGAUGAUGUCGGGAUCAAGACGGGGUCCGCCUCGGUCAACGGGAAAUUCCGGGGCGGGUCUUGUCACAUAUUUGAACACAUAACACGUGUUCAAGGUUAUAUAUUUCAUUACCUUCACAAUAGGUACCAAACCGUACCAUGGGAACAUUCAUAUACGCACAACAUACUUAUAACAUACUUACACUCGUGUAUAUUUGAACACAAGAAGACGUGUGCACCACCGUGCACGGUUCACAUGAAGUAAGAAGAUGAAGAGGAAAUAAAGAAGAAUACAAAAGAAAAUGGAGAUGAGAAGAAAAAAAAAACACGAAUAAUGAAAAAUGAGUUGACAAUUAUAUAUGGUUGACAUUAGAUGUAAUAUUAUAUGUAAUAACUAAUGAUCUAAAAUAAACAUUUAAUCUAUUCACUCGUUUCGUGUUUACUCCUGUGAUGGAAGGGCAAAGUUCCCCAUUGCCUUGAAAACCAUUGACUGGUCAACAAGACAACUUUCUUUGGUGUGCGAGCGUGCCACUACUAGCAAUAAAAAACAUAGCAGACUUCUUUGAAAUAUAUAACUUGCGUCCUAAGUUACUAAUUUCUAAACAAGCGAUCGUGAAUUUGGGUGAGGAAUAUCUCCCAAGUAAGUUCUUUUCUUGCCUCAGACUGGUGAGGACUUCACAAUUUAUCUUAGUACAAGAUUGGUAGUUUUGGCCAGAAUAAAUGAUAAUAAAGUGGACUUUUUUAGGCAGAACUGCCUUUUACAAAACUAGAAAGGAAAAGAUCAACUCUAGAAAGACAAAAAAAUGGCUGAAAUUCCAUUUCUGCCUGGAUAGAAGCUUCUGAUCCGGGCUGGACUGGGUAUGUUUGUUCUGGACUGAAUUGUCAACAACUUCAACUACUAAGCUUCAGCUGUAAAUCGAUACCAAAGUUUGAGUUUGGCAGAGUUUUAAUAUAUUUCAAGCCCUGGAAGGCUUUUCGAACGGGCAGAACUGCAACUUCUUUGGUCUGAACGGGGCAGAAGUGGCUGGACUUAAGGAUUACUAAGCCGGAACUGCACUAUGGUACCUGUUCUGCUUGAUCCGGGCUCUCUAUAAAUUUGUUGAGGUUUCCAUAUUUGUGAAAACUCAAACUCGGCUUGUCUUGGCUUUUGCUGAACCAAAUUUGUAACGCGAGAAGUCUCGUUUUGAAUGACUUAUUUAUCUGAGUAUGAACUUGGAAGUUCGAUCUAUAGCUGGCUUCUUUUGUGGCUCGAAUGAGUUUUUGGUUGCUCUAGUUUGUUUUGAAGGUUCUCAAUGAUCAAGUGAUCAUUUUGAGUUUUUGCCUUUGGUUGAUUUUUGAUUGUUUGAUUGAUUGUUGAAAAAUGAGUGUGUUUUGCUCUGUUCACCCUCUCCUAUAUUUAUAAGAAAUGCUUUGGAGUAGGGUUUCUAAUUUUUUAGAAAUCGGCGGCAGAUUUUCUCAAAAGAUCUUUCAUUUUUUAAAAUGUAAAGAAAUAGGGGUUUUAUCAAUUCUGGUAGAUAAGCUCUCAAUGGUCAGUUUCUUUAAGUCAAUCACUUCUCUGUUUUUUGAAAGAAAACUUAAUCCCUCUUUAAUUCCAACUGCCCCUUGUGAGAGCUCAAACUGUGAUGGUUAGUUUGAUUUUCCAGUUUAAACAACUUCCUGUUUCAUGCUUUAUCUUUUUUUAGAAAACACAGUCUGCGUAUCCUGAAAGAUGGUGCCUUCUUUGGAGUAUAAACAAUAUCUCUGAAUAUAUAAAAGGGUUUUGAUCUUCUGGUGGCAGAGAUUUCAGAGACAUCCCUUCUUUUCGCCUGCCUCUGUCAACUCUUUAUUAACCUAGUUGAAAUUGUUGACUUUCCUAAAUCAGAGAAAAAGAUUCACUUUGGUAUGUUUCCUUUUGGGCUCCUUCUUCUCUUUUAAUAUGCCCAAACCCUUUUGUUUUUCCUGGAGCCAUGAGCUGAUUGCUCUUUUUUUCUUUUUUCGAGGCCCAAGUUUAUUUGCAGAGUCCAGACUGCUUGGGCCCUGUGGUUUGUCUUUGUUGUUUUUGGGCUGGGUGUGUCAAAUUAGGCCCAAACAAAGUCAAACAAUAAUUAAAAGAUUUGACAAUAUAAAAAUAUAUUGAGAACAAAAAAAGGCAAAAACUUUUGAAAAAUGGAAACAAUAAAUAUGAAUUGAGUCAUCAACUCACCAAGGUAAGUUUGCUGAUGUGUAAAAAUAGUCAAUGGACUACAUCGAAAAAUAAUUGGCUUACAUCAAAAAUUAAAAUCACGUGGUUUAUUCUUAAGAAACCUUAAUAUUUUUGGGUUCAUAUAUUUUUUGUAUUUUAAAAAAAAAGAAAAAAAAAAUCUGACCAUGUAUGUAUGAUGAUGAUAUGCAUGUUAUUUUUAGACCUAAGGUAAAACAAACAAACUUUUUACUCCAUUUUUCGUGAGGUUUAUCAAAAGAAUUAAACUGUUAUAUCCUCCAUUUUAGAUUUCAUGCUUCCAUUUAAAGAAAAGAAUAUCAACAACAAAAAAAGAAUAAAGUUACAACAUUGAUCAAUUCAAAUGUCCAACUAUCGGAUCAUGAGCCUCUGCACUUAGAGACUACGCAUUUACCCGUAUUUCGUUAAAUUUAGACCAUUAUAAUAAUCUAACCCCUUAGAAUGGGACACAUCAUCAAGUUUUUUUUCCUUUCACUAAACAGAAGAGUUAAGUUUUAUUUGUGGGUAACUAAACUCUUGUUUAGAGCAUGUUUUUUAUUUAUUUUUCUUUGUUCUGUGUAAAUUAUAAUAGGUUAGAUUAUUAUUUGUGGGUGACUAAAAUCUUGUUUAACAAUAAUAGUUAACGUUUGUUUAGAGAAGAAAAAAAAUUUGAUGAUGUGUCAUGUUCUAAAGGGUUAGAUUAUUAUAAUGGCCUAGAUUUAGCGAACUGUAGAUAAACGCGCAGUGUCUUAAUGCAGAGGCUCGAGAUCCCCAACUAUCAUUGAAACAUAAGAAACUAAAAUCUUCAAGAAAAUGCUAUCAAUUGAAAAAACAAUAAUUAAAAAACAAAAAAAGGAAGGGAAUUCGCAGCUGCUAUGCAAAAAAGAGCAAGUCGGUUCAAUGAUUUUUUCUUCUUCUUCUUUUUGUUAUGGAAAUGAAAAGCUAAAUGAUGGGCUAUAUAUGGGAAGAAGCUCAAUGAUUGAAUUAAUAUCUUCUAUCUACAUUCUACCCUCUUCCUCGCUACAUACACAAAUGGUGCACGUACAUGGACAUGGGUUGACAUGAAUAAGAACAGCGACGCGUACUUGUUUUUAUUUUUGGUUCUUUAGAUCCAGUUGCACGUACCAAAGAAAGAAAACCACAGGUAUGCAAUGCAAGCUCUUUUCCCAUGUUUUCCUCUGUUUUCUCCUAUUUUUCUCUCUUUUUUAAAAAAAAAAAAAAAGAUAUACGGAAGUGAUUAAAAUACUCCUCUAACUAAGCUUGUUUUGCGUUCGGUGGCCGACUGUAAAAGCUCUGCUCAAACCUAACGUACUAGGUAUUUAUUUUAUUGCUCUGUUCAGACCUAGUGAUUAAAAUGCACUUGCGAUUUUGUGUUUCAAUUCCCUCUCCCCUAAUAUUGCUUGUAUAAAAAUAAAAACUUUUAAAAAGACAUUAAUAUUGUAUUCUAUAUUCUAUAAAGUGUUGGACAUGUUUUAUAUUGUUGACAACCCCCUAAUAUUUUGGUGGUGCCCAGUUAUAUUCAAUUCGUAUGUAUUUAAUUUGCCACUUACAUUCUUGCCUUAAUACAUUUAGGCUUAUUUUUAUACAAAUUUCUCUAACAUAACUUUUGCACAUUCUUUUAGUCUCUAAUAUAUAUAUAUAUAUAUAUAUACAGAGAGCUUCCAUUGAGGGAUCCCUCAAAUAAACUUAUUUGAGGGACACUCCUUGUAGGCCCCACUCCGAAUUGUAUUUCACUAAUACAAACCGUCUAUUUUGUAGAUACUCAUUCAAAGAUCAUCUCUACAAAAAAUCACUUGAAUCCGAUAUCAUUUGACCACUCAAUUAAGUUAUUGAAAUUUUAGCAUUUUCUUGAAGCACCGUGUUCAUUGAUUUUGUAAGACACAAUUGGAUGUCGAAACGGUUUCCGAUUUGUCUAAUUUUUUGUAAGGAUGAUCUAUGAAUGAAAACCUAAAAAAUAGGUAGUUUGGAUCAUUGAGAAAAAAAUUGUAUGGUACCUUAAAGGGCGUCCCUCAAAUAAAAUUAUUUGAGGGAUCCCUCAAUAGAAGGGGACUGUAUAUAUAUAUAUAUAUAUAUUUUCUAAUAAAUAAUCUUACCCAUUUGAGUUAUCAGCUAUUUUCUUUUAGCCCGGAAAAUCGACAUUUUGACAGAGAGUUGAAAAGAACUCCCCAAUUUUAAUGUCAGCCACUUGAAAAAAAAAACAUAAAUUUAAUGACAACAAUUACAUUUAGCAAUGCAACCUAAAAACUCAACCUUUGCGCCCCUUUCACAACGUAGAUAGCAGAGUAAGGAUAUUCGGAUAAGAACCAAGACAUAAGCCAGAGAAACUACGAUAGCCAACCAGGGCCUUCAUUUCUUACCAUCUGAACAAUGCCACCAUUUUGUUUGGUAAGUAUUUAAUAACAUUUCUUGCUCUUCAUAAAGUAAUAUUAAAACGAAAUUUGCCUAAAUUUUUCUUACCAACAAUGCAUACGAAAAAAAAAAAGGAAGAUUCACUAUUAUACUCAAUAUAGGAGCCCAAAUUAUUUAUAAUUAAAAAAAAAACCUUACAUGAAAUGGACUUUAGAAACACACUCAAAACCUAUUUACAACAAAACAAAGACUUUUAACUUCUUUUAAAUUACAAAACUAUCAUUGAUUUCUUAAACAAACCCAACCCCAAUACCUCAUAAAAAAACCCAAAAUACUUGAUAAAGCAUCAAAGUAAUUUAAUAAUCAAAAUUAAAUUCAAUAGGACCAGCAGUUAUUUUUUGGGUUUUUUUUGUUUGUUUAUAGAAAUUAAAUGGUGUAGGAUCUAUCUAUAUUAUUAGUGCUAAGAAUGGAUAUGUGACUAAAUAAUUCCAAAAAAAAAUUAUAAUAAAUCUACAAUUUUUCUUUUUAUAAAAAAAUUCUACAAAAAUUUAUUAGAUUAAUAGGCACUACUAGAAAAUCUCCAUAUAAGCCACUAAUACACCCAUGACAGUUGUCCAAGCGUAGUGUUGUCAUUCAAUAUUCCCCACAGCAACCAGCAUCCAAUAAAGGGUUGCCUCUCUGUAUGUAGCUAUUUGAGAAUAUAAAAGAAAUAUUUUUUAUUCAACAUGGACGCAGAAACUGUUGCUAAACUGCAAACUUCUUAAAAUAUUUAUCUAACUUUCUAGAUCCAUGUACUGAGAUUUAUUAGGGAAAUAUUGUAGAAACUGAUUAUUUUGAAAUAUUAAAUGUGAAAAACUGAACAAAAAUUUGAUGGGUUACAUAUUUCAACUCAUUUCAGCAGCUUAGAUUUUGAAGACCUCAGAAGAGGCUAUGCAAUGAGCCUAGCUAGUGCACUGUUGAUCACUUCAGUGUUUACCGAUCUGUAAUUUUUCCAGAUUGGUUAUAUUUUCCUUUACAUAUUCUUAUAUUUUCCCAGUUGGGGAGACUUAUAAAUAAGGGAAAUAGCCCUAAAUGCCACCAAUUUUAUAAUUUUUUGUCAAAAUACCACCCCUCCCCAAAAUUUUUAAAACUACCACCUAUAAAUACAUCUUUAUUGUAAAUUAAUUGCACCCAUAUCACUUUUUCAGAAAUUGGGUUCUCCCUCAACUCUCUUGGCUCUGUCUCUCUCUUUAGCCUAGCUCUCUCUCUCUCUCCGACAUAGUCAUCUUCCUCCCUCAGCCAUCCAAGCUUAACUCCACAGUUCACAUCCACGAGGUACUGUUCACGUUCCUUUUCUUAGAAAUUUGGGGUUUUUGUGAAUUUGGUUUAUGAUGUAUGGAUUUGUAUGAAAUUGGUUUAGGGGUUUCUUCCAAAUUGGUUUGGUAAGAAGGUGAUGUUGUUGUUGCUGUCACUGACAGACUAUUUUUCCUGGGUUGUGGUUGGUGGGUGUUACUGCGAAUGCUUACAAGGUUGCUGAUUCUCCUUCUAAGGUCUCUCUUUCUCUCUAUUUCUACAAAUUCUAAGGUUUUUUUUUUUUUUUGGGUUACUUUUUUUUUUUUUUUUAUUUCUUUUGCUAAUUGUAAUUGGGCCUUUGUUGCAGAGGUGGAUUUGUUUUGUGCCCAAAAGAUUGUGACUUUGUUGAAAGUUCGUAAAUAGAAAAGGCAGCUGCCCCCUGCGGCUUGGAACGCUCAAUUCGGAGGUAUUAUGCCUUGAAUUUUUACAAAAGAAGAAUUGAAACUACCUUAUAGAAGGCAAAACAAAAAUAUAUAAGAGGAAAAAAGGAGAAAAUUUAUCUAAUUUCCCUUUUUUUAGUUGUAUUUUUNNNNNNNNNNNNNNNNNNNNNNNNNNNNNNNNNNNNNNNNNNNNNNNNNNNNNNNNNNNNNNNNNNNNNNNNNNNNNNNNNNNNNNNNNNNNNNNNNNNNNNNNNNNNNNNNNNNNNNNNNNNNNNNNNNNNNNNNNNNNNNNNNNNNNNNNNNNNNNNNNNNNNNNNNNNNNNNNNNNNNNNNNNNNNNNNNNNNNNNNNNNNNNNNNNNNNNNNNNNNNNNNNNNNNNNNNNNNNNNNNNNNNNNNNNNNNNNNNNNNNNNNNNNNNNNNNNNNNNNNNNGGGGGAAGGGACACCCUAUUUCGUUACAGGGUUUAUUGACUGCAUUCUUCCUUGUUCUAGAAGACCUCCUCAGUUCCAUUGAGCCGACAAACCUUAUGAAGUUGAAUGUGAAGUGUUACCUUGCAUCUACAUGUUUCAUCUUUUAACUUUAUUUUCAUGUUUCACACUGAUGCUUGUAGUUAUUUCUAGUUUUGCAUACAGAUUAGCAAAUAGGUUAUGCAUUUACUGUUUAGUCAUCUAAUGAUUUGAUAUCUAAUAUUUAGGCAUAUGGGAAUUUAUAGAUGUACCGAUUAUGCAUACAUAUAGGUUUUGUGCUUGUAUUAGGAAGUUAGAUUCUUGUGGUUCCUCUUCAAUGGCAUGAAUUUAAAUUGUUGUGCUUCAUGAUUAGGGUCUGAAGAACAACCAUGUAGUAAGAAAGUUGGAGAAACGUCAACAGAUUUGCACCCUUGACCAACAUAUUGAAGAGUAAUUUGGUGGUGGUCGUCUAUUGGCUUGUAUCUCAUCACGACCUAGAUAGUGGCUGUGCUGAUGGGUAUGUGACUUUAUUUGCCUAUGUCUGUUUCUAGUCAGCCGAUAUGUCAUUGGCAUAUUAGUGUAGUUACCAUAUUGCAAGGGCUGAAAUCUGGAUGAUAACAGCUUCUUUUUAUUGUUGUUUUAAAGUGAAGUAUGUAUGGAUCUUAUGAAAUUUUUACAGAAAUAUAUUGGAGGGCAAAUAAUUUUAUUUUAGUUUUUUUAUUCCCAAAUGAUACCCAAAACAUGUAAGCUUCACACUAUGUUAAUUUCUGCAGGAUGGGAAAACAUUGGACAAUGAGUUGGAGGUUGUUAAGGGAAUGAAGCUAGACAUGGGCUACAUAUCCCCUUAUUUCAUCACCAACCAGAACAAUUAGAAAUGUGUAAGUUUUGGUUUGAUUCAGGGAUGACUAUGUCUUGAAACUGUUAGAGGGCUGCUUGUUAAAGUUAGUAGCACCUCAAGUCCCUUUUUUAUUGAUGCUGAUUAUCUUCAAACUUGUGUAUGUGCUGAUAGGAAUUGGAAAAUCCUCUAAUCAUAAUCCAUGAGAAGAAAAUCUCAAGUAUUAAUGCUGUGGUUAAAGUAUUGGAGUUGGUCUUGCAGGUUAUCAUUUCUCUGGUUAGGUUCACUAGUUUCUUCUUUUUUAUCAUGAAUUGGUUGACAAACUUUUGCUCUUUUUCAAAAGCAAAGGUCUUUGCAUUUUGUUAUAUCUUUCAGAACCAAAGUUAUAAAAGAAAAUGGUUUUCCUCUUUGUUAAUUGAGAAUCAUCUGCAGUUAUGAUUUCAGAUCUAUAGAUAACUUGUUGUUGCUGAUAUUGCUACACGGGAGGAGAAUAGAACAGCUUGAAAAAUGUGCAAGAAGAGAGAGCUAACUCAUACACCGAAGAACAAAUUGGUGAAGUUAAGAUCAAAUUAGUAGAAUUUGUGAGCUCUCCAUUAUUUAUAAUUAUAGGUAGGAAGUAUGUAUGUAAUAGAGUAAAGAUUGGUUGACUAUGUAAUAACAAUUGAAUUUUCAAGUUUUAUGAAAGAAAUAAUUUUUGAGCAUAUAUAUUUGUUAAUAAAGCAUUAUAAUUGGUUUUCUAGUUAAAAUCGUUGUAUAGAAUCGUAGGAAACAAAAACCUAAAUAUAACAGCUUGGGAACUUAUUAGACGACAGAUUUAAAGAUAAUAAAAUGUAGUCUGAAUUGUUAGGGUUCGGUGGCGAUUUAUUUUGCAUGUCUAAAUUGUAGUCUGUAAUAUAUGUGUGUGUAUUGUAUGUAGAUUGACUUAAUAUUGCUAUCCUAUUGCAUGCGUAUUGUACUAAUAUUGCCUUUGUAUUGCAUACAUAUUGUAUGCAUAUUGCCACCCUAUUGCAUGUAUAUUGUGAUGUUAUUGCUGUUGUAUUGCCGUUAUAUUGCCCUAAUAUUGCCUCUCUAGUGUAUGUAUAUUGGCCUAAUAUUGCCAUUAUAUUGUAUGUAUAUUGACUAUGACUCAUCAAUGGGUUUACGGUUUAGGCCCUACUUCAUUCAAAAAGAAGACGACGACGAGAAAGAAACAAUGUGCCUUUCAAAAACAAGCAGUCAGGUGCAUUAUAAUUGCACCGUAAGACAUUGUAAGAAAUUAUUUUAAAAGAUAAUAACAACUAAAAAAUAAUUUACCAAAAAAGGAAGGUAUGAAUAAAUAUGCAAAUGCUUCGUCAUGGGUUGAAGAAAAGGAUGAUUACAUUUGGUGGUUUGAUUAUGUUUGGUGAUAUGAUAUGUUGUUCGUCUGAAUCUUCAUAUAUGUAAUUGUUAUGUUAAUACUUGACACAAAUUCAUCUCGUAAUCAUCCAAUUAUUAAAGCUAAGUAAAUGAAAUGAAACAAAAGAAGAAGCCCAAAAUAAACAGAAACAGCAAUUUCUAGCACCCAUUUAUCGCUUCUGUAUUACCACUGUAUCACCAACGUAUCACCAGCUUAGCGUUGAUGACCAUUAGUUCAAACAUUAUGUGAUCUAAUAGGGAUAACUAAUUUUUGGAACAACUAAUGAAUCUUCAAAAAGAUAAAGAACAACUAGUAAACUAAUGUAUGCAGUUUAACUUUGCACGGGUCAUAGUGCUCAACAUGAUAUUUGGCAACCAUCUCUACACUUGGUGUAUAUUGCAGGCUUCUAUGCAUUCCAAACCUUCAUUCUUCUGUGAUAAAACUGUUAAAUUACCAAGAUUUCUAACACAUGGAAGUAAACAAACGAAUCUGCACAUUUAUUUGUACAUACACACUGCGUAUUGCACAUCUGCGCAUCUAUUAAUCACCACACCAAUGUUUCAAAGAUUGAUUCAGAGGGCAAAAUGAUUGAUUACAUAUUUCAAAUUAGUCAUCUGCUCAUAAGAACUUGGCCCUAAAACUGUACUAAUGGUAAAUAUACUGACAUAAUAGCUAUUAAUGAAAAAUUCUAAACAAACGAGGGACUUAUUUUUCUAAUAUUGUAGUGGAAGCAUGUUAAGUGAUUUUCCACAUUUGUUCAUGGGGGUAAAGUAUAUCUUACCCCUUUCUAAACAUUAUGAGGUUUCAAAUUUCAAUAACAACAGAAUGCUAAGCAGAAAAGUAGAAUUGCUACAUAAAUUACUUAGAAGGAACAAAGUCAAAACUAAUUUGACAAAUCUUAAGAAAGCUGUAUGCUUCACUAAGUCAACUAACAGAUUCCCAGUGCAGGAAAUGAAAUAUACCUAUAUCACAUAAAUUGCAAAGAAAACCACAGAGACUAAAUGUUAACAAUGGAUACAAAAAUGAGUAGAAUUCAGUGGAAACGAACACAUCGUUUCAAACAAGUAAAUUGUUAUAUGUCCAUAAAGAGCAACUAUGUUUAUAUAUGGAGGUGUACGAAAUAGUUCAACUUCAAAAUGGAAACAGUUUAUGUGCCAUGUAAGGCAAUGAACAUAUAACAAGGUGAGUCUUCAACAAAUUAAAAGUAGACAAUUAUUUUCAAACAAUCUGACAGCUGCCCGAGAAAACUGAGGGAGUUAAGGCAUGAGAUGCAAACAUGAUAAACACUGUUAAGCACUCGGACGAACCCAUGCUAUAAUACAAGCCAACAGACAAUCACCACCACCAAAUUGCUCUUCAAUAUGUUGGUCAAUGGUGCAAAUCUGUUGAUGCUUCUCCAACUUUCUUACUACAUGGUUGUUCUUCAGACCCUAAUCAUGAAGCACAACAAUUUAAAUUCAUGCCAUUGAAGAGGAACCACAAGAAUCUAACUUCCUAAUACAAGCGCAAAACCUAUAUGUAUGCAUAAUCGGUACAUCUAUAAAUUCCCACAUGCCUAAAUAUUAGAUAUCAAAUCAUUAGAUGACUAAACAGUAAAUGCAUAACCUAUUUGCUAAUCUGUAUGCAAAACUAGAAAUAACUACAAGCAUCAGUGUGAAACAUGAAAAUAAAGUUAAAAGAUGAAACAUGUAGAUGCAAGGUAACACUUCACAUUCAACUUCAUAAGGUUUGUCGGCUCAAUGGAAUUGAGGAGGUCUUCCAGAACAAGGAAGAAUGCAGUCAAUAAACCCUGUAACGAAAUAGGGUGUUCNNNNNNNNNNNNNNNNNNNNNNNNNNNNNNNNNNNNNNNNNNNNNNNNNNNNNNNNNNNNNNNNNNNNNNNNNNNNNNNNNNNNNNNNNNNNNNNNNNNNGAUAUGAAGAAACAAAAUGAAUCUCCCACAAGCCUAACAGGCUAAUACCAUUAACAAGGUCUGAAAUUGACUCUAUAUCAUGUACAUAUAUAUAUAUAUAAACUCCAUCUUUACAUAUUGGAACUACAUCAAUGUAAACCAACUAGAUCGACCCUGCAUCCUGAACACCACCCCCCCUCCCAAAAAAAAGACCGAGAAAAAAAAAAUACAACUAAAAAAAGGGAAAUUAGAUAAAUUUUCUCCUUUUUUCCUCUUAUAUAUUUUUGUUUUGCCUUCUAUAGGGUAGUUCCAAUUCUUCUUUUGUAAAAAUUCAAGGCAUAAUACCUCCGAAUUGAGCGUUCCAAGCCGCAGGGGGCAGCUGCCUUUUCCAUUUACGAACUUUCAACAAAGUCACAAUCUUUUGGGCACAAAACAAAUCCACCUCUGCAACAAAGGCCCAAUUACAAUUAGCAAAAGAAAUCAAAAAAAAGUAACCCAAAAAAAAAAAAAAAAAACCUUAGAAUUUGAAGAAAUAGAGAGAAAGAGAGACCUUAGAAGGAGAAUCAGCAACCUUGUAAGCAUUCGCAGUAACACCCACCAACCACAACCCAGGAAAAAUAGUCUGUCAGCGACAGCAAAAACAACAUCACCUUCCUAUCAAACCAAUUUGGAAGAAACCCCUAAACCAAUUUCAUACAAAUCCAUACACCAUAAACCAAAUUCACAAAAACCCCAAAUUUCUAAGAAAAGGAACGUGAACAGUACCUCGUGGAUGUGAACUGUGGAGUUAAGCUUGGAUGGCUGAGGGAGGAAGAUGACUAUGUCGGAGAGAGAGAGAGAGAGCUAGGCUAAAGAGAGAGACAGAGCCAAGAGAGUUGAGGGAGAACCCAAUUUCUGAAAAAGUGAUAUGGGUGCAAUUAAUUUACAAUAAAGAUGUAUUUAUAGGUGGUAGUUUUAAAAUUUUUGGGGAAGGGUGGUAUUUUGACAAAAAAUUAUAAAAUUGGUGGCUUUUAGGGCUAUUUCCCUAUAAAUAAACCCAAAAUGGGUACAGUAUCUAUACAGAAGGACAAAAUUAAAGUGUUUGGACAAUAAUGCCCCUAUUCAUUUUGGGAUUGCCUAAGGAAUCCUUUUCCUGAUUUUCAAUGAUGCCAAAGGACUGUUGUUUGAUGCUUGCCGUAUGGAGCUAAGAAAACUUGCUUUGUGUUAUAAAAAUAACCUGGAAUAUGUACGAAUAUUGAGCUGCACGAAAAGUAGAUGAAACACAGCAUUUAACGAGGUUCGGCUAUGCCUACGUCCUCGGAGAGCAACAGCAGUAACUUUUUCACUAUAUGAAAUAAUAGGGCUACAACUUUAGAGUUUACAAUAUGUGAGGCUCACUGAAUUUUCUCUCUCUUUCUUCUUCUCUCUUUUCUUUCUUCUUUUUCUCUUCUCCCCUUUCUUUCUUUUCUCCGUUGGUCACACUCCCCUUUACAAUUGGUAUGCCUAUUUAUAGGCUAAUGUUUAGGCAAAAUACAGGGAAGGGAAGGUUCCUGGAAGAUGCAAGGAAACUUCCUGAAUUGAUAAUGUCACACCCCGGACCGACUCCGCCGUAGCACGAUAUUGUCCGCUUUGGGCCCUCCUCUCACUGCCCGCACGGUUUUGUUUCUGGGAGCUCACGAAGCAACUUCCCAGGGUGGUCACCCAUCCUGGGAUUGCUCCAGCCUCCCACUCGCUUAACUUCGGAGUUCUUACAACUCCGAAGCCAAUGAGCUCCCAAAAGGCCUCGUGCUAGAUGGAUGCGGGUGUGCCAUAUAAGGCACAUCACCCCCCUCUCCGUUGGUUUGAUGUGGGAUCUUACAAUCCACCCCCCUUAAGGGUCCGACGUCCUCGUCGGCACACUCGCACCACACGGCAGAGUGGCUCUGAUACCAAAUUGUCACACCCCGGACCGACUCCGCCGUAGCACGAUAUUGUCCGCUUUGGGCCCUCCUCUCACUGCCCGCACGGUUUUGUUUCUGGGAGCUCACGAAGCAACUUCCCAGGGUGGUCACCCAUCCUGGGAUUGCUCCAGCCUCCCACUCGCUUAACUUCGGAGUUCUUACAACUCCGAAGCCAGUGAGCUCCCAAAAGGCCUCGUGCUAGAUGGAUGCGGGUGUGCCAUAUAAGGCACAUCACCCCCCUCUCCGUUGGUUUGAUGUGGGAUCUUACAGAUAAAUACAGGGAAGGAAAGUUCCUGGAAGAUGCAAGGAAACUUCCUGAAUUGAUAAAUACAGGGAAGGGAAAGUUCCUGGAAGAUGCAAGGAAACUUCCUCUGUGGGCUCCACCUUCAAACUUUUACAACACUCCCCCUUGGAGACCACAAAUGAUAUGAAAUAUGCCUCGUUAAAAACCUUGCCAGUAAAAACCCAGUGGGACAAAAACUGGUCGAAGGGAAAAAGAGUACAUAAUCACGUGUAACAUAAAAUUCUGUGUAUAUUGACGCGCGUGCGACACUGCCUCGUUAAAACCUUGCCAGGAAAAAUCUAGUGGGAUAAAAACCUGGACGAAGGAAAAAGAGUACAGUGUGUAAGGGUCUGUAUUGACAGCACGCUCCUCCUGAUGCUUGGCAAAAUAUCUUUAAGCCAUACUGUUGAUCAUCUGUCUGAAUAUCAUAGUUGACACUGCUGCUGUGAGUCAAUAGUGUAUGAAGGUCUUUAUUAAUACCAUGCUCCCCCUGAUGAAUAUCUCCCCCUGAAAACUUCAUGACUAGCUUUUUCCAGUAAGCGACCAUAGAGAUUUCCUGAGUCCGCAUAUCUUAGAACACUUGGGCUAUUUAUAAGUUCACUAAAAAAAUAUGCCCGUAUAUGGUGUUAUGCUUAGAUAGCAUCAAAUAUACCUCACAUCAUCCCAAAAUGAUGGUGAUGGAGUUGAGCCCUAUCUGGAAAAUAUGAUGUCCGGUCCAAUAUACUUCCGGAAAAUCAUUAAAGUGUCCAACGGAUAAUCCUCAUAAAAAUACUUUAAUACUUUCUUAGUAUAAGCAAGAAUCUCGUUGGCAUAAUGCUCGAUCGAGACAAAUAUUUCAUGAAUUCUGCAGAAACUUUAAUGUGUUGCAAUCACAUUAUAAUCAAUGUACUCACUGAGGUAAUUUAUGCAUAUUAAUAUUGAGUACAAAUUUUGUGCUUCAAGCACAUGUCCUUUAAGGACUUGCUUUAUGCAAUAUCAAUCCUCUCAACGGAUUUUGUCUAAAAGGGAUUAAGCUUUAUGACACAUUAUAUAGCUUUUACCCAGCUAUUUAUACAUCUUUAGGAAAUCGCUUCUGGCGAUAUGCUCCGUGCAUUCAAUAACCCUUAAAGAUAAUAUGUUGGUCUCCGUAAUUGUGUAAUAAGGGGGGGCACAAUUGAAUCUGUAAAUAUGGAGAAAACCCAACAUUCCUUGUUUCUGCCAGAAACAGUGUGUCAUACAAAGUAGGUAUAUUCCCUUUUAUUCCGAACACCCAAGUAUAACUUUCAGUAUUAACAAAUUUUGGGGUUCGUAUUGUGGGUUUGUUCUUUCACGUUCAUUCUCAUUUAUAAUGGAAUUACCUCGUUCCAUUUUGGCCAGUGAUAUUGUCGACAUUUAAUAAUUGAACGUGGUUCCAAUCAACACAGCCCAUUGAUGAUUUGAGUAGCUACUCCAAAACCAAAAAUUGUCAUUCAUCAAUUCAUGAUCCCACCAUUCUCAUGUGCAUGCACAUGCAUCAAUUAUAAGCAUUUCUUUGCUUUUUGGUACCCAAGCCACUUCAGGGGGCUUUUAUUAUGUGAGAAUGUGGAUUAUAACCUCCAUCGGAGCGUUAUUUAGUAGUAGGGCGUGGAUAAUCUCCAUUUAGAGAGUUGGAACAUUGAGAACCCAUAUAUCUGUCAUGCUGCAGGCAUGCCACAGAUUAAUACAUACAUGUCAAUUAAUUUCUGGGACUUUAACCCAUAUUAUGGGACUUUAACCCAUAUAAUUUGCUACGCAUUAGGCGUGCAUAAUAUCAAUAUUGACAUGUCAAAGGAUUGUCCUUUCGGGACUUCAAUUCAUAUCAUUUGCUACGCAACAGGCGUGCACCCAUAUUGAUCACUGCUAUACCCAUAUUCUGUUCUUAUGGGACUUUAAUCUGUGCAGUGUAUUAUCAAUGUAUCCAUCUUACAAUCUGUAAAAUUUGCAUUAAUAAUUCAUGGAUACAUACAAGCCAUUCUUUUGGAACAGACUUAUCUCCCAAUUUGGUUACCUUUCAAGAUAAAAUAUCAAAUAGGUAUAUAAGCAUAAAAUAACACAAGUAUUGCUUACAUCCUUAGGUGGGAGAAACUUUUCUCAAGUAUCAUUCAAGCUCAUAUCAGCCCAGUAAAUAUAAUGUAGCGCUUGAUGAUCUAGUUAUAUCCUGCAAGAGCAAAAAUCACAACUCUUUUGCCUCUGUCAAAACAAAUAACCCUCAUAGUUAGGAUUACUUCAUGGAUUCAUUCUUCAUAUGUUCAUUCUAAAGAAAUAAAAUCUCUUAUGAACAGAGAGUUAUAAAAAGAGAAAAAAUGCAAAAAUAAUGUGAUAUUGAUUGCAAGAGAAGGUAAGCAAUCAGGGAAGGAAGCUGGUGGGAGCAGACAAUAAGCUCUCAUAUCUCCUAGUCUAGAAGGACUCCCGGAGAUUAGACCAUAAGAUCGCCUUCACAGUUUCCUGAUGUAGUGGAAACGUGAUCAGGGAUAGUCUUGCUUCCUGAAUGGAUGAUCAGAGAUAGUCUUGCUUCUCAGGCAUAUUGAGUGCUCACUGAUAAGAAAAAUAAGUAGAUAUCUCAUCACUAAGUAUGGAGUAAACUGGAUGUCUUCUGCAAAGGAAAAUUUCGUUUAGUAACACAUUUAUACACAAAUACAAUGAAUAGGUAGAACCGGUAAAUUUCAAAUUAACCAUAGGAAAAUUGCGAGAUUCUCGGGAUACUUUUGAAAAAGUAGCUCCGUGAAAUCCGUAAAGCAAGAUCGGCUUUGAAAAUAAUACUUUGAAAAACGCCGAAAGUGCCGACAUGCAUUAUUAGAGGCCACGUGAAGUUUUGGACUCUGGGAAAGAAAAAGAUAAUAUGGGGAUUCGAGAAGACAUUGGGGUCCUGAAAAGUUGCCACAUUUUCGUCUAUAGAUAUUGCCUUUGCAAACUGCGUUUCAACUCAACUUCCUUCAUUUUCCGAACCUUUAGUUUUUCUAAGACUUUCUUCGAAACCUUCUUAAAAAAAUGGCUUCCUCUUCUUCCUGCCCAAAUUAUUUCAAUUUAAAUGAUGCUCCCACAACAACCAGUGACGCCCAAGUUUGGCGUCCAUCCUUUGUAUCCAAAAAUCGUCAUCUCACAGUUAAUGAUUCUGUGAUGAUGAAUGAUGCUACUGCUGUCAUAGUAGCUAGGAAUUUCAUUACUCCAAUGGAUGAAAUGUUGUUGACAGGGAGAUCAGAGGAAGAGGCUAUUGAUGAAUCAAUGGCUUUUAGCAUUCAGAGUGCUGUUUCUGUUUCUAACAUGGCUGAUCGUUUGCGUGCCAGAGCAAACGAAGUUGAGAAUUUAACAACUGAAAAUUCGUCUCUCCAAAGAAUGCUUCAUGAGUCUCAACAGGAGGUUGAGAAACUUAAAGGAGAGAAUAAUGCCUUGUUGAAACUGGUGAGUUCGUACUCUGUUGAUACAUUGAGAAGGCUAGACAUGCUGCAGGUCUCGAAUGAAAGAAUUUUGGGAGACUAUGAGAAGCUCAUGGCUAAGCUUAAGAGGCGCCGUCAUCUUCCUUCAGAGGCUUCCAGGACAUAAUGUAAUUUUUAUAGAUUUUACAGGGCCUGCACCUUCAUUGCAGGAAAAAAUCUAUCUGUUGUAUGCCCCUUUUCUGUUAUAAUAAUUGCGCAUAUUCUUAAACUUGCACCUGUGGUUUUUACGUCUUUUCAAAAUGACGAUUUGGAACCUUGUGCCUUAUAGGUUCAAAUAACCACAUUGUCUCUCCCAAAUUUCAUAUUUUAUCGCAUGGUAGCCCGGAACUUUUGGCCUGGGCACAAACUCAGAAUUUAUUUGCCCUUUUCAAAUGGACAUGAAAUAUGAAUUGAGUAAAAGCCAUGAUAAUAUCGCAAUAUAGUAGUGAAGAGCAUUAACUACUAUAUACCCACAACUUCAAGUUCAGGAUCUCUCAUAUAUUUGGAUCCAUGGGCUUCCGGCCCAAAUAUAACAAAAUAUGUGGGGAGCCUCAAUUCAUUAUUUGAGGUUUAUAUUAAUAUUAUGCAUUUCGCGGUGUAUUCUUAACAACCGGAAUUCACAAAAUAUAUUUCUUCCUUGAGGUGUCGAUUAUAACAAAAUCGAACUUUAUUAAAUUCAUCAUCUUCUUAUGCCAAAGAAAUAUGUGGCAUACCACAAUUUGCAAUAAUACCUCAAGGGUUGUCCAUUUAAUUGUUGGAACUUCAGGUUCUCAACACUGUUAAAUUUGGAACUUCAGGCCAAAGCCACAUAUUCUCAUGGUAUGGACAUUUUUACAAUUUUCUGUACAUAUUUCGGGACUUCAAGCCCUUACAUAACUGUCCAUAUUUUGAGGAACUUCUGGCAUCUCAUUUAAUUGCUCAUCCAUGAGUUUAAGGAACUGCAGGUUCCCUUUUGUAUAUAGUGACGGUUUACCCAAAAUGGUUAAUAUUUAUGCAUACAUCACUAUUCAUGUGAAUAGUACUAUUCAUCAAGUCAUGAAUACGUAUCUAUUCAUCUGCCAGUACAGUUAUCAUCAAUGUGUACGGCACUAUGAACCAAUACGGUACUGUUACAUCAUUAAGGAACUCUAGGUCCUUAUUUACAUGUCAGGGAUUAAGAACCUUUAAGUCCAAUCACAUGUUUACAAAUACAGUACCGGUGAGACUGCCAGCUCUCAUUUUAAUAUCAUCAUCAAGGAUCUUCAAGUCCUGAUGUAAUUGUAUGAUGAGGAUCAAGGAACUUCUGGUCCUGAUCUGCAUACUGGAAAAACUAAUCAUACAGCACAAUUAAUCCAUAAAAUAAAUUGCUGAUAAAUAAAUUACUGGUAUGGACGAUAAACCCGCACCACACUUUAAAUAAAUGUAAAUGUGCGGUAAAUUAAAUUCAUAAAGUUAAGGUGCUUGUAUGGGCAUUAAUUCUGCUCCAUACAUUUAAAUAAAAGUAAAGGCGUGGACGAUAAACCCGCACCACCCUUUUAAAUAAAUGUAAAUGUGCGGUAAAUUAAAUUCAUAAAUUAAAUUGCUUGCUGUAUGGACGUUAAUCCCGCACCAUACUUUAAAUAAAAUUAAAUGUGCGGUAAAGUAAAUUGUGCUUGUAUGAGCACUAAUUCUGCUCCAUACAUUUAAAUAAAAGCAAUGGCGUGGACGAUAAACCCGCACCACCCUUUUAAAUAAAUACUGUUGUAUGGGUAAUAAACCUACACCAUACAGUAAAUAAAAUAAAUAUGCGGUAAAAUAAAUUUGCGAUAAAGUAAAGGUGCAUGUAUGGGUAAUAAACCUACACCAUACAGUAAAUAAAUGUGGGGUUAAAACCACCACCGAAUAAAAUAAGAAAAAGUUAGUAUUAGUAACGGUCUCCUACUGAUAAUAUGUUUAGUAUUACCAAGGGUCCAUUUUUGUUAGUGGUUAGUAGUAUAGAUAAUAGUGCAGCAUAAAAAUUAUACCUGAGAGCUUCUCGUGCUGAUAACGUGUUAUAAAAAUAACCUGGAAUAUGUACGAAUAUUGAGCUGCACGAAAAGUAGAUGAGACACAACAUUUAACGAGGUUCGGCUAUGCCUACGUCCUCGGAGAGCAACAGCAGUAACUUUUUCACUAUAUGAAAUAAUAGGGCUACAACUUUAGAGUUUACAAUAUGUGAGGCUCACUGAAUUUUCUCUCUCUUUCUUCUUCUCUCUUUUCUUUCUUCUUUUUCUCUUCUUUUCUUUCUUCUUUUCUCUUCUUCUUCUCUCUUCUUUUUCUCUUCUCCCCUUUCUUUCUUUUCUCCGUUGGUCACACUCCCCUUUACAAUUGGUAUGCCUAUUUAUAGGCUAAUGUUUAGGCAAAAUACAGGGAAGGGAAGGUUCCUGGAAGAUGCAAGGAAACUUCCUGAAUUGAUAAAUACAGGGAAGGGAAAGUUCCUGGAAGAUGCAAUGAAACUUCCUCUGUGGGCUCCACCUUCAAACUUUUACAACACUUUGAUAGUUUUGGACAGAUGCAAGCUACUGUUGUUGGGAUGAUCUUUUCACGUGAAAUGAGGAUGACGAUACUUCUACACUACACAAUCCAACGAAUUCACAUUUCUAUUUCAGAUACAUGUAUAAACAGACAAGGCUUUAAAAUAUGGGAUGCUGCACUGUUGUUGCUGCUGCUGACACUGUUACUGUGUUGCUGCUACUGUUACUGCACUGCUGCUUGAAGAAGGACAAGGACUUCACUUGUUGCUUUCGUCCUUUGUGGAGGAGAGAGACCUAGGACUUGCAUGUCUUAGAUAUUUAAGACAAGGGGCUUUCGUGCCAUUUUGAAAAUACUUUGGGUGUUUUUGAAAGCUGCUUGUUUCUUUUGAGUUUCUCACUAAAUUUCGCUUUAGAAGGGAAAAUAAUAAUAAUAUUAAUAGUACAGCACUUAUUAGCAACAGAGUUACAAACUUCUUCUACAACACACACCAACAUGAAUCUAGCCCUGAUCCACUCUUUACAUACUUGAAAACAAAACAAAACACGAAAAACAAAAAACAAGAUAGGGAGAAAAUGGCUACGGAGAGACUUACUGCUAAUAGUUGAUCAAUAACAGAGAUAAUAGCGCACACUAUUUGUAUGACAGUGAGUAUCAGAAGAAUAAUAGCUGCAAAGAGAGAAAUAGCUGCCCAAGGUGUGUUGAAAUACUUUUGUCUCAAAUUUGCCUUCCAUAUGUUCGUGGUCUUCUCUCAGUAACUCGUUUAGUUUGCCAGCAAGAUCACCAAAAUAGUAGUUUCCGUGGUUCAGAGCAACUUUACUGCAAAGCUUGUUAAUCAUAAUGGAAACCUUAUUGUUGUCACCUUGCAUGUUUACAACAAUUCUAUUCUCAACAAGCAACUCUACAUCCUUUGGAGUGUUUACAAAUUUAUCCAGGAUGAAAACAUAAUAGCUUAUGUAUUUAUCCACGCAAUGGCAUUGUUCAAAGGCAAUGAGAUUUCUAAGUGUAAGCUCUGUGUAAUUAUGUAUUUCAAUUUUUGGAAUUUCCAAGGUGUUUUUCUUGAACUGUAUAUCGAAUAAGUUCUUGCUUGAUCCGGCCUGGUGUAGUUUUGUCAUGCUGGGUGUCCUUUGGAGCCCUACAUUUUCUUUUAGGGUCGGAUCUGGCAGAUGUAAAGUUCUAAUAAAAUCAACAAAAUGUAAAGGUUUUUUAGGAUCAGGAGGCAUAAAAGACUUACGGAAGGCUGGUGAGUUCUCCAAGUUUUCUAAACGCAGUGCCUGUUGGAAGAACCUGUAAGAGAGUUCAAUUAUUGAAGGCUCCCCAGUCUGAGCACCUGUGAGAUUGUAAAGAUCCUCGAGAAUGAAAAAUGGCAGCUGAUUUCCAAGCAUAAGCAUGUCAGGCAAUAUAUUUUGUAGCACCCAUGGUUUUUUAAAUAUCCAAGCAUUAUCAUCCUGCAAUUUUUCUUCCUGAAAUUUUUCUUCGGAUUUAUUCCUCAACAAUAGCUCAAUGACAAAGGCGGCAUCAACUCGAAUGAUAUUCACAAAAGCAGCAAUGUUAAACUUCUUAGUGUCUUCAUAAUAAUGACGGAGUUCAACUUCUCUCUCCUUUAUUUUCUCGAAAUAAUCCUUCAAUUUUACAUUAGUCCAAUCAAGAAAACACUUUAGGUACCUGAGUUUGUGAUCUUCCAUGGCUUCUAGGUUUUUGCUGCCAUGGUGAAGUGGGCCUAUUGAGACUACUUGUGGUGUGUAGGCCUUUUGUUUUACGUUCCGUAGUCGCUCAGGCACCCUUUAGAUACAACAGGCAGGGGACAGGGCACGCAAGUUUGUCAACUGAUUUUCCAUGGAAGUUGCUUGGUUUUCUAUGUCAAAAGAAGCUUCAUUGCUGCUUUCUUCCACUUUCUUCCUCCUCAUUAUGUGUUGUUCUGAUUGUAAGUGACGAGGAUGGUGAUGAUUCUAGACAACAUAAUCAACAAAUGUUUCAAUCAUAAUUGACAUUUCAAGAUGCUCCGACAAAGAAUUAGAAAACAUUCAUCACAAAAUGCGAACUCAUACAAUAGAUGGGUUGAUGAUAUAACCAUUAUUUCGUACAUUUUUAUUAUCUUUCUCUUAGAUUCUUGCUAUGGUUCUUGAGUGAGUUUAGUCCAUUUUUACUUAGUUUUGUGUUUUACUAGGUUUGAAGAGUAAAGAUGGAAAAGCAAGCAAAAGGUGCAAUUUUGGUAUUGAAAUAUAAUGUGAAAUCCUAGGAGCAGAAUGUGUUGUGCGGAUCGGACAACUUUACAGAACAUACUGUACUUCCUCAGAGCGAACCAGAUGUUGAACCUUAUAUCAUUGGAAAGAUACGGAUGUUCGCCUUCUGUAGAAUUUCGCGGUUCAUGAUUCGGACGUGUGUGGAGAGAGUUGUGGCCAUUUUAGUACGGACAGUUCGGGCAGAAUGUGUUCUGCGGGUUUUGCAAAAUAAUCCAUUUGAAGUCCAAUCCUUGGAGUUUAAUUUGUGUCAAUUACAUUUGGGAAGUGUCUACAAGGAUGUGGAGUUAUUUUCUGAAGUCUGACCCUUUAUUUAGUAGGAUUAUGGAUGCCAACUCAUCAAAGACAAUGAAGCCAAACUAGGAAAACAUAGUUACCAAGUCAAAAGAGGAUUUGUUCCUUAUUUAAAGAAGACCAGAAAAUAGGGUUCUCUCAUGCUGGAAUUUGAAGGAGAGUUAAAGAGCCGCUGCCAUCGUCAAGUUCUCAAGCAUCGUCAUAAUCCAUAAGUUCUAUUUUAUGUUUUCUAGUUUUUCAAUUAUGUUUUCUUUGAACAUGAGUAACUAAAUCAUUCUCUAGGGCAAGGAUGACGCCCGAGCAUGGAUAGUUAUGAUUUUUAAUGCUAUUUAAUGAAUUCCAAGUUUCUUUUAGAUGAAUGUUUAAUCACUAUUUUAAUUGUUGCUAUUUGUUUAAGUUCUUUGAUUGAUCACCUUAUGACAUGACCCGCCCCGAAUUUUUCGAAACACGAGACGAAUCUUGUGGAAUUCCCGACCACACCCCAAUGCCGGGCCCACUUACUAAAGACCGGGACUUUCUGCCGAAAUUUCGGCAGAGUCUCUCCUGUAAAUUGAACAUUUCCCACAAUUUCAACCUGCAUAAAACACAUUUUAUAUUACCCAACUGGCAGCAUGCACAAUGUAAUAACAUGCAAUUCACAUAAACGGCCUUUCGACCUUCCGAUAAUCCACAACAAACCACCAAGCACGCUAUCAAAUCAAUUCAUACCUUAAACAAGGCAAACAAUAAAUUCAAUCACACUUAAGAAUGUCAAAGCAAUCCACUACAUUUAAUUUUUCUCAACACCCAACAUACGAGGUUUUAACAUCCUAACACAAUCACAUCUAUGUCUGCGGUUGCACCUAAUAACCUUAGGCUGCCUAUGUACCCUCACUGAGAGAUCAAGCCACACGUAGUUCUUCCUACUAAAUUCCGAUUUCCAAACACAUACAAUACCUUUAAUCAUCUCUAUGAUAAUCACAUACUCUCCCCACACGCCGGAAAUUCCAACGCCACGUAUGGGGUCUGUCAUCACGCCGAAAAAUCCUACGCCUCGUGUGACCUAACCAUCAUAUCAUCUCCCCAUACGCCGAAAAUUAUAACGCCACGUACGGGGUCUGUCAUCCUGCCGGAAAAUCCUACGCCAUGGGUGACCUGACAAUCACAUAAUCUCCCCAUAUGCCAGAAAUUCCAACGCCACGUAUGGAGUCUGUCUCAACGCCGGAAAAUCCUACGCCACGCGAGACCUAACAAUCACAUAAUCUCCCCAUAUGCCAGAAAUUCCAACGCCACAUAUGGGGUCUGUCAGCACGCCGGAUAACCUACACCACGUAGGACCUAACAAUCAUAGCAUUUCCCCGUAUGCCAGAAAUUCCAACGCCACGUAUGGGGUUUGUCCUCAUGCCGGAUAACUUACGCCACGUGGGACCUAACAAUCACAUAAUCUUCCCAUAUGCCGGAAAUUCAACACCUCAUAUGGGGUCUGUCAGCACGCUGGAUAACCUACGCCACGUGUGACCUAACAAUCAUAGCAUAUCUCCAUACGCUGGAAAUUUCAACGCCACGUAUGGGGUCUGUCAUCAUGUUGGAUAACCUACGCCACGUAGGACCUAACAAUCACAAGGUGGUACUUAGGGUAGUGCGUAUAGCACUGACAGAAAAUCACAAAAGUAUCUUUCCUAUUCUAGAGAUUGGUCACAUGUAGUCCAACCAAUAGGAAAUGAGAUAUUUAAGAAAUGAAGAGUUUGAUCAAUAUCAAUAUCAAAUGAAUUCUUAUACGCCUAGUCAACUAUUAAGCGUAUCUUGACUUCUUGAUAUUGUGAUAUGAUUGAAACAUGAUUUCCAUGUUAGAAAAUUAAAGGGAUGUUAAAACAUGAAAGUAAUAGGAGAAUCAAAUUGAUUUGGGCCAAAAUUGCCUAAAAAGAAAACACUUCUAAAUACACUCAAUUCACUUUUAAAAACAGUAAAACAUGAUUGAAUCGUUCUUUAAAACAAUUCCCUAAUAUACAUGCAUGAUAAUGACAUCACUUACCUCUGAACCAAAUGCCUUUCACGGGUCAAGCCACAAGUCUGUGUUUUGGGGAUUGCUAAGCUGCAUCAAUCCUGCCAAUGUCAGUUCUGCCCCUAUGCUCUCUCAAAGCAUGUUUACAACCUAUGCUAACAUAUACUAGAGUUUAUGCUAGUAUCGAGAAAAUGCAAACACUAAUUUUGUAACACGUAGAAUUGUUAGAGAUUGGAAGUUUUUAUCAUUUUUUUCUUCCAGUCUCUCCACCACUCACUAAUACAGAUUACUCAUGUGAUAAAUUUACAAAACCUAUUUCUCUACUCUCACAAAGACUAUACUUCUUCUCAAAAGACUAUAUCACUUUACCUCUAUCUCUGUGAAAUGUAAAAAGUUGAAACUUUAAUGUCAAACCUCGACAAAAGAUGAAUUUCCAUCAGUUACGUUGAAUUUGGAUUUGUUGAACUUAAGCGAUUUUACUUUCUCUGUUAGUAUUUGAUGACUUAAUUUGGUAUUUACUUCUUCUUCUUUUUUUCCUUGGAAAUGUGUUCCACCAACGUGAGGAAGAAAAAUAUGCACAAAAUAAUAUAUUUAAUAGAAGCCCAAGAUUUCGGAAGCACAUAAUUUUUUCAAAAAUCUACAAAGUGUUCUACUUUACAAACUUCUUAUGUCUACCAAUUUCUACUAAAAUUAAUUUCUUUGCGGUGCUCAGAUUCAUCAUGUGUGUGUCCUCAAUUUUAGUGGAAAUUGGAAGUUUCCAUCAUUUUUGUUUUCUGGGAAUUUUCUGAACCAAGGAAAAUCAAGCAAAAUUAAUAAAGCAUAAAAUGAAAAGGGAAAAUAUCUAGAGGAUGCAUUGUAGGAUUGCUCAUGCCAAUAAUUGUACCCUCUAAAUAUAUUGGGACAUAUUUUUUUUUGUUUUCAUGACAUAUGGUCCUAAAAUUAUUGUUCCUAGCGGGCUCUCCACCCCUCUCAAUUGAAAACCUAUUGUGUAAAUCUUCAAUCCUGAACGAUGAACGAUGCACCUAAAACACAUGUUGCAAUACACAUCCACCCAUUCUCAGGCCAAUUAUUGUUCCUAGCGGGCUCUCCACCCCCUCUCAAAUUUAAGUGGUCCAUUAUGAUUAAUCAUGUAUUUUAUGGACCAUCCAGCUGUGAGGUUUUAUCUCAAAAACCUUCGGUACCUUUCUCCCACAUGCCACAAUGGUAUAUUCACAAUUACGUCUGAUACCUCACAUCAUGCCACUUGCCUCAAUUGAAUUUAAGUGGGUGGAGUGUUACUUCUGGGUACCCCUCAUCAUUCGUCUAUAAAAUGGUGAAGCCAGUUGCUACUGUUACCAUAAGAGCCAGCUCCGACUUUCUUUAAUUUCUUGUUUCGUAUCCACUAGCUACAUCUGUUGCCAAGUUAAUUUCAGUCCUAAUGGGGUUUCAUCUCCCACUCAUCUUUGCUAUUCUCAGUGUAAGCUCUGCAAUUUGAUUAAGAUUUCCAUUCUCUCUCAUUGUACUCUAUAUAAACGAAAGUUUUGUGUUCCUACAAUUCUCUCCGAUUUUAUUUAGUAUGUACUUAAGUGUCGUACGUCCACUAAUUAAUUACACUUUGUGAGAUUUGAUUUUAAUUAGAGUUCGAAUUAAUGUUGCAGCUAGCAGCAGUGGGAAACCAUGCUGCUCAACCAGCACCUCAACUUUACUGGAACUCCGUCCUGCCAAACACACAGAUGCCAAGAUCUAUCAGUGUACUUCUGCAUCCUGGUUUGUGUUGAGCACUUUAGAAUCUUAGAUAUCUUUUCUACCUGCCAUUUUACUAAAAUUUGUUCGACCACAUAUUUAUCAGUUAACUACUGUCAUUACAAAUCGGCUGAUCACUUAUUUUGCAUUAUGACGUUGAUAUAUAAUUUGCAGACUCCACAAAUGAAGAAAAGAGCACAUAUAUGAAUGCUGUUGGGAAUGGAAAGGGCAAACCUGAAAUUUUCCCAUUGGGCAUUAGACGUUACGUUCAAAAACGGUAUGGAGGGGGCAUUAGACGUUACAAUCAAGAACGGUAUGGAAAAGGUCCUCCUCCAUCUGACAAUCAACUACUCCAUUAUAAAGACUUGGCUAUUUUCUUCUUCGAGAAGGACAUGCGCCCUGGCGCAACAAUGAAGUUCCAAUUCCCUAGAAAUUCAAACACGGCUACUUUCCUGCCACGCGAAAGUGCUCAAUCGAUCCCCUUCUCCUCUAACAAACUAUCAGAAAUUUUCAACCAUUUUUCAGUGAAGCCAACAUCUGUGGAAGCCAAAACAAUUAAGCAAACAAUCCAAGAGUGUGAAGCUCCAGGCCUUAAGGGAGAGGAAAAAUAUUGCGCCACAUCUUUAGAAUCAAUGGUUGAUUUUAGCACUUCGAAGCUUGGAACAAGAAACGUUGAAGCAAUCUCGACGGAGGUAUUGGAAAGAGGAGCCACCAUGUCCAUGCACAACUAUACAACAAUGCCGGGACUGAAGAAGUUGGCAGGUGACAAAGUCGUUGUGUGUCAUAAGGAGAACUAUCCCUAUGCUGUGUUUUUCUGCCAUGCAAUAAAACAAACAGCAGCAUAUGUUCUCUCCCUGAAAGGCGAUGAUGGGGAGAAGGUUAAAGCAGUAACCAUCUGCCAUCUAGACACAUCAGAAUGGAACCCAGAGCAUUUGUCCUUCCAAAUCCUCAACGUUAAGCCCGGAACAAUUCCCAUCUGCCAUUUCAUUUCCACUGAUGGUAUUGUCUGGGUUCCAAAACACAAAUCUGCAUGAUCAUCACUUAGCACUGUACGUAUAAUAAGCUUGGUUGGGUUGCACCCUAGGCCUGUAUAAUUAACUCCCUACUUAUUUCUGCCUCUUUAGCACUGUACAUAUAUAGACUUCAACUUGUACUCGUAUAGCAUGCUGGAAAAAAAAAGGACCAAUAGGGAGAAAAUGGUGAACUAAGGAGAGACUAAUACUUCUGGUUCUUAGAAGGCAUAACAGAAAUAAUAGAGCACACUGCUUGAAUGCAAGUCAAUAUUGUUAGAAAAUUAGGAGAUUUACUUCCUAAUAUAUUAUGAUUCUAUUUAUUUCCUUUUGUAUUGAUAUUAUGUAAUUAGGACUUUAUCUUAGUUUCCUAGUAUAACCCUACUAGGGUUUGUACUCUUGUAUUAUAAAUACCUCCUUUUGGAGAAUGAAGUAUAAUCUGAAAAUAUUCUAUCCACUUUGUUUGACAUGGUAUCAGAGCAAACUUUUCUAGUGACCUGUGUGUUGUGCCAACCCGUAUUCUAGCCCCAUAUUUUUUCUCUACCUAUGCCGUGUGUGCCCCCCCUCUGGGUUUGUGGGUUGUGUUGUCGUGUUGGUGUCAUUCCUAUCUUCGUGCAUCUGCCGUAUUUGAGCCUUUGCUGUGUUCCGCUGUGUACUCUGUUGUGUUCAUACCUCUAUUGUGUUCGUGCCUGUCUUCGUGCAUCUGCUGUAUUUGUGUCUCUAUUGUGUUCCAUUGUACAAUCUGCCGUGAUCUGUUGAAUUUAUGAUGUAAUCAUAGGUGAUAACUCAUUUGUUGGUGUUGUUGUUGCUGUUUCUGGAAAUUUAUGUGAUUCAGACUCUAUUCCAUUUACUGGCUACAAUACUUAGAUAAUUGAUACUGGUACUUAUGAUCAUAUUGACAGGACUCGCCCCGAAUUUCCUGAAACCCGAGACGAAUUCUGUGGAAAUUCCUGACAUCACCCCGAUGUCGGGCCCACUUCUAAAACUAUAUCCUUUUUCCCCAAAAGGAAUAAAGGCAUAAGACUUUCUACCGAAAUUUCGGUAGAGUCUCCUAUGUAAAUUGAACAUUGCCCAAAAUUUUAACCUGCAUAAAACACAUUUUAUAUUACCCAACUGGCAGCAUGCAUAAAGUAAUAACAUGCAAUUCACAUAAACGGCCUUCGGCCUUCCGAUAAUUGGCAACAAACCACCAAGUACGCUAUCAAAUCAAUUUAUACCUUAAACAAGGCAAACAAUAAAUUCAAUCACACUUAAGAAUGUCAAAGCAAUCCACUACAUUUAAUUUUCUCAACAGCCAACAUACGAGGUUUUAACCUCCUAACACAAACACACUUCGUUCUCACUCAAAUAGCAGGACCAACUUCAAGGUCCGCAUCAUACUCAAUAAUACACAAGUAAAGUUUAAACCGCGGCUGCACCUAGGCACUACCCUAGGCUGCCUACGUACCCUUAUUGAGGGAUCAAGCCACACGUAGUUCUUCCUACUAAAUCCUGAUUUCCAAACACAUACAAUAAUACCUUUAUUCAUCUCUCUGUUAAUCACAUAAUCUUCCCAUACGCCGGAAAUUCCAACUCUACGUAUGGGGUCUGUCAUCACGCCGGAAAAUCCUACGCCACGUGUGACCUAACCAUCAUAUCAUCUCCCUAUACGUCAGAAAUUCCAACACCACGUAUGAGGUCUGUCAUCCAGUCGGAAAAUCCUACGCCACGGGUGACUUGACAAUCACAUAAUCUCUCCAUACACCAGAAAUUCCAACGCCACAUAUAGGGUCUGUCUCAAUGUCGGAAAAUCCUAUGCCACGCGAGACCUAACAAUCACAUAAUCUCCCCAUACGCUGGAAAUUCCAACGCCACGAAUGGAGUCUGUCUCAACGCUGGAAAAUCCUAUGCCACUCGAGACCUAACAAUCACAUAAUCUCCCCAUAUGCCGGAAAUUCCAACGCUACAUAUGGGGUCUGUCAGCAUGCCGGAUAACCUACGCCACGUGUGACUUAACAAUGAUAACAUCUCCCCAUACGCCGGAAAUUCCAACGCCACGUAUGAGGUCUGUCCUCACGCCGGAUAACCUACACCAUAUGGAACCUAACAAUCAUAGGGUGGUACUUAGGGUAGUGCGUAUAGCACUUCAAACCGACAUUCAAAACUCUAUUUAUACCUUUAUAAAUUUAUAUAAAAAUAUAUAUAUUAAGUUCUAAAGUUGUAUAAGCCUCAACCACAAUCUAGCAUCCGAUAAUCCCCCCCAAUUUAAAACAAUAAAUUAAUAUCAUAAACCCACAUAAUCAACAUAACUUAACAACGCUCAAGACCUGUCACUAGUGUCAUUGUAAUCCUCCUAGGAAGGUAAAACUACUUCGGAAGAGUCACGGUCAACUAAGGGUCAAACUACCCAAACUUGGUCAAAUGGGCCCACGGGCCCCACGACCUUCAAAUUCCGAUUCCAACCUACCGAAAUUUCUUAUGGGUUCUACAAGGUUUAGGACACUCGUCUUGCAAGUUUGGUCCAGAUCAGACGGUCGGAUCGCUCACGAUCGCACGAUCGGACGGUUACUAUAAACCUAGCCCUAGGGUUGGUAUUUUCGGAGUAUCCAGGACUCCGUUUUACGAUCCGUCGAAUCCUAUACGAUCUUGAGGAUGUCCAAACUAACAUAUAAUAAAUCUAUGACUAUCCAACGGCUCAAACCUAUUGAACCCAGAUAACGCACAAUAUGCGAAAUCUGUUCAAUAGUCAAACGACGUCCGAAUUGAGAUCCGCGAAAACCUACGCACUCGUGACAACUUGAGGACCUCAUUAGGACAAACUGUAGCUUCACCACCUUUGUCCACGCGCCUGCAGCGCAUGGGUGUGUAGAGUAAAUUCCGAUGAUGGAAAAACUCUACACCACCGCUCACCCUUCCUAUCCUAAAUACUACUCGAGGCAAGGAUCACUUCAUUCAACUACGGGGAGGUCCCAUUUGGACGGCAACUGGCCCAAAUUUCACUUUGAAAUCCGGCCAAAACCUAGGUUUUCAAAUCGGUUUUCUAGACAUCAAAUCGAUCCAAUCCUAUCCCAUAGACAGCUAGAGCUCAGAAAAUAGAUGACAAACCAUACCUCACCCGACGGAAUUGGUGGCUGGAGGAGAAAGAUUGAGCGAUGAGAAGUUCUGUCAAAACCGACUCGUUUUCGACUGAUUCCAGCGAGCACAGUUGACGAUGAUGGCUAAGACUAGUCGGGAAAAGACAAGGGAGAGGUGGUGAUUCGAACGGGACCGGUCUCGAGGCCAGUCGUUGACUGUGGAGGCUGCAAUAGCCUUGAAGGGUGGCGGCUGUAAAAACGAAGGGGAGGGGGGCUGUUCACGAUGGAGGAGAGAGAGAGAUAGAUAGAUAGAUAGAGAAAAAUCUGAAUUUUAUAAAAAUUCCAUUUUGAAAUAAUUACGAUUGUGCCACUGAGUUUCUUUUGACCGUAACUUCCUCGUUACAACUCCAAAUCAAGCCCACUAUGUAUCUAUGAACUCAUCUCGUCGAGCUCUACGCAACGGUAGAGCUGAAAUUCUCAAAUUUCUUCCUGAUCAAAAAGUCAACUUUAAACCCAAUAAAAUAUUCUAUGGGUAUAAUGGUCUUUUAUCUACAUAAAUUAAUAAUUUCCAAUUUAUUUAGGACCGGGUCGUUACACAUAUGACUUAUGAUGCUAUAUUUUUUUAUGAGUUGUCUAGUAAUACUCGUGACCCAUACAUAACUAGUGCUAAUGGCUUGCCCUAUCCAAUUACUGGCGAGGGCAUAAUCUCUCACUCCUACUCUGUCCUUGUCUCGUGUGUUACUCGUUCCCAAUAUCCAUUGUAACUUGUUGUUUGUUGGCCGAUUACUUGAUACACUUAAUGCUUAUGCUACUUUCUAUCCUACACAUUGCUCUUUUCAGGAUCUCAAGACUUGCGAGACGAUUGGGCAUAGUAAACGGAUAGGGGGCUUAUAUUAUUUGACAUUGUCUUCUGCACCAAUUCGUGGUUGUGUCAUUCAUACUGUUCAAAGUUGUAGUGUCAAGGACAAAUAACAAAUUUGGUUAUGGCAUCGUCGCUUGGGACACUCGUCGUUCGGCUAUCUUAAGCGUCUGUUUCCAUCUUUAUUCCGCUCUUGUGACGAGUCCAGUUUUAAGUGUGAGACAUGUAUUUUGGCCAAGAGUCAUCGCACUGUGUUUCUUUUAAGUGACAGUAAAGCUGCAAAACCUUUUGAUUUAGUAUAUUCGGAUGUAUAGGGACCUGCUCGUGUGACUUCUAAUGGUUUCUAUUGGUCUAUUACUUUUAUUGAUGACUGCACUCUCCCCAUAGUCCGGAAUUACCAACGCCACGUAUGGAGCCUGUACGCACGCCGAAAAAUCCUACGCCACGUGGGACCUCAUCAUCAUAUCACAUAGUCUCCCCAUACGCCGGAACUACUAAAGCCACGUAUGGGAUUCGUCUCAACGCCGGAAAAUCCUACGCCACGUGAGACCUUACAAUCACAGGAUGGUACUUACACAAUGUAAUCAAACCAUCUUUAUCUCUUUAAUAUAUAUAUAUAUAUUCCCAAUUUCCCCAAGUUUAAAACAAUAAACUAGUUCCUUAAACCCACUAAUUAACAUAACUCAACUAAUGAUCAAGACCUAUUGAAAGGACUCGCCCCGAAUUUUCUCAAAACCUGAGACGAACCCUUUGGAAGUCCUGACAUCACCUCGAUGCCAGGCCCACUUACUAAAAACCGAGACUUCCUGCCGAAAUUUCGGCAGAGUCUCCCCUAUAAUUUGGACAUUUUCCAAAAUUUAUACCUGCAUGAAAAUGCAUUUAAUAUUCCCAAUUGGCAGCAUGCACAAUAUAAUUUCAUGCAAUUCACAUAAAUGGCCUUCGGCUUUCCAAUAAUUCUUAACCAGUUACCAAACAAUUCAAAUACCAAUUAUGACUAACAUUUAGUCUACGGCUGCGCCUAAUAACCUUAGGCUGCCUACGUACCCUCCUUGAGGGAUCAAGCCACACGUAGUUCUUCCAUAAAACUCAAUUCCACACAUAGGUGAUACCUUAUUUCAUCUCUCUGUAUUUCACAUAAUCUCCCCAUACGCCGGUACAACCAACGCCACGUAUAGGGCCUGUCAACACGCCGGAUAACCUACGCCACGUGCGACCAUGCCAUACUAUCAUCAUAUCUCCCCAUACGCCGGUACAACCAAUACCACGUAUGGGGUCUGUCUCAACGCCGGAUAACCUACGCCACGCGAGACCUGCACAUCAUAUCACAUAACUCCCCAUACGCCGGUACAACCAACGCCACGUAUGGGGCCUGUCCCAACGCCGGAUAACCUACGCCACGCGGGACCUCAACAUCAUAUCACAAAUCUCCCUAUACGCCGGUACAACCAACGCCACGUAUGGGGUCUGUCGACACGCCGGAUAACCUACGCCACGUGCGACCUCAACACAAUAUCACAAUAGCUCCCCAUACGCCGGUACAACCAACGCCACGUAUGGGGCCUGUCUCAACGCCGGAUAACCUACGCCACGUGAGACCUAACUUUCACUUGGUGGUGCUUGUAGUGAAUCCAACAUCCAGGGAGGUACCUAAAGUAGUGCGUAUAGCACUCCAAACUGACAUUCUAGACUCUGUUGUACCCAUGUACAACCAUAUAUAAUUAUAGUUAUAUAAAUUAAUUCUAAUAUUGUGUAACCUUCCACAUUCAUCUAGCACCCGAUAAUCCCCCUUAGAAAGGUGAGAUUACUCCGGGAGACUCACGGUCAACCAAGGGUCAAACUACUCUAACUCUGGUCAACCGGACCUGCAGAACCCACGACCCCCAAUUUCCGAUCCGAAAGUCUCUAUGGGUUCUACCAGGUAUAGGACACUUGUCCUGCAAGUUUGGUUCAGAUCGGACGGUCGAAUUUCUCACGAUCGCACGAUCUGACAAUUAAUAUAAAAUAUAAACUUUAAAAUUAUUAAUCGAAACAUCCGGGGCUCCGAUUCACGAUCCGUGAAUUCCUACACGAUCCUAGAAUUACCUAGAUUAACAUAUAUUAAAUUUGGGACCAUCCGACGGUCCCAACCUGUCGAACCCGGAUAACGUACAAUAUACGAUCGUCCGUUCGAUAGUCAAACGACGUCCGAAUUGAGAUCCGCGAAAUCCUAUGCACUCGUGACAACCUAAGGAUCUCAUCGGAAUACAGUGCUACUUUUUCUACAGUGCCCAAAGCGAUAACGCUUCGCCGGAAAAUCUCAACAUCACGGCUCCAAAAUUCCUACUCUAGGUAUAACACCCUAUUUGGAGCCACUUUUGUUCUUGGACCUACCCCAAAAAGUGGCCGAAAAUGGCCGAUCACGGCAGCCGAAGUUUCGGCCGAUUUUCAAUUCGAAAAUCGAGUUGUCUACGCUAAGAAUCGAUCUAAUCCUACCCAACCAUCAGCUAGAGUAGCUCGAGAGGUUCAAAAUCCAUACCUGGGUCGACGGAAUUGGUGGCCGGAGGAGGGAGAUCGGCGGCUUUGAAGUUUGGACGACGUCGGCCGCUUCAUCUCCAGAUUCCGGCGAAUCCGCGGCGGCUGGCGGCGGGAGGUGGCUGGGGUAGGAAGAGGACGACGGCCCGGUCAUUUUGGUACCGGUCCCGUCGUCAUUGGUGGCCGGAGGAGAGCACGGCCGGCCAAAACGUGGCCGGCGGUCGUCGCGCGCGAGAGAGGAGAGAGAGAGAUCGCGCGGAGGAGAGAGAGAGAGAGAGAGAGAGAGAGAGAGAGAAAACCAGAUUUUUAUAAAAAAAAGUCCCAUUUUGAAAUAUUUACGAUGUGCCACUGGGCUUCUUUUGACCAUAUCUCUCUCGUUACAACUCCGAUUCAAGCCCACUACGUGUCUAUGAACUCGUCUCAGUACGACCUAUCCAAAAAUACAAGUCACGGUCCCAAACUCUCUCCGGUUAAAAAUAUGACUAAAAUACCCUUAAAUAAUGAAAUAAUUAAAUAAGGGUUAAAUUUGGGGUCGGGGUGUUACAUCUAUCACCAGGAUCAUUAUAAUCCUCCGAGGGAGGUGAAACUACCUCGGAAGACUCACGGUCAACCAAGGGUCAAACUACCCAAAUUUAGUCAAACGGGCCCACGAGACCCGCGACCUCCCGAUCUGAAAGUUCCUAUGUGUUCUACAAGGUUUAGGACACUCGUCAUGCAAGUUUGGUCCAGAUCGGACGAUCAGAUAGCUCACGAUCGGACGGUUAUUAUAAACAUAAACUUUAAGUUAUUAAAUCGGAACAUCCGGGGCAAAGAUUCACGAUCCGUGAAUUCCUACACGAUCCUAGAAUUGCCUAGAUUAACAUAUAUUAAUUUUAAGACUAUCCAACGGUCUGAACAUGUCAAACCCGGAUAACGCCUAAUAUGCGAUAUGCGAUAUCCGAUCGAUGAUCAAACAAUAAUCAAAUUCAAAUUCGAGCAUACCGUCACGCUCGAGACGACGAGAGGGUUAUUUUAGAACUCUAAGACAAGCCACCACAUGGCCCACGCGCUGACAGCGCGUGGUUGUCUAGAGAAAUUUCCAGCGGCGGGAAAAACUCCAAACCGCCAGCCAAGACUCCCAGGUUAGGUAAAUCACAUGUAGUGGAACAACUUUUGUUCUUGGACCUACCCCAAAAAGUCGACGGAAGUGGCCGUCGGAGGCCGAAACUGGCCUAAACUUCUAUCGCUUAAUUGACAACCAAAAUGCAGCAAUUGAUCCUAAAUAACCCAACCAGCAGCUAGAUCAGAUUGAGGGGAUGGAAAAGCAUACCUAGAUCGCAUGAUUUGGUUACCGAAAACGUCCGAACGAGCUUCCGAAAAAUCCGCAAAAAACCUUUCGGAUUUCUGCAAUUUCCGGCCAGCACCAGCAGUUCCAGCAGCUGAGGUUGGUCGGAAAAGGAAGAGGAGGUGGCAGCGGUUUGAACAGGUCCGGCCUCGUUGCCGGUGGUGAUCCGUGGUGGCAACUGUGGCUCUUGGAAGCCACGGCUGUGCAGAAAAAUGAAGGGGGAGGGGGCUGCGCGCGUGGGGAGAGAGAGAAAGUGAGAGAGAAUCAGAUUUAUCAAACCUUUUUUUGCCAAAAGUACGAGUAUGCCACUAAGGGUAAUUUGAUCGUAUCUUCUUCGUUACAACUCCGAUUCGAGCCCAUUACGUGUCUACGAACUCAUCUCGCUGUGCUUUACACAACGGUACGGUUGAAAUUCCCAAAUUCCUUCCCAGUCAAAAAGUCAACUUUAAACCUAAUAAAAUAUUCUAUGGGCAAAAUGGUAUUUUCUCUGAAUAAAUUAGUGUUUACUAAUUUAUUUAGGACCGGGUCGUUACAAUACCCAAAAAUUUCCUGUGUCAGAAUCAACACAUGGCAGCAGAGAAAGAAAGGGGAAUAGGACAAAAUAGUUGGUUAUCCAGCUGGAAAUCCUACAGAGCAAGGAUGACUAGUUAUACGAGAAACAGAUGACUAGUCAUCAUUUUAUGAAAUCAAUUUAAUGCAAUGUGAUGGAAUGCACAAUUUACCUUUGUCAAUUUGCUUGAACCUCUAUACGAUAGUUGUUAGUUAAGAACACCUAGAGAAACUAUUCUUAAUCUAAACUUGAGCUUGAUAAAAAUAAUAAAAAUCUUAUUACAAGAUUAUCAAGGAAAGUGUUGUGUCUACCCAAGUGCAAGUAGUCACACGUAGUAAUAAUCUUGGAAGUCCAAGUAUCGUAUCCUCAAGGAGCAGGUAGGCAAAUAUCUGCACACAAAGAAAUAAUUAAACAUACCACAAUAAAAGUGACAAGCAAAAUGGAAAAGUUAUUUAUUUGAUUGUUGUGAAAAUUGAAUUUAAAAAUGAAAUAUCAAUAAUGGAAAUGCUAAGGCAUCAAGGUUCAAUUCUUUAAACAAAAUAUGUUUCAUGCUCUUUACUCCAGAUUAUAACUCGAUUAAAAUCAUCAUCGAGAAACUUUAACCGGAAGAUAAAGAAAUUAAAACCAAUUUAAUUUUUCAAUGUAAUCUUUUAUUAAUGAUUGUUCAGAAAAUGGAAUUGCUUAAUAUCUACUCUUUUAAUUUAAAAGCAUGCCAAGUCAGUUCUUAACAAUGAGAAAAAUAAAAUUGAACUCAUGAAAAGGUAAUAGCACUUAACAUCAAUCAAAAUAAAAGGAUAUGAAAAUAUUGAACAACCAAAAAUAAAAGAAUUUAGCAAUUCAUACCGUAUAUUGGAUUAAAGAACAAUUCACAAACUUACUUAAAGAACAUUCCCUUUAGCCUUAGCUAGAGUUCUAGCAACUCAAUUACAAAGGAAAACAUAAACUAAAUGGAUAAAGAAAUCAGUCAUAGUGGUGCCCUUGCCAAAGAAGUUGAUGGGUAAUUUAUAGUGAAUGAGGUGAGUGGGAAGUUAAUACAUGGGUAAUGAAGGGUUUAAGUAAGGGAUUAAUUGGAUUAAACAUUGGUUGAUGGUGGAGAGUUAGUGGAAAAGAAAUAACGGUGAGGUAAAUAGGCGUUAAAUGGCUAUGAAUGACAUGAAAUAGGCUCUUUAGCUUCAACGGUUGUGUCUUCUCUUCUCCCUCUUUACUUCUCUUUAUAAUCACAAUAAUCCAACAAUCAAUUCUUCAAUAAAAUCCGCCAGCAAUUCUCUUCACACCUAGCUUGAACUUGGACAAAUGUAUGUCUUCAUCUUUUGGCUUUCUAACUUCCUACCGAAGAUAAAUUCACCUAAUAAGUUCACCAAAUUAAUAUAGAAAAUUCAUAAAUCCAGUUGAUGAGAAUAAAAUGUAACAAUAAGUGAAAUUAUAUUUAUUAAGUCAAAAUUAUAUCAUAAAGUCUCCAAAAUAAUAUUAAAAAUAUAUAAUUUAAGACUCUCAUCACAAAGCCAAAAGAAAAACUCAAAAUGCAUACAUUAACAGUUUUGCCAUAUUGAAUUAAUGUCUUCUAGCUAUGUACCUUAUCUUUUUGCCGGGCCAUGAGUUGAAUGUAGAGGCAGAGCAUGGACUUGGGUCAAGUUUGACUUGUAAAAUAAUUAGGAAUUGAAUGGCUCCUACGUUCAAUUAUUUUAUUAUUAUUAUUAUUUUUUGUCCGAGCCAUUCAAUUCCUAAUUAUUUAGAUUUUUGAUCUAGUUAGCAUCCACAAUCAUGCUCUCUAUUUUUUUUUUUUGGUCAUAAAUGCCAUAACUCUUUUUUUAUUGGUCCAUCUCUAUUAAAAAAUAAAAUAAAAAAUAGUUAGCAUUAAAUAAAGGUUUGAAAUUCUCAUUAAAUAAAGCAGCAUUAAAUUAUAGGGAGCAACUAGGAGUCAUUUCUCUCUCCUCAAGUUUAGGAGCUCCUACAGGUCUCCCUAUUUUAGGAGGUAGAUAGGGAGCAUUGUUGGAGUUGUAUUUUUACAAUUUCUCCCUAAAAUUUGUCUAAGGAUGUGGUUUAGGGAGCCCAUUGUGGAUGCUCUCAUCUCAAGGAAAGAAAACCCCAAGUUUGCAAGUAAUUUUUCUACGUAUGUAUAUAUGAAAAACUGACAUUUAUGAAAAUAAUAAACCCAUAUUUUUAUGUAAGCCAACUUUCUAAAUUCAUGUACUGAUAUUUAUUAGGGAAAUAUUGGAGAAACUGAUUAUUUUGAAAAAUUAAAUGUGAAAAACUGAACAAAAUUUUGACGGGUUACAUAUGUCAACUCAUUCAGCAGCUUAGGUUGUGAAGACCUAAGCAACAACCCUAGUGCACUGUCGAUCACUUCAGUGUCUACCGAUUUUCCUUUCCAUAUUGUUAGAUUAUUCCCUGCUGUAACACUUGCAUUUAGAAAAUAAUAGUACAGCUCUUAUUAGCAACAGUUUUACACACUUGCAUGAAUCUCACUAUGUUAAAGCAAUCACAUAGCACACCUUUAUUGAAAACAAAGCUAGCCCUGAUCCACUCCUUUACAUACUUAAAAACAAAACAAAACGAAAAAAAGAUAGGGAGAAAAUGGCUACGGACUUACUGCCGACAAAAAGAGAUAAUAGCGAACACUGUUUGUAUGACAGUGAGUAUGAGAAGAGUAACCGCUGCAAAGAGAGAAAAAGCUGCCCAGGCCCAGGGUGAGUUGAAAUACUUUUGGCUCAAAUAUGCCAACCAUCUGUUCCUGCACUUCUUGCAGUACUUGUUUAGAUUGUCAGCAAGACCACCAAAAUAGAAAUUUUGCUGGUCCGGAGCAACCCCCUUGCAAAGUUGGUUAAUCAUAGUAGAAACCUUAUUGUUGUCACCUAGUGUGUUUACAACAAUUUCACUCUCAACAAGUAAAUCUACAUCCCUUUUGGUUUUUACAAAUUUAUCCAGGAGGAAAACAUAAUCGCUUAAGUAAUUGUCUGUGCAAUGGCAUUGUUCAAAGGCAAUGAGAUUUCUGAGUAUAAGCUCUGUGUCAUCACGUAUUUCUAGUUUUGGAAUUUUCAGAGUUCCAUUAUGGAACUGUAUCGCGAAUAAGUCGUUGCUUGACUCCAGACGACUUGAUUCCGGACGAAACUUAACUCUGGCCUGGUGUAGUUUUGUCACGCUGGGUAUACAUGGGAGUUCUCCAGCUUCUGAGGUACCGGUAUCCAAAUAUUGCACAUGUAAAGUUCUAAUAAAAUCAACAAAAUGUAAAGGUGGUUCAGUCCCCUCCACUUCGUCUUCCGACCUCUGUAAACCCACUACCUUUUUGAAGAAAUGGUAAGAGAGCUUAAUCAUUGAAGGCCUCUCAGUCUCAGAAUUCUUAACUCUGACUUUGCUUGCAUCGAAAAGAUCCUCAAGAAUGAAAAAUGGCAGCUAAUUUUCGGGCAAAAGCAUGUCGGGCACUAUAUUUGUUAACAUUUAUGGUUUUUUAAAUAUCCAGUCAUUAUAUCGUCUCGCAAUUCUUGGAAAUGGUACCUCAACAAUAGCUCAAUGACAAAGGCAGCAUCAACUAGAAUGAUACUUACAAACUUGUCGCUACUCUUGAAGUGCUGAGCGUUUCCAUAACGACCACGGAGUUCAUCUUCUUGGGCCUUUAUUUUCUCUGCAUAAUCCUUCAAGCUAACCUUAUUAUUCCGAUGAAGAAAAUUUUGUAGGUACCUCGGUUUGUACUCUUCCAUGGCUUCUAAUUCUUUGUUGUCAUGGUGAAUUGGGCCUAUUGAGACUACUUCCGGGGUGUAAGCGUUAUUUCUGCCCCGUAGUCACGAAGGAACCCUGUAGAUACAGCACUCAUCAGAGGGCCUAUUGAGACAAACUAUCCAACCGCCGCUUCAAAUCUGCUACUGGGGUUUUGUGGUUUUCUACGCCAUGUGGAGCUCCAUUGCUGCAUCCUUCCACUUCUAUUAUGUGUUGUUCUGAUUGUAAGUGAUGAGGGUUAUUGGCACCAGGGGCGGAUCUAGCCCUUUUUUGGCUAGGCAGCCACCCAGUCGAGAAUUUUCAUAAAAACAAAAUAGGUACGUAUUGUUGUAAAUGUAUGAGUUGGUGGAUGACCACCAUACCUCUUAGCAUUCACCUUUUCUAAUUCUAUGUAACUAUACACUAAAUGCCAUAGUUAUGGACUUGUAACUUAUGAGUUGUUAAUGUUUUCUUACGUGUAAGCCUAUAAAUAAGAGGGCUAUCUUGGCAUAUGUGUUCGUCACUAACUAUAUAAUUUAAGUUGUUUUCAGUGACUAAUUUAAAUAAUUGUCAGAAAAUUUGGUCAUUAAAAAUUAAAAAAUAAGGGUCAAUUAUUUUAGUGACCAUGAAGUAUUAUUAGUCAUUAAAUUCAUUGUAUUUGUGACCAUUAUUUAUGUGGAAUUGGUCACUACUGACCUUUUUUCUUGUAGUGUACAUUCUUGCCUUAAUACAGUUAGGCUUAUUUUUAUACUAAUUUCUCUAACAUAACUUUUGCACAUUCUUUUUAUAUUAUAAUAAAUAAUCUUACCCAGUUGAGUUAUAAACCAUUUUCUUUUAGCACGGAAAAUCGACAUUUUGACAGAGAGUUGAAAAGCACUCCCCAAUUUUAAUGUCAACCACUUGGAAAAAAAAAACAUAAAUUUAAUGACAACAAUUACAUUUAGCAAUGCAACCUAAAAACUCAACCUUUGCGCUCCUUUCACCACGCAGAUAGCAGGGUGAGGAUAUUCGAAUAAGAACGAAGACAGAAGCUAAAGGAAUUGCGAUAGCUAACCAUAGUCUGCAUUUCUUACCAUCUGAACAAUGCCACCAUUUUGUUUGGUAAGUAUUUAAUAACAUUUCUUGCUCUACAUAAAGUAAUAUUAAAGCGAAAUUUCCCUAAAUUUUUCUUACCAACAAUCCAUACCCAAGAAAAGGGGAGAUUCACUAUUAUACUCAAUAUAGGAGCCCAACUUAUUUAUAAUAAUUAUAAAAAAAAACCCUCUAUGAAAUGGACUUUAGAAACACACCUAAAACCUAUUUACAACAAAACAAAAAGACUUUUAACUUUUUUUAAAUUACAAAACUGUCAUUGAUUUCUUAAACAAACCCAACCCCAAAACCUCAUAAAAAAGCCCAAAUACUCAAUAAAGCAGCAAAGUAAUUUAAUAAUAAAAAUUAAAUUCAAUAGAGUCAGCUGUUAUUUUUUGGGUUAUUUUUUAUUUGUUUAUAGAAAUUAAAGAGUGCUGCUAAAAGAACCCUAACAUUAACUAAAUACACCAAAUGAUCUAAGUACACCCUAAUAUUUUAAUUAAAAUACAAAAUUAACUAAGUACACCUUAUUUAACUACCAAAAUUACCCGUGUUACACCCUAAUACACUCUAUCACUGUUCACCCGUUUAGUUUUUGCUCCUGUGAUGGAAGGGUAAAGUUCCCCACUGCCUUGGAAACCAUUGACUGGUCAACAAGUCAGCUUUCUUUGCUAUGUGAGCGUGCCACUGUUAGCAAUGAAAAUCCUAACAGACUUCUUAAAAUGGAUACUUGCGCCCAAGUUACUGAUUUCUAAACAGUGAUUGUGAUUUGGGUGAGGAAUAUCUCCAAGUAAGUUCUUUUCCUGCAUCAGGCUGGUGAAGACUUUAUAAUUUUCACAGUAUAAAUUGGUAGUUCUUGCCAGAAUAGAUGAUAUAAAGUGGACGGUUUUUAGGCAGAACUGCGUUUUACAAAAUUAAGAAGGAAAAAUCAACUCUAAAAAGACAAAAAGAUGGCUGGAAUCCCACUUCUGCCUGGGUAGAAACUUCAGAUCCGGGCUGGACCGAAUACAUUCAUGAUGGACUGAGCUGUUAACAACUUCAAUUGCUUAGCUUUAGCUGUAAAUCGAUACCAAAGUUCAAUUUUGGCAGAGCUUUAAUCUACUUCAAGCCUUGGAAGGCUUUUGAGCGGGCAGAACUGCCGUCUCUUCUGGCUAAAAGAGGCAGAAAUGGCUGAAUUUGAGGUUUACUGAGCUGGAACUGCACUGUUGUACCUGUUCUGCUUGGUCAGGGCUUUCCAUAAAUUUGUUGAGGUUUUCAUAUUUGUGAAAAACUCAAACUCUGCUUGUUUUGGCUUUUGCUGAACCAAAUUUGUAACGAGAGAAGUCUUGUUUUGAAUGACUUUUCUCUAAGUUUGAGCUUUUGAAAUUCUAGGAGAGAGAGAGAGAGAGAGCUUUUGAUUGCUCCAGUUUGUUUGAAGGUUCUCAAUGAUCAAGUGAUCAUUUUGAGUUUUUGCCUUUAGCUUAUUUUUGGUUGUUUGUUUGAUUAUCCUUUGCUCUAUUCACCUUCUCCUAUAUUUAUAAGAAAUGCUUUGAAGUAGGGUUUCUUUCUUUUAAUAAUGGGCGGCCAAAAUUCUCAAAAGGUCUUUCAUUUUUUUAAAUACGAAGAAAAAGGGGUUUUCUCAAUUUUGGCAAAUAAGUUCUCAACAGUCAAUUCCAUUGAAAGAGAACCUGACUUUUCUUUAAUUCCCAACUGCCCUUGUGAGAGCUCAAUCGUGAUGGUCAGUUUGCUUCUCCAUUUUGAACAACUUCCUGUUUCCUGUUUAUCUUUUUAGAAAAUACAAUCUGGGUAUCCCUUGAAAGAUGGUGCCUUUUUUGGAGUAGAAACAAUGUCUCUAAAUAUAAAAGGGUUUUUUUUUUAUCUUUUGGUGGCAAAGAUUUCAAAGACGUCCCUUCUUUUCGCCUGCCUCUGUCAACUUUUUAUCAACCCAGUUGAAAUUGUUGACUUUCCUAAAUCAAAAAAAGAGAUUCACGUGGGUCUGUUCCUUUUGGCUCCUUCCUCUCUUUUAAUCAUGCCUAACCUCUUUUGAUUUUACUGGAGCCAUGGGCUGAUUGCUUCUCUUUUCGAGGCCCAAGUUUAUUUGCAGAGCCCAAACUGCUUGGGCCCUGUGGUUUUGUCUUUGUUGUUUUUGGGCUUUUUAGGCUGGACGUGCCAAAAUUAGGCCCAAACAAUGUCCCCUAAGUUUGAAUCGUUUCUAGAACGGUUCGAGAUUUAAUGAUUUUGGCCAUUAAUUCGUGCGCGCCAACUUCUUUCGUUUAAUGCACGUCUGCCUACCACGAGCUAGACUUCAUGGGAAACUGUUUUGUUACUAGCUAGUUACUUAGCUAGUUAUUAUCAUAUGGCGUCUCGUCUUCCUCUUCCCACGAUUUCAAGCCCCUUUUUUAAGAAAUUCGAAACUCCAACUUCUGUUUAUUUCAAAAACUAGCUUCUUUUUAGACCUCGACAAUUCUUAGUUUUCCCCAGAAUUCUCACUUUUUCUUCGACCAGACUCUGCCUUUCUUAUCAUUUCCUUUCCUAGUUCAACACUUCUGAUCAUGUCUUCUCCCAAGACUCGUGCUCAAGGUUGGUCCUCCUCAGUUCCUCCUAAUUACAUCACUGGGACUGGGAUUGACAAUCACGCGAUAGAGGUUAGAAGCAAACUGAUAGGACCCGCCCCGAAUUUUCCAAAACCCAAGGCGAAUCCUGUGAAAUUUCCGACAUCACCCCGAUGCCGGGCCCACUUACUAAACACCGAGACUUUCUGCCGAAAUUUCGGCAGAGUCUCCCCUAUAAAUUGGACAUUUCCCAAAAUUUCAACCUGCAUAAAAACACAUUUAAUAUUCCCAACGGGCAGCAUGCACAAAAUAAUUUCAUCCAAUUCACAUAACGGCCUUCGGCCUUUCAAUAAUUUUCAACAAACUACCAAGCACACUAACAAAUCAAUUCAUGCCUCAAACAAGGCAACCAAUAAAUUCAAAUAUGCAUUAUGACUACCAAAUUUCGACAUGCAUCAUUUUGCUUUUCCAAUCUCAAUAGAUGAGGUUUUAACCUCCUAACACAAUCACAUCUAUGUUCGCGGCUGCACCUAAUAACCUUAGGCUGCCUACGUACCCUCACUGAGGGAUCAAGACACACGUAGUUCUUCCUUAAACCCAAUUCCACACAUAGGCAAUACCUUUAUUCAUUUCUCUGUAUUUCACAUAAUCUCCUCAUACGCCUGUACUACCAACGCCACGUAUGGGGUCUGUCAACACACUGGGUAACCUACGCCACGUGCGACCUCACCAUAUUAUCACAUAAUCUCCCCAUACGCCUGUACUACCAACGCCACGUAUGGGGCCUAUCGACACGUUGGAUAACCUAUGCCACGUGCGACCUCAACAUAAUAUCACAUAAUCUCCCCAUACGUCAAUACAACCAACGCCACGUAUGGGGUCUGUCUCAACGCCGGAUAACCUACGCCACGCGAGACCUGAACAUCAUAUCACAAUAGCUUGCCAUACGCUGGUACAACCAACGCCACAUAUGGGAUCUGUCGACACGCCGGAUAACCUACCCCACGUACGACCUCAAUAUAAUAUCACAUAAUCUCCCCAUACGCCGGUACAACCAACGCCACGUAUGGGGUCUGUGUUAAAGCCGGAUAACCUACGCCACGCGAGACCUGAACAUCAUAUCACAAUAUCUCUCCAUACUCCAGUACAACCAACGCCACGUAUGGGGUAUGUGGACACGCCGGAUAACCUACGCCACGUGCGACCUCGAUAUAUUGUCAGGUAAUCUCCCCAUAUGCCGGUACUAUCAAUGCCACGUAUGGGACCUGUCCGCAAGCCGGAUAACCUACGCCACGUGGGACCUAACUUUCACAGGGUGGUACUUGUAGUGUAACCAAAAUCCGGAAAGGUGCCUAGGGUAGUGCGUAUAGCACUUCAAACUGACAUUCUAGACUCUUUAUACCUUUACAAACAUAUAUAAACAUAUAUAAUUUAAUUCUAAUUGUGUAAACCUCAACAAUAGUCUAGCACCCAAUAAUCCCCCUAGGAAGGUGAGACUACUCCGAAAGACUCACGGUCGACCAAGGGUCAAACUACCCUAACAUUGGUCAAACAGGCCCACGGGGCCCACGACCUCCAAAUUCUGAUCCGAAAGUUCCUAUGAGUUCUCCGAGUUAUAGGACACUCGUCCUGCAAGUUUAGUCCAGAUCGGACGAUCAGAUCGCUCACGAUCGCACGAUCUGACGGUUAAUAUAAAACAUAAACUUUAAAUUAAUAAAUCAAAACAUCCGGCACUCCGAUUCACGAUCCGUGAAUUCCUACACGAUCCUAGAAAUACCUAGAUUAACAUAUAUUAAAUUCAAGACCAUCCAACGGUCCCAACCUAUCGAACCCAGAUAACGCGCAAUAGGCGGUAUCCGUUCGAUAUUUCCCUUUAAUAAUUUAAAUAAGGGAUUUAAUUUGGAGUCGGGGUGUUACAAUCUACCCUCCUUAUAAAAAUUUCAUCCUCGAAAUUUCAUACCUGCUAGAAGAGGAAUCUGCCAGAACUGACUUUAGGAAGAAGUUCCUGAGUGUCACUCUGCCAAGAGAUCUGCCCCACGGAGGUGGGAAGCCUCCAAACUAUCAUUUGGGAGCAGAAGUCUAUCAUCGCAACUUCUGUGCAAGGCAACUUGGCUGCCCCAGCUUAUUCCACUAAAAUCAUACAGAAGCUGCAAUCGGGCCACUUCCUUGAGAGAUGCGGAUGAUCUGGAAGUGCACAAAGAUGCUAGAUGUGCAGUAAACAAGAUAAAUAACAGCGCAGAUGCCCUCUAUCCAGCCUGGGAACUGAACUCCUGCAGUUCUGCCGAUUUUGACGCUUGGUGGAAAUCCAGGUUUCAUGGUCUGCCAGCCUCCAUUGCUGCACUCAAGGUGAUUUUUGAGGGCUGGGACUCCUGGACUGUCUACGCGGAGGUGGAUGCCAAGAACUUCAUGGUGCAGACCAUCAAAGACAUUAAUGCCCAGGGUAUAGAAGGUAACUUUCAAUUCUGUCUGUCUUGCCUAUUCUGUCUCUUAGUGAUGAUGCCUAACAGUUUUGUUCUGUAUAUAUCAGACCCUUAUUUGACAGAAAACAUAGGUGGACAGUCUGUCCAAGCUGGAGAUGUGAUUGGUAAGUUUUUCACUAUUCUGUUCCUUUCAUUAUUUUCUUGCUUGAUUGACUUCUGACUUUGUCUAUUUCUUGUGUAGUCAUUGCUGUCAUUGCUGCUGGGACUUGGAGCUUCCCUCUGGAGAUGAAGAGGAUCUAGCUGCUGAGGCUAUUCCUUUUGGCAGAACAUCCAGCUGCUGAGGCCAUUCUUUCUAGCAGAAGGAAGAGAAAGGAAAUUUCUUCUGCCCAGCACAGUGCUGCUCAGCCUGCGACUUCAGGUAAGUUCUGACAGUUUGAGCUUUUCGUAAUUCUAUUUUGUCCUAUUCUGCCUUAUGUUCUAAUGGUUUAUUGUCUGCUUAUUGUAGCUGAAAGUUCCUCUCCUCCUCCUACUAAGUCAAAAAGACUUAAAAAGAGGACUGUGGUGGAAUAUAUGGCCAUGGAGGAGUCUGCAGCAGUUCCCACCAACACUUCUGGGACGGAUGAAGAGCUGAGAGAGGCCUUCAAGACAGUGGAAUAGGAGAAAGAGCUAGAAGAAACAGAAGAAGAACCUCAAGAAAAGGCAAAAGAAAUGGAAGAAAAUGUGAGUAUUGUUUUCUGGCUAUGUCAGCUUUUCUUUUGUUUCUUCAUUUCCUCUGUUCUGACUUCUGUCUAUGUAUAGAAGGAAAUCCCCGCUGAAGUGAUUGCAUAGAGCAUUGCUUUGGCGCAGAGGCAGCAGGAGAAUCAAAGGGCAGAGCUGACCAGCUCGGAGUUGGCCCUUUUUGAAGACGCAGAGGCAGAACACUCAACUGUUGUUCCAGCAGCUGAGGAGCAGGUGGAGCAGUCUGCAUCAGAGCCUGUGGAGCGAGCAGAACUACCUGUUGCAGUCCCAGCACCUGGAGUGGAAGUGGCUGCUGUUGUUCCCGAAGUUGUGGUAAUUUUUAUUCUACUUCUGUCCACCUGUUUCCUGCAAUUCUGUUCUGUCUGUGCUUCCUUAUCUAUUAGUCUUUUCAGGUAGAAGUGCCUAGGCCUGCUGGGGUUUUGGCAGUGGUGACCAGCCCCUUGAAGCCUCUCAUCGUUGCUGUAAGUGUUAAUGCAUUCCUGGGCUUUUUCUUUUCUGUCUCUGCCUAGUUCCUACUCUUGUUCUUUUCUGCAUAUGCCUAUCCAUUCCCUUCCAAGUUCAUCUGCCACAGCUUCCUAUGCUGAUUCGGAGCUGGCAGAAUUUGAGGCUCUGGAUCUGAACGCCCAGCUAGACAAGCUGAACCCUAAACCCUUGAGAAACUCAGCUCCACUCCUUGCAAGGCAAAGUCCAAGGCAGUGGAGGAGGCUAUGGAGAGACUGAAGAUCUGGCAAUCAACUGAUCUGGAGCUGGAUAAGGACAGGGAAGCUGUUGACCAAUUGAUGAAGGAUCUGGACCUUCUGCACAGACAGAACAUGGCCCCCAAACCCAUACUUGAGAUGAGCCUUGGCUUGGGAAGAGAUGUGCUCAACCUCCACGACCGUUACGAGGAUCUCAAGCCCACCUUCAAGACCUCUGAGUUCUGCAAAGCCACCCAUAAAGCCAACUUGGCUGACUAUGCAAAGCAGAAGGCAGAACUGGACCAGAUGGUUGCAGGAUACAAGGAAGCCAAAGCCACUAUAGACAAGUUGGAGAAGCAGAUUGAAGAGCUUCAAAAACAAUUGGCAGAGUGCAGAGAGGUGCAGAGCAGGCUCGGGGCUAGACUGAGCUCUAAGACCAAGGCCACCUUCCUUGUGUAGAAUAUGGUUUCAGCUUCUAGGCCAGCUUUGGAAAUUGCAGAGGCUUCAAUCCACCAGGGGUGCUACUUCAGAAGGAACUCUCCAUUAAAAAGGCCAACUUGCAAGAAACCCUUAGGAAAUUAGGGUUUUAGAUUCUAGUUUUUUUUUAAAGAAAUGUAAUAAAUAAUUUAGCCAUAAAAAGUGGCUAUAUUUAAAUAAAAGUUCAUUUAUUUUUGUGGGAAUUCCAAAUUCUUUCGACAAAAAGAAAAGAGAGAAAAAGUAAUUUAAAGCAUACUUAACAAAUUACAACGAAAAUGAAAGUGAUCAGAAAUUCAAACAACAGUUUUAUCUUGCUGUCUCUCUAUUCCGGGAUCUGUCUGUACCGCCUGUGAAUCCCACAUAGUUGGAUAGAACUUUUUUAACCAUUUGUCAUUAAUUGGUGCAGUAUGGACAUCUCCAUCUCGAUCAUGUAAUCUGUAUGCCCCCAUUCCAAGGAUCUGAUUAAUUAUGAAAGGACCUUCCCAUGUAGGUGACCAUUUUCCAUAACCAUCUAUAUGCGUUCCAAGGGGCAGAACUGCUUUCUAGACUAUUUCCCCCUCUUCAAAACUCUUGUUCUUGACUCUUUUGUUGUAAGCCCUUGAUACAGCUUCCUUUCCUGCUAAGAGUUUGUUGAGGGUAUCGAUCCUGCUUGUAUCCAAUCCUUCCAGUUCUAGCAUCAUAGCUUGAGAGUAGUCUUCUCCAACCAAACUGUGUUGAUGAGCAAUUCUGAGGGAUUGGACUGCUAUCUCCAUAGGCAGAAUUGCAUCGUGGCCAUAGGUGGUCAUGCCAGUUGCUUCUCUUCUUGAAGUUCUAUAUGCCCACAGAGUUUCUGACAACUUCUCAUGCUACUAUUUUGGAUUUUUCUCAAGCAUUUUUCUGAUAAUGUUGAUGAUCACCUUGUUACUUGAUUCUGCCUGCCCAUUAGCUUGGGCAUAAUAAGGGGUGGAUUGAAGCAGUUUGAAUUUAAAUGCUCCUGCCAUUUCCAACAUUUCUCCAGAUAUGAAAGAAGAUCCCCUAUCAGUUGUGAUUGAUUCUGGAAUGCCAAACCUUUGUAUAAUCUGCUCUUCUAUGAAAGUGAUGAUUUCUUGAGAUGCUGUGGACUUAACAGGCUUGGCUUCCACCCAUUUGGUAAAAUAAUCUGUAGCUACAAUAAUAAAACAGUGUUGUUUGCUACUGGCUGGAUAAAUCUUACCAAUGAGAUCCAUUGCCCAUCCUCUGAAAGGCCAUAGUUUUACUACUAGAUUCAUGGGAACUGAAAGAGCCUGCUGGAUUAGCCGAGCCAUUUCCUUUUAUGCUACCGAUUUCUUUUAUGCUACUGAGCCGGGCAAAACCAAUAAAAUAAAGAAAGGCAACGAAUUUAUUAACCGAGUAUAAAGGAGAGAGAGGGAUUCGAACCCUCGAUAGUUCUUUGUUUCGAACUAUACCGGUUUUCAAGACCGGAGCUAUCAACAACUCGGCCAUCUCUCCGAAAUAAAAUUUAUAUUUUAUUCCACCUAAUAGAACAUGGACAUAUGAGUUGAUACGAUUACUAUCUAUAGAAAGAUAUCAGGUGUGAGUCUAUAGGUCUAUCUAUCUGUAUAUAUAUAUAUAAUAUAGAUGCAUGAUCCAGCAAGCAUGCCCCUGAAGUUGACUUACGCUCAAAUGUAGAAGAAUCAGCCAUGGCAAAUAGGUAGCUGAAUUGCAGCGGAAUAGAUGAGCAACGGUGUCACUCCCCCUCAUAUCCAACGAUGUAUAAGAGUCGAGAUUUGGAGAAAGCAAUACCGAAAAAUAAAGUUGCAGAACUCAAAUAAAGUUGCAUCUAUCUCCCCAUCAAAUCCGACACUGGUAAAGGGUCGAGAUUUGAAAGAGGAGAAAUUGAAAUAAUAGUAAAGAGACUCAAACAUGCAGUCUCAUGGCAGAAACAAAUGCAAGAGGGGAAGAUGGUAGCAUACGGUUGUCCCAUGAAGAAAAAACUUUAGAAAAGGAGAAUAGUAAGGGAGGAAACCCAGCAAAUCAUGAACAGAGACAAAGACAAAGAUAAGGUACUCAAACUGAGAAGCGGAAAGGCAACUCAAGAGAGCAACCGAAGAAGACAGAGGCCCGCAGAACAGUCAAAGGAAAGGCUCGGCGAGUGGUGACGAUGCUCGCGGAGGAAAGCAACGGCUCGGUGAGCAGUGACGAGGCUCACGGAGUAAAGAGACUUGUUAUGAAGUUUCAAAGAUAGAGAAGCUGAGACAUCAAGAAAGACCAUCUGGCAUACAAAGAUGAAAAAUAAAAUUUUUGGAACAGUAGCAAAGAAGCAUGUGAAGGCUAGGUGCGGUGAAAACACAUAUGAAAGGAUGAACAAAAGAAGAUGACUAUACAAGAUGAAGACCCAUGAUGGGUUAGAAAUGAGGAGUGCCAACGACUCUCAAUUUGGCAGAGGCUAUCACAGGUUAGGAACCUGGCUCUGAUACCAUGUCAAACAAAGUAGGGUAAAUAUUCAGUUAUGCUCAGAUAUGCUCAUAUUAUUAUUCUUCUCCAAUAUGGAGAUAUUUAUACAAGUACAAAGAUGUGUUAACCCUAAAUAAAAUAGAAAAUAUAUCUAAAUUACAAUUGGAAGUAAAUCUCUAUUACAAUAUGAGUAAAUAAUAAUUGAUAAGUAACCAAAAUUCUAAUGAAAUAAGGAACUAAAAUCCUAAGUAAGUAAGGACUCGCCAACGAAUAAUAGUACAACUCUUAUUAGCAACAGGUUACAAACUUCUUCUACAACACACCAACAUGAAUCUAGCCCUGAUCAAUUCUUUUACAUACUUGAAAACAAAACAAAACACGAAAAACAAAAAACAAGAAACAAGAUAGGGAGAAAAUGGCUACGGAGAGACUUACCGCUAAUACUUGAUCAAUAACAGAGAUAAUAGAGCACACUGUUUGUAUGACAAUGAGUAUCAGAAGAAUAAUAGCUGCAAAGAGAGAAAUAGCUGCCCAAGGUGUGUUGAAAUACUUUUGUCUCAAAUUUGCCUUCCGUCUGUUCGUGGUCUUCUUGCAGUACUCGUUUAGUUUGCCAGCAAGAUCACCAAAAUAGUAGUUUCCGUGGUUCGGAGCAACUUUACUGCAAAGCUUGUUAAUCAUAAUGGAAACCUUAUUGUUGUCACCUAGCGUGUUUACAACAAUUCCAUUGUCAACAAGCAACUCUACAUCCUUUGGGGUGUUUACAAAUUUAUCCAGGAUGAAAACAUAAUCGCUUAUGUAUUUAUCCACGCAAUUGCCUUGUUCAAAGGCAAUGAGAUUUCUAUGUGUAAGCUGUGUAAUCAUGUAUUUCAAUUUUUGGAAUUUCCAAGGUGUUUUUCUUGAACUGUAUAUCGAAUAAGUUCUUGCUUGAUCCCACGUUAAACUUAACUCCGGCCUGGUGUAGUUUUGUCAUGCUGGGUGUACUUUGGAGCCCUCCAUUUUUUUUUCUUUUGGCAGAUGUAAAGUUCUAAUAAAAUCAACAAAAUGUAAAGGUUUUUUAGGAUCAGGAGGCAUAAAAGACUUACGGAAGGCUGGUGAGUUCUCCAAGUUUUCUAAACGCAGUGCCUGUUGGAAGAACUUGUAAGAGAGUUCAAUUAUUGAAGGCUCCCCAGUCUGAGCACCUGUGAGAUUGUAAAGAUCCUUGAGAAUGAAAAAUGGCAGCUGAUUUACGAGCAUAAGCAUGUCAGGCAAUAUAUUUUGUAGCACCCAUGGUUUUUUAAAUAUCCAAGCAUUAUCAUCCUGCAAUUUUUCUUCCUGAAAUUUUUCUUCGGAUUUAUUCCUCAACAAUAGCUCAAUGACAAAGGCGGCAUCAACUAGACUGAUAUUCACAAAAGCAGCAAUGUUAAACUUCUUAGGGCUAGUUUGGCGUUGCUGUGUUUUAAAAAAAAAUAUGCUUCUGCUGUGCUGUGAAAAUAAUCAGCUGUGAAAAAAAGCUACUAAGCGUUUGGUAAACUGUUUUUGAAAAACUGUUGUGAGUAGUCAAAGUGUUUGGUAAAUUUUUAUCAGAAGUGUUUUUAGUGUGUAUAAUGACCAAAAAGGACAUGAUGAUGAAAUUGUUUGUUAUUUUCUUCAUUCUUUUUCUACUUUUUUUUUUAAAAAAAAAACCCAAUUUCACUACAUAAAUUUUUAUUCUUUUUUAAUUCACACCUUUUUAUCAAAAAAUUUAAUCUACAAUUAACAUACAUAUUUUACCAUAAAUUAUAAAUUACUAUUAUAACAAAAGUAAUUCUAAAUAUUGUUAUAUUAAUAUGGGCUUCGGACAUGACAAAAAUACAAAAAUUGUUCAAUUUUAAAAUGCCCCAAUAGAUCACUACAAUAUAAAAGAAGCUAAUUAGAUGCAUUCAUUAAACUUGUAGCGAUGCUAUUUCUUAAUGCAUUCAUUAGCUUCUUUUUUUGGUUUCCAAUGGUUCUCUAACAAUUUUAACUAAAAAAACAACCAUAAUGCUUUGUGAACAAUAAAUUCAAGUCCAAAUCUACUAAUGCCCACACCAUACAUAUAUACAUAAUUGUUUCUUUCAUAAAACUUGAAGAUUCAAUAGUAAUUACACAGUUUACCAAUCUUGAUUCCAACUAUAUCCAUAAAAUUAAACUAUAAUUAGAAACAGAGGAGCUACAUGUGAUUACUUAUAAAUGUUGCCCACUCUCAUCAUCAUCUUCUUCCUCCUCUGUACUUUGCCUUUCACAAAUGGACAAGACCAGAUGGUAACGUACACGACAUGGUCCACAUAUAGAUAAAUUUUGGGUUCACUGGAGAACAUAAAAGAGUUUUUACACGAAUACAAAGUUAGUUAAGUAGUGAAUAAGGUAAAACUAUUCUGUACAAUUCUAGCUGAUGCAGUCCAAAAAGAAUAUAUGUCUAAUAACUUAAAUAACAAUAAAGAGAAACAAAAACCUCAUGAAAAAUGCUAGAGUAAAAGUUACAUAACUGAAUCGAUGGACAGAGAACUCCACAGGCAGAGAAACAGCAACAAAAAUUGUCAAAACAGUAGCAAGACCAUGUUGGAGUCAAGGCCAAAGAUCAUAUUUCCUGUGUAUCUUCUUCCAUUCUGAAUUAUUCUCGUAUUCAAAUACUGUAACUCUAUUUCAAGUGCACCCCAAAAUACUUAUCUAAGGCCAGUACAUAGGACUUCAUAAAGGGUGCCAUAAAAAAUAUUGCCCCUUAAUUGAUAAACAGAACCAAGAUCCCAAUGGCACACCAAAACUAUACCAACCACACCUACAUAAUAUGGACAGAAAAUCCUGUUGUUCUGACCUCUAACCACACCAAUGACAUUCAUUAGGAAAAUACAAAAGAUGGGUACCCUGCAUUUCUAACAUUUAAGAUAAAAUUCACUGCCAGCUAAUCACAAAUUUGAAAAGAUGGCAAGAAAAUUGGCUAUGCUUUAACAAAAACCAGAGCAGUCCUUGCAUAGACCUGACUUUUUGCUCCAAGCUUUAGCAGAUCACUUACUGGUAGAGAGCAGAGAACAUGUAUGUGAAUAUCUGAAGUUGGAAGGGUAAGCCAUCACAAACACCAAGAGAUCUGAUUCUCAUCUCUUGUUACAACAACAAAUCACAAACACCAAUACAUCUGAUUCAGAAUCUCAUAAACAAUGGAGGAACAAACACAUAUUCACACACAUAUAAAUCCCUAAACCGAAAAAAAAAAAAAAAAAAAAAAAAAAAAAAAAAAAAAAAAACAUGAAAGUAAUAGGAGAAUCAAAUUGAUUUGGGCCAAAAUUGCCUAAAAAGAAAACACUCCUAAAUAAACUUCAAUUCACUUUUAAAAACAGUAAAACGUGAUUGAAUCGUUCUUUAAAACAAUUCCCUAAUAUACAUGCAUGAUAAUGACAUCAUUUACCCCUAAAUCAAAUGCCUUUCACUGGUUAAGCCACAAGUCUGUGUUUUGGGGAUUGCUGAGCUGCAUCAAUCCUGCCAAUGUCAAUUCUGCCCCUAGGCUCUCUCAAAGUGCAUUUACAACCUAUGCUAACAUAUACUAGAGUUUGUGCUAGUAUCUAGAAAAUGCCAACACUAAUUUCGUAACACGUAGAAAUUGUUACAUAUUGGAAGUUUUUAUCAUUUUUUCUUCCAGUCUCUCCACCACUCACUAAUACAGAUUACUCAUGUGAUGAGUUUACAAAACCUAUUUCUCUACUCCCACAAAGACCAUACUUUUUCUCAAAAGACUAUAUCACUUUAUCUCUAUCUUUGUGAAAUGUAAAAAGUUGAAACUUUAAUGUCAAAUCUCGACAAAAGAUGAACUUCCAUCAAUUACAUUGAAUUUGAAUUUGUUGAACUUAAGUGGUUUUACUUUCUCUGUCAGCGUUUGAUGACUUGAUUUGUUAUUUACUUCUUCUUUUUUCCUUGGAAAUGUGUUCCAUCAACGUGAGGAAGAAAAAUAUGCACAAAUUAAUAUAUUUAAUAGAAGCACAAAUUAAUAUUUACAAAAAUAUGCACAAAUCAAGUAAAAUUAAUAAAGCAUAAAUUGGAAAGGGAAAAUAUGUAGAGGAUGCAUUGUAGGAUUGCUCAUGCCAAUAAUUGUACCCUCUAAAUAUAUAGGGACAUAAUUUUUUUUGUUUUCAUGACAUGUGGUCCUCAAAUUAUUGUUCUUAGCGGACUCUCCACCCCUCUCGAUUGAAAGCCUAUUGUGUAAAUCUUCAAUCCUGAAUGAUCCACCUAAAACUCAUGUUGCAAUACACAUCCACCCAUUCUCAGGCCAAUUAUUACUCCUAGUGGGCUCUCCACCCCCUCUCAAAUUUAAGUGGUCCAUUAUUAUUAACCAUAUAUUUUAUGGACCAGCUAGCUGUGAGGUUUUAUCUCAAAAACCUUUCUCUCACAUGCCACAAUUUAUGUCUGAUACAUCACAUCAUGCCAGUUGUCUCAAAUGAAUUUAAGUGAGUGAGGCAGUGUUACUUCUGGGUACCCCUCAUCGUUCGUGUAUAAAAUGGUGAAGCCAGUUGCUACUGUUACCAUAAGAGCCAGCUCCGACUUUCAAAAUAAAAAUUCCAACAAUGAUCUUAGUGCCUUCAAACGCAUGAGUUACUGAACAUGCAAAUAAAUACACUAUGAAUAAUAAAAGUGUUUGAUAAAUCACCAAAUUAUGGAACACUUGAUGAUUUAUCUCAAAUAAAAAUUCCAAGGCUUAUUUUAUAGAAUUUUUCUUUAUUACAAGAAAGAAAACAUGUUGAAAACCAAAUCUCCAAUUUCCAAGGCUUGACAGAAAAUCAAAAAAAUAUCUUUCCUAUUCUAGAGAUUGGUCACAUGUAGUUCAGAAAAUCAAAAAAAUAUCUUUCCUAUUCUAGAGAUUGGUCACAUGUAGUUCAACCAAUAGGAAAUGAGAUAUUUAAGAAAGCAAGAUUUUGAUCAAUAUCAAUAUCAAAUGAAUUCUUAUACGCCUAGUCAACUAUUAAGGGUAUCUUGACUCUUUGAUAUUGUGAUAUGAUUGAAACAUGAUUUCCAUGUUAGAAAAUUAAGGGGAUGUUAAAACAUGAAAGUAAUAGGAGAAUCAAAUUGAUUUGGACUAAAAUUGCCUAAAAAGAAAACACUCCUAAAUAAACUUCAAUUCACUUUUAAAAAUCGUAAAACAUGAUUGAAUCGUUUUUUUAAAACAAUUCCCUAAUAUACAUGCAUGAUAAUGACAUCACUUACCCCUAAAUCAAAUUGUCACGCCCCGGACCUGGGGGUCAGUGGAAAUCCCGCGCCCGGUGCGUGAGAAAAUAAAAAGUAAAAUAAAAUAAAAAGAAAGCCGAAACAAGGGUUUAAAAUAAACUUCUCUUAUAAAAAUAACUCUAAAAUCUUAUAACUUUACAAGAAAUAAAUAAAGCUCUAUCAUUCUUAUCUAAUUCAGACUCAACUGGUUUAGUCCUUGUCUUGCCCACUAAUUCAUCUGAAAAAUUAAGAGUGUUGCUAAACGAACCCUAAAAUUAAUUGAGUACACCAUACUACCAAACAAUUUAUUGAAUUUGUCAAGGUUUUGUUUCUGGGAACUCACGAGCAACUUUCCAGUGGGUUACCCAUCCUAGGAUUGCUCUAGCCCACAACUCGCUUAACUUCGGAGUUCCUACGACUCCGAAGCCAGUGAGCUCCCAAAAGGCCUCGUGCUAGAUGGAUGCGGGUGUGCACAUAUAAGGCACAUCACCACCUCUCCGUUGAUUGAUGUGGGAUCUUACAAAAUUACUAAUUUAUUCUAAUAUAAAAUGAUCAAAAAAGAUAAAAUAAUAUUGGUAUCUAUUGCUUUGAAUCCAUGCCUUCAAACAAAUUGACUUAAUUUUUAACAAACAACACGGAGUCCAGGAGAAGUGUAUUGAUCCAAGUUGAUUUUUGUAUGCAUAAAACUUAAACAAUCAAUAACACAAAGCAGUUCAUGCUGAAAUAUUGGAAACCCACACCCAAAGAGUUCUCCGCUGCGAGGUUGAAGGCAGGAGAGAUGGGUGACAGAUUUUACUUCCACUGCGAAGUUGGAGGCUAGGAGAGUCUGUGACUGCCAUGGUUGAGGGAGAAGAUGCGUUCAAAAUGCCUAUUGAUAUUUUACAUUAUUUUCUAUACAAGUUAACAGUGUUUGUGUAUUGUUAAAGGUGGAGAGACGUGUCAAAAUUUUAGACAAAGGACAGGAGGAGAUAGGGAAUUUGGGGACAGCAGAUCUCAACUCCCUUGAGACCCUAUUCUCUACGCCACCCCUCCCCCUCAACAACCCUAGUCACCAUUUCUCCUUCAACUCCAACGGCAACUCAUUAAAACCCAAUUCUCAAAUGCAACAAUCUAAUCCCAAUCCCAAUUCAGAUGUUUCUAAAAAACCAAUGGUUGUCGUGGUGGAGAACUGCAAUUCCAGGUGGUGGUGGUACCACAUGGGAGAGAGAAAAAAGAAGAAGAAGAAGCAGCAGAGAGAGAGUUUUUUAUUAUAUUAUUAUUUUACUGUAAUUUUUUAAUUUAAAAAAUUAAAAAAAUUAAAAAUUAAAGAGGAUGUACCAUGGGUAUUUUUGGUAGUUAAAUAGGGUGUACUUAGUUAAUUUUCAAUUUAAUUUAAACAUUAGAGUGUACUCAGUUAAUUUUAGGGUUCAUUUAGCAGCACUCAAAAUUAAACAAGGUAAGGGAUGAGCAAGUAGGGACAUGAGACCUUGCCACAGUAGAUUGAUAUAACUAAAUAUUAUCAUAAACAUCGAAAUAUAUAAAUAUUAUUAUGAUAGGAUUCAUAAUAAUUAAUAUAAAAGUAUAACAACAAGAUUUACAUUUAUGUACCAAGAUAAUUACACAUAUAAAUAUAACCAAUAUAUAUUUUUAUAUAUUUUAAAAUACAAGUCUUUACGUAAAUGCCCUUCACGGGUCAAGCCACAAGUCUGUGUUUUGGGGAUUGCUUAGCUGCAUCAAUCCUGCCAAUGUCAAUUUUGCCCCUGGGCUCUCUCAAAGUACGUUUAAAACCUAUGCUAACAUAUACUAGAGUUUAUGCUGUAUCUAGAAAAUGCCAACACUAAUUUCGUAACACGUAGAAAUUGUUAGAGAUUGGAAGUUUUUAUCAUUUUUUCUUCCAGUCUCUCCACCACUUAUUAAUACAGAUUACUCAUGUGAUGAGUUUACAAAACCUAUUUCUCUACUCUAGCAAAGACUAUACUUCUUCUCAAAAGACUAGAUCACUUUACCUCUAUCUCUGUGAAAUGUAAAAAGUUGAAACUUUAAUGUCAAACCUCGACAAAGUGUUCUACUUUACAAACUUCUUGUGUCUACCAAUUUCUACUAAAAUUAAUUUCUCUACGGUGCUCAGAUUCAUCAUAUGUGUGUCCUUAAUUUUAGUGGAAAUUGGAAGUUUCCAUAAUUUUUGCUUUAAGUCACUCUUCUGAAGGAAGUUGAGGUUCCACUCCAUAAUCCAAAAUGUCAGGUUGACUUAUGGCAAACAAUGUAAAUAUGUAGGAGUACUAUGACCUUUUAUAGCAUUUUUAGUUUGAAUUUGGGUUUUAUACAUAGAUUUCGAAAUUAAUAGGUUGAUGCCUAGGAAAUAGAAAUUGUAAGGGCCUAUAUUAGACUAGCCCUCUUAAAAAAUAUAUUAAUUAAUGAAUAUUUGUUCUUCUUGUUGUUUUGAAGUAGUGGUGGGAGGCAUACCAACAAAAAAAAAAAUAUAGUGAAGGCUUAUAAGAGCAUUUACAAUCAUGCUCCCUAUUUUUUAGUUAAAAUUUAGCUAAAAAUAGAAAAAAGUUAUUAUAGGAGCUCUUUAUAAAAUUUGAACUCCAAUCAUACUCCCUAGUUUAGGGAGUCAAAAAUACUAUAGUUAUUUUUUAAUUCAAUUUGAUUUUGGUUAAUCUCUAUAAAUAAAUAAAAAUAUGAAAAAAUAGUUAACAUUAAUUAAAAGUUUAAACUAUGCAUAAAACAAAGAAACAUUAAAUUAUAGGGAGCCACUAUGAGUCGUUACUCUCUCCUCAGAUUUAGGAGCUCCUAGAGGUCUCCCUAUUUUAUGAGGUGGAUAAGGAGCAUGGUUGGAGUUGUAUUUCUUCAAUUUCCUCCCUAAAAUUUGUCUAAGGAUGUGGUUUAGGGAACCCAUUGUGAAUGCUCUAACUCUGGUAAAACACGAGUGACAUGGACAACAUAUGUUACGUCGUACAGAAGAUUUUUGGGUUUCUUUAAUUGGUUAAGUAGCAUCCACAAUGAGCUUCCUAAAUCAUCUCCUUAGACAAAUUUUAGGGAGGAAUUGGAAAAGUACAAUUCCAACUAUGCUCCCUAUCCACCAACUAAAAUAGGGAGACCUCUAAGAGCUCCUAAAUCUGAUGAGAGGGAAAGGACUCUUAAUGACUCCUUAUAAUUUAAUGUUGCUUUACUUUAUGCAUAUUUUGAACUUUUAAUUAAAUCAAAUUAUUAUUUUUAUAUUAUUUUGUAUACAGACGGGUUAAUUAUAUUAAAUUAAAAAAUAAUUAAAAUAUUAAUGACUCUCUAAACUAGGAAGCAUAAUUGUAGAUCAUCUUAUAUACCUUAAUUUGAAGAUUCUUUAUUUGGGUUUCUUUCAAGACUUAUCACCUUAGCCACACCACCUACACGUCUGCAAGCUUCCGUAAUCUAACAAGGAAGGGGAGGCUGCGCAAUACUUAUCACCUUAGCCACACCACCUACACCACAAGACCAAUAUGUGUAGUCCAGCAGGCUUUCCAAUUUUAAUAUAUAUUAUAAAAUAAAAUAAAAAUCAAUCUAUUAUCAUAUAUAUUAUAAAAUAAAGAUUAUUGCUCCAUCCUCCAUGCACUUGCAUGCCCUCUUACAAAGUGUGAAGUAGAUUUUGUGUGCUCCAAGUCAUUGACGAGAGCUGUAACAUGGUUAGCUGGAUUUAUAAGAUCUUUUCUUUUCUGGGAAUUUUCUGAAUUAAGAAAAAUCAAGUAAAAUUAAUAAAGCAUAAAUUAGAAAGGGAAAAUAUCUAGAGGAUGCAUUGUAGGAUUGCACAUGCCAAUAAUUGUAUCCUCUAAAUAUAUAGCGACACAUUUUUUUUGUUUUCAUGACUUGUGGUCCUAAAAUUAUUGUUCCUAGCGGGCUUUUCACCCUCUCUCGAUUGAAAAUCAAUUGUGUAAAUCUUCAAUCUUGAAUGAUGCACCUAAAACUCAAGUGUCCCAGGCCAAUUAUUGCUCUCAUACCACUUGUUGUAAUAAACAUUCACCCAUUCUAAAGGAAAGAUAACCAUCGAUAUUAUCUGAAAUUUAACCACUUAAGUUCAUUAUGAUUAACUAUGUAUCUUAUGGACCAAUCCAAUCGUAAGGUUUUAUACUCAAUUAGAUCGACCAAUACAAAGUUCACACUGGAUUAAAAAGGGCUAUCGGUAGGGGAGUGUUCGGCACCCUUUACUGUGGAGCGCAACACAAGACCCCUUGCAUGCCCUCACUAAGUUGAGCCCAACUAUUUUUGAGCAUUAACAAUAUAUAUAGAUUGAAAAAAUAAAAUAAAAAUCAAUCUAUUAUCAUAUAUAUUAUAAAAUACAUAUUAUUGCUCCAUCCUCCAUACACUUGCAUGCCCUCUUACAAAGUGUGAAGUAGAUUUUUUGUGCUCCAACUCAUUGACUAGGGCUGAAACAUGGUUAGUUGGAUUUAUAAGAUCUUUUGUUUUUUGGGAAUUUUCUGAAGCACGGAAAAUCAAAUAAAAUUAAUAAAGCAGAAACUGUACCCUUUAAUUAUAUAUGGACAUAUGUUUUUUUGUUUUCAAGUCUUAGAUGACAUGGGGACCCCUCUCAAAUUUAAGUGGUCCAUUAUUGUUAACCACAUAUUUUAUGGACCAUCCAGCUUCGGUACAUUUCUCCCACAUGCCACAAUUGUAUAUUCACAAUUACGUCUGAUACAUCACAUCAUGCCACUUGCCUCACAUGCCACAAUUGUAUAUUCACAAUUACUUCUGGGUACCCCUCAUCAGUCGUCUAUAAAAUGGUGAAGCCAGUUGCUACUGUUACCAUAAGAGCCAGCUCCGACUUUCUUUAAUUUCUUGCUACAUCUGUUGCUAAGUUAAUUUCAGUCCUAAUGGGGUUUCAUCUCCCACUCAUCUUUGCUAUUCUCAGUGUAAGCUCUGCAAUUUGAUUAACUUUUCCAUUCUCUCUCAUUGUACUCUAUAUAUAUAAAUGAAAGUUUUGUGUUCCUAUAAUUCUCUCCGAUUUUAUUUAGUACGUACUUAAGUGUCGUCCACUAAUUAAUUACACUUUGUGAGAUUUGAUUUUAAUUAGAGUUCGAAUUAAUGUUGCAGCUAGCAGCGGUUGCACUGGCAAACAAUGCUGCUCAACCAGCACCUCAACUUUACUGGAACUCCGUCCUGCCAAACACACAGAUGCCAAGAUCUAUCAGUGAACUUCUGCAUCCUGGUUUGUGUUCAGCUCUUUAUAAUCUUAGAUAUCUCUUCUACCUGCCAUUUUACUAAACUAUGUUCGACCACAUAUUUAUCAGUUAACUACUGUCAUUACAAGAAUGACACUUAUUUUCCAAUAUAAUUUGCAGACUCCACAAAUGAAGAAAAGAGCAAACCUGAAAUUUUCCCAUUGCAGGGCAAUAGAGUUUACACUCAAAGCCAUUAUAAAAAACGUCCUCCUCCUCCAUCUGACGAGGGCAAACCUGAAAAUUUCCCAUUGCAGGGCAAUAGAGUUUACACUCAAAGCCAUUAUAAAAAACGUCCUCCUCCUCCAUCUGACGAGGGCAAACCUGAAAAUUUCCCAUUGGCCAAUAGCUUUUACACUCAAACCCAUUAUAAAAAACGUCCUCCUCCUCCAUCUGACGAGGGCAAACCUGAAAAUUUCCCAUUGGCCAAUAGCUUUUACACUCAAAGCCAUUAUAAAAAACGUCCUCCUCCUCCAUCUGACGAGGGCAAACCUGAAAAUUUCCCAUUGGGCAAUAGCCAUUACACUCAAAGCCAUUAUAAAAAACGUCCUCCUCCUCCAUCUGACGAGGGCAAACCUGAAAAUAUCCCAUUGGCACGUUCAGGUUACCAACGAAAAAAUUAUGGAGCAAGUCCUCCUCCAUCUGACAGUCAACUAAAGCAUUAUAAAGACUUAGCUAUUUUCUUCUUCGAGAAGGACAUGCGCCCGGGCACAACUAUGAAGUUCCAAUUCCCUAGAAAUUCAAACACGGCUACUUUCCUGCCACGCGAAAGUGCUCAAUCGAUCCCCUUCUCCUCUAAGAAACUACCAGAAAUUUUCAACCAUUUUUCAGUGAAGCCAACAUCUGAGGAAGCCAAAACAAUUAAGCAAACAAUCGAAGAGUGUGAAGCUCCAGGCCUUAAGGGAGAGGAAAAAUAUUGCGCCACAUCUUUAGAAUCAAUGGUUGAUUUUAGCACUUCGAAGCUUGGAACAAGAAACGUUGAAGCAAUCUCAACGCAGGUAUUGGAAGAAGGAGCCACCAAGUACAUGCACAACUAUACAACAAUCCCGGGACUGAAGAAGUUGGUAGGUGACAAAGUCGUUGUGUGUCAUAAGGAGAACUAUCCCUAUGCUGUGUUUCUCUGCCAUGCAAUAAAACAAACAGAAGCUUAUGUUCUCUCCCUGAAAGCCGAUGAUGGGAUGAAGGUGAAAGCAGUAACCAUCUGCCAUCUAGACACAUCAGAAUGGGACCCAGAGCAUUUGUCCUUCCAAAUCCUCAACGUUAAGCCCGGAACCACUCCCAUCUGCCAUUUCCUUUCCACUGAUGCUAUUGCCUGGGUUCCAAAACACAAAUCUGCAUGAUCAUCACUUAGCACUGUACGUAUAAUAAGCUUGGUCGGGUUGCACCCUAGGCCUGCAUAAUUAUCUCCCUACUUAUUUCUGCCUCUUCAUCAUGCGGUGUAAGAUAUAUGAUGAGAUGAAGUUUUCUCUUGUAACUAUGUAGACUACUUCAACUUGUACUCAUAAUAAAGCACGCUGUUGGGGGGUUCUACUUAAUUUCGUUCUCUCCAAUGUUUGAGUGUUGAAUUGUUACGUUGGAAUAGGCUGCUAAUGCAUGUAGUUAGAGAAGCCUUCAUUUAUAUCAAAGUCCUCAAACUAUCAAGAAUUAAUGUAUCCAGAAACAUAUACCAAGACGCAAAACAACAUAUUUUCCAUUCUCUGUCUGUAACACCAAGGCAAACUUCCUUUAUCACAUCAUUUAAAGGAUCAAAUUCCAGUACUAAUCUAAUCCAUCAUGUAAAGCAUACAAGUGCCUACCUAAAUUUGUCCAUUGGAUAUAUAUGUCACUUUUUAUUUUUUGAUAGAGAUAUAAAUGUUGAGAAAAUUAGAGUACACAACUCCAAUAUAGACUUGUUGGAGACAAAACAAGUAAACAAAUUACUUGUAUUAGACUCACAAAAUAUUACAACAAGACAACUCUCAAAGAAAAGACAAACUCUCACACUUCUCACAAGGACUACUUAACUUUAUAGCUUAUUGCAUAUAGCAUAUGCAAACACAAUUAGAACAUACCUACGUACACUAUGGGAACACUCGUGUAUAUUUGAACACAAGAAAACAUGUGCGCACCGUGCACGGUUCACAUGAAGUAAGAAAUGAAGAGGAAAUAAAGAAGAAGAAUACAAAAGAAAAU